UUUGGACAUUGAUGGACCUUCAACUUCUCCAAACGAGGGAAUAAGAAAUAAUCACACCAUCCGAAACUAAAACAGACAAUACUUGAUAAUUGUUCUAGCGACAACUCCUUUAGAUUAGGAAGCACUAUCUCCUUCUCAACGUUGAUAGGUGAAGCUUGACCAUCCUGCUCAGGAGACUCUGGAAUUAUUUCCCUUUCACCAUCCUCUUCUCUGAUAAUAUGCUUCAAUUGACCGCAUUUACUUAUGUAAAGUCUUUGUAGCUUUGGCAGACUUCGAGCGAGGGACGGUGUGAAGAUAAAUGUCAGUUUGUUGAGAGACUCCAAAUUCAGACGAUUAAGACUUUGGAGGCUGACAUGUCUAGAUUGUUGUAUUAAACUCAAUCCAUCCAGAAGGUCAAGGAAGGCAGCCACCAGCUGUCACCGCCCAGCCACCAACCGGCCAGCCGCCAGCCACCAGCUGUUUGCCGCCACAGCCGCCAGCCGCCUUCACACUUGAAGGUUGAAUUUUCUUGUUUUGAAUUCGUGUAUAAAUAGCAAGCUAAGCUUAUGUUAUUCUGUGUGGAGAGAGUAGAGAGAAACACUAGAGAGAAAGAGAGAGGGCGUGUAUUGUGUUAAGCUUUUGUGUUAAGUAAUUGUAAGCUUUUGUUCUUGAAAUAAAACAGUGUGUUUUAUCCCCUCCGAGUGUUUCAAAGCCACCACCAGUGGUUUCUCCCACCAACAAUUGGUAUCAGAGCCCCGUUCGUCAGAAAACAGAAGUGUUUUGGGAGAUAUCCGAAUUUUCAAAGUUGUCAAAAACAAGUUUUGAUCAUUCCAUUGUAUAGAGCUCAUCCAUACGAACUCACUGCCGCAAAAAUCAGCUCAAUCGGACACCGGGGUGAGCCACACGCGCCGCCUGAAGAUCCGGUGACUGUAGCCCAGUCUCACCCACGCGCGCCAGAGGAAGAAGACGAGUGACGUCCACGCGCGCCAUAUUUGAGCCGUUAAGCCGAGCCGAGCCGAGCUGCAAGCCAAGCCUCCAGCCGCGCCGAAGAAUAUUCCCAAGAAUAUUCCCUUUUCAAGCCGAGCCGCUAUUAGCCGAAGCCGAGCCGAUAGAAUAUUCCACAGAAUAUUCCCGGUUCAACCCAGCAAACCGCCCGACGCCCAGAAUUGGUUUUUUGACCGGUUCACCCAUUUUCUGACCUGAUUUCUACAAAGUCAAACCGGUUCCCGACUAUUUCGACCAUUCCGGAUCGAUCUACAAUGUCGGUUUUGCCAAAUUCAACUCCCAGAAGGAGAUAUAGUCAUUAAAAGAGCAAAAUGACUACAGAAAGUACACAAACACUCAUCCCGAAGCUGACCAAAGACAACUAUGAUAGUUGGUGCAUAAGAUUAAAGGCAUUUCUUGGUUCACAAGAGUGUUUGGAGAUUGUACACUAUGGUUAUGAUGAACCAGAGUCUAAAGAAGAAGAAGAUGCUUUACAAGAGGCACAGAAGCAAGCCCUGAAAGUCAACAGAAAGAAGGACAACAAAGCAAAGACCAUCAUCUACCAAGGUCUUGAUGAAGAUACAUUCGAGAUCAUAGCUUCCGCUGAAACAUCAAAAGACAUAUGGGAGGCUCUCCAACAAAAAUACAAAGGUGCUGACAGAAUCAAGAAGAUUCGUCUUCAAUCUUUGCGAGGUGAAUUUGAGUUAUUGCAAAUGAAGUCCUCAGAAUCUAUUUCUGAUUAUCACACAAGGAUUAUGGUGAUAGUCAAUCAGAUGAGGAGAAAUGGAGAAGCCAUCAUAGAUUCUCGAAUUACUGAGAAAAUUUUGAGAUCCCUAGAUCCAAAAUUUGAUUUUGUUGUUGUCGCUAUUGAAGAGUCCAAGGAAGUGGACAAGUUGACAGUUGAUGAGCUUAUGAGUUCUUUGCAAGCUCAUGAGCAGAAGAUUGUAAAGCGAAAUGGAGAUAAGGCCAUCGAGCAUGCCUUACAAGCAAAGAUGUCUCUCAAGGACAGAUAUGAGCAAGGGGAGACUUCAACAAGUGGAUAUACCACUCAAGCAGGAAGUCAACAAUCCAGAGGAGGAUUCCAGAGAUUCCAAGGAAGAGGUUCUUGGAAUACAAGCUUUAGAGGAAGAGGUGGUAGAAACACCACCAGAGGAGGUAGAGGACAGCAAGCAUUCACUCCUAGAGGAAGAGGAGGCGGUUACAAUAACCGUGACAAGAGGAAUAUCCAAUGUUAUAGUUGCAAUCAAUUUGGGCACUAUAGCACUGAAUGCAGAAGGAAAGCUCCGUUGGAGAUACGUGAGCAAGCCAACUAUGCAGAGAAGGAUGACAUAGAAGCUGCAUUUCUUGUCCAACAAGAACUUGGCGAGAAACAGGAAAAUAUAUGGUAUCUAGAUACUGGAGCCAGCAAUCACAUGUGUGGCUACCGAGAGUUAUUUAGUGAUCUAGAUGAGACCAAGCAAGGUCUAGUUACUUUUGGAGAUACCUCAAAGGUUCCAUUCAAAGGUAAAGGCAGCAUCCCAAUCAAGUUGAAGAACGGCGAUUCCAGCUACAUCGCCAAUGUUUAUUAUGUCCCAGCCAUAAAGCAGAACCUGAUCAGCUUAGGUCAACUUUUGGAGAGAGGAUAUACUUUUUACUCGAAGAAUUGCCAUCUGACAAUUAGAGACAACAAUUGGAGAUUAAUGGCCUAUGUGAAAAUGUCCAAGAAUAGGAUGUUUCCUUUGAACAUCCAGUAUGAUGCAGCAAGGUGUUUGAGUGCCAUCACCAACAGUGAAGAAUGGCUCUGGCACCUGAGGCUUGGACAUCUGAAUUUCACGAGCUUGAAGAUGCUAGCAAGCAAGAAGAUGGUCAAAGGUAUGCCUCACAUUGAUCAUCCAGAUGAAGUCUGUGAGAGUUGUGUCCUCAGCAAACAUCACAGAUCCAGUUUUGCCAAAGAAGUCAACUGGAAAGCAAAGAGGCCACUGGAGUUAGUACACACAGAUGUGUGUGGCCCAAUAACGCCUAUGUCGACUGGACAGAAUAGGUACUUCCUCACUUUUAUUGAUGAUUUUAGUAGAAAGACGUGGAUAUACUUUCUGAAGAGGAAGUCAGAAGUAUUCAAUUGUUUUAAAGAUUUUAAAGCAAUUGUGGAGAAGCAAAGUGGUUACAUGAUCAGAACAGUGAGAUCUGAUCAAGGUGGAGAAUAUACAGCAAAUGACUUUGAAGCCUUCUGUACACAACAAGGCAUCAGACAUCAAACAACGCCUGCUUAUACACCACAGCUGAAUGGUGUAGCUGAAAGGAAGAAUCGCACGAUUCUUGACAUGGCAAGAAGUCUGCUCAAAGCAAAGAAGUUGCCCAAGCAAUACUGGGCUGAAGCUGUAUCAUGUGCAGUGUAUCUACUGAAUCGCUGCCCAAACAGAAGUUUGCAAGGUGUCACUCCAGAAGAAGCUUGGAGUGGUCACAAACCAAGUGUUACUCAUCUACGAGUCUUUGGUUGUGUGGCAUAUGCAAAGAUCCCAGAUGCAAGAAGGAGAAAACUCGAUGAUAAAAGCGAGAGAUGCAUCUUUGUGGGAUAUGGUGAAAGAAGGAUGGGAUACAAGCUGUAUAAUCCCAUCACGAAGAAGGUGAUUAUGAGUAGAGAUGUUAUCUUUGAAGAAGAUAAAUCUUGGGAAUGGACUGAUAAUAAAGAAGCAGUUAGAUGGAUCAACAUUGAUUUGAUCCUUGAAGGUGAAGAAGUACCAACAGUACUUGUCGAAGAACCGAUUGUGCCAGCAGCUGAACCACAAAGUCCGGUGAUUAUACCAGCAGCUGAACCACAAAGUCCAGUACACAGAUUCCCUGUAUUCAACAGGAGGAACACACCAGGAGCAUCAUCAUCAACACCAGCAGCAGCAUCCUCGUCAGAAGGACCAAGAAGGAUGAGAAAUCUUGACGAGUUGUACGAUGCCACGCAAGUCAUCGAAGAUACAACUCUAUUUUGUUUCUUUGCAGACAAUGACCCACUUAGCUUCAACAAAGCUAUCACAGAAGAGAAGAUAGAAGCAAUGGAUAAAGAAAUGCAUGCCAUUGAGAAGAAUGAUAUCUGGAAGCUGACUUAUCCACCAGAAAGCAAGAAAGCAAUAGGUGUCAAAUGGGUCUAUAAGAAAAAGAAGAAUGCAAAAGAAGAAGCGCAAAAAUACAAAGCCAUUGAAGAGGGAAACAUUUAUCAGAAUGAAGUUCAUGCUUGGCAUGACAUCCCUCGAUUGAGUUUAAAGGGGAGAUUUGUUGUAUUAAACUCAAUCCAUCCAGAAGGUCAAGGAAGGCAGCCACCAGCUGUCACCGCCCAGCCACCAACCGGCCAGCCGCCAGCCACCAGCUGUUUGCCGCCACAGCCGCCAGCCGCCUUCACACUUGAAGGUUGAAUUUUCUUGUUUUGAAUUCGUGUAUAAAUAGCAAGCUAAGCUUAUGUUAUUCUGUGUGGAGAGAGUAGAGAGAAACACUAGAGAGAAAGAGAGAGGGCGUGUAUUGUGUUAAGCUUUUGUGUUAAGUAAUUGUAAGCUUUUGUUCUUGAAAUAAAACAGUGUGUUUUAUCCCCUCCGAGUGUUUCAAAGCCACCACCAGUGGUUUCUCCCACCAACAUAGAUGGCCCCUUCCAUAUACAUUUGAGCUCAGGUAAACAUGACAGCCGUAACUCUGUUAAAGAUGACAGAAGCGGUAGCUCCUUCUCCUCACUACUUCCUUCAUCAGGCUCACCUAAUUCAAAUACCUCUUCCAAUGAUUUACAGCUGUCAACAAUCACCUCCUCUAGAUUGUUCAAAGCUCGGAGCAAUUUUGCUGGAAACGGAGUGCGAACAUCCCCACAAUCGUCCACUCGUACAAAUUCUAAUCUUUGUAAGAAGCCGUUUUGCUGCCCAUGGACGACCAUCUUAUCAGAGAACAAUAUUAUAUUUUUUCACUCAUAAAAACAAUUUAUAUGAUGAGAGAAAAAAAAAAAAACAGGAUUACAUACUUUUUAGAGAUUACAUAUUAUUGUUUCAGUUUUUUUCUUAAUUAGAGAUAAGUUAAAUAAUAAUUAGAUUUUUGCGAAAAAAGGUUACUACAACUCCUAAUAAUUAGUUUCAUGUAAAAAAUAAAAAUAAAAAUAGUAACUAAUAUUUUUAUUUUAGUUAUAAAGUUAAUAAAUUUUUAAAGAUAUUUUAAUUGAAUUAAAUAUUUGAACACAAAAUAAGCUAAUAUGAUUUCUAUGAUUAAUUGUUGGUAUUAAGUUUCUUAUAUUUAUAUAUGUUUAGAUAAAACAAAAAAAUAAGCAGUGACGAAGAAAGAAUAAAUCUAACAGAUAAUAUAAAUUACGUAAAUCAUGAGGCAGUUAAAUCUAACAGAUAAUAUAUUUCAAAUGAGGCAGUCAAAUCUAACAGAUAAUAUAUUUCAAAUGAGGCAGUCAAAUCUAACAGAUAAUAUGUUCUUCCAUAUGAUUAAUUUUUAAUAACGCAGACAACAAUGAGGCAGUUAAGUUUUUUAUAUUUAUAUAUGUUUACAUAAAAAAAUAAAUCAUAAAAAAAUAAAAAUAAGCAUUUAUCAAUUACUUUACUUUUAGAAAUUGGGAGGAAGAAAGAAUAAAUUAUCGCAAUUGACAAUUUAAUUUAGUGGAGAAAUAUAAAUUACGUACUUGUAGCUGUGCCAACCAAUUACCCACUUCUUCGUGGCCUUCAAUGGUUAAUCUUUGCAAGGGCAAUUGAGCAUCAAAAUUCCUUGGACCUAAAAAGCUGUAAUUAGAUUGGAGCCAAAGAGAAAAUUCUCUUAGCCGAGGGAACUUGAUGAUGCCAUCUCUGGUAAGUGCAUCUCCUUCUCCACCGUAAAAUAUUUGCUUUAAAUUGUCAGCACGAGCAAUCCUCAUCUGUUCCAGGUUCGUAAGACUUGGAGACAUGGAGACAGGGAAGACAUAUUCCAGUGAAAAACAGAAAGAUAUGUUGAUUUUUUUUAAUUUUGGGAAGCGAGGAGACUCUGGAAUUAUUUCCCUUUCACCAUCCUCUUCUCUGAUAAUAUGCUUUAAUUCACCGCAUUCAUUUAUGCGAAGGCUUUCUAGCUUUGGCAGAUUUCGAGCGAGGGACGGUGUGAAGAUAAAUGUCAGUUUUUUGAGAUCUGAAACUUUCAGAUGAACAAGAUUUUGGAGGCUGACAUGUCUGGUGGGCCCCUUCCAUAUGCAUUUGAGCUCAGGUAACUCUUGCAGCUUUAACAGUGUUAAAGAUGACAGCAGCUCCUUCUCCUCACUGCUUCCUUCAUCAGCCUCACCCAAUUCAAAUACCUCUUCCAAUGAUUUACAGCUGUGAACAAUCACCUCCUUUAGAUUUUUUAAACCUUGCCGCAAUUUUGCUGGAAACAGAGUGAAAACAUCCUCACAAUCCCUCACUUUUACAAAUUCUAAUUUAUGUAAAAACAAUUGCUCAAAUGUCUUCGCAUUGAAGGAUGUACCAGCCAAAAUUAAUCUUGUCGAGGUUGGGUAUCGUCCUGCAUCAAACCGAUUCCCAAAUAUUAUAUCAUAUUUGCGCAAGCUAACUGGAAAAACAAAAUCUCUGGGAAUGCAUUCAACCUUCGGUAUCCACAAUGAUAAUACGGCUAACUGAGACAACGAAUUUAGUUCUGUUAGGCUUGCAUUCAUUCCUCCUGUGCUGUCACAUCCAACAGCAUCCCAUCCCUGAAAGCUGCGAUCCCCGAUCAACAGCUCUUCUAACUUCUUCAACCUUCCAAUCAAAUUCACAGGGAUCCUUCUUAGCCUUUCACAACCUGUCACAUCCAACAACCUUAACUCCUUGAGCUCUCCUAUUUCAUCAGGUAAUUCUUCAAUGGAUAAGCACCGUCUAAGACCAAGAAUCUUAAGUCUCUGCAGCUUUCUCAACCCAAUGAGGUCCUUGCAUCCACACCUGAUCAACACCAACGAUUGAAGUUUCGUUGAGAGUUCAAGUGAUUGCAAUGACAAGCACCCUCCCUUCAGAGACAAAACUUCAAUUUCUGUCAUCCCUUCAAAAAACCUCUGAGGAACAUUCAAACCAGAAUCCACUUCCAAUAAUAGAACUUUGAGCUGUGGGCAUACCAAUCCUUCAGGAAGUUCUGCUAGUUUAUUGCCCAUUAACGAAAUUGUUGUACAACCUUCAAAGCUUUUACCCGUCCAUUGCCAAUUCUCUAACCCUAAGCCAGCCUUGACCAUGAAUCCAUAUUCUUUUGAUGCUAUCUGAAUAGCAACAUCACGAACAAGGUCAUGCAUUUUCACAUGUUCUUCAGUUUCAGAGCCCAACAGCAUGCAACAAUCUUUGAGGUUUUCGAUUGCCACAGAAACUCGUUUCCUUGCAUCUUCAAUGGGCUCCGCAUCUUGAUGUAACCCAUAGCCAACUGCAUAUCUCGUCAAGUCCUCGAUUGGAAUGUCAUAAUCUUCUGGAAAUAAACAGCAUAGCACGAAACAUGACUUGGUUUCCUCGUACUUCAAAUAAUCAUAGCUCAACUUAAGACAUGUGUAAGCAUUAUUUUGUUCAUCAAUUUGUUCCAUGCGCACAAAUUGAGAUUCUUUGAGCUGUUUAGACGCUACUUCCCACUGAACUCGUGAUUUACCUCUUAGAGCCCUUCCCACUGUCACAAGUGCUAUAGGCAAGCCUUGGCAUUCUCUCGCAACCUCCCUUGCCACUGUGUUCAAGGUAGAGUCCCCAUCACGUAAACCUGCAUUGAUACUGAAUAAAUCCCACGCUUCAUCUUCAGGUAAGACUCUUAAAUGCACUUUUUGCUGGCACUCCAUAGAAAAACAUAUGCCUUGAACACGUGUUGUUAGAAGAAUUUUACAACCCCUGUGAUCAUCACCAAAUGGGAUCCCUAUCUCUUUCAAGUCAAUAUGUUUCCAAACAUCAUCCAGGGUUAUAAGCAUCUUCUCCACUUUCUUCAGUCUCUGCCGUAAUCGAUCUGCUCUCCCUUCUUUACUGUUUUCUUCAAUUUUCAAACCUAACAUAUCUGCCAUUCGGUUCUGAAUGUCUAUGACAUUUGGAUUCUGCGACACCGUAGCCAUCAAAACUUCAUCAAAAAGCUGCGACUCUCUGGCUAUCGUGCCUACUCUUUUCACCAGGGUGGUUUUACCCACCCCUCCCAUGCCGUACAGUCCGAUCAUAUUGGCGUUGUCAUCUUUGCGAGCUUUCAUAAUCUGUUCCAAAGCUUCUUUUGAAGAUUCUGAGGGCGUGAAUUCCUUUGAUGGAAGAAAUUCUAUGGGCUGAGGAGGAAAUUUGUGGGCCACUUUUGUAAACUUUGUUUCUGAAAGUCUCCGACUCCUUGGCCAGUGCCUUGCUUAACUUGAAUUGUCGAAUGCAGUUUGGACACCAAGUGAAGCAUUUGCCAUUUUUUCCUAUUUCUUUUUCCAAGGGCUUCGCACCUUCAAUUUUGCUGUUUGCAUCUUCCAUCCACUUUUUGACACCUUUCUUAAUUUCUUCAGCAUUCCUUUCAGCAGCUUCGACUUCUUUUUGCAGACCAUCUAGUGCUAAAGCAAGGUUCUCCUUUUGUUCUUUGAAUUCUUCAACAAAAUUGUUGAAACAGAACAUGUAACGGAACUGCCUUCCUACUGGUUCCACCAUGAGUUCUGCUAUCUUAGAUAUAAUGGAUCCACCCACACUUUCGAGAGCCAUUUUCCACCAGUCUGAAAAUCAGAGAAAUGAGGAUACAGGACGUGAGAGUGAGUCACUACAAGUAAAACAGGCGCAGAGAGAAUGGGAAUAGGAAUUCCAUUACCGUAAUUUGGGAAAAUAUGCGCGGAAAGCACUGGUACUGAGAGCUCAAUGAAAUAGCGGGAGGAAGAAAAGGAGAAGGCCUUUAGCUCUGUAUGGAAUCCAGCUUCAAAAGCAACAAGGCAAGGUAUAAGGAUUCUAACUGACACUUGUGAGUUAAAGCAGUAAUUCCCAUUAAAAAUGCAUUUUGAUGACAUAAUUAAGAUCAUAUUGAGACAGUGGCAAACAAAAAAUAAAUGUAUAAAAGUACUCACCUAGCAAAGAAAGAAACGAAUGAAAGGUUCAGGAUAAUCACUUAGCUCGCUUCCAACAACAAAUAUAAUUAAUUAAUCUAAGCUAUGAUCGGUCAAAGUUUUUUUUAGUUUUAUUCUUUUUUUAAAAAAAAAAAAACAGGAAAAAACUUGCAAAGAAAUAGAAUUACUGGAAUGAACACAAUAAAAGAUGAAACUCAAGCAAUUAAAAAUAAAUUAUCUAUGAUGAUCAUGUCUGUGUCACACUCAAUGAGGUAAUCACUAUUACAAUAUUAAAUAAAUAAAUAAAAGCUAAAAGAACUAGGUUUUUGGUGGCAUCCAGAGUGCGGUUACUUUCUUCAUCCUUCUUUUGUGGUUUUAUUUUAUUUCAGUCCUUCAAAUCUUUUUCUUUUGCUAUUUCAUCGAGUUGCUUUGCUCUUGAGUUGAUGUGCUUGCCCUAGAAUAUGCAUUAUGCUAGGGAUUACAAUUACAUUACAUAAGAAAUUAUACUUACAGAUUAUAAUUAAAAUUUUCAGUUUUUUUUAAACAAAUUUAUGAGAAAGUACCAAUAUUACAACGUGAGUAAAUGAUAGGAGAAUUUUAAAUCUUUUUGUGACAUGGUGACCAGCUGAUCCAAGUAACCAAUAGAUUAUCGCCACUUGUUCAACCUGAUCUGCACUUUAAGAUAGGGGUAGUCAUAACUAUUCCUCGUUUUGUUUGAGGAAAAAUAAUUUUUUUAAAAAUAAAUUUUAAAUUUUUCUAUAUUUAUUUGCUAUUAAAAAAAUUAAUCAAUAAAAAAUAUUUUUUAGUAAAAAAAAUUAGUUUUAUUUUUUAAAAAGUAUUUUUCUUUUAUUUUAGGCGGAAAAUACUUUCCAGAAAUUGUGAAAAAUUUAGAAAUAUCAUAUUAUUUGUUGAUUAUAACAAAUUGGAUCCUCAAACUUUUAAUUGCUAUAUAUUUUGUUUUGAAUAUUUUUGUUUUCAAUUUCAUCUGUUAUAAUUUGAUUUUAUAUUAAAUUUGAUCCUUAUUUUUAUGAUUGUUAUUUGUUUUUCUCUUUUUAUUUUUUUAAUUGAAAUUUUUUAUUUAUCAAAUUUGAUCAUCAUUCUUUUGAUUGUUAUUUAUUCUAUUUGAAAUAAUUUAUGAAUAGAGGGAGAGGUUGUUGGAGGCAGAAAAGGAAAGACUACGAUACUAUUUUUCUCUAUAUUUUGAGUUUUAGUUGUUAACAGCCAUGCUCGUUUGAUUUUAUUUUAUUUUUAUUUAUUUUUUUCAUGCUCUUGCAGAUAAGGCAGGAAAGGAGGACCUGAAAUCACGACAGCGAAUAAGGAGAGAAAUAGCGUGUUUGUUUUUUAUUUUUGAAAUUAUUUUUUUAUAAAAUUAUUUUUUUAUUCUAAAUUAAUUUUUUGUAUUUUUAAAUUGAUAUUAAAAAUAAUUUAAAAAAUAAAAAAAUAUAUUAUUUUAAUAUAUUUUUAAAAUAAAAAAUAUUUUUAAAAACAACUACUUAUUCAAUCACUUAAAAUAAAAACCUUAAAAUCACGGCAUGAUAAAAGGAGGAAGAAAGGAAUGGGACAAAGGAGGAAGAAAAUAAGGUCACGUAUAAAAUAGAAGAUGAAAAUUAGUAUGAAAAAGAGGCUAUUUGUUUUUUUAAUGUGUCAGAGUGGUUUUUAUAAUUAUAUUUAAUUUAUAAAAAUAUUAAAUUAAUAUAUUUUUAAAUAUUUCUUGUUAUUAUUAUAUAUAUAUAUAUAAUAUUCUAAUAUUUUUUUAAAUAAAAAAUUAUUUUAAAAAAAUAUGUGUCACAAUACUAAAUUAUAGUACAAAUUAAAAUAUAAAAGAGUUUUCUAUUACUAUUUACCAAGACUUAUUUUGUUGUGGAUGUGGAUAUUAAUAGUGAAUUUUUUUAAAAUUUUCAAUUUGAUAUUUGAAUUUUUUUUUUUCAUAAUCGAAUCUCUUUAUGCCCAAAUUAAAACUCAAUUGCAUUUUGUUUUUUAAGUAUAAGAGUUGAAUUCAAAGAUAGAUGACUGAAAUGAAAAACUUGGUAAAAAUAUGCGGCGACAUUGUAAUUGUUUGCAAAGUUCAUUUUAGUCCCUUAUCUUUUUGAGCUACUAAGUAACAUGUCCCUAUAAUUUCUCAACAUUACAUUUUAUCCAGAAUCUCAGAUUAUGCUCUACGGACUAAACUAAAUUUUUCAUAAAUUGAGAGACCAAACUGAAAUUUAUCAUUUUCAAUCUUAAACCUAGAAUUUUCACAUAUCACCUACUGAUAUAACAAGAUUUCUAACUCAAAUUCACCAUUUAAACAAACCAUAACUCAAAAUCAUCAUUUUUACUUAAAGUCUUUCAAAAUCAACUAAAUAACUCAUUAUUCAUAACAAUCAACACAUAAUAUUCAAAUCAAUUCAUCAAUCAAACCCAAAACACAAUCUUCAAAACUCUAAUAUUCAACAAAACAGAAAAUUAAAGCUAAGAAAAACACAUUUAUACACAUCAAAGCGUAAAUAUUCUUACAUUUUAAUUUAUUUUCUCUAACUCUCUUAUCCUUUUGUUUAUCUUUUUCUCUUUUCUCUUUUUCUUCUUUCACUCUCACGGUUUUUUCUCUAAGAAUUCAAAUCUUUCUCUUUUUUAUUCUAUUUAUAUUUAUGAACUCUUUGUUCAAUUACUACAAUAUCGUUCAUUCAUUUAUACCUACUUUUAAGCCUCCAAGAGUUUUGUUGUUUUUUUCUAUUCUCUUUUAUUUCCAAAUCAUCACAAUAAAAUUGUUUUCUUUUUAUUAAGCUGCUAAUUUAUGCAGCUUUAGCUCUUGUUCUCUCUUCUUGUCUUGCUAUUCUGAUUUUAUCUUUUUCUUUACAUGAUAUAAGAGCAGGUUCUUACCUCUUGAAGUCUGCUGGAUAAACCUAUCAGCAGAAGAUCCUGAAGCGAUCCCAAAUCACAGCUUCAAUCCCCACCACAACCAAUCUCCUCUUUCCCGUAGUCUGUCGUCCUCAAUUGGGAAAUGAUCUCAAAAAAUCACUUGAUGCAACAAGUAGGGUAGAGAAAUAUAAGACUUCAACAAAGAAUCAAACUCAAAAAAAUAAAAGUAAUUGUCUAUGAGAAGCAUUUCUGUGUCACACACUCAAGUAAUAUGAUUGACCUAUUACAUUAUACAAAUUAACAAUAAUAAUAAUAAUAAUAAUAAUAAUAAUAAUAAAAGAACUAGGUUUUUGAUGGCAUCCAGAGUGCUGUUACUUUCAAACAAAGAGGCUUGUGCAUGCGGUGUUAUGCUGUUCGUGUAGGCUAAGAUCUCCUAUGAAUACAUUUGUAAAAUCAUACAAUUGUAUUCUUUUUAUUAAGCUGCUAAUUUAUGCAGCUUUAGCUCAUAUUCUCUCUUCUUGUUUAGCAAUUCUGAUCUGAUCCUUUUCUUUGCAUGAUAUAAGAGCAGGUUCUUACCUCAUGAAGUCUGCUGGAUGAACCUAUCAGCAGAAAAUCCUGAAUCAAUCCCAAAUCACAGCUUCAAUCCCCACCACAAUUACCAAUCUCCUCUUUCCUGUAGUCUUUCGUCCUCAAUUGGAAAAUGAUCCAAAAUCAACAACCAGUUCGGAGAUAGUCUGUGUGAAAAUAAACGGCUGAGAGAUGAAAUGUGAAGGUUAUGGUGAGAAAUUAGAUGACAAACUUACUUUGUCCUACUAAUGCUUUUGCUUUCAUUGUUUCAACAAGUAAAAGAGACAUAAGCAUAAUCAUAAGAAUCCUGUUUUUUCUAUUUUUUUCACCUAUUUAUACAUCAAAAAAUGGCAGUUUUUCUUGUCCUUUCUUUUUAAAAUCUUAUGCCUUGGGUGAGGAAAUUAGUGGAGCAUAAGACGUUUUAAAAGACAACAAAAAGAAGCAAUGUCUCAUCUUUUGAUAUGGUGGUCUUCCAUGAUCAGUUUGUUGAUGAAGAUAUCGAAAGAUUCGAGUCUCCGUUCUAGCUCAGGUUGGAAGCUAGGCCGAAGGCUAAGCUUCUUUUAAUUAUGAAUUGUUUAUGCAAAGGAAACCCAGAAGCUUGAACAAACAGAAAUGCCUUGUUGAUUUCUCUGCUACUACUCAUUAUUUCCAAUAUUAUUCCAUUAUCUUACCCGAAAGCAAUUAUACAAGAAAUUUCAUUAUCCUGCCCCAAAGGCAAUUUAUUACAAGGACUUCCUUUAACCUCCUUGAAGGCAAUUUAUUUGAUGAAAAUUCCUUUAAUCCACCUCAAAGACAAUUUAUCUUAGGGAAUUCCAACGACCCAGGCAAUUUAUUUGCUGAAAUUCCUUUAACCUCCUUGAAGGCAAUCAAGAUUUUAAAUUAAAAACCAUCUAGGUGGUGGCCCAGUGGUAAGAACCUGGGACCAAGAGGUUUGCUCAUCUGCAUAAUUAAAUAGUACUGUUACUGUAAACUACUAGGAAAUUCAUGCGUAGAGCCAAAAUGUUAACAAUAGCACAACGACCCAGGCAAUUUAUUUGCUGAAAUUCCUUUAACCUCCUUGAAGGCAAUCAAGAUUUUAAAUUAAAAAGCCAAAAAUGAACGCAUCUACUCUUGCAAGAAUGGACUCAAAAGGUCAGCUAAUCCGCAUAAUUAAAUAGUACUGUUACUGUAAACUACUAGGAAAUUCAUGCGUAGAGCCAAAAUGUUAACAAUAGCAUUGAUUCGGUCAGGGGCUCUGGUGUAUAGAGAGGACCUUGCCGUUAGAAACUAUGAACCCACUAUUUAUUAAUCCAUUUCUAUUUAGUACUAUUUACUAUUUAUUUAUUUUUAUUUACUAUAUUUCUGUAUGUGAUACCUAAGUACCAAUAAAAUUUGAGAUUCCUUCAAUUUUUUAGGUGCAUGUACAAAAUCAAUUCAAGAGUGUGUAUCCUUAACUAUAUAUCAGGCUAACCUUUACAGGCUGAGCUAGCAAUCGAUAAUUAAUUUUUAAUGAAUUCAUUUUUUAUUUAAAAUAAGGAAAAGGACAUUGUUACACCUUAACUAUUAUAAUUGUUACACCUUACCAAAGGGUUAAUUUAGAAAAAAAUUAUCAACUUACAGGUCACUGGCCGAGGUCAACUUAUGAUUAAGUAGAUCAAUUUAAAUUAAUUAUUUUUAUUAAAAUGAUAAUGUUUUGUUUUUUUUUUUCUUGAUAUUAAUUUGGCUAAUUUUUAUCAAAUCAAAUCACUAAAAACUUAAUCAAAUUAAAUUUCAUCAAAUCAAUAAUAUUUGAUGUAGUUGAAUUUUAUAUAUAUAUAUAAAUAUUUGAAAAUAAUUUAAAAAUGAUGUUUUCAUUAAUACCCAUUCUCAAUGUUUUUUUUGCCUUAUUUAGCUUUUUUUUCAAUUAGUUUUAAUUUUAUUAGCUUGGUUUAGUUUUUUAAGAGGUUAAUAUGAUUUAUUUGUAAUUUGUUUUAUAUAUUUCAGAUAUAUUAAGUAUUUUUUUUAUGUGUGUGUCAAUUUCUUUUAUAUAUUUAUUUUAGUAAAUAAAUUUAUUAAAUAUAACCAGAGAAAUGACUUUUUUAAUCUAUAUUUGUUUCUUAAUUUCUUAAUUUUUCCACCUGCUUUUUUAACUAUUGAUAAUGACUUUUUAUUAUUAUUAUUAUUCACACAAUAUAGUGCUGACACCCGCAGGUUGAGACUUGAGUAAACGAAAAUGAAAUAUUUUGGGUGUCUAUCUCCUAGUUAUGGUAUUAUUAAUAUUUGAGGGUUUUGAUUUGGAAUAAUUAGUGAAGAUUUAAUUAGAACUUAGCCAUGUACUUUAUUAAAAUUAAUUAUUUAGUCCUUAAAGUGUCAUGGAUAAUUAAAAAGUCUAUUAACUAGUGUUGACCACCCUCCAUUUACUAUGUUUUUCUCUAAAAAAUGCCUUCCUUCCUAAUGAAAUUUCCGCAACUGCAUCAGAUGUUUAUUCCCGUUCAAAUGCUCGCAACAGGGAAAGCAUAUGAUAAAGAGAAUGGAACAAGAUUCUUGUCUAUGGAGGGAAUCAAUGCUUCAACUUGCCUUGUGAUUUGCUUUAAUAAGAUUUUUUUUUAUAUAAAAAACAACUUUUAAAUUAUAAUUAAAAGUAAAAUAUCAUAAAUUUAUUUUAUAUUAAAAACCGAAUUCAUUAAACAUAACCAGGGUUGUUUAUUUUUUGUAAUGACUUUGUUUUUUAUUUAUUUAUAUAAUAAUUCAUGAUUUAUUUAAUUCGAUGCGUGCAUAAGUUUUUUAAUUUAUAUUUAGAAUUUUUCUUAAUGUAAAAAAAACAUGUUCAUAAAUUUUUAUUUUUAUGAUUUCAGUUUGAUUCUUAUUUUUAUGAUUUUUUAUGUUUUUUCCUUAUCCUUUUAUAAAAGUUUUUUUGUUUAUAAUUUCACCCUUCAAUUCAAUAUGAUGGAGUAAUUUUUUUUUUCAUUUUUUGCUUUAUAUUGUUGCCUCUCUCCUUUUGGGAAUAUUGUUGCCUCUCUCCUUUUUUUUUUUUUUUUUUCAUUUUAUCAGCUUUUGCAUGUGGAAUAUUGAGUCUUCUAUUUUUUAUCCACAGAAUUGAAUCCUUUAUAUAUUCUUAAAACUAGAUUUGAAUUCUAAUGAAGGAAUAAUAAAGAUUGUUGCAUGUACAAAUUCUCCUUCAAAAAAAUAUAAUAAAGUAUCAUGGAUUUAAGUAUAACUUAGCCCUGUAAUUUAUUAAAAUUAAUUAUUUAGUACGUCCUUAAAGUAUCAUGGAUAAUUAAAAAGUCUAUUAACUAGUGUUGACCACCCUCCAUUAAUUAUAUUUUUCUCUAAAAAAUGCCUUCCUUCCUAAUGAAAUUUCUCCAACUGCGUACUUUUCUUUUCCUUAUUCUAAUUUUUAAGAAAGAAGAAAAAACAUAUUAAUUGGAAAAGAACUAAACAAUAUGUAACUUUAAAAAUAUAAGAAUUAAACAUAUAGUUAUUGAAACUAUGGGAUUAAUUAAUUAUUGUUAUCAAAUUAUAGAGAAUAAAUUAUAAUUGAAUAAGUGUUUGUGUGGAGGAGUGUUUGCAAAUACCAUGGGAGAUGCGAUUUGUAUUAUUAAUUUAGUUGUUGGUAUAAUAGUCCAAAUAUUGUGACGACCAUUUUAUAGAAAUGAGCACAAUGUUUUUAGAAUAUUUAUAAAAAUUGACUUAAACCAAUCAAAAAAAUGAUUUUUGAGUUUGUUAAACAAUUUUAAUAAAAAUAAUAAAAAUAUAAAAUAGAAUUGAAUUGGUUGGAUAUGACCCAAACUAAAUUAAAUAAAAAAACUUAACCAAGCUAUAUUUCAAUGAUCUUGGUAUGGAUUUGUUUUUAUAAAAAAAACAUGUUCAUCCUUUUUUAAACUUCUUGUGGCCUGUUCAUUCAUACUUUAUUAAUAUUUAAAUUAUUUUUUUAUAUUUUUUAAAUUUGUUUUAAUGUUAUGAUAUUUUUUAAUUUUGUUUUGAUUGAUACAUAAAAAUAUUGUUUUUAUUGAUUAAAUUUUAUUUGGAAUUAUUGUUGAUAUUACAAAGACUUAUUUAUUCCUAUUCAGUUGAUAAUGACUACUUAGAUUUUGUAAAAAGAGUUACUUUCUUUAAUAGCCAAUUGAAUGAUUUUUUAUGAGAAAAAUAAAACAUCUUUUGAUGUGAAAAAAAGACACCAUGCACCGUCGUGUGAUACGAUGCUUUUUUUCUUGUGGCAUGUUUUUGAUGCUUUUGAUACGAUGUUCUUCCAGGAAUUUUUUAUCUUUUUAUUAGGCGGUCUAAGAUGCACAGUCGUGUGUGUGUCUAUAUAUAUAUAUAUAUAUAUAUAUAUAUAUGUAUGUAUAUAUAUAUAUAAGUCAUCGAUGCAUGUUUUUAUUUGGUAUUCAAUUCAAUUUCAUAAACAUUACUUUACUCUCUAAUUAAAUUGCUGCAACUAUAUAUAUUAUACCCUUAACCAGACUAUUAGUUUACCAUUCCUGACUAGCUAUCGUAUCCUUUUGGCAAGAAUCAUUGCCAAUUACUUUAUUCGUAGUAUGUAAGAGUCAUUAUCCAACCAUUUUCAAUUCCAUUUCAAAUCACUUUCUUUGAUAAAUUAGUUUAUAAAAUAUUUUUACAAAAACUCCAUACCAUACAUCUAAACAUCACAUAUGUUCAAAUUAAUUUGAACAUAGCAAGUGUUAUAUCUUCUUUUAAAGAUUGUAAAGGACAAAUAUACAAUUACAUUUUCCUUUUUGGGUCUCAAUUACAUUUGCAUUUACAUAUUGUUCACCUAGUAAUUUCUUUUAUAAAAUUUAUAAUAAACUCAAAAAAAUAAAUAGUACGAGAAACAAAGUUGAUAGACCCAACCGAGAACAUGCUCACGAGUUUAAAUAUCUUAAUUUUAGUUUGUAGAACAUAAAGAGAAAUAGAAUUGAUCCAUUAUUUUGUUUGCAGAACAUAAAUGAGAAAGCAACGUCAAUAUAUAAACUUAAUUAAUAAAUAUAUAGUUGGUUUUGUUUUACAAUAAAGAAUUAUUUUGUUCUAUAAAAGAGUAAUUGAAUUUUAUAAAUAAAAACACGAAAUUAUUUAUUUCCAUGCAAGAUGAAGUCAAGAUUCACCACUUAUUUGUGUGAGGCAAAAUAAUAAUAAUAAUAAUAUUAUUAUUAUUAUUAUUGUUAUUGUUAUUGAAUAAGAUGAAGUCAAGAUUCACCACUUAUUUCCAUGCAAGAUGAAGUCAAAUUUCAAAGUUCCCUUUACAAAUCGGUUGGAUAUGGCCCAAACUAUAUUAUACCCUUAACCAGACUAUUAGUUUACCAUUCCUGACUAGCUAUUGUAUCCUUUUGGCAAGAAUCAUUGCCAAUUACUUUAUUCGUAGUAUGUAAGAGUCAUUAUCCAACCAUUUGGUAUUCAAUUUCACGUUCUUUGAUAAAUUAGUUUAUAAAAUAUUUUUACAAAAACUCCAUACCAUACAUCUAAACAUCACAUAUGUUCAAAUUAAUUUGAACAUAGAUAGCAAGUGUUAUAUCUUCUUUUAAAGAUUGUAAAUGACAAAUAUACAAUUACAUUUUCCUUUUUGGGUCUCAAUUACAUUUGCAUUUUCAUAUUGUUCACCUAGUAAUUUAUUUUAUAAAAUUUAUAAUAAACUCAAAAAAAUAAAUAGUACGAGAAACAAAAACAAGAAACAAAAUUGAUAGACACAACCGAGAACAUGCUCACAAGUUUAAAUAUCUUAAUUUUAGUUUGCAGAACAUAAAGAGAAAUAGAAUUGAAUAUGAUGAUGAUGAUUUCUUUUUUCAUUUUCAGGAGACCUAUAAUAGCCGGUUGAGGGAGAGAUAUGGGGACGAUCCUUUGACCCUCCGGAUUUCGAUCCGGAUUUGUGGAUGGAGGUCGGAUCGUUCGGUGGACUCGAUAAAAAUCGGCUGUACGGGCUCUCCAACACUACGACCGAGAACUUGCGGUCGGCCCGUAGUGUCUCAACUGUUGGGAGCUCCAAAUCAGUAUCGAGCACCCAAUCUGAGGAUAUCAUGACCUUGAAACAACACACAGCUAAUCUCACCGAGAAAUACGAGCAACUCUUGGCAAAUUAUGAUCAACUCCGCCAAAUUGUCAUGAACAUGACUUCACAGAGUGGUGCUACAUGUCCGCCCCCUUUUUGGCCGUAUAACAACCAGCCUCCUCCUCCUCCUCCUCCAACUCCGCCAUUGUGCUAAUUUAAUAUUUUUUUGAAACACAUUCAAUUUGUAAUGAAUAUUAUUUAACACUAUUUUUUUGUUCUUAAUGUUUAAUAAAAUUUUAUUUGCAUAAUUGGUUUUUUUACUAUUAAUUUAUAUAAUUUUAUGUUAUUUAUUCUAAAUCAUUUUUAAUUUUUUUAAAAUACCCACCGAGGGAUUUACCGACGGAAUGUAUCACCGACGAAUUUACAGACGGAUAACGUUCGUCGGCCUUUCACCGAUAGCUAAAAAAUAUUUACUAUAUAUGCCACUAUCACCGACGGAAUAAAUUCGUUGGUAAGGUUCCAGCGGGAAGUUUUUUUUUUGGCGUGCAAUUUCCGUUUGUAAAACCAUCGAUAAUAUUUUUUUUACCGACAACCUUAGCGACGGAAUGCGGUAUUACCGACAAACAUUAUGCCGACGGACGUUUUUCGUUGGCGAUUUAGUCGGUAAAAAAAUUACUGACAAACUCUGAAUCUCAUACCGACGGAAUAUGUCCGUCGGUAAAACUGUGAAAUCUUGUAGUGAUUUAGAUUUGGGUUGGUUUUUUAUUUUUAAAUCAAUUAAAUGUUUAUUUAAGAUCAUGAAUGGACUUAUUGAGGUACCUUUUACCUAUAGCUCACUUUGAUACCCCCUCCGAUAUAUCUAACUCUUCAAUAAAGGAGCAAUUUUUCAUUACAUUCAGCACAAUAUUUAUUUCUCUAACAUGUAUGAAGAUGGCACGAGUUAAAAUGAUUGUGUAAAUUAAUUUACAAUAACGAGGCCUUCGUAUAUAGUAAUUUAUCCCAGACAAGAUGACUAAAGUACUCAAAAGAUUCAAGUAGACGUUGUUUUAACACCUUGAAGGAUUCUGAAAUUCUGCCUUGCUCGAACGCGCACAAAAUUUGCCUUUUCUUUUAUUCCUAAUCGGAUUCGUAUGCAUGCAAAAUUAAAUCACCUUGAAAACUCUUAAUCUCUAUCUCGGCUUUUAAAUAUAUAAUUUAUAGCCAUUGUAAAUUCACAAAAAAAUAUUGAUUUUUUUUUUAAUCUCUUGGGUUAUAAUAACCAUAUCUAUCCGGUGUUGUUUAUUGAAAUAUUUUUCAGUUAUUUUGGAUGAGUAUAAAAUGAAUUCAUAGUUUUUGAACUACAAAACCUAAGUUUUAUCUUGCAAACACCCCCAAAAACUUUUAGUAUUCUCAAAAACUCAAUUUUCAAUCAUAAAAUACCUUCUAAUUAGCCUAAAUGUGAAAAUCAAACCUAAUAAAAAAAAUUAUGGGUCUAAUAUACUUUUUCUAGCACGGUUAAAUGACAAGAUCAUUUUAAUCGAACUUCUUUUUUCAAGAUGAAUCUAUUAAUAUUAAAAUCGGAUUUUUUAGAUCAAAAUAUAAUCAGUCAAAUCCUUUUUUUUCUCCAUUUUCUGACCACAUUCUCUCCCUCCUCUCAAUAUUCAAUAACUUAAAAUAUAAUAAAAAUGAAUUUUUAAGAUUGAAUCAUAAAAAUUUAAAGCUAUAGAAUUAAAUAAAUCUGAAAAACAAAAACUUCAAGAACCAUAUUAAAUUUUUCUGCAACUUCUAAAAGGAUUGCAUUAUAGGAGAAUAGUUUAAUGCAUGAUAACUUGAGUCUUGCUACACAAUAAAAUUUGUUACAGUAAGAAUAACAAAUGUUUUAAUUUAGAAUAUAACUAGUUAGGUGCUCACACUACAUCGCGGGUUCACAUUUUAUUUUCAUAAAAAAUAUCAUAAAAAUUUAUAAUACAAAUAAUAAUAUUUUUUCAAUAUUAAUAAUCAUAUUUUUUCAAAUUUAUUAAUAAUAUUUAUAACACAAAUAAUAAUUUUUUUAUUAUAAUUGUAUUAAUUAUAAUAAAAAUAAAAUAUUUAUAACAUAAAUGAUAAUAUUUUUAAUAGUAAUACUAUUAAUUAUAAUAAAAAUAAUAAUAUUUAUAGCACAAAUGACACUAUUUUUAAUAUUAAUACUUUAAAUUAUAAAAAAUAUAUAUAUUUAAAAUACAAAUAAUUAUAUUUAGAAACCUAAAACCUAAGAACCUUGGGUUUUGAUAAAGGAUCCAAUAGAAUUAGGUUCUGACGCAAGACCCUUUAAGCUUGGGUCUUGAUACGGGACUCAAGACAAUCGGGUCCUGACACAGGACCCGAUUCGAAAGGUAAAAAUAUAAAUUAUUGUUCUUAUUAUCAUUAUUAUCAAUAAUAAAUUUGACAUAAAAUAUUAUUACCACCAAAGAAAAACUAUAUAGUUGAUUUGAAGGAUAAAAUUAAUAUUAAUAAUAAUAAUAAUAAUAAUAAUUAUUAUUAUUAUUAUUAUUAUUAUUAUUAUUAUUAUUAUAUGUGCUAUAGAUAUUAUUAUUUUUAUUAUAAUUGAAGGUAUUAAUAUUAAAAAUAAUAUUAUUUGUGUUAUAAGUAUUAAUAUUUCUAUUAUAGUUCAAAGUAUUAUUAUUUAUGGUAAAAAUAUUAUUAUUUUUAUUAUCAUUGAAGGUAUUAAUAUUAAAAACAGUAUUAUUUAUGGUAUAAAUAUUAUUAUUUAACUUGUCUGCCUAAAUGUUUAUAUUUUUGAGUCUUUAAAAAACAAUUGUGGUUUUUCUUCGAUAGUAAUAAUAGUUUUUUUUAAUUUAUUGAUGAUGAUGAUGAUGAUAAUUUUUAAUUUUACCUUUCAAAAUAAAAUUUAUGGUUGUUUUUCAAUAUUACUAAUAUUUGUUUUUCAAAUUUAUUUAUUAUUUUAUUAAUAAUAUUAAUUAUAAUUAAAAUAAUAAUAUUUAUAAGACAAAUAAUAAUAUUUUUAUUAUAAUAAAAAUAAUAAUAUUUAUAACACAAAUGAUAAUAUUUGUAAAUUCACAAAACAAUAUUGAUUUUUUUUUAAUCUCUAGGGUUAUAAUAACAAUAUCUAUCCGGUGUUGUUUAUUGAAAUAUUUUUCAGUUAUUUUGGAUGAGUAUAAAAUCAAGUCAUAGUUUUUGAACUACAAAACCUAAGUUUUAUCUUGCCCCAAAAACUUUUAGUAUUCUCAAAAACUCAAUUUUCAAUCAUAAAACACAUUCUAAUUAGUCUGAAAGGUGAAAAUCAAACUUAAUAAAAAAAAUUAUAAGUCUAAUAUACUUUUUUUAGCAUGGUUAAAUGACAAGAUUAUUUUCAUCGAACUUCUAUUUUCAAGACGAAUAUUAAUAUUAAAAUCAGUUUUUUUAGAAGGGAAUAUGAUUAGUCAAAUCCUUUUUUUUUCUUCAUUUUCUGACCACAUUCUCUCUCUCCUCUCAAUAUUCAAUAACUAAAAAUAUAAUAAAAAUAAAGUUUUAAGAUUGAAUCAUAAAAAUUUAUAGGAUUAAAUAAAUCUGAAAAACAAAAACUUCAAGGACCAUAUUAAAUUUUUCUGCAUCUUCUUAAAGGAUUGCAUUAUAGGAGAAAAGUUUAAUGCAUGAUAACUUGAGUCUUGCUACACAAUAAAAUUUGUUACAGUAAGAAUAACAAAUGUUUUAAUUUAGAAUAUAAAUAGUGGGUUCACUUUUUUAUAUAUAUAUAAAACAUAUCAUACAAAUAAUAAUAUUUUUUCAAUAUUAAUAAUAAUAUUUUUUCAAUAUUAAUAAUAAUAUUUUUUCAAAUUUAGUAAUUAUUUUAUUAAUAAUAUUUAUAACACAAUUGAUAAUAUUUUUAAUAUUACUACUAUUAAUUAUAAUAAAAAUAAUUAUAUUUAUAGCACAAAUGACACUAUUUUUAAUAUUAAUACUUUAAAUUAUAAUAAAAAUAAUUAUAUUUAAAAUACAAAUAAUUAUAUUUAGAAACCUAAAACCCAAGAACCUUGGGUCUUGAUGAAGGACCCAAUAGAAUUGGGUUCUGACGCAAGACCCUUUAAGCUUGGGUCCUGAUACUAGACUUAAGACAAUCGGGUCCUGACGCAGGAACCAAUUCAAAAACGGAUAAUUCCAACUCUGGCGUUGGUAACUAUUACGUAGCUAUAAAAUAAAUUUAGAUCAAUAUUUUUUUAUUCCUAACUUUAAAGCUAUUGAAUAAAAAAAUAAACUAAAUUCAUCUUAUUACGCAUUCACAUAUUUUUUAUUUCUUAUGUAGUUAAAUAAAAAAACAAAAAAAACAAUUAAAUCAGUGUUUUUAUUCAUGACUCUAGCGUCAGUGAAUAAACAAAAAAAAUAUUAUUUUUUCAUACAUGCACAUAUUUUUUUUUGCUAAAUAAAAUAAAAUAUAACGAAUAAAAAUAAUAUAAAUUUAAACCAGUAUUUUAUUCCCGACUCUGGCGUUGGUAAAUAAAUCAGUAAAUUUAUAUUAUUUUUAUUCAUGAAUACACAUAUUUUUUUAUUUUUUUAUUUUUUAUUUUUUUGGGGCUGGGCCCAGCUCAGCCCACAUGGGCUGGGCUAGCCCAGCCGGCCCAGCCCGGUCACUGGCCCAAGCCAGUGACCCGGCUGGGUCACAGCACGCAUGAACUAGUUUCAUGCGUGCAUGGCGCUGCGCGAAGGUAAUUAAUUACCUUCGCACACUGCUAAAUGCACUGAACUUUCGAAAGUUAAAAAACGAAGAAAACAGAGGAAGCUUACCUUGUUGCAGGUUGCUUCGCCGGAGUGUCAGCGUGUCGGGCGACGAUCAGUGGUGGCGUCCGUCAACAGUAAGCUAUAAUUCCUCCUUCGACCUCUGCCUUACUGCCCUCUGUUUCCUCUGCCCUCGUCUGAAAAAUUAUUCAUGUGCUCUGUUUUUCAAAUUCUCUCUACUCUCUCUCGGUUUGUUUCUGUUUUCGUUGUUUUAAGGCCGGUAUUGGUGAGGGAAAGGUUCACUUCUGGUAUGGGGUUCUAAAAAAAACUUAAAAAUUCGGCUGGUAUCUUUGUGUUUCUCUCUUGGGGUUUCGUUCGUCCCUCUCUCUCUCUAGCCAACCCCUGUUCUUCGGUGCUCCUCGGUUUAUAUAGAGCUCGGGCGGUAGGCUGAGGGUCGACCACCAUUAAGGCGCCCCUAACUGAAGCCAACGGACGACGAUUACUGCUGCAACGUUCUCCCUCCUUUACUGUAGAAAACGGUCACUGGCUUAAAGGAGAAGAAGAUGAACAGCGUCUUCAAAACGACGCCGUUUGGGAUAUGAGAUGGCCAUUUGCGUUUUGACCCGUGAAGUUUCGCAACUUUUAUAAUUAAGCCCCUGGUUUAAACUGUAAUUUCUCCUGCAUUUCGGCGCCUUUUACAAGUUAGUCCUUGGACUUUAAUCUGUUGCAAUCGUGCCCUAAUUAACCCCAAACUUUGCUAUUUCUUCAAUUAAGUCCCUAAGUUCAUUAAUUUAAUUCAAUCCAAGUCCAAUUAAGUCUCAAAACUUAUCAAUUAUCCAAUUAAGCCCCUGAUUGGAUUAAUUAAAUUAAUUCCAAGAUUAAAUAAGUCUCAAAACGUAUCAAUUUUCCAAUUAAACCCUUGAUUGGAUGAAUUAAAUUAAUUUCAAGCUUACUUAAGUCUCAAAACUUAUCAAUUCUUCAAUUAAAUCCUUGAUUGGAUUUAAUUAAAUUAAUUCCAAGUUUAAUUAAGUCUUAAAACUUAUCAAUUCUCUAAUUAAACCCUUGAUUUGAUUAAUUAAACAAGUAAAAAAUUUAAUUUAAAUCUUUAAACUUCCAAUCAUGUUACCCUUAACCCAAAUUUUAAUUCAUUCUUCAUUUAUUUCAUUUUUAUUAUUUAUUUUUCAUCAUCAUUAUUAUAUUUUUUUUCAUUAUUUUUCUUUUUAUCAUUUUCCAGUAAAUAAAAUAAUAAUAAUAAUUAAAAUAAAAUGGUCAAAAAUUGGGUUAUGACAACAUCUAUGGAAAUUCAAUCAUUUAAAAAAAUUCGGCAGCACCUCCCCUGUACUGAAGACUACCCACAAUUUAUAAACCUGCAAUCUUUACAAUAACCACAAUCCAAUUGACUCCAGCAACAUAAUAUAUACAACCUAACAUCUAUGAAAAUUCAAUCAUUUAAAAAAAUUCGACAGCACCUCCUAUAUAUUAGAGACUAUCUACAGUUUUCAUACCUACAAAUAUUAAUAAUUACACAAAUAUUGCAAAAUCAACUCUAUACAACCUAACAUAUAUAUACAACCUAACAUCUAUAGAAAUUCAACAUCUAUAUUUUUUCAACUAACAUCAAUAGAAAUUCAUAAAUAACAAUUAAAAUUAAUCAAAAUAAUAAACAACAUAACAAACAAUAAUAUCCUAAAAUUAAGAUAAACUAAUUAAACUUAAUUCUAUAUUUCAAUUAACAUUUUAAAUAUAAAUUCAACAACAAUAAUUAUUGCAAAACAAACAAUAAUAUCCUAAAAUUAAGAUAAACUAAUUAAAUUUAAUUCUAUAUUUCAAUUAAUAUUUUAAACAUAAAUUCAAUAACAACAAUUAUUGCAAAACAAACAAUAAUAUCCUAAAAUUAAGAUAAACUAAUUAAAUUUAAUUCUAUAUUUCAAUUAACAUUUUAAACAUAAAUUCUUAAAAUCUAUUGUUUUUUUUCAAUAUUAAUAAUAUUUUUUUUUCAAAUUUAUUUAUUAUUUUAUUAAUAAUAUUAAUUAUAAUUAAAAUAAUAAUAUUUAUAAGACAAAUAAUAAUAUUUUUAUUAUAAUAAAAAUAAUAAUAUUUAUAACACAAAUUAUAAUAUUUUUAAUAUUAAUACCUACAAUAAUAAUAAAAUAAUAAUAUUUAUAAGACAAAUUAUAUUAUUUUUCAUAUUAAUACUUUUAAUUAUAAUAAAAAUAAUAAUAUUUAAAAUACAAAUAAUUAUAUUUAGAAAGCUAAGACCCAAGAAGGAUCCAAUAGAAUUGGGUCCUGACGCAAGACCUAUUAAGUUUGGGUCCUGACGCCGGACCUAAGACAAUCGGGUUCUGAUGCUGGAUUCAAGAGAAUUUGGUCCUGACGCAUGACCCAUUACCCUUAGGUCCUAACACAGGACCCAAGCGAAUUGGGUCCUGACGCAGGACCCAUUAGAGUUGGGGUCCUAGGGCAGGAUUUAAGAGCAUUGAGUUCUAACGCAAACCAAUUACCAUUGGAUCCUAGUGCACGACCCAAGUGAAUUGUGUCCUGAGACAGGACCUAUUAGACUUGGACCCUUAGGCAGGAGCCAAGAGCAUUGGGUCCUGGCGCAUUUGAAAUAAAAUAUUAUUACCACCAAAGAAAAACCAUAUAGUUGAUUUGAAGGAUAAAAUUAAAAAUUAAAAUAGUAUUAUUUGUGUUAUAAAUAUUAAUAUUUUUAUUAUAGUUCAAAGUAUUAAUAUAAAAAAUAUUAUUAUUUGUGUUACGAAGAUUAUUAUUUUUAUUAUCAUUGAAAGUAUUAAUAUUAAAAAUAAUAUUAUUUGUGGUAUGAAUAUUAUUAUUUGCGGUACAAAUAUUUUUAUUUUUAUUAUAAUUGAAAGUAUUAAUAUUCAAAAUAGUAUUAUUUGUGUUCUAAAUAUUAUUAUUUUUAUUAUAAUUCAAAGUAUUAAUAUAAAAAAUGCUCUUAUUUGGGGUAUAAAUAUUAUUAUUUUUAUUAUAAUUGAACUAAUAAUAUUUAGAAUAUAAAUUAUAAUAUGUUUGAUAUUAAUACUUUCAACUAUAAUAAAAAUAAUAAUAUUUAUACCCCAAAUAAUUAUAUUUAGAAACUUAAGACCCAAUAACCUAGGGUCUUGAUGCAGAACCCAUCAGCCUUGGAUCCCGACGCCGGACCACAGAGCAUUGGUCCUGUUGCAGGAUCUAAGAGUACUGGGUCUGGACGCAGGACCCAAGAGAACUGGUCCUGAUGCAGGACCCAUGAGCCUUAGGUCCCGACGCCGGACCACAGAGCACUGGUCCUGUUGCAGGAUCCAAGAGUACUGGGUCCGGACGCAGGACCCAAGAGAACUGGUCCUGAUGCAGGACCCAUGAGCCUUGGGUCUUGACGGGGACCCAAGAGAAUUGGAUCCUGACGCUGGACCCAUGAGCUUUGGGUCUCACUAGGGUUCGCGCUGACCCAGCACACAAGCAGGGAAGCCCGAGCGUAAGGUGUCCCCAUGUGGCGCGCGGGUCUGGCUCAGCGCCUAGGGCUUGCCAGCCCUAGCGCCAGGUGUUCGCAUCCCAAGGCUUGUAGCCCCACCAAAACUGGAACUGACCAUUUUCUCCCCAACCAUCCCUUCAAUGCCAAAUAUAUCCCAGUGAGAAGACAACCCCACCCCUCCCCUGCUGUCCUUGCAAAUCUAUGUGGCAAGGGCAACUUUGUCAUUACACUACUUUAAUCCACAAUAUUUUGUAUCUAGAUAAAUAGUAACAAGGGCACUGAACCUUUUUAGUAUAACAAGGAGAUUUCAAGAAGUAGUUAAAUUUAGGUUAUAUUAGAUACGACUUUUGUAAAUUGAUUUAAUUUAUUUUUUACUUUUGAUUUUAAUUUAUUUUGAAGUAUGUUAGUUAGAAUAGCUACCAGAUUAGGCAUGUAACUUAUGAAAGGGUUUGCAAGCAGAAAACAAUUAGAAAUCAGAGGAAGAUUUAGAGGAUAUAAUAUUUAGGAUCUCUAGCAAAAGCCAGCAAGGUAUCUGCUCGAAAAAACCAUUCAACAUGAGAUUGCUCUGCUAGGAAAACAUGAUAUCAGUAUCAAACUUUUGAACAAUUAGUACAGCAUCAAGUCUCAGUCAUCUUGAAAUAUAUCGACAUCAGCAUACAAAAACAUUUAUUCUGCAUUGCCAGGCCCAUUUCCAAAACCACAUAAGCAUAUGCAAUAGAAACAGAGCAUCAAACUGACAGAGAAAACAUAGUGAUGCAGCAAAUACCCAAGUCGUAGAGCCAUUAAUUUGAGCAGAAAGGAGAAUGAAAGUCCACACAUUCUUCUUCUUUCCACCCAUUAUCUCGGGUCCACUCUCUAUUAGUGCUUGAAUCCUCAGCUACUUCAGAUACCUGUAAACCAAUUCAAGCAUGGCAUACAUAUUUUAACUUCUAAAUCUUAUUAUUGAGCGAAACAAGAAACAAACACACAAAAAGAGAAGCAACAAAUCAAGACAACUCAGCAGCACCUCUGAUUGAGCUCUUAUUGAACCAUUUGGUGUAGUAGCAAAUUUUGUGAUCAGCUUUGGGCAUUCAAACACCUUCAACUUCUCUAAAUGAGGGAAUAAGAAAUCAUAACAUCCGAGACUGAAGCAUACAAUACUUGAUAAUUGUUCUAGCAACAGCACCUGCAGAUUCGGGAGCUCCAUCACCUUCUCAACAUUGACAGGUAAAGCAUUCUCUUCCUGUCCAAAUACUCCCAAUAAUUGAGAAGCUUCUCUUACUUUCAGUAUUUGGAGAUUUGGGAGACCUGAAGCCAUGCCUACUGGGAAGAGACAUUUCAACUUGUUGCAUUUUCUGACAUCAAUUUCACAUAAAUUGGGGAAGCAUAAAGAUUGAAGAUGAUCUCCUGGCACUAUCUGAUCCUUUCCAUCAUCAUUAUCCCUAGCAAUGAUUUGCUCUAAUUCCUCACAACUUUCUAUGUUUAGAAAAUUCAGUUGAACUAGACUAGCAAUCAUGCUGUCUGAGAAUACAUGUGUUAGUCUCUUACACUCAUACACCACCAAAGUAGUCAAAUUGCUCAGCACGAGACCCUUCCACAAACACCUCAUGUCAGGCACAAGCAGGGAGCCCAAGCGCAAUGUUUUCAAACUUGUUAACUCCUACAUCAAAAGACAACAAUGGCACUAAUUUGUUAGAUAUAAUUCCUAGUAUGUUUUGGUAAAUAGAUGAAUCAGUUAUCAACAAAAGGAUACAAGUAGACAUGGCAAAAGGGCAUUGGAAUAUGAAAUCAUAAGUUGCAAGACUGAAAUAGACAACUCAAUAUUAGCAAAUGGAGGUUUAUCGUCCUAUCCAAAUACUUUCAUUAAUUGGGGGAAGAGCCUCAAUUUCACUCAAACUGGGAAAGCAUAAAUCAAGGUAGGAUUUCAUUACAAUAAUUAAUUUCUUACUUCUUAAGCCCUGCGUCAAGAGACAGGGAAUGAUACAGUUAGACAACUCCUUUUAAAUUUAGUGGAUGGCUAAAGGAUUUAUCUCCACUUAUAAAUUACUUCAGUUUUAGAAAUUUGGAGGAAGAAACACAGUGUAUUGAAGUUGACAAUUUAAAAUAAAAAGCAAAAAAAUUAUUGGAGAAAUAUAAAGGACGCACUUGAAGCUUUGCCAACAAAUUACCCAAUUCUUCAUGGCCAUCAAUGAUUAGACAUUGCAAAGAAGGCAAUUGGGCAGCAAAAUUCUUAGGGCCAAAAAAGCUGAAAUUUGAUCUGGAAGAAAGAGACAAUUUUCUUAGUCGAGGGAACUUGAUGAUGCCAUCUGUGGUGAGUGCAUCUCCUUCUCCACUGUAAAAUAUUUGCUUUAAAUUAUGAGCAUAAAAAAUCCCCAUCUCUUCCAGGUUCAGAAGACUCGGAGACACAGAGACAGGGAAGACAUAUUCCAGUUUACCACACUCUUCUAUGAAGAUAGUUUUUAAUCUUGGGAAGCGAAGAGACUCUGAAAUUAUUUCCCUUUCAUCAUCCUUUUCUCUGAUAAUAUGCUUCAAUUCACCGCAAUAUCAUAUGUCAAGGGUUGCUAGCUUUGGCAGACUUUGAGCCAGGGAUGGUGUGAAGAUAAAUGUCAGUUUGUCGAGAGAAUUCAAAUUCAGAUGAACAAGAUUUUGGAGGCUGACAUGCCUAGUAGCCCCUUCCAUAUACAUCUGAGCUCAGGUAAGUCGAUCAGCAGUAACGUUGUUAAAGAUGACAGUAGCGACAGCUCCUUCUCCUCAUUGCUUUCUUCAUCCACCUCACCCAAUUCAAAUACCUCUUCCAAUGAUUUACAGCUCUCAAUAUCCACACUACUUAGAUUUUUCAAAGCUUGCAGCAAUUUUGCUGGAAAAGGAGUGCGAACAUCCCCACAAUCGUUCACUUCUACAAAUCUUAAUCUUUGUAAGAAGCCCUUUUGCUGUAUAAAUAUUAUAUUUUUUAAACCCUUCACUCUCAUAAAAACAAUUUAUAUGAUGCAUAAAUAGGAAAAAAAUUUUAUAAAGUACGUACUUGUAGCUGUGCCAACCAAUUACCCAAUUCUUUGCGGCCAUGAAUGGUUAGUUUUUGCAAAGAAGGCAAUUGGACAGCAAAAUUCCGUGGACCUAAAAAGCUGUAAUUUGAUCCGAGCCGAAGAGACAAUUCUUUUAGUUGAGGGAACUUGAUGAUGUCAUCUCUGGUAAGUGCAUCUCCUUCUCCACCGUAAAAUAUUUGCUUUAAAUUGUCAGCAUAAUAAAUCGUCAUCUGUUCCAGGUUCGGAAGACUUGGAGACACAGAGACUGGGAAGACAUAUUCCAGUUUACCACAUCCUGAUACAAGGAGAGUUUUUAAUUUUGGGAAGCCUGGAGACUCUGGAAUUAUCUCCCUUUCACCAUCCUGUUCUCUGAUAAUAUGCUUCAAUUCACCGCAUUUUUCUAUCUCAAGUGUUUCUAGCUGUGGUAGACUUUGAGCGAGGGACGGUGUGAAGAUAAAUGUCAGUUUGUCGAGAGACCAAACCUUCAGAUGAGCAAGACUUUGGAGGCUGACAUGUCUGGUGGCCCCCUUCCAUAUGCAUUUGAGCUCAGGUAACCCUUGCAGCUCUAACAUUGUUAAAGAUGAUAGCAGCGGCAUCUCUUUCUCCUCAUUGCUUUCUUCAUCAACCUCACCCAAUUCAAAUACCUCUUCCAAUGAUUUGCAGCUGUCAAUAAUCACCUUCUUUAGAUGUUUCAAAGCUUGCCGCAAUUUUGCUGGAAACAGAGUGCAAAUAUCCCCACAACGCUGCACUUGUACGAAUUCUAAUCUCUGUAAGAAGCCCUUUUGGAGCUCAUGGCCAUGGUUGGUCAUGUGAUCAGAGUGCAAUUCUAUAUUUUUUAAACCCUCUAAACUCGUAAAAAUAAUUUGGGACACCGUAGGAAACAACAGCUCAAAUGUCAUCACAUUUAAGGAUGUGGCGCUUGUACCAGCCAAAUUUAAUCUUGUCGAGGUUGGGUAUCCUCCUGCAUCAAACCGAUUCCCUAAUACUAUAUCAUAUUUGUGCAAGCUAGGAAAAACAAAAUCUCUGGGAAUGCAUUCCACCUUCGGUAUCCUUAAUGAUAAUACAGCUAACUGAGACAACGAAUUUAGUUCUUUUAGGCUUGCAUUCAUUCCUCCUGUGCUGUCACAUCCAACAACAUCCCAUUCCUCAAAGCUGCCAUCCCCGAUCAACAAUUCUUCUAACUUCUUCAACCUUCCAAUCAAAUUCACAGGAAUCCUACUGAGCCUUUCACAACCUGUCACAUCCAACAACCUUAACUCCUUGAGCUCUCCUAUUUCAUCAGGUAAUUCUUCAAUGGAUAAGCACCACAUAAGACCAAGAAUCUUAAGUCUCUGCAGCUUUCUCAACCAAAUGAGGUCCUUGCAUCCACACAUGAUCAACACCAAAGAUUGAAGUUUCGUUGAUAGUUCAAGUGAUUGCAAUGACAAACGCCCUCCGUUCAGAGACAAAACUUCAAUUUCUCUUAUCCCUUCAAAAAACCUCUGAGGAACAUUCAAACCAUAAUCCACUUCUAAUAAUAGAACUUUGAGCUUUGGACAUACCAAUCCUUCAGGAAGUUCUGCUAGUUUAUUGCCCAUUAACGAAAUUGUUGUACAACCUUCAAAGCUUGUAUUGCUCAUUGGCCACUUCUGCAACCCAAUGCCAGCCUUUACCAUGAAUCCAUAUUCUUCUGAUGAUGCUAUCUGAAUAGCAAAGUCAUGCAUUUUCACAUGUUCUCCAGUUUCAGUGCCCAACAGCAUGCAACAAUCUUUGAGGUUUUCGAUUGCCACAAAAACUCGUUUCCUUGCAUCUUCGAUGGGCUCCGCAUCUUGAUGUAACCCAUAGCCAACUGCAUAUCUCAUCAAGUCCUCGAUUGGAAUAUCAUAGUCUUCUGGAAAUAAACAGCAUAGCACGAAACAUGACUUGGUUUCCUCGAACUUCAAAUAAUCAUAGCUCAACUUAAGACAUGUAUAAGCAUUUUUUUGUUUGUCAAUUUGUUCCAUGCGCGGAAAUUGAGAGUCUUUGAGCUGUUUAGACGCUACUUCCCACUGAACUAGAGAUUUAUCUCUUAGAGCCCUUCCCACUGUCACAAGUGCUAUAGGCAAGCCAUGGCAUUCUCUCGCAACCUCCCUUGCCACUGUGUUCAAGGUAGAGUCCCCAUCACGUAAACCUGCAUUGAUUCUGAAUAAAGCCAAUGCUUCAUCUUCAGAUAAGACUCUUAAAAACACUUUUUGCUGGCACUCCAUAGAAGAACAUAUGUGUUCAAAACGUGUUGUUAGAAGAAUUUUACAACCCCUGUGAUCAUCACCAAAUGGGAUCCCUAUCUCUUUCAAGUCAAUAUCUUCCCAAACAUCAUCUAGGAUUAUAAGCAUCUUCUCCACUUCCUUCAGUCUAUGCCUUAAUCGAUCUGCUCUCCCUUCUCUACUCUUUUCUUUAAUAUCCAGACGUAACUUAUCUGCCAUUCGAUCCUGGAUGUCUGUGACAUUUGGAUUCUGGGACACCGUAGCCAUCAAAACUUCAGGAAAAAGCUGCAACUCUUUGGCUCUCCUGCCUACUUCUUUCACCAGGGUGGUUUUACCCACUCCUCCCAUGCCGUACAGUCCGAUCAUAUUGACACUGUCAUCUUUGAGAGCUUUCAUAAUCUGUUCCAAAGCUUCUUUUGAUGAUUCUGAGGGCGUGAAUUCCUUUGAUGGAAGAAAUUCUAUGGGCUGAAGAUGAGCUUUGUGGGACACCGUUUUAAACUUUUCGCUAAUUUCUUCAAGUUUUCUGAGAGUCUCCGACUUAUUGGCCAGUGCCUUGCUUAACUUGAAUUGUCGCAUGCAGUUUGGACACCAAGUAAAGCAUUUGCCAUUUUUUCCUAUUUCAUUUUCCAAAGGCUUCACACCUUCAAUCUCGUUGUUUGCAUCUUCCAGCCACUUUUUGACAACUUUUUCAAUUUCUUCAGCAUUCGUUUUAGCAUCUUCGACAAUAUUUUGCAGACGUUCUUUUGCCGAAUACAGAUUCUCCUUUCGUUCUUUGAAUUCUUCAACAAAAUUGUUGAAACAGAACAUGUAACGGAACUGCCUUCCUACUGGUUCCACCAUGAGUUCUGCUAUCUUAGAUAUAAUGGAUCCACCCACACUUUCGAUAGCCAUUUUCCACCACUCUGAAAAUCAGAGAAAUAAGGAUACAGAACGCGAGAGUGAGUCACUACAAGUAAAAGAGGCACAGAGAAUGAGAAAAGGAAUUUUAUUACCUUAUUUUGGGAAAAUAUGUGCGAAAAGCACUGGUACUGAUUGCUCAAUGAAAUAGCGGGAGGAAGAAAAGGAGAAGGCCUUUAGCUCUGUAUGGAAUCCAGCUUCAAAAGCAACAAGGCAAGGUAUGAUCUAAGACGAAUGAAAGGUUCAGGAUAAUCACUUAGACGCCUCCAUGGGUGAUACCAGCUCGCUUCCAACAACAAAUGUAAUUAAUCUAAGCUAUGAGCGGUCAAUGUUUUUUUUAGUUUAGUUUUGUUUUUUUUCUUAAAAAACAGAUCAACAAGGGAAAAAACUUGCAAAGAAGUACAAUUACUGGAACGAACUCAACAAAGGAUCAAACUCAAGCAAUUAAAAGUAAUUGUCUCAUCUCUGUGUCACACACUCAAAGAAUUUCAUUACCUUAUUUUGGGAAAAUAUGUGCGAAAAGCACUGGUACUGAUUGCUCAAAGAAAUAGAGAAGGCCUUUAGCUCUGUAUGGAAUCCAGCUUCAAAAGCGACAAGGCAAGGUAUAAGCAUUUUGAUGACAUAAUUAAGAUAACAUGCGUAGUAAUAUAAAGAAAAUGACAAACAAAUAAAAAAAAAUAAUGUGUACAAGCAAGAAACGAAUGAAAGGUUCAGGAUAAUCACUUAGACGCCAUGGAUGAUACCAGCUCGCUUCCAGUAACACAUAUAUUUAACCUAAGCUAUGAUCGGUCAAAAAAAUAUUUAGGUUUCUUUUUUUUAUAUAUAAAAAAAUACAGAUCAACAAGGGGAAAAAAAAAAGAAAAGACUUGCAAAGAAGUAGAAUUACUGGAAUGAACUCAACGAAGGAUCAAACUCAAGCAAUUAAAAGUAAUUGUCUCAUCUCUGUGUCACACACUAAAGGAAGGAGAGAAAAGAAGGGGAUGGGAUCACGGCAAGAAAGAAGGAGAAAGAAAGGAAUGAGACAAAGAAGGAAGAAAGUAAGGUCACGUAGGGGCCAGUCUUGUAGAAAGUUUGAGAAUUAGAAUGAAAAAGAGGAUAAUAAAGUAGUUCACUUGUCAGAAUCAAAACACAUAAACAUAGGACAAAAACAGGGAGAGAGGCUAUUUGUGUUUUUUAACUGUGUUAGAGUGUAUUUUAUAAUUAUAUUUAAUUUAUAGAAAUAUUAAAUUAAAAGUUUUUAAUAUUUUUUGAUAUUUUUUAAAAAUAUAAAAUAUUAUUUUAAUAUAUUUUGAAAUAAAAAACAUUUCACAAUACCAAAUUAUAGUAUAAAUUUAAAGAGAAAUUGAUUUUCUUGUUCAUUAAUGUUUACUCAGACUCAUUUUACUAUGAAUAUUAAUUAUGGGUUUAUUGAAAAUUUUCAAUUUGAUACUUAAGUUUUUUUUCUAUAAUUGAGCCCUUUUGAGCUCAUUUGCAUAUUUUUUUAAGGAUAAGGGUUAAAAUGAAAGAUAGAGAACUAAAAUGAAAAACUAGGCUAAAAUAGGUGGCGGCUCUAUAAUUUGUUUGCAAAGUUCAUUUUAGUCCUCUAUCUUUUUAAACUAUUAAGUAACCAGUUCUUAUAAUUUUUAAACAUUGCAUUUUGGUAUAAAAUUUUAUUUUCCUCCUUUUUUUAGUUUUUUUUUUUUAGAGGAAAGAGAGAGGGUCGCCAGAUUUCAUCUUAGAGAGAAAACGUUGUAGUUGGGGAAGAUUUUGGCCCCUAAAACAUAUGUUGCUUGAUUUUUAAUUGAGUCUAAGUGGUUUUUAUAAUUAUAUUUAAUUUAUAAAAAUGUUAAAUUAAUAUAUUUUUAGUGUUUUUUUGUGAUUUAAAAAAAUAUAAAAUUAUUUUAUUAUGUUUUUAAUAAAAAAUAUUUUUAAAAAGCAUGUGUCCCAAUACCGAAUUAUUAUAAUUAUAAUAUAAACUAAAAGACACAGUCUUUUAGUUUGGCCUUUGACUUAUAGCACCGUGAAUUAGAACAACGUUAUCAUGUCCUAACCAUAGUUAUUAAACCCGAUCCAGAGGUUGACCUGGCCAAGGUGCCGGGUCCUGAGUUUCAUGGGUCAACCCGGAAAAAAAAAUAAAAAUUAAAGUUUUAAUAUUUUAUAUGAAAAAUUAAGAAAAAAUACAUGUAAAUAUAUGCUAUACAUAUUGUAAAUAAUGAAAUUUAAAAGAAUAUUUUAAAAAGUUUUUUUAUCUCACAUUAAAAAGAUAUUAUGUUAGGCUUUUAAGUUGAAAUAUUUAAACCAAAAAAGUUUUUUAUCUCACAUUGAAAAAAAUAUAACUUUUUUCUUGGAAACAUAGAGUAUAUAUAUUAUAAUACUAAUGGGUUUUAAAUCCCACAUUGAAAAAACAUAGUUUUUUUCUUGUGAACAUAACAUAGUUUUUUUCUUGUGAACAUAGAAUAUAUAUACUAAUGGGUUUCAAAUCCCACAUUGAAAAAAGAUAACUUUUUUCUUGGGAAUAUAGAGUAUAUUUACUAUAAUACUAAUGGGUUUUAAAUCCCACAUUAAAAAGAUACUAUGUUAUCCUUUUAAGUUGAAGUAUUUAAACUAAAAGGUUUUUUUAUCCCACAUUGAAAAAACAUAACUUUUUUUUUUGAAACAUAAUAUAUACUAAUGGGUUUAAAAUCUCACAUUUGAAAAAAAAACACCGGGUCUCGCCCCGGUUGACCCGCCAGGUCGAUCAAGUUUGGUCAGGUCAUUGCAUCGGCCGGUCUUUUGACAAACAUGGACCGGUUCAGCCCCCAGGUCAACCCGCCAGUCCGUUCAGGUUUAAUAACUAUAGUCCUAACUGACACGAUCAAAGAGUUGAUGUCUUAUCCCAAGUGCAAGAGUGUCAAAGUAAUAAAUAACCCGUCAAGACCGGGGUCGAACCACAAGGAGGUGAAUUAUAUAAAUUAUAAUAAUAAUAAUAAUAAUAAUAAUAAGAACAACAACAACAAUGAUGAUGAUGAUGAACAACAACAGGACUUUGAGAUGUAAGAUAAAUGUGAAGAUUAAAUAAUGAUAAAAACAAAUGUCAAGGUUAGAGGAUCCACUAAUAGUAUUAGAGAUAAGUAAAGUAUAAACUCUUUAUAAAUUAUCAACACGAUCAUAUCAAUCAUCUUAUUUACGUAACACCAUAUUUGUCGCACGUCAGAAAAUUCGUGCGGCAUCGGCUUGCAAUUUUAUCGUUGUUAUGCGUUGAUUUAGGGUCUUAGGAGUCGCCACCUAGUAAUUUAUAGAAGGCUACUAGGAAACCGGAUGAACUGGUCUUGUCAGAGAUUCACGAGUAAGAGACUGGUUGUGGUUAGAGAAGGUAUUAGCACCCCUAACACACCCUACCUGAGGUAAGCUGCUUCGUGGACUUGAUGUGUUAAAGAAGUUUUAAAAAUUCUGUUCUUUCAUUGAAUUUUAGAAAUACGACUUCCAUGUAAGUUCAUAAUUCUUUAUCCGUGAGCAAAUCAAAAUAUUAAAUUCUUCUUUAAUCUUUGCAAUUUUAUCAUAAAUAAAAAAAAAAACAUCCAUAACAAAAAAUAUAAACACACACAUACACCUUCACUGUAUUUUUUCUCUUUUCUUUUCUUUUCUUUUUGUUUUUACAUCCACAAUACAAAAUACAAUUUCAAAAGAACAAACUAAACCAAAAUUACAAUAAUAACCCCAAAACAAUCUGGAAUUUACAGGGAACACCUUCUGCAUCACCAGAACAGUGUCAGGCAGACUUCUGGAGCUGCAAGAACAGUGGUCGCACGUCUCCUCCACUCGCCACCGUGGCUGGUGGCGCGUGGGUUCACGCGCCGCCGCUGACAAUGCCCGAAAAUGGGCGGAUCUGCCCUGCUUUCUUCUUCCCUUCCCUUCUCUGCUGGCUGUGAGAACCACCGUUACCUGCAAAGGGGGAAAAAUAAACACAAUGCAAAGCUUCCGAUCCUCUCCUUUUUUAGAUCUACUAUCUUCUGUCUUCUCUUUCGGGUUUUCUGUUCUUCCCUUCUUCAGGUGGCAGGUCUGCCGGCUUCUUCUCCCCUUCCCCUCUGCAUCAGCGGUGGCUAGUGAGGAUGGAGACUGGCUGCUGUGGUCGGGUCUGUUCGUUGACCCGGAGAGGGAGGCCGAUGGGUCGGCUGAGAGAGGAGAGGAGGUGUUCCCGGGCGUGGAUGCUGCUGGAUGCUCUUCACUCCUGUUGGUGGCAGCAAUGGUUGGCCUUGCUGCUGUUGUCCGGCUGUCACUGGAGGCUGGUUGAUGGAGACCUGUGAGAUGGCCGGGGAGGGAGGCCGAUGGAAGGGAACAGUUGGGAUGGAGAGGGACGGCACUGCUGCUGUUCAGCCGCUGCUGGGGCCGAAUGGAGGAGAGACCUGGCGAUGGAAAUGAGAGAGUGAGGGGAUCCUGUUCUGUCAAAGAGAGGGGCGAGUGAAAGGGAGAUGAGGGAAAUGCAGAGGAGGCUGCUCUGGCUUGGGAAAAGAAGUUGGAAAUGAGGGCUAUCUGUUGAUGACCGGGCUGUGGGAGAAGGAAGAAAAAUGAGUGCUAGUCUUGGGAGAUGUGGAAACGGUGGGUGUUGUCUGUGAAGGGGAGGCUGGUCUGGGUGUGUGGGGGCUGUGGCUGAGGGGAAGGAACGGUGAUCAAGGGGGAGGGGGCUGGACUAUGGCCGGCUGUCACUGGUUGAAGGAAGGCCUGUGGGAAAGCUGGAGAGGCAGAGAGGGAAGAAGAAACCGAAGGGAAAACUUGGGGAAAGGGGAGCAGCGGCUUGUGUGAAGGAAAAUGGAGUGGGCAGCUGUUGUAAAAAUGAAUGGGGUUUUGUGUUGUUGGCUGGCCAAGGAGAAGAAAAUGGGAGGAACGGCGUGGAGAGGAAAACCAAAAACAUGGGGGGCCUGUGUUGUUGGCUAGAAAAUGGGGGAGGGCUGGCGGCUUGGAGAAGAUGAGAUAGGUUUAGGGUUUCUCUUCCCCUCUUCUGAUGUUGUCAAAAUUCUCCCCUGUUUGAGUUGUGGACCAGUAUUUAUAGAUAAAAUGUUGCAUGGAUCUAAAAAUUGAUCCCUCAACUUUUUUUAUUUUUUUUGUAAAUUUGAUUUUUCUUAAUUUUUUUGUAUUUUUUGAAAACGAGCAAUAUCAACGUCGACUCAAUGAAGAAAAUCAAUGAUUUUAAAAAUAACGCGUUGAAAGUUGAACGCGUUCCAAAUGUCUUUGAAAAUUUAAAUUCUUUUGAGACGAUGCUAAAAAAGAUGCAAAUGUAUUAAAAAUGUAUUUUUUGGAUUUUCAAUGUUUUUCGCUAUUUUUGGAUUUUUUCUGAAAAUUUAUCAAAACAUGGGUCAAAAAUUGGGUAGCAACAGAUGCCCCCUCUUUACAAUGCUUACGAAGCAAAACUCCUCAAUGUUUUGCAUAGUAAGCUUUGUAAAGAAAAACUUGUCUUUCUGUCACUCAAUAUCCACUCAUCUAAAGGCCUUGCUCUUUUUUUUUGUUCUCUCUUCCUUCUCUUUUCUUCCUCUUCUUUCUUCCUUUCUUUCUUUCUCUUUUUUUUUUUAUCUUGAGAUCCCAUCUGGCGAUCUCCUUUUCCAAAACCAAAGAAUAUGUGUAGCUCGGUCAACCUGAAAUCCCAUCUGGCGAUUUCCUUUAACCAAAGCUACAUGAGAUCCCAUCUGGCAACCUCAUUAAACCAAAACUAAAAAAAUGUGUGUGUAGUCUUAUUAUGACGGGUGACCUACCCAAAAUGAAAGAUGGUCUCAUUAUGACGGGUGACCUACCCAAAUACAAGAUGGUCUCAUUGUGAUGGGUGACCUACCCAAGUGGAAAAGGGAAAGAGUGGUCUCAUUUUUAUGGGUGACCUACCCAGGGGGAAGAAUGGCCUCAUUAUAAUGGGUGACCUACCCAAGUAAAAAAAUAAUGGAGAAUGAUCUCAUUCUAAUGGGUGACCUACCCAGAAAAAAUGGUAUCAUUGUGAUGGGUGACCUACCCAAGUGGAAAAGGGGAAGAGUGGUCUCAUUCUUAUGGGUGACCUACCCAGGGGGAAGAAUGACCUCAUUAUAAUGGGUGACCUACCUAAGUAAAAAAAUGGAGAAUGGUCUCAUUAUGACGGGUGACCUACCCAAAUACAAGAUGGUCUCAUUGUGAUGGGUGACCUACCCAAGUAGAAAAGGGGAAGAGUGGUCUCAUUCUUAUGGGUGACCUACCCAGGGGAAGAAUGGCCUCAUUAUAAUGGGUGACCUACCCAGAAAAAAAAAUGGAGAAUGGUCUCAUUCUAAUGGGUGACCUACCCAGAUGGAAGAUAGAAAAAAUAUGAAGUGGUCUCAUUGUAAUGGGUGACCUACCCAUAUGGAAGAUGAGAAAAAUGUGAAGUGGUCUCAUUAUUAUGGGUGACCUACCCAGGUGGAAGAUAGAAAAAAUGUGAAGUGGUCGCGUUAUAAUGGGUGACCUACCCAGGUGGAAGAUAGAAAAAAUGUGAAGUGGUCGCGUUAUAAUGGGUGACCUACCCAGGUGGAAGAUAGAAAAAAUGUGAAGUGGUCGCGUUAUAAUGGGUGACCUACCCAGGUGGAAUAUAGAAAAAAUGUGAAGUGGUCGCGUUAUAAUGGGUGACCUACCCAAGUGGAAAGAAUGUGAAGUGUGGUCUCAUUAUAAUGGAUGACCUACCCAGAUGGAAGAUAGAAAAAAUAUGAAGUGGUCGCGUUAUAAUGGGUGACCUACCCAAGUGGAAAGAAUGUGAAGUGUGGUCUCAUUAUAAUGGGUGACCUACCCAGAUGGAAGAUAGAAAAAAUAUGAAGUGGUCGCGUUAUAAUGGGUGACCUAUCCAAAGAAAAAGGAAAGAAUGUGAAAAACGGUCUCAUUAUGAUGGGUGACCUACCUAAAUGGAAAAAUGUGACUUACCUAGCAAAAAGACUUGGCAGGCGAAGUCCUGAUAGGAUAAGGCUGACAAACGGCGCUUCCUAAUUGCAAGGUUUACUUGAAGACUCCUCUUGAUGACGGGGUUAAUCUCCUCGUUUCUUUGAGAUUCUCCUACUGGCAGGGUUCAUCUCAUUCUCUUCUCGUUCCAGGAUCUAAACCGAUUCUUUGUCAUCAUCAACUCAAUGAUUCUUUCUUUGUCCACAACCUUGUUGAACUUCAUUGAGGAUCUUUCUGUAACAAAUCACAAGUAUGUGCAAUGCUUUGAGGUUAGAUGACAUGCAUGCAUCCUUACCUGAUGUGAAAUAUAGGUCCCCCCCUUUGAUGAUCCAUCGUCAUAGGGUGCCUUUGUUUGCUAACCAAAGCCUUCUUUGCUCUUCCCAUGUACUGACUCAUUCGUGUGCUAGCCAUCCACUCAAAUGUAAGUGCAGUGCCCAUCUCGGGCUGUCUACGACGAUUACUACUCUCAGUUGUUCUCAAUGUUGACCAUGCUUCCAAGCGUGGUGUUGCUCGAUUCAUCAUGAAGGAGUUGAACAAAUCAUCCAUCUCCUAGAUUCUCUCAAGAAUUGUCCUUUGAUUGGUUGUGCGUGUUUUGCCACUGCCGGUCAAGAGGUUUUCUAGUGUUUAACCUCAUUUUAGAUGGACUUGCCCCCAGUUGAAAUAACACUCUUCAAGUAUAUAUUAUCACCCGCCUUCUUGGAACUGCUAAGUCAUCCAGACAUGCCUCUCAUACUUUGCAGUAAAAGGCUAAUCAUUGUAAGCUCAAAGUUCUUCUCCAUAGAUUCCUCUCAGCUUGUCAAAUCAGAUCAGGAAAGGAAAUGCGUUGGCAUCAUCAAUGAUGUUCAUCACCCAUAUUCAUGCGGUGAAGUGUACAUUUGAGCUUCAAAGCAGAUGGUCCCACAGUCAGUCUUGGUGGGUGCAUCUUUCCAACAUUCAUUCAAAUGCAACUAUGCGAUAACAUCAUUCAAAAGUCAUAGCCAUGUUGGAGAUGAUAAACCAUGAUGAAGAUAUGAAAAUAUCCUUCAAAUGCAGCGUUGUUCAUCAAUUGCUGUUGAAGUUCACUAGAUCACAAACUGUCUUUGAACAAUAUUGCCCCCAGCAAUGAUUUGAAUGCUUGUUCAUCUGUCUAUAAUCAAGAAGUUUUUUUUUCUUUGUCAUUGCCAGAUGCUAAACAUAACUUCGAUGGACUUUGACGACUCAUCAUCUGAUUUUUUUUUUGCUUUGCCCUCAGCUGAUCUGAAUACUGCUUGUUUUCCUACCUAGGAUCCACUGUAUUGCCCCUAGGUGGUCAACUUUUCAAGGAGUGUCGAGAAAUGUUGAUGUCAUUCUUGUCAAGGAUUUUGCAAAUUCAAUCGAUGUUCUUCUUGUUUGACAAUCUUCCUUGUUCUGGAAUCAAAUCUCAUAUUUCAACGCUCAUGUCUAUUCAAAUCUAAUUGUUGAAAUGAAAUCAGAGAGAUGUCAAUUUUGAAAAGUAUUUUCUGGAAAUCAAGCUUGUUUGGUCAAAGAUCCAACACACGCUAUUCAAUGAAGUCCUUUAAUUGUCUUGUAUUUUGAAGACAGAAAUAACUCGUUGUAAGAUUAAAAUGACUUUUUUCGUGGUUCUUUGUGUCAAUUUUAAUCUUUGAUCUUAGGUAUAUCUUUUGAUGGCCUGCGAUGAGGUGACCUUCUGUGGAUUUCAAGAAACAAAAGGCUCAAGUCAAAACUUGAGGAUUCAUCAAGAAAGAUUGUUUUCUUUUUUAGCACCAAUUUUAUUAGCAUGCAUAAUAACAAGUAGCUUAAUCCAUGAAGUCACGACCCUUAUGGAAAAGCUCUUCAAGUUUUGAGAUCGUCAUUUAUCGGUUCAGAUUGCUUACUUGAUUAAAAAAAGGCUUUUUACAGCACGUAAUGCAUGCUAUGGUUCAUGGCUUAUGAAAGAAAGGAAAUUCACAGGCUCAAAAGGUGUUUGAGGGUUUUAAAGACCUAGGAUCAACAUCAAUUAUUCAUCAACUCCUUUUCUAUUGUUGUCUUUGUAGAGACGACAUAGAACCUUGUUAACCUCAAAGAUCAGACUUCUCUUAACAUAAGUCAUAAUGCAAAUCCACCUUUCCUUGAUGAAUAACCAACCUCAAUCAUCUGAUAACAUCAGAGGUUUUAUAAUGGAUAUCAAAAGUCACGUUUAUAGCUUAGUCUUUCUUCUGCUAUUGACUUUUGUUGUCUUUCCUUGAUGUCUUUCUUCUGCUAUUGACUUUUGUUGUCUUUCCUUGAUUGAAAUUUCUUUUGCCAAGACUUGAUAGACAUUCUCUUUCCUUUAUCUUUGACUUGCCUUUAAGUGAAGGCAAUUUCAACUUCUUUUUUUUUUUUUCAUAGCCUUCCUCAAAAUUUUCUUAUAUGCCCCCAGCCUAUGUGUUUUCUUUUAGCCCUCUCUCAAUCAUUGGACUUUUGUUCUAAGCCUUCCUUUUAUCCAUUAAUGUCUUCAAAAUAUCUCUCAUUGCCCCCAGUGUGGGGUGUGGUCCUAGUCAGGGUUUCUUUUUGAAAGAAAAUAUUUUACAAGGCUAAAAAAUGGGACUGCAAGGGAUAUAAUCUUUAGAAAGUGAAGGGAUAUCAAAGAUGACAUUUUCUCAUUUCAAGCAAGGUCGGUUAGAACCGAUAAAUUUUGACCUCAUCCAGUGUAAUGAUUGGGACUUGUAAGAAUAAUGAUUCACGAGUCCAUAACUAUCGAAUCCACUACAUGUCAUUAUGCAUACUGCUAAAACUUAGCUAUAUGAUGUUUUUUUCAGUUUCAGGAGGUAUGAGUUCAAAAUUGUUUGGUCACCUCAUGUCAUUUUCAAGAAUCAAGUCGUUUCUGCAAUCAAAAUAUUUUUAAUCUUCAGGAUUAAUUAAUCUUAAUCGUAUGUUCGAGCUUGAUCAAAAAUAUUUGUGUCAAAAUAGCCUUUGAAAGAAGCAUCGCUUGAUUUCAAAACAACAAGAAGACAAAGAGAAGACAUGUUUCGUUGAAGGGUGAGAUGUGAUCCCAAAACAAAAUGCAGAAUGCUAAAAUCCCAUAACAAAAAUGAUUGACAAUUUGACCCCUUCUUGGAUCACCUACUCUGGCGAUAUCUGUGUUUCACCGAGUCAAUUUCGAUCACUUGUCAUUCUGAGGAUGUUCUGGUGACAACAUGAUUGAUGACAUCAUCUUUCACAAACUCAGCUCGAUUCUUGAAACUCUUGUGUCUGUUCAACUGAAAUGGUUCACGAACCCUCCAUGAUAUUCACAUCUGGUUUGAAUUAUACCACGGUGGUUGCAUGCAAUUUGUCGAAGUCCGGGGCACUAAGUCUGGAAUCUGGCAGAUGCUAGUCGACAAACUUAAGUGGCAGAGGGAUGUCAAUCUUGGCAAAGACAUUUGAGCCAUUGAUGCUACAAUGAGACCUGGCUAAACCACAUAACUAUGGUUUUCCAUCUUCAGAGUCAUCUCCUUAUUCAACUCCCUUCACAGUUCUGAAAUCCACGGUAGAGCCUUCAAUCUUUCCCAUCUUGAUAGUUAGCUCUAUUCUUUUGGCAAUCCUCACAACAUCAUGUCAAUCUUCCAAUGUUGUUGCGGUUGUAUGAGAAUUGUUGGAACCCUCCACUAGCUAGGUAAUCUUGGCAGCAUACAGAAACAUGCAGUACCACCACUGCCGACGUGUGGAAUCACGCGUUGUCUCAACUGGAAGAGAACUUGAUGAAUCUAAAACUCCUUUGUCUCCUCUUUGAUUCCUCACUGACGGCGCAUCAAACAGACACCUGUAGAGGGAGUUCUGCUCCAUUGAAGUUUCAGUCUUAUUCCCGUUUUUCAGCCCACGUUUGUCUCUUCUCCCUACUUUUGUGUUUUAAUUCCAACACUGGUAGGAGAAAAUUGUAGACGAUCUGAAACUACUGCAUCCCUUCUUGGAUUCCUCACUUACAGAUCCACAAACAAAUCUCUAUAGAGAGAGCUCUGCCACAUAGAAGUUUGAUGUCUGCUUAUGUUUUUCAGACCAGGUAUGGCUUUUCAACCCACUACAGUGUCUUCGUACUGAAACUGGUGGCGUAAAUUUUCAUAUCUUCUGAAACUACUACAUCCCCUGUUCUGCUAGGAAAACAUGAUAUCAGUAUCUAACUUUUGAACAAAGAGUUCAGCAUCAAGUCUCAGUCAUCUUGAGAUUUGAAUGCCCAUAUAUAUUCACAUGCUCAUACAAUAACAUUUUUAAAAAUGCAUUAUGCAUUAGAAACAGAACAUCAAACAAAGAGUUCAGCAUCAAGUAGAACGCAUGAAAGUCCACACAUUAAACCAAAAGAAACACAAAUGGGCAAGCAAACAUACGCCCUUACUUCUGGAGGCUUGUACGAUAAUGACUACACACACAACAUUACAUUACUUCUAACUUCUUCAGCAAACACGUAGAUAGAUAAGUCGCAAUCUUCUAUGGUAAAUAAGACUGUUACAAUGUGAAGCCAAUUUGUAUCCCAUUGCCAAUGAAACAGUUGGAAUUAAUUACUUCCCACCCAUCUAAAACAUACUCGCAGCACCAUCCUUGAAAUCAUGUAACAGCUAACCAACCUUGCCUGAUGCAAACAUGAAGAACAAAGACAAUCCAUGAUUUAAUUCAACCAUUAAAAUUUGAAGGUAAAGGAGAGGAUAAAUAAUCUUCAGCUAUGUCACCUGGUUUGGGCAAGAAAGAAUUAUUAGACUAGCAAUCAUCAUCAUCAUCAUCUUCUUCUUCUUCUUCUUCUAUUUCUUUCCACCCAUUAUUUCUGGUCCACUGUCUAUUAAUGCUUGAAUAUUCAGCUACUUCAGAUACCUGUAAACCAAUUCAAGCAAGGCAUGCUCAUUUUAACUUGUAAAUCUUAUUAUUGAGCCAAACAAGAAACAAACACACUAAAAGAGAGGCAAGAAAUCGAGUCAAAUCAGCAGCACCUCUGAUUGAGCACUCAUUGAACCAUCUGGUGUACUAGCAAAUUUUGUGGUCAGCUUUGGACAUUGAUGGACCGUCAACUCCUCCAAACGAGGGAAUAAGAAAUAAUCACACCAUCCGAAACUAAAACGGACAAUACUUGAUAAUUGUUCUAGCGACAACUCCUUUAGAUUAGGAAGCACUAUCUCCUUCUCAACGUUGAUAGGUGAAGCUUGACCAUCCUGCCCAGGAGACUCUGGAAUUAUUUCCCUUUCACCAUCCUCUUCUCUGAUAAUAUGCUUCAAUUGACCGCAUUUACGUAUGUAAAGUAUUUCUAGCUGUGGUAGACUUCGAGCGAGGGACGGUGUGAAGAUAAAUGUCAGUUUGUCGAGAGAAUACAAAUCCAGAAUAUUUAGACUUUGGAGGCUGACAUGUCCGGUGGGCCAUAUGCAUUUGAGGUCAGGUAAAAUUUGCAGCUCUAACUCUGUUAAAGAUGACAGCAGCGGCAUCUCCUUCUCCUCAGUGCUUCCUUCAUCAGGCUCACCUAAUUCAAAUACCUCUUCCAGUGAUUUGCAGCACUCAAUUUUCACAGUGCUUAGAUUUUUCAGGGCUCGCAGCAAUUUUGCUGGAAACGGAGCACGAACAUCCCCACAAUCCCUCACUCGUACAAAUUCUAAUCUUUGUACGGAGCCGUUUUGCUGUUCAUGGGCGGCCAUCUGAUCAGAGAACAAUAUUAUAUUUUUUCACUCUCAUAAAAACAAUUUAUACGAUGUAUAAAUAGGAGAAAAAAAUAGAAAAAAGAGGAUUAAAUACUUUUUAGAGAUUACAUAUUAUUGUUUUAGUUUUGUUCUUAAUUAGAGAUAAGUUGAAUAAUAAUUAGAUGUUUGUGAAAAAAAGGUUAAUACAACUCCUAAUAAUUAGUUUCAUGUAAAAAAUAAAAAUAAAAAUAGUAACUAAGAUUUUUAUUUUAGUUAUAAAGUUAAUAAAUUUUUAAAGAUAUUUUAAUUGACUUCAAAAUUUUCAACACAAAAUUUAUGCUCUUAUAUAUUAAUGAUUUUUUUUGUGAAGUUAUUUGAUGUAAUUUGGUCUAAUUUUUAUCCAGAUAGAUUACCUCCAAAGUACCCUUCCAUAUACACCUCGUGUCAGGCACGGAGUCCAAGCUUAAUGUUUUCAAAUUUGUGAACCCCUGCAUCAAAAGAAAUUUUGUGCACUUUGGAAUUGUCCAUAUAAAACUUCAGCCAAAAACUUAUCAACAAAAGGAUAGAAGUAGACAUGGCAAUACGGCAUGGGAAUAUGAAAUCAUAAGUUUUUGAAGAUAUUUUAAUUGAAUUAAAUAUUUGAACACAAAAUAAGCUAAUAUGAUUUCUAUGAUUAAUUGUUGGCAUUAAGUUUCUUAUAUUUAUAUAUGCUUAGAUAAAACAAAAAAAUAAGCAGUGACGAAGAAAGAAUAAAUCUAACAGAUAAUAUAAAAGCUGCAGGACUGAAACGAACAACUCAAUAUUAGCAGAUGGAGGUUUAUCUUCCUCUUCAAAUACUUCCAUUAAUUGGGGGAAGAGCCUCAAUUUCACUCAAACUUGGAAAGCGUAAAGAUUGAAAAAUCUGGAUAUCAUUUCAUUACAAUAAUUAAUUUCUUACUUCUUAAGCCCUCCAUCAAGAGACAGGGAAUGAUACAGUUAGACAACUCCUUUUCAAUUUAAUGGAUGGCUAAAGGAUUCAUCUCCACUUAUCAAUUACUUCAGUUUCAGAAAUUUAAAGGAAGAAAUCAACAUGUAUUGAAGUUGACAAUUUAAAUUAAAAAGGAAAAAAAAAAAUUGGAGGAAUAUAAAGGACGUACCUGGAGCUGUGCAAAGAAAUUUUCCAAUUCUUUGUGGCCAUAGAUGGUUAGACUUUUCAAAGAAGGCAAUUGUGCAGCAAAAUUCUUUGGACCAAAAAAGCUGUAAUUUGAUCUGGAAGAAAGAUCCAAUUCACUUAGUUGAGGGAACUUGAUGAUGCCAUCUGUGGUGAGUGUAUCUCCUUCUCCACUAUAAAACAUUUGCUUUAAAUUGUCAGCAUCAGAAAUCGUCAUCUUUUCCAGGUUUAGAAGGCUUGGAUACACAGAGACAGGGAGGACAUAUUCCAGUUUACCACACUCUUUUAUGAUAAUUGUUUUUAAUAUUGGAAAGUAAGGAGACUCUUGAAUUAUCUCCCUUUCAUCAUCCUUUUCUCUGAUAAUAUGCUUCAAUUCACCGCAUUUACUUAUGCGAAGGCUUUCUAGCUUUGACAGACUGUAAGCAAGGGACGGUGUGAAGAUAAAUGUCAGUUUGUCGAGAUAAUUCAAAUCCAGAUGAGCAAGACUUUGGAAGCUGACAUUUCUGGUGGGCCCCUUCCAUAUGCAUUUGAGCUCAGGUAACCGGUACAGAUUUAACUCUGUUAAAGAUGGCAGAAGCGGCAGCUCCUUCUCCUCACUGCUUCCUUCAUCAGGCAGCUCACCUAAUUCAAAUACCUCUUCCAAUGAUUUGCAGUCCUUAAUUUCCACCUUCCUUAGAUUUUUCAGAUCUGGCAGCAAUUUUGCUGGAAACGGAGCCCCACAAUCGACCACGUGUACAGAUUCUAAUCUUUGUAAGAAGCCGUUUUGCUGUCCAUGGGCGGCCAUCUUAUCAGAGAACAAUAUUAUAUUUUUUCACUCUUGUAAAAACAAUUUAUAUGAUGUAUAAAUAGGAGAAAAACAUAGAAAAAACAGGAUUAAAUACUUCUUAGAGAUUACAUAUUAUUGUUUCAGUUUUUUUUUCUUAAUUAGAGAUAAGUUGAAUAAUAAUUAGAUUUUGGAGAAAAAAAGGUUAAUAACUCCUAAUAAUUAGUUUCAUGUAAAAAAUAAAAAUAAAAAUUGUAACCAAUAUUUUUAUUUUAGUUAUAAAGUUAAUAAAAUUUUAAAGAUAUUUUAAUUGAAUUAAAUAUUUGAACACAAAAUAAGCUAAUAUGAUUUCUAUGAUUAAUUGUUGGUAUUAAGUUUCUUAUAUUUAUAUAUGUUUAGAUAAAACAAAAAAAUAAGCAGUGACGAAGAAAGAAUAAAUCUAACAGAUAAUAUAAAUUACGUAAACCAUGAGGCAGUUAAAUCUAACAGAUAAUAUAUUUCAAAUGAGGCAGUUAAAUCUAACAGAUAAUAUGUUCUUCCAUAUGAUUAAUUUUUAAUAAGGCAGACAACAAUGAGGCAGUUAAGUUUCUUAUAUUUAUAUAUGUUUACAUAAAAAAAUAAAAAUAAGCAUUUAUCAAUUACUUUACUUUUAGAAAUUGGGAGGAAGAAAGAACAAAUUAUCGCAAUUGACAAUUUAAAUUAAGUGGAGAAAUAUAAAUUACGUACUUGUAGCUGUGCCAACCAAUUACCCACUUCUUCGUGGCCUUCAAUGGUUAAUUCUUGCAAAGGCAAUUGAGCAUCAAAAUUCCUUGGACCUAAAAAGCUGUAAUUUGAUCUGAGCACAAGAGACAAUUUUCUUAGUUGAGGGAACUUGAUGAUGCCAUCUCUGUUAUGAGACAAAGAGACUGGGAAGACAUAUUCCAGUUUACCACAGUAAGCUACAUGGAGAGUUUCUAAUUCUGGGAAGCAAGGAGACUGUGGAAUUAUUUCCCUUUCACCAUCCUCUUCUCUGAUAAUAUGCUUCAAUUCACGGCAAGCAAUUAUGGAAAGUCUAUCUAGCUUUGGCAGACUGUAAGCAAGGGACGGUGUGAAGAUAAAUGUCAGUUUGUCGAGAGCAUACAACUCCAGAUUAAUAAGACUUUGGAGGUUGACAUGUCUGGUGGGCCCCUUCCAUAUGCAUUUUAGCUCAGGUAAUAUUUUCAGCUUUAACUCUGUUAAAGAUGACAGCAGCGGCAUCUCCUUCUCCUCACUGCUUCCUUCAUCAGCCUCACCCAAUUCAAAUACCUCUUUCAAUGAUUUACAGCUGUCAACAAUCACCUCCUUUAGAUUUUUAAAACCUUGCCGCAAUCUUGCUGGAAACAGAGCGAAAACACCCCCACAAUCCCUCACUUUUACAGAUUCUAAUUUAUGUAAAAACAAUUGCUCAAAUGUCUUCGCAUUUAAGGAUGUACCAACCAAAACUAAGGAGGUUGGGUAUCGAUCCCAAAACCUUAUUUCAUAUUCAUUAGCAUACCCUAAUAUUAUAUGAUAUUUGCGCAAGCUGACUGGAAAAACAAAAUCUCUGGGAAUGCAUUCAACCUUCGGUAUCCUCAAUGAUAAUACGGCUAACUGAGACAACGAAUUUAGUUCUUUUAGGCUUGCAUUCAUUCCUCCUGUGCUGUCACAUCCAACAACAUCCCAUCCAUCAAAUCUGCAACCCCCGAUCAACAGCUCUUCUAACUUCUUCAACCUUCCAAUCAAAUUCACAGGGAUCCUUCUUAGCCUGUAACAACCUGUCACAUCCAACAACCUUAACUCCUUGAGCUCUCCUAUUUCAUCAGGUAAUUCUUCAAUGGAUGAGCACCACAUAAGACCAAGUAUCUUAAGUCUCUGCAGCUUUCUCAACCAAAUGAGGUCCUUGCAAUUACACGAGAUCAACACCAACGAUUGAAGUUUCGUUGAGAGUUCAAGUGAUUGCAAUGACAAACACCCUCCCUUCAGAGACAAAACUUUAAUUUCUUUCAUCCCUUCAAAGAACCUCUGAGGAACAUUCAAACGAUUAUCCAGUUCUAAUAAUAGAACUUUGAGCUGUGGACAUACCAAUCCUUCAGGAAGUUCUGCUAGUUGAUUGCCCAUUAACGAAAUUGUUGUACAACCUUCAAAGCUUGUAUCGCUCAUUGGCCACUUCUCUAACCGUAAGCCAGCCUUUACCAUGAAUCCAUAUUCUUCUGAUGCUAUGUGAAUAGCAACAUCACGAACAAGGUCAUGCAUUUUCACAUGUUCUUCAGUUUCAGAGCCCAACACCAUGCAACAAUCUUUGAGGUUUUCGAUUGCCACAGAAACACGUUUCCUUGCAUCUUCAAUGGGCUCCGUGUCGUGAUGUAACCCAUAGUCAACUGCAUAUCUCGUCAAGUCCUGGAUUGGAAUGUCAUAGUCUUCUGGAAAUAAACAGCAUAGCACGAAACAUGACUUGGUUUCCUUGAGCUGCAAAUAAUCAUAGCUCAACUUAAGACAUGUAUAAGCAUUAUUUUUUUCGUCAAUUUGUUCCAUGCAAGCAAAUUUAGAUUCUUUGAGCUGUCUACACGCGAAUUCCCACUGAAGUGCAGAUUGAUCUCUUAGAGCCCUUCCCACUGUCACAAGUGCUAUGGGCAAGCCUUGACAUUCUCUCGCAACCUCCCUUGCCACUGUGUUCAAGGUAGGGUGCCCAUCAAGUAAAUCUGCAUUGAUUCUGAAUAAAUCCCAUGCUUCUUUUUCAGGUAAUUCUCUUAAGAACACCUUUUGCUGGCAUUUCAUAGAAGAACAUACAUUUGUACGACGUGUUGUUAGAAGUAUUUUACAACCCCUGUGAUCAUCACCAAAUGGGAUCCCUAUCUCUUUCAAGUCAAUAUCUUUCCAAACAUCAUCUAGGAUAAUAAGCAUCUUCUCCACUUGCUUCAGUCUCUUCCGUAAUAGAUCUGCUCUCCCUGGAUUAGUAUUCUUUUCUUUAAUAUUCAUCAGUUCUAACUUAUCUGCCAUUAGGUGCUGAAUGUCUUUGACAAUUGGAUUCUGCGACACCGUAGCAAUCAAAACUUCAUCAAAAAGCUGCGACUCUCUGGCUAUCGUGCCUACUUCUUUCACCAGGGUGGUUUUGCCCACCCCUCCCAUGCCGUACAGUCCGAUCAUAUUGACAUUGUCAUCUUUGAGAGCUUCCAUAAUCUGUUUGAAAGCUUCUUCUGACGAUUUUGAGGGCGUGAAUUCCUUUGAUGGAAGAAAUUCUAUGGGCUCAGGAUGAGCUCUGUGGGACACUUUUGUAGACUUUUUUUCUAAAAGUUCUCUGAAAGUCUCCGACUUCUUGGCCAGUGCCUUGCUUAACUUGAAUUGUCGCAUGCAGUUUGGACACCAAGUGAAGCAUUUGCCAUUUUUUCCUAUUUCAUUUUCCAAGGGUUUCGCAUCUUCAAUUUCGUUGUUUGCAUCUCCCAGCCACUUUUUGACAUCUUCGUAAAUUUCUUCAGCAUUCCUGUCAGCAGCUUUGACAUCGUCUUGCAGACGUUCUUUUUCCGAAACCAGCUGCUCCUUCUUUUGUUUGAAUUCCUUAACAAAAUCGUUGAAACAGAACAUGUAACGCAACUGCCUUCCUACUGGUUCCACCAUGAGUUCUGCAAUCUUAGAUAUAAUGGAUCCACCCACACUUUCGAUAGCCAUUUUCCACCGACCUGAAAAUCAGAGAAAUAAGGAUACACAGAACGUGAGAGUGAGUCACUACAAGUAAAACAGGCGCAGAGAGAAUGGGAAUAGGAAUUUCAUUACCUUAACUUGAGAAAAUAUGUGCGAAAAGCACUGGUACUGAUUGCUCAAUGAAAUGGAGAAGGCCUUUAGCUCUGUAUGGAAUCCAGCUUCAAAAGCAACAAGGCAAGGUAUAAGGAUUCUACUGACACUUGUGAGUUAAAGCAGUAAUUCCCAUUAAAAAUGCAUUUUGAUGACAUAAUUAAGAUCAUAUAGAGACAGUGACAAACAAAAAAGAAAGAAACGAGUGAAAGGUCCAGGAUAAUCACUCAGCCCGCUUCCAACCACAAAUAUAAUUAACUAAUCUAAGCUAUGAUCGGUCAAAGUCAAAGUUUUUUUUAGUUUUAUUCUUUUUUUAAAUAAAAAAAACAGGAAAAGACUUGCAAAGAAAUAGAAUUACUGGAAUGAACACAAUAAAGGAUGAAGCUCAAGCAAUUAAAAAUAAAUUAUCUAUGAUGAUCAUCUGUUUGUCACACUCAAUGAAGUAACAUGAUUGACCUUUUACAAUAUUAAAUAAAUAAAUAAAUAAAAGCUAAAAGAACUAGGUUUUUGGUGGCAUCCAGAUUGCGGUUACUUUCUUCAUCCUUCUUUUGUGGUUUUAUUUUAUUUCAGUCCUUCAAAUCUUUUUCUUUUGCUAUUUCAUCGAGUUGCUUUGCUCGAGUUGAUGUGCUUGCCCUAGAAUAUGCAUCAUGCUAGGGAUUACAAUUACAUUACAUAAGAAAUUAUACUUACAGAUUAUAAUUAAAAAUUUCAGUUUUUUUUUAAAAACAAAUUUAUGAGAGAGUACCAAUUUACAACGUGAGUAAAUGAAAGGAGAAUUUUAAAUCUUUUUGUGACAUGGUGACCAGCUGAUCCAAGUAACCAAUAGAUUAUCACCACUUGUUCAACCUAUCUGCACAUUAAGAUAGGGGUAGUCAUAACUAUGACUAGGAGUGAGCAAAAAAACCGAAAAACCGAUUUAACCAAGAAAACCAGAAAAAAAUUAACCGAAAAAACCGAACCGGUAAAAAAAACCGAUUGAACUGGUUAAAAUAUUUAGGAAAAUGUCCGGUUCGGCUUCCGGUUUUGGUGUGCCUAAACCAGCCAACCCGAACCGAACCGAACCGGUUCGGUUUAGGAAUGAAAAAAAAAUAUAAACCAAGCGGGUCGCCUCCUCCCAUUACUUUCCCUUUCAACAACCCUAGCAGACCAUUUAUUUGUUUUCCCUUUCACACAGCCGCCCCCUCCCCUCCAACCCUUUCAAUCUUCAUUCACACUUCACAGACAUAGCCGCCCCCUUCAAUCACCCCUACUCCCAUUAACAGCCGCUCCCUCCCAUUAACAGCCGCCUCCUCUUCACCAGUCAACGAGCUUAGGCUAUUCUCGGACAACCAUUCUUCGAAUCUCGAAAGAAACCGCCGUGCGUGUGAGGUGGCGAAACUGUUACCGCUUCUAGAUCUUCUUCAAUCUAUUGCUUCUAUCAAAGCCGAUUACAUCGCUCAGGUAAUCUUGUCAUGUAAUUACAUAUUUAAUUAAUUAUUGCUUGUUGAUUUUAUAUUGUUUCUAUUUUUCAAUUUUGAUGUGUUAAUUAUUUUGAACAAUGUAAAAAUAAAGGUGGACGAAAGAACACAAUUUGGAAAGGAAAUUGGAAUCGUUGUCCCUGUCUCAGAUUCUCAAAAGACAAUCAAUCGCAAACAGUAUGUCCUCCAUUUUUUUUUCUUCUUUUCUUUCUCACUGGUAGAUUGGAAUUUGAAACUGCCAACAAAAGUUUGUAUUCGAAGUUAGCUUUUUGAAAAUUGACCCUAUUAUAUAUUUACUGUGGCUUAAGCUUUGAGAUAUUGCAUGAUUAUGAAUUAGUUUAUAUGAGUUGAAACUUGAAACAUAGUCUGACAAGGAUGGAUUAACCAAUUGCUGGGAAAAUAGUUUUCAAAUCUCUUUGAAAAAUGUCUGAUGCUGCGACAUAAGUCACAUAACAGACUCGAUUUGAAGGGAAUCUUUGAGAUAUUGCAUGAUUAUGAAUUGGUUUAUAGAAAUUUGCUGGAUUGAUUUUUUUUCUUUUUCUUUUUUAAAAGGGAAUUUAAUUAAAAUACAUUUUUUUCAUCUACUUUUUAAGUUUAAAUCUUAGAAUUAAUAUCCAAAAAAUUUCACCUUUGCUCGCUAAAAUAUAAUUUUAAUCUUAACAAAAAACUAUAUCUUAAAAUUGACUGUGUUGCUAUCCAACUAAGAAAUUGACUCAAGUGGCUUAGUGAUAUAUAGUGGGGACAUUCUAUUUUAGACAUGCAGCUUGUUGCCUUGUUCUACUUUAUUCUAUAAUCUAUUUGAGAAAAAUGUUGUUUAUUUCUUCUAGACACUUUAGUCUUCCAAAUUUCAGUUGUAACCAGCAAGCAUAGAGGUUAUGAUAGAGGUUAUGUAUUGGGAAGAUGAACUAUCUUUUUAUUUGCAGUGGCUGUGAAACUCUCUUUCUGUGUGUCUCUGUCUCGUGUGCGUGUGUAUAUAUGCACCUGUAAUUCUUGCUUCUCUCCAGUUCCUUUCGUUUGCAAGUUACUGUUGCUAGAGUAGGUGCAACUAGUUCUUUCCUCUACAAGUCGGGUUUGGUAAGAUUGAUUAUAAAGAAAAAGGUAUUGGUAAUGCACAAUUUGAUUUUAGUGUUGAUGUUAAGUGUGGCUUGUUUUAUGAUGGAUAAUUAUGUUGACAAUAUUGGGCUUCAUGAAUGAUGAUGCCAGUUUAUUUAUGGUCUUAAUAAGCUAUAUUACUGCUGGAUUUGUGCUCUUUAUUUAUAUGGCAAAUUCUUAUUCAAAUCUUUGAUAUUUAUCGCUAAUGAAACUUCAAUCUUGCCUCAAGUUGUCGACCAAGUCAAAAUUCCUCCUACAAGUAUACAAUAUUGUUUUAUUAUAAUGUUAUAAUGUUAUCGCUAAUGAAACUUCAAUCUUGCCUCAGGUGCUCUUUAUUAUUAUAUUGAUAUUAAAAAUAAUUUUAAAAAAUAAAAAAAAUAUUAUUUUAAAAUAUUUUUAAAAUAAAAAAUAUUUUAAAAAACAACUAUUUAUUCAAGGACUUAAAAUAAAAACCUUAAAAUCACGGCAUGAUAAAAGGAGGAAGAAAGGAAUGGGACAAAGAAGGAAGAAAAUAAGGUCAUGUAGGGGGCCAGUCUUGUAUAAAAUAGAAGAUGAAAAUUAGUAUGAAAAAGAGGCUAUUUGUUUUUUUACUGUGUCAGAGUGGUUUUUAUAAUUAUAUUCAAUUUAUUAAAAUAUUAAAUUAAUAUAUUUUUAAAUGUUUCUUGUUAUUAUAUAUAUAUAUAUAUAUAUAUAUAUAUAUAUAUAUAUAUAUAUAUAUUCUAAUAUGUUUUUAAAUAAAAAAUUAUUUUAAAAAAAUAUGUGUCACAAUACUAAAUUAUAGUAUAAAUUAAAAUAUAAAAGAGUUCUCUGUUUAUUACUAUUUACCGAGACUUAUUUUAUUGUAGAUAUUAAUAGUGAAUUUUUUUAAAAUUUUUAAUUUGGUAUUUGAAUUAUUUUUUUUUCAUAAUUAAAUAUCUUUAUACCCAAAUUAAAACUCAAUUGCAUUUUGUUUUUUAAGAAUAAGAGUUGAAUUCAAAGAUAAAUGCCUGUAAUGAAAAACUCUGUAAAAAUAUGCGGCAACAUUGUAAUUGUUUGCAAAGUUCAUUUUAGUCCCUUAUCUUUUUGAGCUACUAAGUAACAUGUCCCUAUAAUUUCUCAACAUUACAUUUUAUCCAGAAUCUCGGAUUAUGCUUUAGGGACUAAACUGAAUUUUUUAUAAAUUGAGAGACCAAACUGAAAUUUUAUCAUCUUCAAUCUCAAAUCUAAAAUUUUCACAUAUCACCUACUGAUAUAACAAGAUUUCUAACUCAAAUUCACCAUUUAAACAAACCAUAACUCAAAAUCAUCAUUUUUACUUAAAAUCUUUCAAAAUCAACUAAAUAACUCAUUAUUCAUAACAAUCAAUACAUAAUAUUCAAAUCAAUUCAUCAAUCAAACCCAAAACACAAUAUUCAAAACCCUCAUAUUCAACAAAACAAAAAAUUAAAGCUAAGAAAAACACAUUUAUACACAUCAAAGCGUAAAUAUUCUUAUCUUUUAAUUUAUUUUCUCUAACUAUCUUAUCCUUUCUUUAUCUUUUCCUCUUUUCUCUUUUUCUUCUUUCACUCUCACGGUUUUUUCUCUAAGAAUUCAAAUCUCUCUUUUUUUUUUCUAUUUAUAUUUAUGAACUAUUUGUUCAAUUACUACAAUACCGUUCAUUUAUUUAUACCUACUUCUAAGCCUCCAUGAGUUUUGUUGUCUUUUUCUAUUCUCUUUUAUUUCCAAAUCAUCACAAUAAAAUUGUUUUCUUUUUAUUUAGCUGCUAAUUUAUGCAGCUUUAGCUCUUGUUCUCUUUUCAUGUUUAGCAACUCUGAUCUGUUCCUUUCUUUACAUGAUAUAAGAGCAGGUUCUUACCUCUUGAAGUCUGCUGGAUAAACCUAUCAGCAGAAGAUCCUGAAGCGAUCCCAAAUCACAGCUUCAAUCCCCACCACAACCAAUCUCCUCUUUCCCGUAGUCUGUCGUCCUCAAUUGGGAAAUGAUCUCAAAAAAUCACUUGAUGCAACAAGUAGGGUAGAGAAAUAUAAGACUUCAACAAAGAAUCAAACUCAAAAAAAUAAAAGUAAUUGUCUAUGAGAAGCAUUUCUGUGUCACACACUCAAGUAAUAUGAUUGACCUAUUACAUUAUACAAAAUAAUAAUAAUAAUAAUAAUAAUAAUAAUAAUAAUAAUAAUAAUAAUAAUAAAAGAACUAGGUUUUUGAUGGCAUCCAGAGUGCUGUUACUUUCAAACAAAGAGGCUUGUGCAUGCGGUGUUACGCUGUUCAUGUAGGCUAAGAUAUCCUAUGAAUACAAUUGUAAAAUCAUACAAUUGUAUUCUUUUUAUUAAGCUGCUAAUUUAUGCAGCUUUAGCUCAUGUUCUCUCUUCUUGUCUUGCUAUUCUGAUUUUAUCUUUUUCUUUGCAUGAUAUAAGAGCAGGUUCUUACCUCUUGAAGUCUGCUUCAAUCCCCGUAGUCUUCCGUCCUCAAUUGGGAAAUGAUCCAAAAUCAACAACCGGUUCGGAGAUAGUUUGAGUGAAAAGAAACGGCUGAAAGAUGAAAUGUGAAGGUUAUGGUGAGAAAUUAGAUGACAAACUUACUUUGUCCUCCUAAUGCUUUUGCUUUCAUUGUUUCGAAAGUAAAAGAGACAUAAACAUAAUCAGUGUGUUUUCUGUUUAGCAAUAGCUAGAAAGGUAUCUGCUUAAAAAGACCAUUGAACAAGGGAUGACCCAUUCAGCAAGGGAUUCUGCUAGGAAAACAUGAAAUUGUUCUUCUAUUUGAUAUUUGUUUCAAUCUUCUAAACAAAUAGUACAGCAUCAAGUCUCAGUCACCUAUUCACGAAAUUGUUGUAUUUCUAAUGACUAUGCUAAUAAAAAAGUUGAGCCAGCAUGACACAUGAAAUUCAAAAAUAACAAAAUAACAUGAGAAAAUAAAUAUUUAUAUUAUAAUUAUGCAUCUUAAAAAAUCACUUGAUGCAACAAAUAGGAUAGACUUCUAGGAAAUUCUUUCACUGUAAAAUGGCUGAAGGUUCUUUUAUGAACAUUUAUAUUAAAAAAUUGGGUCAAUUGAUCUUUGUUAUUUAACAUGAAUAAAGUGUUGAUUUAGUCUUGUAGUUAUUAUAUCAAAGUUUUUAUUAGUUUAUGCACGAUCCCUUAUUUUACUUGCUUUAUUUUUUUUAAACCCAGCUUAGUUUCAAUCUCGAAUCUAUCGGGUCCCACUACCAGAUAUUCGCUAAAUACCAACGGAUUUACCGACGAAAUAUUUUCUGUCGGUAUUUUGAGGUCGAAAUUACCGACGGCCACUUUCCGUCCGUAAUUCAGUCGGUAAAAACCGACAAAAACUUUUCCGUCCGUAAUUCAGUCGGUAAAUACCGAUGGAAAUUUUCCGUCGGCAUUUACCGACUGAAUUACGGACGGAAAAGUUUCUGAAUUUUAAAAAAGGCGGGUCGCUGACGUGGAGGUUUUGGCGGGUUUUUUUUUUCCGACGGAAUCACCAACGGAUUCAAAAACGACUGCCCGUACAGUGCCCGUAAAGUGAUGUGACCGGUUCACCGUUUAAAUUUCCGACGGACUCACCGAGGGAUUUGAAAUGGCAGAUCCGUACGGUGACAUGUCUAUGUUUCCGUCAGAAUCACCGGCAUAAUAACCGACGGAGUGUCCGUCGGUAAAACCGUCGGAAAAAGUUAAUAUAUGACAGCUCUGCCGACCCUCUCAUCCCCUAUUUCUCCUUCUUCUUCCUCAUCCCAACUCUCCCCAUCUGCAAACAACCAGCCCCCCCUCCCCCCUAAAAAAAAAAAAUCUUCCUCAUAUCAGCACAAGAAGUUAUAUUUCUUGAAGUUUUGUGGUCACGGCAUCCGCGCGUGUUCUGAUUUAUCGACGGAUUUUAUCAAUUUUUGUAAGUAAUUAUAUCUUUUUAAAUUUUAACAUUUAAUUAAAUGUCAAUUUUAUUGUUUUUUUAGUAUAUGUAUUUUGUUAGUAGAUGUACAUGUUUUAUUGUUAUUUCUCAAACAAACUUGUAGUAUAUGAAUGUAUAAUUUUGUACCUGUUAUGGUUUGUUUUAGAUUUUGUAAGAUUGUAUUUGUUUGUAAAUUAUUAUUUCUUUAUGGAAUUACCGAAUUACAUGUGCUAUUUUGAAAUAAUUAAUAGCUUGGUUAAUGGGCCCGUUUAAAGUUUUAUCAAUGGUAUUGUGGAGUGGUAAUUUCUGUAAAUUUAUAUUUUUUAAUUCGUAUGGACGUUGAUAAAUGAUAAUGAAUAUUUAAUAUUUAUGAGAAGUUGUGAUUGGUUUGUUGGAUAAUCUCGAGUUAAAGUAAUAUUUGUACAAGUUUAUUUACCUAACUUAGUUAAUUAAUACAUGAUGUCAUCAUAAUUUUAUAGAGGUUCGAUAUAAGUCAUGGAUGAUCGUUCAUGGAUGUAUCGAGAUUCACCCCAAGGAUUGCGGAGGAUGGAUUAUUGUAAUGGGGUUCAGGGUUUUAUUAAUUUCGUAACAUUUAUUCCCAGAAAUUUUACUGGAGGCGGUAUUAGGUGUCCAUGCAGGAAGUGUGAAAAUAAAAAGUAUUUGCAUCCAGAUGUUGUAAUGAUACAUCUUCUACACAAAGGGUUUAUGGAGAAUUACCAGUGUUGGUAUGCACAUGGAGAAGUAUUUGUUAGCGAGAGUGAGAGGAGAAUGGAAGAAACGGUGGUUGGGUCUACUUCUAGUGCUAGUAACGUGCAUGAAACGGCAAAUGACAACACUAAUCCUUACAGAAAUAUGGUUAUGGAUGCAAUGAGAAUGAAUCAAGGUAAUGGCAGUCAAUGUCCAAUCGUAGAAGAAGAACCUAAUGUAGAUGCAGCUAGGUUUUUUGAUUUGUUGAAAGAUUCUGACGAACCAUUAUGGGAUGGCUGCACGAACCACAGUAAAUUAUCGGCUGUAGCACAGGUGUUCACCAUCAAGUCAGAUCACGGGUUGAGUGAGGCCGGGUAUGACAAGAUUAUUGAAUGGGCAAGAAGCAUUUUACCUGAAGGGAACAGGCUGAAAGAGAACUUAUAUGCUGCGAAGUUCAUGAUGAAACCCCUCGGUUUAGGAUACCAGAAAAUUGACAUGUGCCCUAACUUCUGCAUGUUAUACUACCUUGAAAAUGCUGAGAUGACUGAGUGCAUGACAUGCGGGCAUUCCCGUUACAAACCUAGAACUGGCAGGGGAAAGACUCUAGUGGCAUAUAAAAAACUUAGAUACUUCCCGAUCACACCUAGACUGCAGAGGUUAUUCAUGUCACCAAGGACUGCUGAGCACAUGACAUGGCACCAAGCACACCAUGCGGUUGAUGGAGUGAUGGUUCAUCCUUCUGACGGCGAAGCGUGGAAACGCUUUAACAGUGUUCAUCCUCACUUUUCAGCUGAAUCAAGGAAUGUGCGUCUUGGGUUGUGUACAGACGGAUUCAACCCAUUUGGGUCAUUUGCUGCUCCUUAUUCUUGUUGGCCGGUCAUACUCACAGUUUAUAACUUGCCACCGGGAAUGUGUAUGAGGCCGGAGUUCAUGUUUUUAUCUAUUGUCAUACCCGGUCCAAGAAGCCCGGGGCGGAAUAUAGAUGUUUGUCUUCGACCGUUGAUUGAUGAGUUGACGCAGUUGUGGUCCUCCGGAGCUCUGACUUAUGAUAUAUCGAGGAAACAAAAUUUCCUUAUGAGGGCGGCAUUGAUGUGGACUAUCAAUGAUUUUCCAGCUUAUGGAAUGCUUUCUGGUUGGAGCACGCAUGGGAAACUCGCAUGUCCAUAUUGCAUGGAAAACAACAAGGCAUUCACGCUAGCAAAUGGAGGUAAAGCUUCUUUUUUUGACUGUCACCGUCGCUUCUUGCCACUUCAUCACAGGUACAGAAAGAACAGAAAAGAUUUCUUUGCUGGCAGAGUUGAAAAAGAUGUUGCAUCCCCGCGUCUUUCUGGUGAAGAAUUGCAUGAUGUUGUCUUAGAGUACGGUGACAUUGUGUUUGGCCUUCAAUCAGGAAAGCAAAAGUUUCCUGGUUUUGGUUUGACCCAUAAUUGGGUAAAGCGAAGUAUCUUUUUUGAGCUUCCUUAUUGGAAGACCAAUCUGCUUCGCCAUAACCUUGACGUCAUGCACAUCGAAAAGAACAUGUUUGAGAAUAUUUUCAACACCGUCAUGGAUGUGAAGGGGAAGACAAAGGACAACAUCAAGGCUAGAUUGGAUAUAGCUUUAUACUGUAACCGAAAAAAUAUGGAGUUGGUUUAUGAUGAGUCACGGGUCGCAAAACCAAAAGCAAGCUUCGUGUUAGAGAAAAACGCACAACUGCUAGUCUACAAAUGGCUUAAGAGUCUGCGUUUUCCGGAUGGACAUGCAUCGAACAUAUCAAGGUUGGUUAAUAUAGAGGACUGCAGAUUGUAUGGAAUGAAGAGUCAUGACUGCCACGUGUUUAUGCAAACACUCAUCACAUUAGCUUUUCGUGAUUUGUUGCCAAAGGGAAUAUGGGAUGCACUCACGGAGAUCAGUCAUUUCUUCAGAGAUAUAUGCUCCAGCAAGUUGAAUGUUGAUCACAUUGAGAGGCUUCAAACGAAUAUCGUCGAGACACUGUGCAAACUUGAGAUGAUAUUCCCUCCAUCAUUUUUUGACUCAAUGGAGCAUCUCCAUAUACAUCUAUCGUUCGAGGCAAAAGCUGGAGGACCGGUCCAAUAUAGAUGGAUGUACCCAUUCGAACGGUUAGAUAUUACAGUUGCAAUGUAAUUCAUAUAUAAAAGUAUUUUAUAUGUUUUUCUUAAUUGAAAAUACUUGAUUAAUAUUUCAGGUGCGGUCGCAGCUAGUUCGUCUAGCAGCGAGGAUGAUAUUUCCUUAGGUGCCUCUCAAGAAGAGGCACCUACACCACCUGCGCCGUCAACCGAUGCUGCCUCUUCCAGCGGUACUUCACAGCGCAGAGGCGGCGUGCCUUCGCAGCGGAAUCAAUUUACCCGCAAGUACGAGGCACAGUGGAAGGACGACCUUUCAAUGUAAGUUUGUUAAGGUUUUAGUUUUUUUUAAAAAAAAUUACAACAUAAUUUAUCAAGUAAUCACUAUUGAAUUUAUUUCAUUUAUUUUCAGGUUCACAAACAUUGAAGUCGCCCGAGUAAUAUCAUCGGCGUUUAAAUCGUCGAUGGAGAUUCCAUUGUUUCAAUGGAGUCAGAUAUCCAAGCAUCCUGAAUGGAUGCCUCAAAUCAAUGCAUGGUUUAACAGGUUUGAGGUUGGUAUUAAUUUAUAAUUUUCAGCUUAUUAAUAUAAUUGUAUUAUUUUUAUUUAAACUUGUUUAUUUAUACAAAGCACAAAUUCUGCUAGGACAUUGAGCAUAACGCUGUUGUGAGGAGGGUGUGGGAAAAUCACGCGGCAACUAGGUAAGAUCGAAAACAAUACAUGAUUUUUUUUAGACAAAAAUUUAUGUUUCGAAAUGUAAUUUUUGGUUGCGUGAAGCAGGUUGCGUGAUUUUUGGUAUGAAGCACAGAAAAAGGCAAAAAAAACCGCGAGGGAUAGGGGUUUCCAAGGCUGGAACGAUGUUGCGGUUUGGAGGGAUUUCAAACUGAUAUACAUCCCGGAAGAUAUAUGGCCGCACUAUCUUGAGCACGUGACGUCUGAGCAGUUCACACGACGCUCACAGUCCGGUGCUGGCAACCGGAAUCGACCAAUUCAUGGCGGGGUGAGAACUCACACUGGCAGCUCCGUUCCGUUUGCUGCACAUGCGAAACGGAUGGUAAGAUUAAUUUAAAUGAAAUAUAUCGUUAAAUUCAGUUGUUGUUAAUAUAUCUUUUUUCAUUAUAGGCUGCGUCUCUUGGACGUGAGCCGAGCCCGAUGGAGCUGUUUGUGGAGACGCACGUGCGGAGUCAAGACCGCCAGAAGGGGGCGCAACAGUUCGUUGAUAACCGUGCUCAGCAUUUCGUGGUAUGUUUGUUCAACCAUUUUAUUUUCUAAGUUAUUAUGUUUAUUGUAUUGAAUAUGAUGAUUACUUUUUUUAUUUUAUUUUCAGGAGACCUAUAAUAAUCGGUUGAGGGAGAGAUACGGGGACGAUACUUUGACCCAUCCGGAAUUCGAUCCGGAUUUGUGGAUGGAGGUUGGCUCGUCAGGUGGACCAGAUAAAAAUCGGGUUUACAGCCUCUCCAACACUACGGCCGACAACUUGCGGUCGACCCAUAGUGUUUCAACCGUUGGGAACUCCCAAUCAAUAGCGAGCUCCCAAUCUAAGGAGUUUGUGGCUUUGCAGCAACUCAACGAGAAAUACGACAACCUACAAGCGGAGUACGCACAACUCAAAGCAUCUCAUGCACAACAAAGAGCGGAGUCUGAGCAAUUCAAAGCGUCUCAAGCACAACAAAAAGCGGAGUAUGAAGCGGCUCAUGAACAGCAAAAAGCGGCUUAUGACCAGCUUUACGAAAUGAUUAUGAAAUUGUCAAAUAGCGGAACAUGUGCGCCUAAUCCUUUUUGGCCGUAUAACCACCAGCCUCCGCCCGGAUCUCCUCCUCCUCCUCAAGCUCCAUCAUCUUUAUAUUAAUUUGUAAUCAACAUUAUUUACCUUUAAAACUUCAUUUAUUAUUUUUCUUGAAACAUAUUCAGUUUGUAAUGAAUAUUAUUUAACUUUUUUUUUUUAUGUUUAAUAAAAAUUUUAUUUGCAUAAUUGGUUUGUAUAACAAUUAAUUUAUAUAGUUUUAUAUUAUAUAUCCUAAAUAAUUUUUUAAAAACAAAUUAAGAAAAAAACUAUUACCAAGGAUUUUACCGACGGAUGAAUUCGGUCGGUAUUUUAAACUUUCACCGACAAACUUACCGACGGAAUUAAUCCGUCGCCAUUUAACAGUAGCUUCCACCAGUACCGACGAAUUUACAGACGAAAAUAUUCCGUCGGUAUUUCAUACAUUCACCGACCGAUAUCACGACGGAUAUUUUCCGUCGGUAAUUUCAAUUUCACCGACGGAAUGAAAAUCCGUCGGUAUAUUUCAAGCGGGAAUCUUUUUUUUUUGGCGCGCACGUUCCGUCUGUAAAACCGUCGGUAAAUGAUUUUUUUGUUUUUCCGACUGAUAUACCGACGGAAUGAGGAAUCACCGACGAAGGUAAAGCCGACAGACGUAUUCCGUCGGUAAAAAAAUCACCGACGAACUUCUAAUCACACACCGACGGAAUUUUGCCGCCGGUAAAACUGUGAAAUCUUGUAGUGUCCUGGAUCGACCCAUAAAGCCAAACCAAGUUUUAAAACUAUGUUAUCUUAGCAAAUUUAAUUAUCCCAAUUCUUAAUUUUCAAUUGAAAAUGCUAAAGAAUUCCCCACUGGGAGCAAAUAAUAAUAUGUUAAGCAUGACAAAUUUUAUUUAAAUUAAAAAGCCAAAAAUGAACGCAUCUACUCUUGCAAGAAUGGACUCAAAAGUUCAGCUAGUCCGCAUAAUUAAAUAGUACUGUUACUGUAAACUACUAGGAAAUUCAUGGGUAGAGCCAAAAUGUUAACAAUAGCAUUGAUUCGGUCAGGGGCUCUGGUGUAUAGAGAGGACCUUGCCGUUAGAAACUAUGGAGCCCACUAUUUAUUAAUCCAUUUUUAUUUACUACUUAUUACUAUUUAAUUAUUUUUAUUUACUAUAUUUUUGUUUGUGAUACCCAGUACCAAUAAAAUUUGAGAUUCCUUCAAUUUUUUAGGUGCAUGCAAGUCUAAUGGCUUCAUGUACAAAAGCAAUUCAAGGGUGUGUAUCCUUAACUAUCAGGCUAACCUUUACAGGCUUCGCUAGCAAUCAAUAAUUAUUUUUUAAUGAAUUCAUUUUUUAUUUAAAAUAAGGAAAAGGACAUUGGUGAAUAAAUUGUUUCCUUCCUAUUAUAAUUGUUAGACCUUACCAAAGGGCUAAUUUAGAAAAAGAUUAUAACUUAUAGGUCACCAGGGCCGAGGUCAACUUGUAAUUAAGUAGAUCAAUUUAAAUUAAUUGUUUUUAUUUAAAUGAUAAUGUUUUGUUUUUUUUUCUUGAUAUUAAUUUGGCUAAUUUUUAUCAAAUCAAAUCACUAAAAACUUAACCAAAACAAAUUUCAUCAAAUCAAUAAUAUUUUAUGUAGUUGAAUUAAAAAUUCAAUUCAAUUCUAGCUCUGAACCCUGAUUAAGCAUACAGGUUUAAAAAAUAUGCAUCUCACUUGCAGCUGUGGUUUGCUGCGGGCAUUUGGUAAUUGGGAGAGGCUUUAGUUUCGUACCUGUUGAUCUGCUUCAUAUACACUUGGACCUCUUAUUUUAUUUUAUAUUGGUUGGAUCCAAACUUAAUCCAAUACAAAAUUAACAUAUUUAUUAUUUAUUUAAGAUAAAUGAUAUGGCUUUAACAUAUUAGCGUACACUUAAUAUGAUUAAAUUUAAUUUAAUUAAUUAACAUCUCACCGCAAUAAAUUUUACCAUUUGCAACCAUAAACAGUUGACACCUUAUUAAUAUAAUCAAUAUAGUAGAAAAAUUAUAGUGAUUUAAAACAAUUCAUUAAAAUGUUCGUAAAUGUUUUUAUUUUGUGAUGAUGGUUUUCGUGUUAUCUUUUAUGUAUUGUCGCUACCGUACAUGAACGCCUGACAUGAGGGUUAUUUGAAAUCAUUAUCUAGUUAUUUAGUUUAAGGUCACUAAGAAACCUAUAAAUACUAGUCUUGUUAGAGAUUUGAGAGUAAAUGACUAGUUGUGGCUAAAGAAUGUAUUAACACUCUUAAUGCACCCUACCCAAGUAAAUUAUUUUGUGAUUAAACGUGGUUUAGAGAUUUUGAUGAUUUUCUGAUAUAUCUAUAGUUUAGGAUUGGGAUUUGCUUGUAUGAAUAAAUUUGGUGUUUAAUAAUUUAUCAUGGAUUCUUGUACCCAGAUAAAUUCUUAGAAAAAAAAGUUCUUCAUAAUUUGUGUACGUAUUACGGUAAAAAUUACUCUCAAUAAAAAUUCAUGAAUAUUUAGAAUAACUUUGAGGAUUUUCUAAUCAACUUCAAUAUUUCAAAUAUCAGCCUCACUUAUAGGUAUAGCGUUUUAUAUCAAUAUUUUUAACCAUUAAUUCUCAUUAAUUAAAAAAUAGUGGUUUAUUAAAAUAUUGACCAAAUUCACAUGAAUUUAAUAAACUAGUUAUUAAAUUUUAAAAUGCAUAUACAUAUAUAAUAUUUUAAUUUGUUUUUAAAUAAAGAAUAUUUUUAAAAAGCAUGUGCCAUAAUACCAAAUUAUAGAAUAAAUUAAAAGAGAAAGGAGUUUUCUCUUCAUCACUAUUCACUUAUAUUCAUUUUACUAUGGAUAUUAAUAGUGAAUUUUUUGAAAAUUUCCAAUUUGGUACUCAAUUAUUUUUUUUUCACAAUUGAGCUCUUUUAAAUCCAAAUUAAAGCUUAAUUGCAUAUUUUUUCAAGGAUGAGGGUUGAAUUGAAAAACAUAGGACUGAAGUGAAAAACUCGAAUAAAAUAAGUUGUGGUUUUGCAAUUUGUUUGCAAGUUCAUUUUAGUCCCUAUAAUUUUUUAUCAUUGUAUUUUGAUACCAAACUUUAUUUUCUUCUGUUUUUAGUUUUUUUGUGUAAGAGAGAGAGAGAGAGGAUCACCAUAUUUUGUUUUAGAGAGAAAAAGUUAUUUUUAAGGAUUGUGACCACCAAAACAAUUGAUUUUUGUGUUAAAUUGUUAUGUCUUAAUUCAACAAGGUUCCUUGAAUGUUUUCUAGGUGUUUUGGGUUAAAAUGGGUUGAAGACAGGUUUUAGGUUAUAAUUAGGUUUUUUACCAAAUUGAUCAAAUUUUUUUAAAAAAAAAAACAAAUCAAGAAGAGAAAAAGACUUGUAAAAAAGUAGAAUUACUGAAGGAAGCUCAACAAAGAAUCAAACUCAUGCAAUUAAAAAUAAUUGUCUAUGAUGACCAUCUCUGUAUCACACAUUCAGGAAAUAUGAUUGACCUAUAACAAUAUUAAAAAAAACAAAAAAAAAAUAAGCUAAUAGAUGGUCGCCACGUGUUCAACUUUAUCUAACCUUAGCAAAGGAUAGAAAGUGGGAGAGAGAGAGAGAGGUUAAAAGGAUUAAGAAAAAGAAAAAAGGAAAGGCAGAAACGGAAGAAGACAUUGAAAGAAAGAAAAAAACGAUAAGUUAUUUAACGUCUUUUUAGGGGGGGAAAAAAAAGCUUGUAACACCGUGCAGACCAAACAGAAGAGACAUCUGUUUAUUUAAAGAAAAAAAAAAUAUAUAUAUAUAUAUAUAAAUACUCUCUCUUCCAAUUUCCUCUCCCAGCUGAAUUUCGGCGACCGCCCACACAACGAUAGCCUACACAACCACCAGCCAUGCCACCUUUCAAGACCCCAUCUCUCAACCUCAAAACCAAAAACAACUCUUUCUCCAUUUAUCCGAACCUCAUAACUCCAGGAAGGUGAAGGACUAAACCAUAGUGGCAAAAAUCUUAAAGGGUUCUAAAUUGUCUGUUACUUUCCCUUAAUUUUCUAGACAAGCAAAAGGAGCUAAACUUAUUCCCGACCAAAACGUCAAGAAUUUCAGUAGAACAAAAGAAGAGAUCAUUACUUGACCAAAAACAACUAGUCAGCACCCAAAGAAACCGAGUGAAUGAGAGAAAAUUAAAGAUUAAUAGCUAGAAAACAAUAAACAGAUCCAAGAAUUUUCUGUAUGGUUUCCAAGAAAAUGAAACGAAAUGAGCAGCACAACCCUCUUUCUCCUCCAAGAAAAGAAAGAAAAAGAAAGGAAAGAAACAAAGAAAGUCAAACUUGGCUCCUCUUUUAGUGUUAAAAAAAAAAAGAAGUUAGAGGAAGUGGGCUGCCUUUUUUCUGCUGUUCAUGUGGUGUUCUGCUGUUCACGCAGACUAAGAACUCCUACCAUCGUAAAAUCAUACAAUUAAAACACAACAAUAAUAAAGUAAUAAGCAGCUAAUUAUGUGCGAAAACAAGAGAAAUAAGGAUACAGAACGUGAGAGUGAGUCACUACAAGUAAAAGAGGCGCUGAGAGAAUGGGAAUAGGAAUUUCAUUACCUAAACUUGAGAAAAUUGUGCGAAAAGCACUGGUACUGAUUGCUCAAUGAAAUGGAGAAGGCCUUUAGCUCUGUAUGGAAUCCAGCUUCAAAAGCAACGAGGCAAGGUAUAAGCAUUUUGAUGACAUAAUUAAGAUACUAUGCGUCGUAAUAUAGAGACGGUGACAAAGAAUUAAAGAAAAAUAACGUGUACAAGUACUCACCAAGCAAAGAAAGAAACGAAUGAAAGGUUCGGGAUAAUCACUUAGACGCCUCCAUGGAUGAUACCAGCUCGCUUCCAACAACAAAUAUAAUUAACCUAAGCUAUGAUCGGUCAAUGUUUUUUUUAGUUUUCUUCUUUUUUAUAUAUAAAAAAAACAGAUCAUCAAGGGAAAAGACUUGCAAAGAAGUAGAAUUAAUGGAACGAACACAACAAAGGAUCAAACUCAAGCAAUUAAAAGUAAUUGUCUAUGAGUACCAUCUGUGUCACGCACUCAAGUGAGGAGAGAAAAGAAGGAGAAAGAAAGGAAAGGGACAAGGAAGGAAGAAAGUAAGGUCACGUAGGGGCCAGUCUUGUAGAAAUUUUGAAAAGUAGCAUGAAAAAGAGGAUAAUAGAGUAGUUGUCAGAAUCAAAACACAUCUAAACAGAGGACAAAAACAGGGAGGGAGGCUGUUUGUUUUUUUAACUGUGCCUGAGUGAUUUUUAUAAUUACAUUUAAUUUAAAAAAUAUUAAAUUAAUAUAUAUUUUUAAUAUUUCUCGUUAUUACAUAUAUAUAUAUAUAAUAUUUAAUAUAUUUUUAAUUAAAUUUUUUUUAAAAAAAGUAUGUGUCACAAUACAAAAUUAUAGUAUAAAUUAAAAGAAAAAGGAGUUUUAUGCUCAUUACUAUCCACUAGACUUGUAGAUAUUAAUAAUAAAGUUUUUGAAAGUUUUCGAUCUAGUAUUUGAAAUUUUUUUUUUUUUGCAUAAUUGAAUUUAUUUAAGCUUAAUUGCAUAUUUUUUAAAAGGAAAUAGGUUGAAUUGAGAAACAGAGAAACUCGGCAAAAAUAUGUGGUUAAAAUCAAUCCUUUUUAAAAAAAAAAAAAAAAAACUCCUUAGUUGUUAAGGAAAGAUUGGUAGUGUGAACAAAUCACCAAAGUCAGCAGCAAGGAAGUUCCAGGAAGUGGGCAGCCUGUUUCAGGGCUACCUGUUUUUGAGAAUUAUGGAAAGUUAUCCCUAACUCAAAAACGGCACCAAUUAUAAGUUCAUUAAAAAAAAUCUGGAACACAACAGAUGGAAAAAACUCGAAACAACUUGUAUAGAAUUUAGGCAAGAAGAAUGAGCCAAGAUUUCAAGUGCAAUGAAAUUUGUCUCACUUUGUUUUUUUAUUUAAUGAUACAAGAUAUACCGUCCUAUUUCAAGGGUAAAAUAGAAUGGAAUAGACAACCUUUAAAGGGAGCAUAUACCACAUAUGUGUAGCUGGAAUUCGAUAGCCUUUCUCCAAUGCUGACAUGUGCUUUACAUGCAUGCACCAACAUUUCACAUCGGCAAGUGAGGAUUUGGUAGCUCAUCUUAUUAAUAGUGUUGGUUAAUGACUUGUCAGACGCGUUUUGAGGUCAUGCGUGGUCAUCAAAAACAAAUUUGUGAGGGCGAUAAGGUCCAAAAUGGACAAUAUUUGACAAGUUGGAUCGGACUAUGACAUUUGGUAUCAAAGCUGGCCUCACUAACUAUCCAGUUGUGCUGAUGGGGUCAUUGAGCUCCUUAAGGGGGUGAAUUGUAAUAUCUCACAUCGAUGAAUGAGGAUUUAGAAGCUGACCUUAUUAGUAGUGCUGGUUGCUAACUUGUCAGAUGCGUUUUGGGGUCAUGCGUGAUCACAAAAAACAAAUUCGUGAGGAUGAUAAGGCCCAAAACGGACAAUAUUUGGCAGGUUGGGUCAGGCUGUGACAUAUUCGAUAAUAACUCUUCAAUUAAGUCCUAAAUCUCAUUUCAUCUUUUCAAUUUAAUCCCUAAUUUGACACCAACUCUUCAAUUAGACCCCAAAGCUCAUACCACUUGAGGAAAGCCCUCUUCUUUCAAUUUAGCCCCUCAUUUAUCUUUAAUUUAAUAUCGAAUUUUAUUCGAUCCAAGCCCAAAAUAGGCUCAAGCGAAGACAAAAUAAAGGAAGGAAAGAAAAUGAAUAAUUGCCCAACCAAGUUAACGUAUUCUGGUCUUUUCUCCAUGAUUCGGGUUGAACAUUUGACAUUUAUCCUUUUUUUAGAGGCUUUUCUCUAUGUUCGUUAUGACGCUGUACACGUGCGACAACCAUUAAAUCUAUAGUUAAUUUCAUUUUUUGAUAAAAGAUAAUGCCAUCAGUAUAGAAUGGUUACCAACUGUUAGUUUAAUAAGCCUUGUAUCCAAUCGGUUAGUUACACGAUAUAUUAUUAUAUUCAUGUAAAUACAUAUUUAUUAUUAAUAAAGGCUUAAUUUAACUUUAAUAUUCAUAUAAUAUUAGAUUAAUGAAUCUAGAGUGUCAUAACCCUUUUUGGGUUUUUCCCCAAAUUCAUUUUUUCUCUUCUAAAAAUUAAAAAAAUAUAUAUAUUUAGACUAAAAAAAAUAAUAACAGUGAGAAGGGGAUGCCAAAACGCCUGGAAAAUAACUAAAAAUUGGUUGAGGAGGUUUAAAAAUACAAGGAUUGAAAUUUGGCAGUAUAUCAUUGACUGAUGAGAGCCCGAUUGACAAAGAAAAUUCAAUUUGAGGAAGAAAUGUCUAAAAUCAGAUGUUUAUUGGACUCAAUUAAAUUUAUUAAAGGUUAAAUUGAGUUUAUAGAGGGUUUGAUUGCAAGAACAAUUGAUUUUGGAGUCAAUUUGGGCUUUAUUUGGAAGAAAUUAAAGUUCUGAGGUCAAAAUAUAAUUUUAAGGAGUUAAUUUGGUCAAAUCAGGGGCUUAAUUGCAUAAAUAUUGAAGUUUGAUGGCCAAUUAGGGACUGAAUUGAAGAAAUCUCAAACCAAGAACCAAACUGGAAAAGACACGUAAAUAGAGAGGCUGUAAUUAACCGAAUAAGGGGCUAAAUUAAAGAAAUUGGAAGUUUAUUUAUUAAUUAAGGGUCAAAUUGCAUACAUCAGAGACCAAGGACUAAAGUGAAAAAGGCGGCCAACUUCAGGGCCGACGAUUGAAUUUGACAGGGAUGCAAUUGAAUUGAUUUUUAAAAUCAAAAUAGCAAUUUAGGACUUGAUUGAAUAAAUCACAAAUUGAAGACUGAUUUGGACUUUGACACGAUUUUGCCGCCAUUUUCAUUUUGCUUAAUAUUGGUUUGUAUUUUAAUACUGUAAAAAUACAAAUCCGAUAUUAAAAUACUUGGUUUUUGUCAAAACAUAAAAUAUAUAUAUAUAUAUAUAUAUAUAUAUAUAUAUAUAUAUAUAUAUAUAUAUAUAUAUUUGUUUCAUGCAUACGUCCAAGUCUCUCAAAGAUAAAAAAAAAAAAAAAACCAUAUUGUAUUUUCAUACUACAAAGAAAACUUCAAAAAAAAAUAUGUUUUAACAUGCAUUUUGGCUUUAAUAACCAGUUUAUUAAAGUCACGAGAAUUUGGCAAAUAUUUAAAAAAUUUCAAAAAAAAUAUUUGUUUUUUUUAGUAUUAGGGAUUAUGAAUUUAUAUGUAAAAUGUAUUUUCAAUAUUAAAAGUGUUUUUCUUUUGAUGACAUAAAACAUUUAGGUGUUUACCUGAUAAGAUAAGAAUCUCUUUAUAGAGGAGGAUUUUUCUUAAACCAUAGAUAGACUGACAAUUAAAAACCACAACAAGACCUUAAAUUUUAUCAAACAACAAAACAAUGCAGCUUACAUUAGGUAGGGUGUAGUUGGGGUGCUAAUACCUCCCCUUUAUGCAACCAGUCUUCGUACCCGAUCUCUAAGACCAAUUAGGGUUCCUAGUGACCAAAAUACUAGGUGGAAACUCCCAUUCUAUUUUCCACUGAUAAAAGACAAGAAUUCCUUGUCUCCCCACAUUUACCAGAUAGAUAUACAUUUACUUGAGAGGGUGGACGUUUAUCGUGACACCGCACACAUGCGACAGAAUGGCGACUCCACAAGGUACCUUGUGGAUUAAUCUUUGUUUUUGUCUGAUUAUCGUGUUUUAUUGUUUGGUUUGUGUGUUAUUGUUAAUAUGCAUUUUCUCAUUUGCUCAUACGCUUUAAUUUUGUACAUAUUUGUUCAUGGAUUGUAUAAAAUUGUUUCAUGCAUCAUUCACAUUUUAUGAGAGUUUAUACUGAGAAAAACUUUAGGUUAAGUGGGGGACUAGUAGCUUACCUUACAAUUUUUAGUCGAGGUUUAAGUUUGUGUAAACCUCAACUCUUUGCUGAGUACUUAGAUUGAUAAUGAUUGGUACACAUGUCAUCUCAUUACCUAUUAAGCCCUUAUAUUGCCUUUACGAGGGUGAUCACUGGGACAACAAGAGACCCUUUUAAGACUAGGUAGAAAUGCACCCAUCAUGUAAUGGCCCAAAACCUAUCCUUAGAGUAUAAGCUCCCUAAUAUACAUGUACAUAUAUUUGCAUCCAUACAUACAUCAAUUCAUUGUAAAUAACAUACGUGCAUCAGAUUGAAAUAUAGGUCCCUAAAAAGUGUACAACACCCGACUUUGAGCAAGAAACAUAGAAGAUGGAGAGCGUGCUCACCGUGAUGCCUAUUUUCAAGAAGAGUUGGAGUCUCUGAAGACAAGCAUGGCUCGCCUUACUAGCUUACUCGAGCAAACACUGAGAAAUACCUCUGGUGAAGGCCCUUCUAACCGGCUAGUCACCGUCAAUUAGGCUUCAACUACAGUUUAGCCUGAAGAAAGAAUGAGUGAACAUGGUCAAGAGCCUUAAUAAAAUCCAACAUUUGUACAGUCAGCGACACUUGCAUUAGCCCCGACAGUCAUGAAGGUAUUUGCUAAUGAGUCCCAUAUGGCCAAUUCAUCUGAUAGCAUUGAUCAAGAUAAAAUACAGGCAUUGGAAGCCAGAAUCAAAGUCAUUGAAGGGGUAGACUUAUAUGACCCAGUUCGGGCAGCAAAGAUGUGUCUGGUCCCAAAUAUGGUUGUCUCGAAAAAGUUUCAUGUUUCGGAGUUCAUCAAAUAUAGUGGAAUACAAUGCCCCAUGACUCACCUCAAGUCUUACUGCAAUAAAAUGGCAGAGAUAGUACAUGAUGAAAAACUACUGAUGCAUUUUUUUAGAGAUAGUUUAAGUGGGGCAAUAUUGAGCUGGUACAUGAGAUUGGACAACACAAAAAUCUAGAGAUGGAAGGAUAUGGUGGUUGCUUUUGUCAAGCAGUACAAGUACAACAUGGACAUCACUCCCGACAGAAUCAACUUGUCCAAUAUAGAGAAAAAGGAUAAAGAAAGCAUAAGGGAAUACGUUUAAAGAUGGUGGGAAUCAGCUGCUCAAGUACAUCCCCAACUUCUGGACAAAAAGAUUGGCACUUUAUUUGCCGACACACUCAAGGCACCAUAAUGGGUAGUUUGGCCCAGCAAUUCACUAAUGCUGUGGUAGUGUGUGAACACAUAGAGCAAGGCGUCAAGAGUGGUAGAAUUUCUGCACCCAUUGAGAAUAGAGGUUUCGAAUGAAAAGAGGUUAACCAUAUUGAAGAUGGCUACAAGGGUAGGAAAAACUUAUCCCAAAACUACCAUACUUCAUCCCAAAUUGCCGACAUAAAAAAACCUGAGCCCCAAAACUUUCAAGCCAAAAGCCAAAUUAGAAAUUACCAAAGGGUCCAAGAACAACUACCUCCAUUACCGCUACCAUUAAAUGAGAUGUACCAGAAGUUAUUAAGCAUCAGACAUAUAGCUCCCGAACCUCUAGCACCUUUGCAACCCCCUUACCCCGGCUGGUAUAAGCCAGAGCUCACUUGCGAAUACCAUGCUAGUGUUGCUGGACAUGACAUUUAUAUUUGCAACACCUUUAAGAGAAAGCUUCUGCAAUUAAUUAAGGCAGGGUGGAUAGCAUUUGAAGACACUCUGAAUGUGAACACAAACCCUCUACCUAAUCAUGCUUAAAGCAGUGGAUUAGAAAUGCACUAGCAAUCGAAUGUUCGGGGAAUUUGAAAUCAUCAAUGGGCCAGGUAGGGUGCGAAAGGGUAGCAUAAAUUUUAAAGGACUCAAAUUCCAACCACAGUUGUUAUCCCCAUCAUCCCAAGAAUUAUUACAGGGAGGCUAGCCUAAAAGGAGAUUUACCAAAAUGAAAGGAUGAGGCCUGCCAUAUUAUUGCCUUUUGUUUAAUCAUGUUGGUUUCAACUAUUUCAGUCUUGUCGGUAAUUUAGCUCAUAAUGCCACAAGACUUUCUUUGUCAAAUAAGCCUUCUUGUUAAUAAGAUCAUGUAUUUUCCUGUGCUUAUAACAUGUUUUCCUUUUUCCAAAAUAUGCAUGAUCUCACAUGUUCAUAAGAAUUUUAGGAAUUCAAAGUUUGGUAUAAAAAUAAAAAUCAUAUUGGUGUUUGUCCAAAACAAAUAAAUUCUGGAAAUUCAAGUGAUUCCUUAGAAAGAUAAGUAUACACGUAGAAAACUUGAAAAAACAAAUAAACAAAUAAACACAUAAAAAAAAUCAUAAGGUGACUCCAAAGUUAAGUUUUAUUUGAAUAAAUAAUGAGAAAUCACUUUGCAUACUCGCAUGAAAGCAAGACGUAUCGAUCUUAAGUGCAUGUGUUUGAGAUGAGGAAAUGCCUUCUUUGAUAAUCGCUUCACGAGGCUAAAAUAUAUCCUUUGCAAUCCCUUUUUGAGUCUAGUAACAUUUUUUGAAAAUAACCUUGGCUAGGAUCACACUCAAACUAGGGUUAAGUGCGAGAGACACAGAAAAGACCUUGAUGAUUGAAGUGCCCAAGCAACACUGGGGGCAUAAAAGAAAAUUCUCAAUCAUCAAAGGUGCCCAAACAAAGCUAGGGGUAUGAAGAAAAAUCCAAAGGAUCCAAAAAUUUUAAGCAUACAAAAAAAAAACAAUUAAAUAAUGCUCAAAACCAAAUGAAGAAAAAAAAAAUAAAGAGAAAGAGCCCAACAUUGGGGGGCACGAUAAACCAUUUUGAAAAGACAUUCCAAAGACAAAAGGUCAGGAAACAAGCACUAGUGAUCCUUAGUCUUGAAAUCCCGUGAAAUACCUUUUGAGCCUACAAAUAUCCUUUUCUUCAUAACCAAGAACCCAAGCCUAUAUUACAUGCCUAAUCAAGCCCUUUCUGAUCAAAGACAAGCAAUCUGGAUCGGCAGACAAUGCUUUCUCAUACAACCCAAAUUAUUAUUCAUGUAAAUAAAAUAAAUGCUUUGAAGACUGGUUCUUUGUAACCCUCAAAUUAAAUCUUAAACCAUUUUUUACCAAACCCAAUGUCACUUCAUGUUUUUCACCAAAAGCAAAACGAAAGGUUUUCAUCACUUCUGAAAACCUCUUCAUAGGAAUCACUUGAAUUUCUUCAGAACAAGUUUGCUUUGAAUCGAUGUCAAAAUGAUUUCUGUGUUUGGAAUAGCUUUUAAAUUCCAACAUUUUUGCAUCAGAACAACUCCUUGUCAAAACUUCCUUUACAUAGCCUCAUUCCCAAACCCGAAUUAAAUACUUGGGGGCAUGAUCAAGUUGGGAGGCAAUAAAAAAUACAUGGUAGGGCAGACUUUAUAAUUCUUUUUCUAAGAAAAAUGUUGGGUAGAAUUGGCAACCCUUGAGAUAUAGGUUAGAGGGCAAAGAAGUAGGAUGAUAUGAAGCCUUUCUUAGAGGUCAAGAUCACAAGAUAUGACUCAAGUAAGCAAGAGCGAAAAAGUCAUCGAAAUUUACUACUUACACUCCAACUUUUGAGAAAAGAAAGACAUCAUGAAGAAAUGAGGACCUAUAUUUCUCAGGUAAGUAUACAUGCAUAUCAAUCAUAGUGCAUUACUUUCAACAUUGUCAGAUCGGUGUUUCACCAUCACCUUUUGGGUAGGACAUUUUAUAACCCUACCUCAUUUUGAGUGUGCCUUUGAGCCCUUAUUUUCUUUUCGAGUAAGUCUUUGAGCCCUCAUCUCAUUUUAAGUGCGCCUUUGAGCCCUUACUUCGUUGUCAAGAUGCGACUUUGAGCCUUUGCUUCCUUUGGAGUGCGCCUUUGAGCCCUCAUUUCCUUUUGAGUACGUCUUUGAGUCCUCAUCUCUUAGGUAGUGCAUUUUAUAACCCUACCUCAUUUUGAGUGCAUCUUUGAGCCCUUACUUCCUUUUGAGUGCGCCUUUGAGCCCUCACUUCAUUUCGAGGGUGGUAGUGUAUUUUCUAACCCUACCUCCUUUUGAGUGCGCCUUUGAGCCCUCACCAUCUUCCUGGAUAGGUCAUCCAUUACAAUGAUGCUAUUUUUACACUUGGGUAGGUCACCUAUUAUAAUGAGACCAAUCUUUCCUUUCCCACUUGGGUAGCUCACUCAAUACAAUGAGACUAAUUCUUCGUAUUUUUUUGCCUAGGUAAGUCCCUCAUUAUAAUGAGACCAUUCUUCCACCUGGGUAGGUCACCUAUUAUAAUGAGACCACUAUUUCCUUUUUUUUUCCCUUUGGGUAGGUCACCCAUUGCAAUGAGACCAUCCUUUUUUCUAGGUAGGUCACCUAUUAUAAUGAGACAACUCUUUUAUUUUUUUUUUCCCUUUGGAUAAGUCACUCAUUACAAUGAGAUCAUUUUUUUUCUAGGUAGGUCACCCAUUACAAUGAGAUCAUUUUCCAUGUUUUUUUUACCUGAGUAGGUCAUCCAUUACAAUGAGACCAUUCUUUUUUUUUCCACUUGGGUAGGUCAACCAUUACAAUGAGACUAUCAUUUUUCUGGGUAGGUCACCCAUUAUAAUGAGGCCAUUCUUCCACCUGGGUAGGUCACCCAUUACAAUGAGACCACUCUUUCUUUUUCCCCUUUGGUGACCACUAUCAUUUUUUUGGGUAGGUCACUCAUUACAAUGAAAUCAUUCUCCAUGUUUUUCCACUUGGACAGGUCACCCAUUACAAUUCGACCAUUUCAAAAAUCUUUGAAUUUCACCAGGAAAAAAAACCUUUCGACCAUUUAAGUUUGCUUUCUAGCCCUCAAAUGCUUUCCAAACAAUUCAUCAUAUGGUGAGUCCGUUAUCUUUUUUUUUCUUCUUUACAAAGCUUAUUAUCUAAAAUCUCUUACGAGACUUUCUAUCGUAAGUAUUGUAAAUAGAGGACAACUGUCAUAACCUAUUUUUGGAUUAUUCCCCAAAUUUAGUUUUUCUCUUCCAAAAAUAAUAUAUAUAUAUAUAUAUAUAUAUAUUCGGACUAAAAAAUAAACAACAAAAAAAAUAAACAAAAUAAUAACAGUGAGAAGGGGAUGCUAAAGUGCUCGGAAAAUAACUAAAAAUUAGUUGAGGAGGUUUAAAAAUACAAGAAUUGAAAUUUAACAGUAUAUCAUUGACUGAUGAGAGCCCGACUGACAAAGAAAAUUCAAUUUGAGGAAGAAAUGUAUAAAAUCAGAUGUUUAUUGGACUCAAUUAAAUUUAUUAAAGGUUAAAUUGAGUUUAUGAAGGAUUGGAUUGGAAGAAAAAUUGAUUUUGGAGUCAAUUUGGGCUUUAAUUAGAAGAAAUUAAAGUUCUGGGGUCAAAAUAUAAUUUUUGAGAGUUAACUUGAUCAAAUCAGGGGCAAAAUUGCAUAAAUAUUGAAGUUUGAUGGCCAAUUAGGAACUUAAUUGAAGAAAUAUGAAACUAAGGACCAAACUGGAAAAGGCGCGUAAAUAGAGGGCUGUAAUUAACUGAAUGAAGGGCUAAAUUAAAAAAAUUAAAAGUUUAUUGAUCAAUUAAGAGUCAAAUUGCAUUCGACCAAGAACUAAAAUGAAAAAUCAGCUAACUUCAGAACUGAUGAUUGAAUUUGACAGGAAAGCAAUUAAAUUAAUUUUUAAAAUUAAAAUUAUAAUUUAGAACUUGAUUGAAACACUUAAAAUAAAAAACUUAAAAUCACAGCAUGAUAAAAGAAGAAAGAAAGGAAUGGGAAAAGGAAGAAAGAAUAAAAAAAUCCCCUAAAAUCACGGCAUGAUAAAAGGAGAAAGAAAAGGAUGGGACAAAGAAGGAAGAAAGUAAGGUCGCGUAGGGGCCAGUAUUGAAGAAAAGCUAAAAGAACCAGGUAAUCCAAGGAACCAAUAGAUUAUCGCCACAUGUUCAACCUUAUAUUUAUUGUGACAUGGAGAUAAAGAUAAUCUCAAAAGCUAAUAGAUGGUCGCCACGUGUUCGACUUUAUCUACCCACUAGGAAAGGAAUCAAAGGAUAGAAAAGUGGGGGAGAGAAAGGUUAAAAAGGCUUUAAAAAAAAAAGAAAAGGAAAGACCCGGUUGAGAUAAGAGGGGGGACGUGGAAAUAGAAGGAGAAACGGAAGGAGACAUAGAAAGAUCGGAGGAGAGUAAGAAAAAAAUAUAUGAAUAUGUGAUGUCCAAUUUCUCAUAAAAAUUCUCUGUUUUUUUCUCUCUUUUAUUUGGAAUUUCUUUGGACACUUUAAUAAAAUAAUAACAAAAAAAUUAAAAUAUUGAUGAAAUUAAUAUUCAUUCAAACACAGAUUUACUGUGUACUAUGAUAUUAUUAUUUUUUUAAUUUUAAAAAACACGGCUUGGAUAAUAUUUCAAGUAGUGUCGUAAAAAAUAGCGUGUUUGUUUUUUAUUUUUUAAAUAAUUUUAAAUAAUAUUUUUUUAAUUUUUAUAUUGAUAUUAAAAAUAAUUUUUAAAAAAUAAAAAAUAUUAUUUUAAUAUAUUUUUAAAUAAAAAAUAUUUUAAAAAAACUACUUUAAAAACCUUAAAACCACGGCAUGAUAAAAGGAGAAAGAAAGGAAUAGGACAAAGGAAGAAAGUGAAAGGGAGAAAGGAAGAAAGUAAGGUCACGUAGGGGGGCCAGUAUUGUAGAAAAUAGGAGAUGAAAAAUUGGUAUGAAAAAGAGGAUGAUGGAGUGGUUGUCCAAAUCAUAGUGGUUUUUAUAAUUAUAUUUAUUUAUAGAAAUAUUAAAUUAAUAUAUUCUUAGUAUUUUAUAUGAUUAAAUUUUUUUGUUGAUUUAAAAAAUAUAUGCGUAUAAAAAAUUAUUUUAAUAUAUUUUUAAAUAAAAAAUAUUUUUAAAAGUAUGUAUCACAGUACCAAAUUAUAGUAUCAAUUAAAAGAAAAUAGGGUUUUAUGUUCAUUACCACUCACUUAUACUCAUUUAAUUCUUAUACUCAUUUAAUUGUGGACAAUAACAGUAUCUCAUUUGAAAACUUUCAAUUUUAUACUUAAAUUUUUUUCAUAAUUAAUCAUUUUUAAUUAAAAUUAGAGUUCAAAUGUAUAUUUUUUUUUAAGGAGGAGAGUUGAAUUAAAAAACAGGGACUGAAGUAAAAAAUUCAGCUAAAAUAGGUAGCGACUCUAUAAUUUAUUUACAAAAUUUAUUUUAGUUUCUCAUCUUUUCAAGUUAUUAAAUAAUAAGUCCGCAUAAUUUUCCAACAUUGCAUUUCAAAUUUUUUUUAUUAUUAAUACUUUUAAUAUAUUUUUUUGAAAAUAAUUUUAAAAACGGUGUUUUCAUUAAUAUUCCUUUUCUAUGAUUUGUUUUUUUGGCAUUAUGUAGUCUUUCUUCAAUUAUUUUUAAUUUUGUUGCUUUGUUUAAUUUUUUAAGAGGUUAAUAAUAUUUAUCUGUAAAUAUUUGUUAUAUAUUUCAGAUAGAUUAAGUAUUUAAUUUUCAUAAUAAUUUGAAUAUGUGUAGCGUUGCAUAGUUUUUCUUCCUUUUAUGAUAUUAAAAAAAAUUAUGUGUGUGUUGAUUUCUAUUAUCGAUUGAUUUUAGUAAAUAAAUUCAUUAAAUAUAACCAAAUAAAUGAUCCAUAUUGCAAUAUUAAAUACUUUAUCUAUAUUUGUUUCUUAAUUUUUCCACUUGCACUUUUAAUUAUCGGUAAUGACUUCAUUUUUUCAUUUAUUUACACAAUUGUUUGUGAUUUAUUUAAUUUGAUGCGUGUAUAAGUUUUUCGAUUUACAUUUAGAAUUUUUUUAAUGUAAAAAAACACGUUGAGAAAUUCUUAUUUUUAUGAUUUUAGUUUGAUCCUUAUUCUUAUAAUUUCUUAUUUUCUUUCUAACCCUUUUAUAAAACAAAAAAUUGUUUAUAAUUUCAUCCUUCAAUUGAACAUAAUGAUGUAUUUUUUUUAUUAUUUAUAUUCUUGUUUGUUAUUAUUGCUUUUUUUCUUUAUAUAAUUCAUAUAAAACCAGCUUAUUUAAUCGGCCAAGACUAAAUAAAUAAAUAAAAAGAUAUACUGUGUCUUCCCAUUUCCUCUCCCUGGUGAAUUUUGGCGACCACCCACACAAUGAUAGCCUAAACAACCACCAGCCAUGCCACUUUUCAAGACCCCAUCUCUCAAUCUCAAAACCAGAAACAACCCUUUCUCAUAAUUCCGGGAAAGUGAAGAACUAAACCAUAGUGGCAAAAAUCUUAAAGGGUCUAAAUUAUCUCUGUUACUUUCCCUCAAUUUUCUAGACAAGCAAAAGGAGCUAAACUUAUUCCCGACCAAAACGCCAAGAAUUUCAGUAGAACAAAAGAAGAGAUUGUUACUUGACCAUAAACAAUUAGUCCGCACCCAAACAAACUGAGUGAAUGAGAGAAAAAGACUAAUGGCUAGAAAACAAUCAACAGAUCCAAGAAUUUUCUGUAUGGUUUCCAAGAAAAUGAAACGAAACGAGCAGCACAACCCUCUUUCCCCUCUAAGAAAAGAAAGAAGAAGAAAAAGAAAAAGAAAAAGAAAGGAAAGAAACAAAGAAGUUCGAGGAAAGAAAAAGUAAGGAAGAUGAAACCAUAAACCUGCAAGUCCUACAAAUCAUAAACAUUGACUUUGAUUUUUCCUUUAUAAAACCAUAAACCUGCAAGUCCUACAACAUGAAGACUUAUCAGAUCCUAAUGAAAAGCUGUCAAAAUCCUAUCAGAAAUUAAGGAAGAUGACGUUACGUUAACUUCAAAUCUGAGGAUUAAUUGUAGCAGAUCUUAUAGGGUUCAGCUGAUUGCUUUACUUGUUUAAAUAAUUCUCUUGUAAGCCUAAUGGUUCACGUCUUCCAUCAUUGCAACCUUUUUUUCUGUGAUUGAAAAAUCUAUAAUAGGAACCUGCACUGCAUCCCUUCUAUGCUGUUGUUCUUUCUUCUUGUUUUGCUAUUUUGAUUUUAUCAUAUUUUCUAUGAUGAAAGUUGAAGAAAUUCUACUUCGAAACUCAAGACAAAGUCUCUCGAUCGGACUGCAUAUUAGUGGGUUGCUCAUUGGGAUUUCUAUAAACAACUGAUUCUAAUAUUGCAAAGCAACAUUACGAAAAACUGAAUAUUUCACACAUAGUCUAAUAAAAGUAGAUUCCAUUGUCAAUUCCUUAACAUUUUCCAAACAAAUCCAUGCUCCUCAUUUUAUACUUUCUUGAGGGUUUCUAUUCUCUUAUUACCAAUUUCAGUGAGUUUCAUAAUAAGCUGCUUAGAAAGAAGCUAUCUAGCAGGAGGGUGGGGCUACUCUUAGCCAAUGAAAACAGCUUCACAUGCUAUACAGCAACGUGAAAAAAAGAUUCUCAGCCUGUUCUCUCUUUAAUGAACACCCUCUUGGAUUCUCUAGCAUUAGCCAACAAGGUAUUUGCUUGGAAUUACUUCCACCUGAAAACAACAGUUAACCUAUUUAAUAUACUUAACUAAGUAUCUAUUUCAUAACCUUAUAUAUUUUUUUAAUUAAAUUAGUUAUUUUUUUCAAAAAUAAAAAAAGUAAACGGUUUUCCAAAAAUCUAAUUCACAAUAAAACAAAUAAUGAAACUUGAUAAUAAUUCAUUAAAUAACCAUCAAUUAUUCAUCAAACCAAUCUGAAAAAGCUCAUAUUAAAGCUAGGGACCAAUCUGGAAUUUUAUCAUAUUUUUAGGGGUCAAAUUAUAAUUUUAUCAAAUUAGAAGACCAAACUAAAAAUAUCAUAAAUUCAUGACUAUACUAGAAUUCUGCCCAUAAUUCAUCAUAAAUUCUGCCCAGAAUUUCAAAUUAUGCUCCAAGGACCACUAUAGAAUUUUAUCAAAUAUCUAGGGUUAAGUUGUAAUUUCAUCAAAUUGGAGGACCAAAGUGAAAAUAUCAUAAAUUCAUAACUAUACUGGAAUUCUGCCCAUAAUUUAACUUUAAUUCUGUCCAGAAUCUCGGAUUAUGCUCCAGGGACCAAUCUCUAAUUUUUCUAAAGUUCAAGGACUAAACUGUAAUUUUCACAAAUUGAGGGACCAAACUGAAACUUCAACCUCAAACCCAGAAUUUACACAGAUAACCUACUGAUAUAUCAAGAUUUCUAACUCAAAUUCACCAUUUAAAUAAAAUCAUAACUCAAAAUCAUUAUUUUUACCUAAAAUCUUUCAAAAUCAACUAAAUAAUUCAUUAUCCAUAACAAUCAACCCAUAAUUUUUCUGUAAUGUAAUUGUAAUUCCUAGCAUAAUGCAUAUCCGAGGGCAAGCACAACAACUCAAGAACAAAGAAACUCGAUGAAAUAGCAAAAGAAAAGGACUUGAAGGACUGAAAUAAAAUAAAACCAAAAAAUAGGGAUUAAAAAAGUAACCGCACUCUGGUUGCCAUAAAAAACAUAGUUCUUUUAAUAUUUUUUUUUUAACUAUUGUAAUAGGUCAAUCAUAUUACCCGAGUGUGUGACUCAGAGAUGAUCAUCAUAGAAAAUUACUUUUAAUUGCUUGAGUUUUAUCCUUAGAUGAAAAACUUACCUCGUCCUCCUAAUGCUUUUGCUUUCAUUGUUUCGAAAGUAAAAGAGACAUAAACAUAAUCAUUUCCUUCCUUUUACUUUCCACUUCUUUGUAAUGGAUUGCAAACGGGAUGGUGCUUAGUGAGGCCAGUUUUUCUUUUCCUUUCUAUUUAAAAUCUUAUGCCUAAUUGGGUGAGGAAAUUAGUGGAGCAUUAGACUUUUUAAAAGACAACAAAAGGAAGCAAUGUCUCAUCUUUUGAUAUGGUGGUCUUCCAUGAUCAGUUUGUUGAUGAAGAUAUCGAAAGAUUCGAGUCUCCGUUCUAGUUCAGGUUGGAUGCAAGGCCGAAAGCUAAGCUUCUUUUAAUUAUGAAUUGUUUAUGCAAAGGAAACCCAGAAGCUUGAACAAACAGAAAUGCCUUGUUGAUUUCUCUGCUACUACUCAUUAUUUCCAAUAUUAUUCCAUUAUCUUACCCGAAAGCAAUUAUACAAGAAAUUUCAUUAUCCUGCCCCAAAGGCAGUUUAUUGCAUGGACUUCCUUUAACCUAGCUCCUUGAAGGCAAUUUAUUUGAUGAAAAUUCCUUUAAUCCACCUCAAAGACAAUUUAUCUUAGGGAAUUCCAACAACCCUUAAGGCAUUUUAUCAAAGGGAAUUCCAAAAACAAUUUAUUUCUUGGACUCAGUAUUCUUUGAUACUAGUUAUUUAUAUAUAAUUUAACAACACUUAACCAUCUUACAUUUAAGAAGAAAUUCAAAAGUAAGGAUAACCCUUAUCUAGAGCUCCUGUGGUUCUUGCUCCCGAGAGAAUUGGCUCCACUCCGGACAAAUCUACUAUCAGAAACCCAAGUUUCAACCAAUCAAUAACAUCAACACCCAUUUUAUAUUAAUGCAAUAAGUUUUUCUUAACCAAUUUACUUGAUGCAAGUUCUUAUAAUAAAAGUGACAGUAUUCAAGGUGAAGACAAGCAGAAGGGCGUGAUAGAGUUUGACAAAGAUGAAGCUAGUUCCAAUAAAGGGAAACACUCUAUGCAGGCCAAACAACAGUGGAAAUUCUUAUAAUCCCACCAAUCAAGGAUUACAGGACCCUAGUCCUUCCCAAACCAAUUUGAACUCCCCGUAGAGAAAACAUCUCCAAACCCAUUUUGAAUCACCCACAACAAGCAUCUCCACAACCUGUUCUGAACCCCCCCACAACAAGCAUCUCUGCAACAUGAUUUUAUUUCCUUGUGUGACAGGGAGGUCAAAAUUGAAAGAUAUUACUAUUUUCAUUAAUUUUAUUAAAGCUUAAUUAUUAUUUUUUUUCCCUUUUCUUUUAAAAAUGUUAUCUCCUUGGUAAGGAAUCCUUGGUUCCCAACAGCAACUGUAGCAUAGUUAAAAAAAUAUCUAAACUCCACCGAAAGUAGUGGAGCCUUAGAAUUUUUAAAAGACAAAACGGGGACAAGUGAGAGACGAAGAAAAAGACAAAAGUAAUCCCAUCUAUUGAUGUGGUGAUCCAAGAUACACCAUAACAUGGUGUUCUUCCAUGAAGUCUAAGAUACACCGUCGUGUUGUUUCAUAUAUAUUUUUAUAUAUGAAAAUAAUAAAGCUACCGUUUAAAACAACUCUGAAAACAAAAUUUUUAAUAAUCCAUAAUUUUUAAGCAAACAUCACUUAUAAGCAAAUAAUUAAUGAUGGUUAGUUAAACUAAUUCAUUGUUAGGCGGAUAUAUAUUAAGGUUAAGAACCCUCUAUCUAACACUAAUAACUAAUCACUGAUAAUAUUUAUGCAAAACUUGUAGCUUAGGAUGAACUCUCAGAGAUGUGGGCGAGGCAACUCAAAGUAGAAGGGAAGGGGUAACCUCUGAUAACAGAGAAAAUUGUAGAGUAAAGCAGGACCGAAUUUUCUUAAAUUAACAACAGAAAUCUACAAUGAACAGUUCUCGAGAAGAAACUCAAGAAACGUAUAUAAAGCUACAUGAUGACAUAAUAGGAACCUGCAUUGCCUCCAUUCUAUGAUGAAAGUUCAAGAAAUUUUACGUCGAAACUCAAGACAAACUCUCUCAGACUACAUAUUAGUGGGAUUUCCAUGAACAACUGAUUCUAUUGCAAAGCAACAUUAGGAAAAAUUGAAUAUUUCACACAUAGUCUAAUAAAAGUAGAUUCCAUUGUCAAUUCCUCAACAUUUUCCAAACAAAUCCAUGCUCCUCAUUUUAUACUCUCUCUCUUAUUACCAACUUCAUUGAGUUUCAUAUAAGCAUAGUCAAUCACACAACUAAUAUGUGAAUUCACAAUUUCUUACCGAAAACAUUUUAUCAGUGCAAGUUAAUACAUAAUUUUACCUCUCCUCUUGGUGAAAACAUAAAGACACAACCACCGAGCAGAUCUCUGGUAAUGGUCUCUACAAAUUCCCUACAGUUCCUAUUGCCAACAAACUCCUCUUGCCAUUCCCUAACUGCAUUGAGCCAGCUAAUCUGGAUGAAAGAAAAGACUUCAGCCAUUCCCUAACCUUAAAGCAGACCCAACUUUGUAGCUCAUUACCAGUUAAGUAAAAGUUAUCAAUAGCUGUGUAAAUCAUUGAAACUGCCACAAAAGCCCCAAAUUAGUUAUGAAUUGGAUUCGAUAAGGGAAAGAGGGGAAGAGGGGAAAUGGGUAACGGAAAAUUAAAGAGAGAUGAAGAUCUGCGCAGGGCUACCUGUUUUGAGAAUUAUGGAUUUUUAUCCCUAACUCCAAAUUGCACCAAUUAUAAGUUCAUUAAAACAAAUCUGGAACAGAACAGAUGGAAAAAACUCGAAACAACUUGGCUAGAAUUUGGGCAAGAAAUUCAGAACGGCCAAGAUUUUAAGUGAGAUAAAAGUUAUCCCAUUUUGUUCUGUUUUUUUUUAAAAAAUUAAUAUGAGAUGUACUAUCCAUUUCAAGCGGAACAUAAUGGAAUGAACAACCUUGCAUCGAAGACCUAAUUUUAGUGAAACUCAAGUUUCUUGUGUCAAAGAAAAUGUUCUAAAAAAAUGUUUUAAGCAUUAACAAAAUCUAGUUGGCCUAGGCAAUCCACUAUUGUUGCUGUUACCGUUGGUGCAUACUCCAUUACACCAUUGACAUAGUGCAACUGUUUUUCUUUCUUUCUUUCUUUCUUUCUUUUAAAAAAAUCCAUGUUAUGUUUUUUAUUUGAAGCUUUUUUGUUAAUAUCUUUCGCAAUUGGCCUUGGUAUUUUGUUUCCAUUUUCUCUGUUUCCUUCUUCUGUAGUUAGAAAACAUCAUGUCUUUGGGUUUGCGCUUGAUACAGCAAAAUUAAGGACACAAUAAUCAAAGAACACAAAAUUUUAUAAGGGAAAGGGGUUGCAGUUGUGAACCUAAAAUUUACAAAUUUAUUUUCUCAAUAAUAAUAAUAAUAAUAAAGAAGUUUGCCUUCUUAAAAGGUUUACAAAACCUUAAAUAGGUUAGGAACCUUACCUCAACAAGGGAACAGAAAAAAAAUCCAAAAUUAUAAAUGAAACAAGCAUAAAAUCUGAAAUAAGCAAGAAAUGAAAAUAACAAAAAACUACCAAAAUCAGGGGCAUCAUUGAGAUUUUUAAUAUCUAAAGAUCUAAUGAUUUGUAUAAAAAUUUGAGCACAUUAAUCCAAUAAUCGAAAAAACAAUUAUGGCUCUUUUGAGCUGUUAUUCUAGUCUAGCACGAUCAAACAUUCUCUUGGGUUUAGACUUGUUCUAUUGGUUCAUAAAUGCAUUUACUAGGCCAUCAACAUUAAUUGUCUAAGGCAAAUUCUCAUCUAGUUGUGGUAGACUCACACCUGACUGCUUAUAAAAUUGGUUGGUUUUUUGUUUUCGAAGAGAUUUAAAAUUUGAUGCAAAUGAAAGCUAAAAACACAAUAAUUAAAGGGCACAAAAAAAAUUAUAAGCGAAAAAGACUGCAGAUGUGAACCCUCAAAUUCACAAGUUUAUUUUCUCUAAAAUAAUAAUAAUGAAAUUUGUCUUCUUAGGAGGUUUCCAAAGCCAUAAAAAUAUCAAGAAUCCUACCUUAACUUGGAAACAAAAACACAAACUCAAAAUUACAAAGGAAAAAAGCAUAAAAUCCAAAAUAAGCAAGAAAUUAAAAAAUAACAAAGAAAAUCACAAAAAACUACCAAAACUAGAGGGCUCAACAAGAUUUUUGAUAUCUAAAGAUUCAGCAGUCCACGCAAAAAAAUUUGCAUGGUCCAACGGUCGGAUAAGAAAUUGUGAUCAUUUUGAGCUAUUAUACACGACCAAAUCUUCUUUUGAUCCUAUACUUGUCCUAUUAGUCCAUAAAUGCAUUUUCAUAACCUAUCUUUUUUUUUUUUCUACUAUAGAUGGUGUUUGACCAUCAUCGUCAUAUGGUUUGACUUAGUUGUACCGGUUUUUAAUAAGAUGAACUUUAUAUAUUAUGGGUUUACAUUUACUAUUUUUUAAAAAUGUUCAUUAUCGUUUCGAUCUCUAUAAGUCCAUUGUUCACAACUGAAGUCCGUACCUGCAGCGGAUCACAGGCAAUGAAACUAUACAAACACACUAGAGACUCAAGAGUAAACAUGCUACUAUAGUUAGCAGGUAAGGGUCAGGUCAUUUGUUGUCUGGUUUCAAAUAGAGUUUCAACUCAUUUAAUAAAUAUAUAUACAUGGCUCAUAGUUGGAUUAUUUGUGUUUUUGUUAUUUGUUCUUCCCAGUAAUUGUACCAGAAGCUGCUCUCAUAUUUGAAGGAAUGCAAACAAUAUAUUGUUAAUAUGAAACUUAUGAUGCCUAGGAAAUUGCCAUUUUUCUCAUUUUUAAUUGGAAGAAAAAUCACAAGUAUGUUUCUGUUAGAAAUAACUUCUUAUUUCAAUCAGAAGUGUGUCACUAAAUUGAUUUAUAAGUAAGUUUUUAAAUUGUGGAUUAUAUCUUAAUUACAUUAUAUUUUUUUAUUAACAAAAGUUUAUUUGAGUUAUUUUUAUUAAAAAUACUUAUAAUUUAAAAUUAUUUUAAUUCUUUUUUAUCAUAAAUUAUUUAUUAAAAACAACUUAGAUUAUCGCUUGAAAUAAAAAAUUCUUAAUUCAAAAGUCAUUAAAAAAUUCUUAAUUUAAAGAAGCUAAUAAUCUAAAAGGAGGGUGGGGCUGCUUAGCCAAUGAAAACAGCUUCACAUAUGAAAACAGCUUCACAUACAACGCAACAACGUGACACAAAGUAGAAAAAAAAAGAAAAAGAAAAAUUUCUCAGUCUGUUUUCUCUUUACUGAACAACCUCUUUGAUUCUCUAGCAUCUGCUUGGAAAAACCAUUCAACAAGGGAUUCUGCUAGGAAAACAUGCAAUUGUUCUUCUAUCUGAUAUCAGUUUCAAAAUUCUAAACAAAUAAUGCAACAAGUCACAUUUAUUCCAGACCUCAAGCUGCAUUGCCUAUUUCAAAACCACAAAGAGAACAUCAAACAGAACAACAAAUACCCAGUCGUAGAGCCAUUAAUUUGAGCAUAAAGGAGAAAGAAAGUCCACGCAUUAAACAGUAGGCACACACAUGAGUAUACAUUAUGCCCUUGUUUUUGAAGAUUCAGACACUUCAAAAGAAAACUCACGCUCUUAUUUUUGGGAAGUUCUUGUAUGGUAAAUAAGACUGUUACAAUGUGAAGCCAAUUUGUAUCCCAUUGCCAGUGAAACAAUAGGAAUUACUUCCACCAAUCUAAAACAUAUUCGCAGCACCACAGCUCAAAGACAUGAAUCUCUGUGAAAUCACCUAAGGUCGAGUUGCUCAUGUAAUAGGCAACCAACCUGCCUAAUGCUAACAGAAGAACAAAGACCAUUCAUGCAUAUCCAUUACCUGUUUAGCAUGUUUUUCAAAUUCCAAUGCCAAACUAAUCAUCCUACCCAUCAUCAUCAUCACCACCAUCUCCCUUCACCACCUUCCUUCAUCUCCUUCACCACAUACCCACCCAUUAUUUCGGGUCCACGUUUUACAAGUGCUGAUUGGCGCAGAGCAACCAGUGCUUGAAUCCUCAGCUACUUCAGAUACCUGUAAUCCAAUCCAAGCAUGGCAUACACAUUUUGGCUUCUAAAUCUUAUUAUUGAGUGAAACAAGAAACAAACACACAAAAAGAGAAGCAAGAAAUUAAGACAAUUCAGCAGCACCUCUGAUGGAGCUCUUAUUGAACCAUUUGGUGUAGUAGCAAAUUUUGUGAUCAGCUUUGGGCAUUCAAACACCUCCAACUGCUCUAAAUGAGGGAAUAAGAAAUCAUAACAUCCGAGACUGAAGCAUACAAUACUUGAUAAUUGUUCUAGCAACAGCACCUGCAGAUUCGGGAGCUCCAUCACCUUCUCAACAUUGACAGGUAAAGCAUUCUCAUCCUGAAGCCAUGGCUACUGGGAAGAGACUCUUCAACAUGUUGCAUUUUCUGACAUCAAUUUCACAUAAAUUAGGGAAACAUACAGAUUGAAGAUGAUCUCCUGGGAAUAUCUGAUCCUUUCCAUCAUCAUUAUCCCUAGCAAUGAUUUGCUAUAAUUCCUCACAACUUUCUAUGUUUAGAAAAUUCAGUUGAACUAGACUAGCAAUCAUGCUGUCUGAGAAUACAUGUGUUAGUCUUUUACACUUAUUCACCACCGAAGUAGUUAAAUUGCUCAGCACGAGAACCUUCCACAAACACCACAUGCUUGUGUCAGGCAGGGACUUCAAUUUUAAUGUUUUCAAACUUGUUAAACUCCUAUGCAUGCUCCACUUAUCAAUUUUAAUGUUUUAGCUCUUCAUUCGUCUCUCCAUUUAAAGCUAUAAAAUAAAAUAAAAUAAAAAUAGCUAACAAUAUUACCCUUUUUUUUAUUGACAAAUGCUACUGUUUUUUUCUUUUUUUUUUUCUUUUUGUCAUUCUAAAUAGAGCAUUUGCCAAUAAAAAAAAAUUAAGGCCUGGAAAUGAUGUUUUGUGAUUGGCCCAUCAUUAAUUUUGUUAUCCAUGCACAGUAUAGACCGGCCCGGGAAUGAUGUUUAAACUGGGAAUAAUGAGUUUUCUAUGGGCUUUGGAGCAUUGUGUGACACUUAACAGUGUGCACUUCAGGCCCAUUUAAGAAGAGAAAAAAGGGACAGGGAUAAAGUCUGAAGUAACGGUCAGAAAAGAAACCGAUAAAUUAAUUAAAUUGAAAAAAUUAAAUUAUAAAAAAAAUUAAUUAAAUAAAUUAGAAUAUUUUUAAAAAAUUAGUUGAGUUUGAUUUUGAUUUCAUAAAUUUAAAAUUAAAAAACCGAACCAAAUAAAAAAACCCAUUAAAAAAUCCCAAAAUUACCAAAAAAACAACAUAAUUUUUAAUUUUAAAUAUAAAAUAAUCAAACCAAAUCGAAAUCGGUCAAUUGAUUGAGUUUCAGUUUUUAAUAUAAAAUAAUUAAACCAAACCAAAACAGGUCAAUUGGGUUUUAUUUUCUAAUAUAAAAUAAUCAAAUAAAAUUAAAAUUGAUCGGUUGGAAUCGGUUUUAAUUUUUUUAUAUAUUUUAUAAAAUUUGAAUUUAUUAUUUUUAUAAAUAAAAAAAAUAAUCACUCUCGGUCUAAAGUCAAGACAUUGUGGUAUAUGACAUCAUUGGCAGGGUACUAUUCUACCACUAGAUCACUGGCACUUGUUGGUAUCAACGUGUGGAAUAGCUAAUUAAAUAUAUAUAGUCAAAUAGGUAAUUGAAUAUAUAUAAUGACACGUAUAUUUCCUAGUCAAACGCAGGAGCAAAAAUUUCAAAAUAGCAGACAACGUUUUUGACAGAAGUCUUGUACCAUUACUUCUAUCUCGCUUUAUUCUCUUCUAUAUAUAUAUAUAUAUAUAUAUAUGGUGAAUUGACUAGAGCAUGCAUAUAAGACUUCUUCUAGUCAUGAUGGUCAGUGAGGUUUUUGGUUUUAAAAUCAACAACUCCACUUAAAUUUCUUAAACUUGAAGAAUAUGCGAAGACAAUGCAUUUUUAAUAUGCUAAUUAUUCCUUGUACAGAAACAAGAAGGGAUUCUCCUCUACAUUAUUGUCCCAAUAUAUCAAACAUUGAUAAAGAAAAAAUGCAAAUCAAAACCAAGGCUCCCUCCCCACUGUUUCGUUUUAUAUGCUCUUGGAUCUUGAUUAACUAAUGAAGGAAACAAUUUGAAAACAUUAAAAUUGUAUCAAGAGACAGGGAAUGACACAGUUAGACAACUCCUUUUCAAUUUAGUGGAUGGCUAAAGGAUUUAUCUCCACUUAUCAAUUACUUCAGUUUCAGAAAUUUGGAGGAAGAAAUCACAAUGUAUUGAAGUUGACAACCAGAAGCCCAAAAGAAAACAAUUUUGACGAAUACCCACCAAACAGUUGAAGUGCUGCUGUAACUGAGAUUUUUUAUUAUAUGUAUUUUUUGUGGUCCAAUGGAUAAAUAAUUUUUUUUUCUUUUAUUUUAUCAGCUUAAUUUUGCAUGUGGAAUAUUGAGUUUUCUGUUAUUUUUUCAGACACAGAAUUGAAUCCUUUAUAUAUUCUUAAAACCAAAUUUGAAUUCUAAGUUCCUAAAUGAAGGAAUAAUAAAGAUUGUUGCAACUUGCAUGUACAAAUUCUCCUUCAAAAAAUUAACAAAUAAUAAAGUCUCCUAUGUUAAUGAAGAUUUAAUUAUAACUUAGCCCUGUAAUUUCUUAAAAUUAAUUAUUUAGUCUUUUAAGUAUAAUGGAUGUCGCACCCGACAUCGCGGCGGCCCUAAAAAUAAUCCUCGAAUAUGAAAAAAGAACAGAUUUCUGGCAUCUUGCUCUUUUAGAAGAAAAAAAAUGUCUUAUUUGAGGAGUCGCCACCUAUUAUUAUGGUCACUAGGAACCCUAACUAGUCAACAGAGAUUCUAUGGCUCGGGAUUGGUUAUGUAAAAGGGAAGAUAUUAUCACCCUUUAAACGUUCUGCCUAAUGCAGAUUGCAUUGCUGGUUUUGUCUUAAAUUGCUAAAUGUUUAUUAGUUUAUGCUAUGAUAAUUUGUUUAUAAUAUUCCUGACUCUGGCGCCAAUGAAUAUUCGAGCUCGAAUAAUUCCAACUCUGGCGUUGGUAAAAAUUCGUUGCUACGAAAAAAAAUUAGAUCAAUAUUUUUUAUUCUCUACUCUAGCGCCAAUGAAUAAAUAAAUAAAAAUAAAUUUAUUUUUACGCAUGCACAUAUUUUUUUAUUUCUUAUGUAGUUAAAUAAAAAUUAAAUCAGUAUUUUUUAUUUCUGACUCUGGCGUAAGUGAAUAAAUCAAUAAAUUUUUCUAUUUUUUCUAUUUUUAUUUUUUUUUGUUUUGGGGGUUGGGCCCAGCUCAGCCCACAAGGGCUGGGCUGGACCCAGCUGACUCGAUUGGGUCACUGGUCUAGACCAGUGACCCGGCCGGGUGGCAAACGCACGCCUGCCCAAUGAAUUAUAAUUCACUUGCUACAGUAGCAAGUGAAUUAUAAUUCACUGCUACUGUAGCAGUGAAUUAAAAUGCAAAAGGGUAGAGAUGAGGGACGACUGACCUGGUGCAGCAAGGCGUAGCCGGAGACGAUGGCGCACUGUGCUGGACAAACGACGCUGCCUCCUCUUGUUCUUCCUCUCUUCUUCCUUCUCUUCCUCCUUUUCUUCCCUGGUUCGUCCCUGUAUUUCUUUCCUGGAGUGCCCUGUUUCUGGUGCAGUGGCUGCUGAAGAUGGAGCUCUGGAGUUGCUGCUUCUGGAGGCGACGAAAACGGUUGUGACGCUGGUGGUGACUCUUGUCUACUGCUUUCCUUGGUCUUCCUUAUGUGCUUCCUCUGCUCAGGACAUCAACGAUGGUGAUGAAGAUGUUAGGUGCUGCCGGUUGAAUGGAAGCUUGCUCCCCUGUUUCUGUUUUUCUGCAUUCGUCUUCCCUAGUUUUCCUUUCCUAAGCUGUGAUAAGAUAGGAUUUAGAGGAAGAAGAGAUAAUAAGAUAAAAGGUGAUUGUUUAUUGAUUGCAUGCCUUUCCUCUCGAAACAGUGAGCCUAAAUAGGCCAUUCAAUACAACUGUAAACUAAAUAAUAGGAACUCCAGUAGUGGAGAGCUGAAGACUAGGGAUUCUCUGACCCAUUCAAUUACUUAAUUAAACAAUGAAAUAAAUUAAACAAUGAAACAAACAAAACAUAAAGUAAUUCCACGUAGACUCUCUCCAUGCAGUAGUAGCAAGAGAUCCACGUGCCCAAUGCUCUUAUCAUUCCCUCUCCCUCCCUUGAAUUCUCCUUGUCCGCAAGGUUGAAUUGAGGAUAAGUUUUUGCAAAUCGCCACAAAUUUUCCCACGAAGAAUCUUCUGGCAAUGCCCCCUUCCAUUGCACCAAGAUUUCCGUUCGUGGCCUGUAUUUCCCCUUCUGGAUAACCCUUCUAUCAAGGAUUGCUUCUGGUUCUGGUAACACCACAACAUCUGACAUAAUUGGAGGAAGGGUGAUCACCGCGUCCUUGGCUAUAUCUCCCCACUGUUUCUUGAGUAAACUGACAUGGAAAACAUCAUGUAUGCGUGACCCUGUGGGAAGGUCUAAUUUGUAUGCCACUGGUCCAAUGCGAGCGAGAACCUUGAAGGGGCCAAAAAACCUGGGUGAUAACUUUAAGGAACUCCUGAAAGCUACCGUUUUUUGGCGGUAUGGUUGCAAUUUUAAGAACACAUAAUCUCCAACCUGAAAUGUGACUUCCCGACGAUGCAAAUCUGCCCGAGAUUUCAUGCGUCCCUGUGCAUCAAUUAAAUUCCGUCUGAGGUCCCGCAGGAUGACCUCUCUUGUGCGCAGCAUUUGAUCUACUGCUUGAAGCUUUGUAGUUCCUGGUAUAUAGGAGAUCAUAGAUGGAGGAGGGACCCCGUACACAGCUUCAAAUGGAGAAACCUUCGUUGUUGAUUGAAUGGCCGUGUUGUAACCAUAUUCAGCCCAAGCCAGCCAUUCCAUCCAUGCCUUUGGGUGGUCGCAAGUGAAACAGCGCAGGUACUGUUCCAAGGUCCGAUUAACCACUUCGGUUUGGCCGUCCGUUUGCGGAUGGUAACUGGAGCUGUAGUUAAGUGUCGUGCCAUGUAGCGUGAAUAAGGACUUCCAGAAGGAGCUGAUGAAGAUUUUAUCCCGAUCACUCACUAUAGAACGCGGCAUGCCAUGUAAUUUGACCACAAUAUUUAAGAAACACUUCGCAACCGUCACUGCAGUGUAGGGAUGUUUAAGUGGCAUAAAAUGGUUGUAUUUGGAGAGCCGAUCCACCACAACCAUGAUAACACUGUAACCUUGCGAAGAUGGUAAGCCCUCGAUAAAAUCCAUAGAUAUGUCCGUCCAAAUGAGCUGUGGGAUUGGGAGAGACUGAAGUAACCCCGCUGGCCUUAAAGUUUCAUGUUUACAACGCUGGCACACCUCACAUUCUCUAAUGAAGUUCUUGACAGAUGUUCGUAUGCCAGGCCAUAGAAAGCUGGAGGAGAUGCGGGUCAAGGUCUUUAAAUAGCCAAAAUGUCCACCUGCAGGGAAUGAAUGCCCAUCGGCCAAAACAGCAGGUAACAAAGAGGAUGUAGGACUCAAGUGUAUCCUCCCUUUCUGCAUCCAAACCCCAUCUCUUUGAACCAGUUUUAAAGUGGGAUUGGUGGCCACAGUGCUGUAAUAGGGCUGCUGCUGGACUUCUUGUUGUAGAGUUUCCCACCAGUCUGUAAUAGGAGCUGAUAUAGCGUGUAAUUGUGCUGCUGCCACGCGAGAGAGAGCAUCAGCUCCCUGAUUUUCCUUGCCCUUGCGAUACUGAAUGCUGUAAUCGAACCCCAUAAUCUUCGGCAGCCAACGGGCUUGAGAAGGGGUGGUAAGUCGUUGCUCGAGAAGGUACUUCAAGCUUUGAUGAUCGGUCUUGAUCACAAAGGUUCUGCCCAAUAAAUACGGCCGCCAUUUCCGCACUGCCUUCACUACUGCGAGCAUCUCCUUGUCAUACGUUGACAGUAAUCUAGACUUGCCCUUCAAGGCCUCACUGUAAUAAGCAAUUGGCUGAUUGUCUUGAGAUAAAAUUGCUCUCAACCAUCACCACACGCAUCACACUCCACUGCAAAUUGUUGUGCAAAGUUUGGAAGUCGCAGCACAGGUGGGGACGUGAGGGCUUGCUUCAGUUUAUUGAAAGCCAUGAGCGCCUCCUCAGACCAGCGAAACCCCUCCUUGGAUAGGAGCUGAUUUAAUGGUGCAGCUAUGACGCCAAAUCCUCUCACAAAUUUUCAGUAAUAUCCAGCCAAACCGAGAAACCCACGGACAUCCUUGGGAGUUGCUGGAAUUGGCCAAUUUUGGACGGCUUGGAUUUUGGCAGGGUCCACUGCUACUCCUUCGGCAGAAAUGAGGUGCCCCAAAUAACCCACGGUAAGCACUCCAAACUGGCAUUUUGAGAGCUUUACAUACAGCUGGUUGUCCGAGAGAAUACGCAGCACUUGACAGAGAUGUUGUAAGUGAUCCAUCCAAGACCUGCUAUACACCAAAAUAUCGUCAAAAAAUAACAAUAUAAAUCGCCGUAAAUGAGGGCGAAAGAGGUCAUUCAUGAGACUCUGAAAAGUUGCUGGGGCGUUUGUCAAUCCGAAUGGCAUGACCACAAACUCGUAGUGACCGUCAUGAGUGCGGAAUGCGGUUUUUGGAAUGUCUUCCGGCUGGACUCUAAUCUGGUGAUACCCGGAGCGCAAGUCCAGCUUUGAAAAGAACUUCGCGCCAUGUAAUUCAUCAAGCAACUCAUCAAUGACCGGAAUGGGAAACUUGUCUUUAAUUGUGAUUUCAUUGAGCGCCCGAUAAUCAACACAAAAUCGCCAAGACCUAUCAGCCUUUUUAAUCAACAAAACCAGAGAAGAAAAGGGGCUGCGACUGAGGCGAAUAACUCCAGAUUGUAGGAAUUCCUUGACCAGUUUUUCAAUCUUAUUUUUUUGAUAGUACGGGUACCUGUAAGGCCGGUUGUUGACUGGAGAUUUAUUGGACAUCAAGGGAAUUUGGUGGUCAUGGCUGCGCGUAGGUGGCAGCGUUGUAGGCUCCUGGAAAACAUGUGCAAAAUCUGAAAGGAUGAGAUUGAGGUCAGGUGACCACGCUGAGGCUGUCUUUGGCAUUGUCUCCGUUUCUAUAUGCACAAAAUACCCCACACCUGAUAAGUGGAUCAACUCCUUAUCACUUAGGGGAGCGAGUUCAGUGUUUGAUAGUCCUCUCAAUGUGUACGUCUGGCCUUCUUGUUUAAAUGACAUGAUGAGCUUUUUGUAAUCGGUCUUGAUGGGGCCUAAAGUCUCCAGCCAUUGCACUCCUAAUACGGCUUGGCAGGCUAUCACUGGAAGCACAAAGAAGUCUGCGCGAACAAUGAUUCCUUGAAUCGAUAAAGAAAGGCCUAAGCACCGCCCAGUACACUCAAUAAUCUCCUUGUUCCCAACUGUGACUUGGAUGGUUUUGCCGCGAAUAACAUGUAGUCCCAAUUUGGUUGCCGUGGACUGAUCAAUAAAAUUAUGGGUGCUUCCCCCAUCAAUGAGCACUGUCAUAGCCGUGUUUCCUGCUCUACCAAUGACACGGAAAGUCUGUGGGUGGUUUGUUCCCACCAGAGCAUGAAAUGAUAUCUCUGGAAUGUCUUCCUCAGGCGUCACAAUCUCCAUGUCCACAUCGUCUCCUUCCUCCUUCUGCUGCACAUCCACCAUCAUGAACAACUGAGGCCGUGAACAACGAUGCCCGGGAACAUAUCGCUCAUCACAAUAGAAACACAACCCUUUUUCACGUUUCUCCCUUGCCUCCUGACCUGUUAUCCGUCGAAUUGGUGCAGUUGGGUGAGUUGUUCAUUGAGCCGGGGCAGGACCCAAGAGUCCCAUGGUGUUUGUGUGUGGUUGUUUCGGCUGGAAUGAAGGUGUUGUCGAUGGUCUGACUGGAUUGUUGAAUUUCCUUUGGAAAUGAUUUCGUUCUUCAAUUAAAUGAGCCACACUAAUGGAUUCAGAGAGAGUUUUUGGUUGCUUAACUCGAACAUCCAAACGAAUUUCAUCUUUUAAUCCCGCAAUAAAACACCCUACCAGGAAAUUUUCUGGGAGGUCAUCAACCUUGUGAGACAGUUUCUCAAAGGCUUCUUGAUAUACAUUCACAGUCGUGGUUUGCUUAAGUCUGGACAAUGCUUCUGACGGAUCAUCAUACUCAGUUGGUCCAAAACGGUGGAGAAGGGCUGAGACAAACUCAUUCCAGAGUAAUUGUCCCUUGCUUUUCGUAUACCAACGAUACCACUGCAAGGCGACACUCGACAGAUGAAAUGACGCCAAUUGUACUUGUCGUGGAGCGUCAAUGUUCUGGAACUCAAAGUAUUGUUCUGCCUUAAAUAUCCAGCCAGUGGGAUCCUCCCCUUCUCCAGAAUAGGUUGGAAAAUUCAACUUGAGGGUAGUGUGGUUUCUGUCGGCAUUGAAGGUUGCAGACGACCUGUCGUGAGAAGUACUUCCCCCAGCAUAAGGAUUUACUUCCCUCUCACUGGAACGAUGGGAAUGGGCGAUCCUCAUCGCUUGUAGCUCUGUCAUGACUCCCUGAAGGGCGUCGUUGACUCGAUUGAAAUUGUGAUUCAAUUCGUCAAAAUUGGCGUCGUGUCAUCCGAGAGUUUCUGUGAUCUCAGCACGAAACUACGCAUUAGUUUUACCACGCGUGUCCAUGGAUUGAACAGCUCUAAUACCACUGAUAAGAUAGGAUUUAGAGGAAGAAGAGAUAAUAAGAUAAAAGGUGAUUGUUUAUUGAUUGCAUGCCUUUCCUCUCGAAACAGUGAGCCUAAAUAGGCCAUUCAAUACAACUGUAAACUAAAUAAUAGGAACUCCAGUAGUGGAGAGCUGAAGACUAGGGAUGCUCUUGCUAAUCCCGUUACUUAUUCUCUAACCCAUUCAAUUACUUAAUUAAACAAUGAAAUAAAUUAAACAAUGAAACAAACAAAACAUAAAGUAAUUCUACGUAGACUCUCUCCAUGCAGUAGUAGCAAGAGAUCCACGUGCCCAAUGCUCUUAUCAAGCUGUUGCUUGUGAUAUUAUUGGAAAACGAAGACGCAGACGAAGACGAUGGUCGAUGGUGAUGGAGGUCUGCACCCAGGAGAUGGGGGUUCUUCCCCUGCGUUUUUCUUGUUGUUGUUCGUCUCUGUGUUUUUUUUUCUGUUCUCUGUUCUGGGUCUCCAGUGGCUUUUCGGUUAUGCCCUCCCCUCUCUUCUGUCUUCUCUCCCCUUUUCCCCCGGUUUUGCUCUUUUUUCCUUUCAUCCUCUUCUGCUCAGUCGUUCUUUGGCUUUUAUAGCCAGAGAAAAUAAUGUCGUUUCUUCCAACCAUAAAGUGUGAUAAUUGCAGAAGUAAUGGCUGUGCGGCGGUGGGCGUCCGUUUCGGUCGGGUGAGGAAGAUGAACAGUAACGGGCAACGGUGCUGUUUUGGUAUUCACAGUUGUAUGCCUUUUGGCCCUUGAAGUUUUGAACGUUUUGUAAUUAAGCCCCUAGUUAAAUUGUAAAUGGACCCCUGAAUUUCGACGCCUUUUACAAGUUAGGCUUUGGACUUUAAUCUGUUGCCAUUGUGCCCCCAAUUAACCCCAAAAUUUGGUAUUUUUUCAAUUAAGUCCCUGAUUUCAUUAAUUAAAUUAAAUCUAAGUCCAAUUAAGUCCCAAACUUAUCAAUUCAUUAAAUAAGCUCUUGAUUUUGUCAAUAAAACUAAUCCAAAGUUUAAUUAAAUCUCAAAACUUCCAAUUUUGUUGCCAUUAACCCAAAAUUUUAAUUCAUUCUUUAUUUUUAUCAUUUCACUCAUUUCAUCAUCAAAUUUUUUAAAUAAAAUAGAGAAGUCAAAAAUUGGGUUAUGAUAAUGAAUAAUUAAAAAAUCUAUUAACUUGUGUUGACCACCCUCCAUUUACUAUAUUUUUCUCUAAAAAAUGCCUUCCUUCCUAAUGAAAUUUCCUCAAAUACAUACUUUUUUUUUUAGGAAAUGUUCCAUUUUCCUCACUUCUAGAAAAAAAAAAUUAAAUGCUUGUGCGCAUGGGCUUGACCUUGCAGAUCCGCACACAAGCCUUUGAUGGGUGGGCCAAGCACUAGGCCUGACUUUCUAGAUCUAACAACGUAUGACCUCAUUUAUUUUUUUUAAUUAUUAUUAAUACCUAUAUAUAUAUAUUUAUUUAUAUAUUUGAAAAUAUUUUUAAAAAUGAUGUUUUUAUUAAUACUCGUUUUCGUUGAUUUUUUUUUUUGCCUUAUUUAGCGUUCAAUUAUUUUUAAUUAUGUUGGGUAUGUUUAGUUUUUUAAGAAGUUACUAUUAUUUAUCUGUAAAAUUUUUUUAUAUAUUUCAGAUAGAUUAAGUAUUUAUUUUUUUAUAAUAUUUUGAAUAAUUAUAGCCUUGCAUGGUAUUUUUUUUCCUUUUAUGCUAUUCAAUAAAUUUUAUAUGUGUAUUGAUUUCUAUUAUAAAUUAAUUUUAGUAAAUAAAUUAAUUAAACAUAACCAGGGUUAUUUAUUUAUUGGUAAUGACUUUUUUUUUCAUUUAUUUAUAUAAUGAUUCAUGAUUUAUUUAAUUCGAUGCGUGCAUAAGUUUUUUAAUUUAUAUUUAUGAUUGUUUUUAAUGUAAGAAAACACGUUCAUAAAUUCUUAUUAUUAUGAUUUCAGUUUAAUCCUAAUUUUUAUGAUUUUUUAUUUUUUUUCCUUAGCCUUUUAUAAAAGUUUUUUUGUUUGUAAUUUCACCCUUUAAUUUAAUAUGAUGGUGUAUUUGUUUUUUUAUUUUUUGCUUCUAUAUAUAUAUAUAUAUAUAUAUAUAUAUAUAUAUAUAUAUUCCCGUCUUUUGUUUUUUCGUUUUAUCAGCUUUUGCAUGUGGAAUAUUGAGUCUUCUACUUUUUCAGCCACAGAAUUGAAUCCUUUAUAUAUUCUUAAAACUAGAUUUGAAUUCUAAUGAACGAAUAAUAAAGAUGGUUGCAUGUACAAAUUCACCUUCAGAAAACAUAUAAUAAAGUCCCAUAUGUUAAUGAAGAUUUAAUUAUUAAGAAUAUAAAUUAAAUUAAAUUAAAUAUUGAAAAAACUAAAUGAAUUCCUUAAUAAAUAAAUAAAUUCUUUCUUUAGAAAGCAUGGAAAUGCCAUGACACUGGCUUUUUAGAGAGAUGAAGAUCUGGAGCACAACAGCCAAGAAAGUUAUCGAUAAAAGGAAGAUGGGAAGAGGGGAAAUGGGUAACGGGAGAGAGAUGAAGAUCUGCGCAUGGCUACCUGUUUUUGAGAGAAUUAUGGAAAGUUAUCCCUCACUCAAAACGGCACCAAUUAUAAGUUCAUUAAAAAAAAUCUGGAGCACAAUAGAUGGAAAAAACUCGAAACAACUUGUCUAGAAUUUAGGCAAGAAGAAUGAGCCAAGAUUUUAAUUGCAAUGAAAUUUAUCUCACUUUGUUAAGUUUUUUAAAAUGAUACAAGAUAUACUACCUAAUGAAACAAAAUGGAAUCAACAACCUUUAAAAGGAGUAGAGAUCACUUAUGUGUCUCUCAUAUUCAAUAGCCUUUUUCCCAUACUGACAUGUGCUUUACACUCACCAACAUUUUUUUUCUUUUUAUUUUAUAAUAUUCAACAUCGGCGAGUGAGAAUUUGAUAGCUAACUUUAUUAGUAGUGUUGGUUGCUGACUUGUCAGACACGUUUUGAGGCCAUAUGUAGUCACCAAGAACAAAUCCAUGAGGGCGAUAAGGCCCCAUAAAGACAAUAUCUGGUAGAUUCAGUCAGGCUAUGACAUAUUCGAUAAUAACUCUUCAAUUAAGUUCUAAAUCUCAUUUCAUCUUUUCAAUUUAAUCCCUAAUUUGACAUCAACUCUUCAAUUAGACCCCAAAGCUUAUCUCACCUGAGGAAAGCCCUCUUCUCUCAAUUUAGCCCCUUAUUAUCUUCAAUUUAAUAUCAAAUUUUAUUUGAUCCAAGCCCAAAAAAGGCUAAGCGAAGAUAGAAUAAAGGAAGGGAAAGAAAAUGAAUAAUUGCCCAACGGAGUUAACGUGUUUUGGUCUUUUCUCCAUGAUUUGGGUUGAACAUUUGACAUAUAUCCUUUUUUCUAUAGUUUUUUAUCCAUGUUCGUUGUGACGCCAUUGGUAUAGAAUGGUUACCAACUGUUAGUUUAAUAUGCCUUGUAGCCAAUCGGUUAGUUACACGAGACAUUAUUAUAUUCAUGUAAAUACAUAUUUAUUAUUAAUAAAGGCUUAAUUUAACUUUAAUAUUCAUAUAAUAUUAGAGUAAUGAAUCUAAAGUAUAAAUAAAGUUUAUGAGACAAAAAUGUUUUGCAAAGGAAAUUAUAAAGUUGUUAUAAUUAUGAGAUUUUUAAUGCAUCAAAGUAUAAUUCAUAAAAUAUUCUUGGUCGAUGCUCUCUUAAAUACUGGAUAUUAAUUAGAGCUAUAAAGACUGAUACAUAUUAUGUUUUUUCCUUUAUGAAAUGAAGCAACUGUUCUCAUAAGUUGAGCUAUAAGGGAUACCUAAAACUAAUAUGUAUAUGCUUGUCAUUAGACAUGUACACUGAAUUGACCGGCAUGAGAAUUCCAUAUGAAGAGAUUAUUUAUGUCUAUGGAAAGACUCACAUGACGGUUGUAUAUGUAAUCCUUAGACUUGAGAUCACUAAGUUAUCUUAUAUAGAGAAUGUUAUGCUUUGAUCCUGUUACAUGUUAUCUUAAUUGAGGUAACAAAAUGAUAGACAUUGGGUAUAUCAUGAACUAUAUGAAGGUACUUGAGUAAUCAAGAGAGGAUUUCAUCACCCUAUGUGAAUUAGAAAAAAUGUUCAAUCUGUUCUCAAAUAAUAUUGACUGAGAAAUCCGUGGCCAAUGUGGAAUGAUAUUUAAAAAGGAUUUCAAAUCUUAUUCAAAUAAUCAAUUGCUAUCAUAUAGAGAAUGACAUGAUUUAACAUGGCAAACAUGCUUCAUGCUUUAAUGUUAAAUAAGAACAUUAGUGAUAAAAUGGUAUUAAUUACAAUGAGAAACUGGUAAUUGAAACCACUAAUAACUUUUCUAAUAUUUAUGGGAUCAUGACACGUUACUAGACAAUGCAUAUGAUCUUCAAAUCUUCAAUUGUAAUUUAUUUAAUUAUAAUUAUAAUUUAUAUUUGGGUUAAUAUAUUAGGAACCUAAUAUGUCAUACACAUUAAGAAUUAAAUUGUGAUGAUUUAAUUAAGUAUAACUUGAUUAAAAAAAAAUUUAGAAAUUAAGGACUACAAUAUAAUUAAUACAAGGAUUAUAUUUUUAGAUCUAGAAAAAUCAAGGACUUGAUUGAGUUAAUUUAUAAAAUUAUCUUAAAUUAAUAUAUGGAUAUUAUUCAAGGGGAAAAUUGAUAUUUUGUCAAUUUAUAGGGUUUUUCAUAUUUCCUUAUAAAUAGUAAGUGUCGCACGUGUGCGGCGUCGUGACAAAAACAUUCACCCUCAAAAUCUUAUCUUAUAAUGUGGCAAAUGUGGGGAGACAAGGAAUUCUUGUUUUUUAUUAGUGGUAAAUUGGAAUGGGAGUCGCCACCUAGUAUUUUGGUCACUAGGAACUCUAGCUGGUCUCAAAGAUCGGGUACGGGGACUGGUUGCGUAAAGGGAAGGUAUUAGCACCCCAAAUACGCCCUACCUAAGGUAAGCUGCAUUGUUUUAUUGUUUGAUAAAAUCUAAGAUCUUGUCGUGUUUUCUCGUUGUUGGUUCGUCUAUGGUUUAAGAAAAGUCCUUCUCGGUAAGGAGAUCCUUAUCUUAUCGGGUAAUUCUGACGUCAACCAAAGAAUUUAAUAUCCGAAAUACGUCUUACGUAUAAGGUCAUAACCCCAGAUAUUAAAAGAAAACAAAAUAAUUUUUUUGGAAUUUUUGAAAUAUUGGCCUAGUUCUCGUGACUUUAAUAAACUGGUUAUUAAAGCCAAAAUGCAUGUUAAUAUAUAUUUUUGAAAUUUUCUUUGUUAUAUGAAAAUACAAUAUGAUUUUUUUUUCUUUUAUUUUUGAGAGACUUGGUCGUAUGCAUGAAAACAAAAUAUUUUUUAUUUUUUAAAUUUUUUUAAUGUCUUGACGAAAACCGGGUAUUUUAAUACCAGAUUUAUAUCUUUACAGUAUAAAAAUACAAACCAAUAUUGAUCAAAAUGAAGUAAAAAAUUUGCAGAAAAUCACAUAUUUUUUUAAAAUUCUUUUUCCGGGCUGGGCCCAGCCCGGCCCAUGUGGCUGGGCUGGACCCAGCAGGUUUCUACCCGCAUGCGUGCGUGAACAAUUCACGCACGCCUGCUACAGUCGCGAUGUAAUUAAUUUUCAUGUGCACAGUGUUUGUGCAUUUUCUGCAAAGUUGGAGAAGUUUACCUGGAAGCAAGACGAAGGCAACAACAGCUUUGGACCUCUAUCUUCACCUUUUCGUUUGUUUUUCUUCUGGUUCCUCUGGUUCUUCCUGUUUUUUUCUGUUUCUGUUUUCCGUUCUUCUUGUGGUUCCUUUCCUUUCGUCUCUGUCUUCUCCUUCCUCCCGGUAUUCUUUGUUUUUUUUGGUUCCCCUCCCCUUUUCUGUUUCUCUCCUCCCUAUCCUCUGCUUCCUUACGCUCUCCCUCUGUCUAUCUCUCUUUUUGUUCUUUUCAAAAGAUUUCCCACCCUCUGUUUCUUUCUCCCUAUGCUGCCCAGUUCUCCUUCCUUCUCGUUCUUUUUCUAUGUUUUCUCCCUGCUCCCUUCUUCUCCCCCUCUUCGGCUCAGUCUUCUUCUGCUGCUUUUAUAGGUCAGAGAAGGCUUUGUGCUGGUAACGGCUGGCUUGGUAACGGUUUGAAGAGGGAUGACAGCCGUGACACAUGCCCUAUAAUUGAAGAGAAUUGGCACUGUUGCUGCAAGAAAACGUCUCUCGGCCUUUAGUGCUGAAACGGCUGGAAGAAGACACUGAAUAGUGUUUCAAGGCAACGGCCCCGUUUUUUGCAAUUUUAAAUGAUAUUUAUGAUUUGGUCCUUGGAUGUUUUUACAAUUUGUAAUCAAGCCCUCGGAUAAAUUAUAAUUGGAUCCCUUGAUUGUAGCACCUUUUCUGUUUUGGUCCUUGGUUUUGAAUUGUUUCAAUUAAGUCCCUAAUUGGCCAUCAAACUUUAAUAACUAUGCAAUUAAGCCCCUGAUUUGACCAAAUCAACUCUUUAAAAUUAUAAUUGGACCCCAGAACUUUAAUUUCUUCCAAUAAAGACCUAAAUUGACUUAAAAAACAAUUUUUCUUGCAAUCAAACCCUCCAUAAAUUCAAUUAAACCUUAGAUAAAAUUUAAUUGAGUCCAUAAACAUCUUAUUUUGAAUAUAUUUUUUCAAAAAUUGAAUUUUCUUUGUCAACAGAACUCUCAUCAGUUAACGAUAAACUGUCAAAUUUCAACCUUUUGCAUUUUUGAACCUCUUCAACCAAUUUUUGGCCAUUUUUCGGCAUUCUAGCAUCCUUUUCUUACUCCUAUUAUUUUUUGGAUUUCUUUCGAAUAUUUUUUGAUAUAUAUUUCUUUUUGUAUUUUCUCAUUUUUUUGUGGGAACCCAAAAAUGGGUAACAACAGUAAGCUAUGCCUUUUAUUUUUUAGGAGUUGUCUGUUAGACAAAAAGACUACGUAUGUCACAUAAUAAAGAGAUAACACUCUAGGCAUAACAAUCCCUCUCUCUUAAAUAGGGACUUGAGAGAUUUUUCACUAGUGGUUCAUGUGAAUUACUAUUGAAGGACAAACAAUUGGACGACUUCUAGUUUACAACAACCCAGUCUUUAAAAAAUUAUUCAAAACCGAAGAUGAUCAAAUCUUUAGGUAAUAAAUCCCUAAACAACUCUAGAUCUGUUUAACAAAAUUCCAGAAAUUCCCGAAUAAUUUUAGGCUGUGUUUGUUUUCCGGAAAGUGGUUUCCGGAAAACCACUUUCCAAACUUUCCUGUGUUUGUUUGUUAUUAGGAAAGUUGGUCAACGGAAAACACUUUUCAGUCAAAGGCAAAAUUUAGCUUGGUUUUUAGAAAAGUGUUUUCCUUUUAUUUUAGGCGGAAAACACUUUCCGGAAGUUGUGCAAAAUUUAGAAAUGUCAUAUUAUUUGCUGAUUAUAUCAAAAUUGGUCCUGAAACUUUUGAUUGCUAUAUAUAUAUAUAUAUAUAUUUUUUGUUUUGAAUAUUUGUUUUUCAAUUUCAUCCCUUGGAAUUUAAUUUUUAUAUUAACUUUACUCCUCAUUUUUAUAAUUGCUAUUUGAUUUUCCCUUAUCAUUUUUUAAUUAAAUUUUUUUAUCUAUCAAAUUUGGUCAUCAUUCUUUUGAUUGUUACUUAUUUUAUUUGAAAUAAUUUAUAAAAUGUUAAUUAUUAUUAUUUUAAUUUCUUCAUCUUUCAAUUUUUUUAUUUUUUAGAUUUGAUCUCUAUUAUUUUGAUUAUUAUUUAUUUUAUUUGAGAUAAUUUAUGAAAUUAUAUUUUUUUUCAAUUUUAUUCUCAUUCAACUUUUUAAUUUGUAAGAUUUAUUCCUCGUUAUUUUAAUAAAUUUGAGAAAAAUAAAAUAUUAAUACGUUAUUUUCCAGCUUAUUUUCCAUGACAUAACAAAACACAGGAAAAUGUUUUCCAACUUAUUUUCCAUGACACUGCAAUUGGAUGACUCAUAUUUGAUUUAUGGAGCUAGCUAUGCUAAGGGAAUCAUGCUUGUAUCACCUAUACUAAUAAUAAUAAUUACAUAUUAACAAGCAUCAUUUGAUUAGUAAGUUUCCAAAUUCUAUCCACAAAUAUUAUAACCUCUUAAUUUAUGCAAGAACUUAGCUACAUUUCAUGCAAGCAAUCCCUAACUCUAGUAUUUUGUCUGUGUUAAAAAUGGAGACUUCUUGGUGUUCGCCGGAGCUUGGGUAUAUACCAUAUUUGAACAAAUAACAAUGUAAAAACAUCUUUUAACGAUAUUAAAAUCAUUUAUUCAUUUAAAGUAUCAAUAUUGUCAUUUAUAGUGAAACAUUUAAUUUUACUACAUUGAAAAUACGUUGACCAAUAGAAUCCCCGCCUUCAGCUAACCCCCAAUAUGUCUUGAAUAGCAAUGGCCAUCCUUUGGCCAUCAUGCCAUAAAAGCCUCAUUUGGAGCCAAUUCCUCUCUUUCUUGCCACUAUUUAGCUUCCGACCAUUCUUCGCGUUUCACUUUUCUUCAAAUGUUUUCACCAAAACAAAGCUUCAACCUUUAAAUUGUUGCUUAUAAAGUCGAGAUCCAAGGGAUUAUUUAAGAUUUUAUGGAAAUUACGUAUUUCAAAUAUUUUAUGUUUAUUUUUCUGAAAUAUCGUUUGAAGCAAAAGGCAAAAAAGAAUUAAAAAUUUUUUUAAAGUGUUUUUAAAACACAAAAACAAACAGAGUUUGUUUUUUAUUUUUUAAAGAAUUGUUUUUAAAAAAUAAUUUUUUGUAUUCUAAAUUAAUUUUUUUAUUAUUUUAAUAUAUUUUAAAUAAAAAAUAUUUUAAAAAACAUCUACUUAAAAAAUAUUAUUUUUCUGAAAUAAUACUUUUCUCUAUAUUUGAGUUUAGUUUAAAAUANNNNNNNNNNNNNNNNNNNNNNNNNNNNNNNNNNNNNNNNNNNNNNNNNNNNNNNNNNNNNNNNNNNNNNNNNNNNNNNNNNNNNNNNNNNNNNNNNNNNAUUUUAAUGUUUUUUCAUGCUCUAGCAAAUGAGGCACGAAAAGAGAACCUGAAAUCACGGCAGCAAAUAAGGAGAGAAAUAGGUGUUUGUUUUUUAUUUUUUAAAGUAUUAUUUUUUAAAAUUAAUUUUUUGUAUUCUAAAUUAAUUUUUUUAUAUUUUUAUAUUAAUAUUAAAAAUAAUUUUUAAAAAAUAAAAAAUAUUAUUUUAAUAUAUUUUUAAAUAAAAAAAUAUUUUAAAAAAGAGCUGCUUAUUCAAACACUUAAAAUAAAAAUCUUAAAAUCACAGCAUGAUAAAAGAAGAAAGAAAGGAAUGGGAUAAAGAAGAAAGAAUAAAAAAAACUCCAAAAAUCACGGCAUGAUCAAAGGAGAAAGAAAAGGAUGGGACAAAGAAGGAAGAAAGUAAGGUCACGUAGGGGCUUGUCUUGUAGAAAAUGUGAGAAUUAGCAUGAAAAGAGGAUAAUAGAGUAGUUGUUAGAAUCAAAAGACAUAAACACGGGAGAGAGGCUGCCCCUUACCUCCUCCUGGGAAGGAAUAUAUGUCAGACUAUACAGCCUUUUUCAAUUCAUUAAUGUCGUUCUCUGUUUGUCUUCUAAAACCUACUCCCAUCAUGUACAUGUAUUAUUUUCUUAAAAUUGCUCUAUGGAAUUGCAGGCCAUGCUCGUUUGAUUUUUUUAAUAACAAAAUUCUUUUCAUGCUCUUGCAAAUAAGGCAGGGAUGGAGGCCUUGAAAUCACGGCAGCGAAUAAGAAGUGAAAAAGAGCCUUUGUUUUUGCUUUUUUAUUUUUUAGUAUUUUUGAAACAAAUUAGAUUUUUUUAUUUUUUUUAUUUUCUAUUAUUUUGAUAUAUUUCUAAACAAAAAAAUAUUUUAAAAAACAACCACUAACACAUUCUUUUUAAGCUAUUAAGUAACCAGUCCCUAUAAUUUUUCAACAUUGCACUUGGGUACCAAACUUCAUUUUUCUCUUUUUCAAGUUUUUUUUUUGGUGGAGAAGACAGAGAGGGUCGCUGAAUUUUAUUUUAGAGAGAGAAAGUUGUUGUUAAGAAAGAUUUUGGCUACCGAAAUCGUUGAUUUUUGUAUCAAAUGGUAACCGCCUAUUUUUUUCAUGUGUUCAUACUUAAAACCUUCUUAAAGAGUUCUUAUCAAUGGUUUUAAAACCUCUCUCUCAAGAUCGAAAGGUUAGAAAUAACUCUCUACCCUCUAAGUCUAAUAAAACCAUCAAGUACUCUUAAAACCAAAACCACAAUUGCAAAAACCAGUUUAGUACAAGAACUUCUAACUAUUAGCUUUUAUCCAUAACCCUCUCACUUUGAUCAAAUGGUUAAACUUUCAUCAAUCUUUGAGGGAAUCCACAAAAAAACCUAGAAAAACAUAUAAUUACUCUUGAAAAUUAGAGCCGGAGAGGAGGAGAAAAAAAGAGGAAAAACAUGGGGAAAUAAUUUGUUAAUAGACUCUAUUAUAAAGGUUCAAGAGCCUAGAAGGUUUAACCAGCUUUAGAAAGAAAAAAAGUGAAAGGAAAAGAAGGAAGGAAAUGAAAAUAAAAAAAUAACAACGUAAUUUUGAACUUAAAGGCCUAAUUUCAGUGAAAGUUAAGAGCAUUAGAGACUAGACCGUGCUUAUACCAAAGACUCUCAUCGUUGAAGGAAUGCAAACAGUUGUUAACGAGACACUUAUGCUGUUCCAACAUUCAAAGAUUGUUGAAUCUAGUACCGGUGCUCAUUCUGGAUCUAGUACCAAAAGGAGAAUAUAGAAAGAGAUAGUAGUGAAUUAAUUAUGUUUCAUUCAGUAGUAAGAAACAAACGGGGGCAAUGCAUUUAUAAUAGCCAGAGAGGGGUUUUUAUAUACAUUCNNNNNNNNNNNNNNNNNNNNNNNNNNNNNNNNNNNNNNNNNNNNNNNNNNNNNNNNNNNNNNNNNNNNNNNNNNNNNNNNNNNNNNNNNNNNNNNNNNNNACUAGAUAUAAAGAAAAAGUACAAAUUCCAACAAAAAAUACAUGUUUGAAGGUUCAACAAAAAUGAUUUGCUAAUUAGCUAUAAGCUUGAGAAAGAUAAAUAAUGAGAGUGUGAGUUCAAAAACUCAGUGAGUAGAUAACGUUCAAUAUACAUACACGAGGUAAUACAACAAUGAGGAAUAUAUAUACAAUUAUGGCUUUAGAUUCUUAUAGGAAGGUUUCUCAAAUAGGCCAUAACAAGGUUAUCAUAAGGUAAAAUUCGUUAGAAAAUCAAAAUGCAAUAACAUGAGGCUCUGUACUAUGGGAUGAUCAGUCCACACAGGUUGAUGACUCUCCCAACCAACUAGGGUUUCAAAUACAAUGUGCACUAAGACUAACACUACCCUGUUAGUAUGAGCAUUCUAACUGGCAUACCAUAAGUUCAUAUCAUAAUCAAACAAACAAAUUCAUAUCUCAAGGCCCAACUCAUGACAUUAAUAAAACAAGAAGCUAUCAAUUCAGAAGUCAAUUUAGAAGUAUAUAUUGGCUUAUAUCAAAAAUUCAAAUUCAACAAUUAAUCAUGUUUUAUCAUAACAAAGAUAAUAAUCAACAUAUAUAUUAUCAAGAAGCACGAUCCAAUUCAUAUUAACAGCUCAAAUAUUUAUACUAUUUCUCAUGCAUAUGGAAAAUUAUACACUCACUUGACUUAAAAGUGAACAGAACUCGAAAGCAAAUACCGAAGAAAAUCCUACUGAUAUUCCGCAUAUAGAAUAUCAAGAUUAUCUAAAUACAAAGAAGACAUAUUAUAAAAUGACUCGAAAAGAACAUACAACCUAUUUAAUACACUUAACUAAGGGUCUAUUUCAUAACCCUAUACAUUUUGUUAAUUCUAAACUAGUUAUUUUUCCCAAAAACCAAAAAAGUAAACGGUUUUUCAGAAAUCUAAUUCAUAAUAAAACAAAUAAUGAGACUUGAUAAUAAUUCACUAAAUAACCAUCAAUUAUUCAUCAAAACAAUCUGAAAAAGCUAAUAUUAAAGCUAGGGACCAAUCUGAAAUUUUAUCAUAUUUUUAGGGGUCAAAUUAUAAUUUUAUCAAAUUGGAAGACCAAACUAAAAAUGUCAUAAAUUCAUGACUAUACUGGAAUUCUGCCCAUAAUUCAUUUUCAAUUCUGCCCAGAAUCUCAAAUUAUGCUCCAGGGACCACUAUAGAAUUUUAUCAAAUUUCUAGGGUUAAAUUGUAAUUUCAUCAAAUUGGAGGACCAAAGUGAAAAUAUCAUAAAUUCAUAACUAUACUGGAAUUCUGCCCAUAGUUUAUCUUUAAUUCUGUCCAGAAUCUCGGAUUAUGCUCCAGGGACCAAUCUCUAAUUUUUCCAAAGUUCAGGGACUAAANNNNNNNNNNNNNNNNNNNNNNNNNNNNNNNNNNNNNNNNNNNNNNNNNNNNNNNNNNNNNNNNNNNNNNNNNNNNNNNNNNNNNNNNNNNNNNNNNNNNCAGACCCACAUGCCUAGGGUCUGCAGACCCGCUUGCGGUUUGCAGACCCUUAUCCCUGGAGUUGCAGAACCCCGCGCCUGGGGUGUGCAGAACCGGGAGCAGGGUCUAGACCCGCUCAUCUGGGUUUGAAGAACCCCACUUCUUCUAUCGUGCCUGGGGUCUGCAGCAUCCUCCCAGGGGUUGUAGACCCACACAACUAGAUCUGCAGACCCCGUAGAGAAAAAUAACAAACUUGAAAAAAAAAAUGAAAACAAAUAUAAUAACUAAUAACAAUUAUUUUUAUCAUUAUUAUUAUUAUCGCUAAUAAAUUUUAUAAAAACAUUAUUACUAUCAAAACUUGGACUAGACAAGUUUAAUAUUAUUAUUACUAUACUAAAUAUUAUUGUUUUCAUUAUAAUUAAAAGUAUUAAUAUUUGUGUUAUAAAUACUAUUAUUUUUAUUAUAAUUAAAAGUAUUAAUAUUAAAAUUAUUAUUAUUUUUCUUAUAAAUAAUAUUAUUUUUAUUAUAAUUAAUAUUGAAAAUACUAUUAUUUGUAUUAUCAAUAUUAUUAUUUUGAGUAUAAUUAAUACUACUAACAUAAUAAUUAAUAAAUUUGAAAAAAAUAUUAUUUAUAUUGAAAAGCAAUAAUAGAUUUAAUUUGAAGGGUAAAAUUAAGAAUUAUUAUUAUUAUUAUUAUUAUUAUUAUUAUUAUUGUUAUUAUUUAUUGUUAUCAUUAGUAAAUUGAAAGAAACAAAAUUAUUAGUUAUUUUUAUCAUUUCAGCUGGGGUUGAAUUUUCUUAUUAGAGCAUGUUUGGUUUUGGUUUUAAAAAUUGCUUUGAAAAGAAUUUUAUUUUUUUUAUUUUUUUCUUUACUUCAAAUUAAUGUUUUUUCCUUUAAUUCAUAUUAAAAUGUUUUUGUAAUAUUUUGACGUGAUUAUAUAUUAAAUAGAUUUAAAAAAAAUUAAACAUUGCAGGAUUCAAAAUAGUCUUGGGUCCAGGUUGGGGCAGGACCCUAGAUCUUACAGGUUGCAGGACCCAAAAUAGCCUUGGGUCCGGCCGUAUGCAUGACCCAAAAUAGCCUUGUACAGUUGAGAACAUCUCAUGCAUGCGACAUCCAAUGCAACAUAAUAUAUAAAUUGCAAUGCAUGUAAUUAAUGGGGGGGAAAUUCAUGAAUGAAUUGAAAGAUAUAUAUCUUAUGGGAUAGAUACAACACGAGAAGAAAAAACCAUUUAGAGAAACAGACAAUCUCGAUUGAUGAUCAUCCUAUUAUUAGCAUGAAAGGUUGAAAAAGAAAGAAUUCAUACAAGGAGGUUGGCCUUGAAUUGGCAUUGCCUUAUUCCAAGCGCUAGCUAGCUUAUAAUAUUAUUCACUAGCUAGCUAGCUCGCUAGCUCCUCUCCCUAGCCUUCCCUGCAUCGAUCUUCUGCUUUGCAACCUCUUCCUGGAGCGACUCGAUGGAGGCAUUGGGGAUUCUUUUCUGGGUCACAACGCGGAAGCCCUUCGUAACUUAAGUAUUUUGGUUUUCUUGUAAUGGUAUCUGCUACAUCUCCUGCAACAAACGUGGUCAUCAGGAGCAUUAAAACACCAAAAGCCAUCAAUCCUUUGGACAUUGACAUUGUUAAACUAUGAUGAGAGCAGACAAUACACAAAUGUUGUUCUUAAAAGAAUAUUGAUUCGGUGACAAUAAAAAGCAAGGUCUGGCAUAUAUAUAUAUAUAUAUAUAUAUAUAUAUAGCAUAUGCAUGGAGUGUUUGCCGUUUAUAGCACAAUUUCUUGUGGAUAUUAAAAUAGUUAAUUCUCUUUGCUUUUUCAGAUUAUAGCCGCACCACUUAUAGCACAAUUUCUUGAAGUUGAUACCCACAUAUAGCUGGGAGCUCAAAUGGCCACAUCUUGCAUUAGACAUUGAGAGCUUAAUUGGAGGUCUUGGUCAGCUAAAUUCUCAGCAUCCCUGAUGAGGAGCACACAUUGCGUGGUUGUGACUUCACUUGAGAAAAGUACAUCCAAGAAACAAGGAGAGAUAUGCUACCAAAGAAAAGAUGUCGUGAGUUCGAGCGUCCAGGUUUGGAUCAUGGGAACGCAUACACAACCACAUGCCCACCCAGCUGCAAGAGCUCCAAGUCUGCAAUAUUGAUCUUGUAUUGUAUGUAAACUUCCAACAAAAGUGAACUAUAUGUUAGAUCAUUAGAGAAGGUUUUCCAUGUAACAUGACAUAACAAUAUUAAACAGCAUCAGGACAAAUAUUGCGAACAUAAUAUGUUUGGUUUAGGUGCGCGCGCCGCCUCUUAAAAAGCAUGUCGAAAUCCAUGCUUUCUGCGAGGUGCACCGCCCGGCGCACCUUACAUACAAACACAUUGUAAUUAGUGUGACCAAAAAGAACUCUUGGUGCGAUUAUCCAAGACCACAAAUCACACUCUGCAACGAGAAGUGUCCCCCAAAGACUAAACAAAAAGAAAAAAUAAAAGCAGCUUCCAAUCGUUUCAUUACUUGACUCACCCAAUAACAAAAGCUCUUCGUCUUCUCAAUAAGGAAAUUAAUACAUGCAAGCUGCCACAAGAUUAAAGCACUUAAUGCAGAGAAAGGAGGAGUCACUGCAAUCUAUUCUACUUCCCAGAUGUUGCAGUCAAACUUAAAAUGUGAAAAUCAAAUAUGGUAAAGGCCACGGCUCUACAUAUAAAGAAAUAGACACCUGGGAUAUGAGAGUUCUUAUUGUUAAAUAAUAUUUAUGUAGUCUUAUUUAUUAAGGGUAGAAUAGUACUUUCAGUUUGACCUAUAUAUACUUUAUUUGUAUUGAGGUUAACACAAAGCAUUCAUAAUAAACAGUCUGAGGGAAGAGAUAUGAGCCUACGUUUAAGUAUUUGAUCUCGAUUACUUUAACAUGGUAUCAGAGCUGGUUUUAUGGCACGAGGUUAAUCCCGUACACAGCUUAUGUCAAGGUAACCGAGCUCGAUAUCUAUCCUCAAUUAUUUUGGUAUUUCGUCUUCCCUUCAGCUUUGCAAUUUUGGUAAUUCCGUUCAGUUUCUGCAAAUUGUUUUGUGUUUUGGAGUAAUCGUAUAGUUUGAGAAGAUAUUUGUUUAGUUUCUGCAAUCUCUGUUCAGUUUCUGCAAUUUGGUAUUUUGUUUUCCGCUGCUUUUGCAUUCUGGUUCUUUGUGAUUGUUGAUUAUGGCUACUGAAAGAGAUGAUUCGCUUCAGUCUGUGAGUGUGAGGUUGGAUGGGAAGAACUAUUCGUAUUGGAGCUAUGUAAUGAGAAAUUUUCUUAAGGGUAAGAAGAUGUGGGGAUAUGUUAGUGGAACUUAUGUGGUACCUAAGAAUACUGAAGAAGGAGAUACUGUCUCGAUAGAUACAUGGGAAGCAAACAAUGCAAAGAUCAUUACUUGGAUCAACAAUUCUGUUGAGCAUUCUAUAAGUACACAGUUGGCAAAGUAUGAGACAGCAAAGGAGGUUUGGGAUCAUCUGCAACGGUUAUUCACGCAAUCAAAUUUUGCAAAACAGUAUCAGUUAGAGAAUGACAUACGAGCUCUUCACCAGAAGAAUAUGAGUAUUCAGGAGUUCUAUUCUGCCAUGACAGAUCUUUGGGAUCAAUUGGCUCUUACAGAAUCGGCAGAAUUAAAAGCAUGUGGUGCUUAUAUUGAACGUAGAGAGCAGCAACGAUUGGUACAAUUUUUAACAGCACUUCGCAGUGAUUUCGAAGGACUUAGAGGUUCAAUUCUGCAUCGUUCUCCACUGCCCUCUGUUGACUCUGUUGUCAGUGAGUUAUUGGCUGAAGAAAUACGUCUUCAGUCUUAUUCUGAAAAGGGAAUUCUUUCUGCUUCGAAUCCUUCUGUACUAGCAGUACCUUCUAAGCCAUUCUCUAAUCAUCAGAACAAGCCUUACACAAGGGUUGGCUUCGAUGAGUGCAGUUUCUGUAAGCAGAAAGGUCAUUGGAAGGCUCAGUGUCCUAAGUUGAGACAGCAGAAUCAAGCUUGGAAGUCUGGCAGUCAGUCACAAUCUAAUGCUCAUCGAUCACCUCAGGGUUAUAAACCACCACACCACAAUACUGCAGCAGUAGCUUCCCCAGGCUCUAUUACCGAUCCUAAUACUUUAGCUGAGCAAUUUCAGAAGUUUCUCUCCUUGCAGCCACAAGCAAUGUCCGCUUCUUCCAUAGGUCAGUUGCCUCAUAGUUCCUCAGGUAUGUCACACUCUGAAUGGGUCUUGGAUUCUGGUGCUUCACAUCAUAUGUCUCCAGAUUCCUCAUCUUUUACCUCAGUGUCCCCUUUGUCCUCCAUUCCUGUUAUGACUGCUGAUGGCACUCCUAUGCCCUUAGCAGGUGUUGGUUCUGUUGUCACACCUCACUUGUCUCUCCCUAAUGUUUAUCUUAUUCCAAAACUCAAAUUGAAUCUUGCGUCUGUUGGUUAAAUAUGUGAUUCUGGUGAUUAUUUAGUCAUGUUUUCUGGUUCUUUUUGUUGUGUACAGGAUCUGCAGUCUCAGAAGCUGAUUGGGACAGGUCGUAGGGAGAAUGGGCUAUAUAUUUUGGAUGAGUUAAAAGUGCCAGUUGCUGCUGCUGCUGCUGCUGCUACUGCUGAUUUGUCUUCCUUUCGUUUGAGUCUUUCAUCUUCUAGUUUUUAUUUAUGGCAUUCCCGUCUAGGUCAUGUUUCGUCUUCUCGUUUGAGAUUUUUGGCAUCCACAGGAGAUUUAGGAAAUUUGAAAACUUGUGACAUUUCUGAUUGUAGUGGAUGUAAACUGGCAAAAUUUUCUGCUUUAUCUUUUAAUCGAAGUAUUUCUGUUUCAUCUUCACCAUUUGAUUUGAUUCAUUCUGAUGUAUGGGGACCUUCUCCUGUUUCCACAAAAGGAGGGUCUCGAUAUUAUGUCUCUUUUAUUGAUGAUCAUACUCGUUAUUGUUGGGUUUAUUUAAUGAAACAUCGUUCUGAAUUCUUUGAGAUAUAUGCAGCUUUUCGAGCUCUUAUCAAAACUCAACAUUCUGCUGUGAUCAAAUGCUUUAGGUGUGAUUUGGGUGGGGAAUACACCUCUAAUAAAUUUUGUCAAAUGCUUGCCUUAGAUGGAACCAUCCACCAAACUUCAUGUACAGAUACUCCUGAACAAAAUGGUGUAGCUGAAAGAAAACAUAGGCAUAUUGUCGAAACUGCUCGUUCUCUCUUGUUGUCUGCUUUUGUUCCUAGUGAAUUUUGGGGAGAAGCUGUUCUUACUGCUGUAAGUUUGAUUAAUACAAUUCCAUCUUCUCAUAGUUCGGGUCUAUCUCCUUUUGAAAAGCUAUAUGGGCAUGUCCCUUAUUAUUCCUCAUUUAGAGUCUUUGGUUGUACUUGUUUUGUUCUUCGUCCUCAUGUAGAACGCAAUAAGCUAUCCUCUCGAUCCGCUAUUUGUGUCUUUCUGGGUUAUGGUGAAGGUAAAAAGGGGUAUCGUUGUUUUGAUCCAAUAACUCAGAAACUUUAUGUGUCUCGUCAUGUUGUCUUCCUUGAGCAUAUACCUUUCUUUUCUAUUCCAUCCACUACUCAUAGCCUGACAAAAUCUGAUCUUAUUCAUAUAGAUCCUUUUUCUGAGGAUUCUGGUAAUGAUACCUCUCCCUAUGUUCGAUCAAUUUGUACUCAUAACUCUGCAGGUACUGGUACUUUACUCUCUGGCACAUCUGAAGCUUCAUUCUCAUCUACAGCCCCUCAAGCUUCAUCUGAGAUUGUGGAUCCACCUCCACGUCAGUCCAUCCGCAUUCGUAAGUCCACAAAACUACCAGAUUUUGCUUAUUCUUGUUAUUCUUCAUCAUUUACUUCCUUUUUAGCUUCUAUUCAUUGUCUCUUUGAGCCCUCUUCCUAUAAAGAGGCAAUUCUUGAUCCGCUUUGGCAGCAAGCUAUGGAUGAGGAACUUUCUGCUUUGCAUAAGACAGAUACUUGGGAUCUGGUUCCUCUACCUCCUGGUAAGAGUGUUGUUGGUUGUCGUUGGGUGUAUAAGAUCAAGACUAAUUCUGAUGGGUCUAUUGAGCGAUACAAAGCUAGGCUGGUUGCAAAAGGAUACUCUCAACAGUAUGGUAUGGACUAUGAGGAGACAUUUGCCCCGGUUGCCAAAAUGACUACUAUUCGUACUCUUAUUGCCGUAGCUUCGAUUCGUCAGUGGCAUAUUUCUCAGCUUGAUGUUAAAAAUGCAUUCUUGAAUGGAGAUCUUCAAGAAGAAGUUUAUAUGGCACCCCCUCCUGGUAUUUCACAUGACUCUGGAUAUGUUUGUAAGCUUAAGAAAGCACUAUAUGGUCUCAAACAAGCACCUCGUGCUUGGUUUGAGAAAUUCUCUAUUGUGAUCUCGUCUCUUGGCUUUGUUUCUAGCAGUCAUGAUUCUACUCUUUUUAUUAAGUGCACUGAUGCAGGUCGUAUCAUUCUGUCUUUAUAUGUUGAUGACAUGAUUAUUACUGGUGAUGAUAUUGAUGGUAUUUCAGUUUUGAAGACAGAGUUGGCUAGACGAUUUGAAAUGAAGGAUUUGGGUUAUCUUCGAUAUUUCCUAGGUAUUGAGGUAGCAUACUCGCCUAGAGGUUACCUUCUUUCUCAGUCAAAAUAUGUUACAGAUAUUCUUGAGCGAGCUAGACUUACUGAUAACAAGACUGUAGAUACUCCUAUUGAGGUCAACGCGAGGUACUCUUCUUCUGAUGGUUUACCUUUGAUAGAUCCUACUUUAUACCGUACUAUUGUUGAGAGUUUGGUAUAUCUCACAAUUACUCGUCCAGAUAUUGCAUAUGUUGUUCAUGUUGUUAGUCAGUUUGUUGCUUCUCCUACUACUGUUCACUGGGCAGCUGUUCUUCGUAUUUUGCGAUAUCUUCGGGGUACAGUUUUUCAAAGUCUGUUACUUUCAUCCACCUCUUCCUUGGAGUUGCGUGCAUACUCUGAUGCUGAUCAUGGUAGUGAUCCCACAGAUUGCAAGUCUGUUACCGGGUUCUGUAUCUUUUUAGGUGAUUCUCUUAUUUCUUGGAAGAGCAAGAAACAAUCUAUUGUUUCUCAAUCAUCCACCGAAGCAGAAUAUCGUGUCAUGGCAUCUACUACCAAAGAGAUUGUUUGGCUACGUUGGUUACUUGCUGAUAUGGGAAUUUCCUUUUCUCAUCCUACUCCUAUGUAUUGUGACAACCAGAGUUCUAUUCAGAUUGCUCAUAACUCGGUUUUUCAUGAGCGCACUAAGCACAUUGAGAUCGAUUGUCAUCUUACUCGUCAUCAUCUCAAACAUGGCACCAUUGCUUUGCCUUUUGUUCCUUCUUCCUUGCAAAUUGCAGAUUUCUUUACCAAGGCGCAUUCCAUCUCUCGUUUUCGUUUUCUGGUUGGCAAACUCUCGAUGCUUGUAGCUGCCGCAUCGUGAGUUUGAGGGGAGAUGUUAAAUAAUAUUUAUGUAGUCUUAUUUAUUAAGGGUAGAAUAGUACUUUCAGUUUGACCUAUAUAUACUUUAUUUGUAUUGAGGUUAACACAAAGCAUUCAUAAUAAACAGAUUAUUCAGAAUUGUAGCCUCCUUUUUGUAUUUGAUCUCAAUUACUUUAACACUUAUACCAUGCCUCAAGGACAAAUGAAGGAGAGCAAAGCAUCUCCCGGAAAAAAAACAUCAAAUCAAGAGUCUUGCAAUCCACAUGCAUUAAAGCUUCUUUCAUAAAGGACAGAAGCUUUGAUUUCCAAAUGAGACAGCAAAAAAGAUAUGUCACUGAUAUCCACUUGUAAUUAAUAACCACUUCAUUUAUUUAUUCUAGGACAAAAAACCAAAACAAUCUUGGAUCACAUAGGAACAGGAAAAGGCCUUAAACUCUGACGAACAAGGCGGAGCUAUUAUACAUAGGAUACUUCAGAUGAACUGUUGAUUUCCAUUAUGCUUCAUGCCAAACGUGAGAACCCAACCUCCUUUCCCACCCAUAUCCACAUCACACAACCCGAUCAUCGUCGCAUAUUAAUUUCAUUACAUAAUAUGACACUAGGAUGCAUGUCAUGAUGAAACAUGGAUGAGAUUAAAACUCAUUGACAUAAAUCUGGUCUUUUAAUACAUGUCUCAGAUAAUUAGACCUGAUGAUUAAGAUUAUAAGUUCAAAAACAUAAAUAUAUAGCCAUACGCAAGAGUCUUAGAUUCUGGAAGCCAACAUUUCCAGCAAUACAUGUCUAGGCAAGACAUUGCAUAUCUGAUUCUGAGAAUCACAGCAAAUAUGCCCACUCUAUCAAACAUACUUGAAUGCAGCCAGUCUUAUUUGACAGGCAACUAAAACUAAACAUGAAAAAAGUUUCAUAUUAAGAAGAAGCAGUGAUCAUCUAUGAUCUACCAUCCUCCUAAAUCCUAGAACCUUUUAAUUUUUAACACAAAAACUAGUGACAGCACCUCAACAUGAUAGAAUUGAGAAGGAGAAGCUUCAACGCAAUGCAUGCAACUCAAAGCCAAUAUAUAUUACCCUUUCACUUAGACUACCAUCACAUUUCUAAGCAUCGAGUUUCAAUCUACUAGUUCAUUCCAGAAACAUUCUUCAACUAAGACAAAAUGCCGAACCUACCUGGAAGGCAGGACCCCCUCAGCAGAAUUCAUGAUGCUCCAGCAACCCAUGAAUGCAAAGAGGAACAAUCUUCUAAAAAUGACUUCCAUUGGAGGAAGUUCGACAAAAUUGAGUAAAUUCUUGACCCAAGGAGGAGACUCCUCCACUUUCUUCUCUAUCCUGGUCUUGAAAUUAAUUUUUGUUUCUUUCCUCUGUCUAAAGCUAGUCAUCAACAAUUUCUCAAAGGCAGCUUCUAUUGAUUCUUCGCUUCUUUCAUGCCCAGCAUAUUGUUUCAGGAGAAAAUUGCGUGAACUCCAGACUUCCUCUUCAGAAGCGUAAGGACUGACACCAAGACGUUUAAAAGGGUCCCAAACAUUCAUGGAAGGGAAUUUCGGGAUGUUACCUGUUGAGUUUGAACACGAUUGUGAUAGGUCCCUGUCACAGCAAGUAAUUAAAGACAAGAAACAAACACAAAUGUAUUCUGCUUUGGGCGAGAAUAAGCCACAAUUGAUAUUAUUGAAUAUUGAAUGAAUGCGUUCUCUGUCUCAUAGCAGAGUUUAAAUACAGGAAUUGAAAUAACAACUUUCCUAAAAUACUGGCAUGACUACAUAAAAUCAGGAUGACUCCUGCUACAUAGCUGGCAUUUAUUUGCUGAAUAAAACUUGACUCCUUCCUCCCGUGCACUAAGGCACUGCAGUGAGAAGACCCCCUUGACUCGUUCCUCCCUUGACUAGCUCUUCACAGCUCAAUAAACCUGCGAUUCUUCUUACGAAUUCUGCAUGAUCUUCUCGGCUCCAGCUGUUGCUCAUCCCGUUGUUGUAGUUCAUCACUUGACUCCUUCAAUUGCUGCUGCUGCUUAUCAAUACCUCCCUCUUUUAAGGGAACCUUGUCCUCAAGGUUCAGAUUCUGAAAUCGCUCCCGUAACGCCACAGCAUCUUCCCACGUGGCAUCAUCAUUCUGCAGAUGUUUCCAUUUGACGAGAAUUGCUUCGACAAACCGAGACCCUUUCUUGAUCCAACGAGUGUCUAGGACAGCCUCAGGUUCAAUCAGCAUCUCUCCCGCAGCAGACAUAGGUGGCAAUUCGAUUGAUUCAACCACCUCAUCUCCAAUUUUCUUUUUGAGCAAGGACACAUGAAAGACUGGAUGAAUUCAAGCCUGUGUAGGCAAUUUUAGCUUAUACGCUACCGCGCCAAUUCUUUCUGCAAUCUGAUAAGGACCAUAAUAGCGGCUAGCCAACUUUUUGCAUACACUCCUGACCACGGAUUGUUGACGGUAAGGGUGAAGUUUAAGAAAAACCCAAUCUCCCACCUGAAAUUCAAUAUCACGUCGCUUAGAAUUAGCAAGUUGUUGCAUGCGAUUACUAGCCGCAUGCAGGUUUGCCUUGAGCAGACUCAACAAUUCGUCCCUAGAGGCGAGUUGCUGAUCCACUUCAUUCACCGGAGACAUGCCAAUGUGGUAAUGGGGAAUUGUAGGUGGUAAACGUCCAUAGAGGGCCUGAAAUGGUGUCAUUCCUGUAGAAGCAUGAUAAGUUGUAUUAUACCAGAAUUCGGCCCAAGGUAGGAGGGAAUUCCAUUUUGCUGGCUGGUGGUGAACAAAGCACCGAAGAUAUUGUUCGACGCAGCGAUUGACCACCUCUGAUUGCCCAUCCGUUUGUGGAUGAUAUGCGGAACUCAUCUUCAACUUGGUACCUGACAAUUUAAAGAACUCACGCCAAAAAUGACUGAUAAAGAUAGGAUCUCUAUCACUGAUAAUGGACCGCGGCAUACCAUGUAGCUUCACUACCCCGUCAACGAAUUUCUCGGCCACAAUUUUGGUCGUAUAAGGAUGAGCCAAUGCCAAGAAAUGUGCUGACUUACUUAGGUGAUUAACCACAACGAAAAUUGUGUUCUUGCCACCCGAUGUCGGGAGACCUUCAAUAAAAUCCAUCGUAAUAUCAUCCCAAACCUGACAGGGAACAGGUAAUGGUUGUAAUAAACCCGCCGGUGAUAGUGUGUCUGAUUUUACCCGUUGACAUACGUCACAGGAUGCGACAUAUUCCUUCACUAUGCGAGCCAUUGAUGGCCAAUAGAACUGGUGUGCCAACCGUUUGUAAGUGCGCAACACACCCGAAUGCCCUCCAAUAGGUGAAUCAUGGAAUUCACGUAAUAGUUGUUGAAUGAUGUCCGAGUUGGGGGCAACUACUACUCAAUUUUUAUAGUGGAGCAACCCAUUCCGCCGUGUAUAUGGGCUGCCCGAAUUUUCAGCAGCGAGCUUGCCAAUUUUCUUCAUGUAAGGAAGAGAAACAGCUUCGGCCUUAAGCUGAUCCCAUACGGUACUUUGUGGAACAGAUAAGUGCGAAAGGCAAGGGCUUCCCGUCAUUCGUGAUAAAGCAUCCGCAGCUGAAUUCUCCUUUCCUGGCUUAUACACAAUUUCAUAAUCAUAGCCGAGUAAUUUCGAUACCCAUUUCUGCUGUUCUGGGGUAGUAAUACGCUGCUCCAAGAGGUACUUCAAGCUGCGUUGAUCGGUUUGGAUCACAAACUUACGGCCUAACAAGUAUGGUCUCCACAGCUGGACAGCCACCACAAUAGCCAGCAUCUCCCUCGCAUAAGUUGACCAUGCACGCUUGGAUAGCCCCAAAACGCGACUCAUGAAAGCUAUUGGCCGCCUUGUUGGGUCAGAACAGCGCCGAUGCCAUCACCGGAAGCAUCAGACUCAAUCACGAAAACUUCAGCAAAAUUAGGCAUGGCAAGUGUUGGGGUGGACGUCAUUGCGGUCUUUAAUGCCUCAAAAGCUGCCUCGGCUUCAUCAUUCCAGCCAAAUUGACCUUUGGUAACAAGGAUGUCAACGGUCGAGCAAGAAUUCCAUAAUUGCGGACAAAUUUCUUGUAAUAACCUGUAAGACCUAAAAAUCCACGAAGCUCAGAUAUAUUAGUAGGUCUUGACCAGGAUAGCAUAGCCUGGAUUUUUGCUUGAUCAACCUUAACCCCCAUUGGAGUAAUAAUAUGCCCCAAGUACUCCAGUUCUUGUUGACCAAAAGCACAUUUCUUCAAUUUCGCAAAGAAUUGGUACUGCCUUAGAAUUUCGAAAGCCUUGCGAACAUGUUCAAGAUGCAUGGUCCAAUUGGGACUAUAGAUCAAUAUGUCAUCAAAAAAGACUAAUACAAAUUUGCGAAGGUAUGGUCGAAAUAUGGCAUUCAUAAGGGCUUGAAAAGUAGAGGGUGCGUUACACAAACCAAAUGGCAUGACUAAGUAUUCGUAAUGACCAUUAUGAGUGCGAAAAGCAGUUUUAUGAAUAUCAUUUGGUGCUACCCUAACCUGAUGGUAACCAGCUGUCAAAUCUAGUUUGGUAAAAUAAACAGCCCCAUGCAAUUCGUCUAACAUGUCAUCUACUGUAGGAAUAGGAAAUCGGUCUUUAAUAGUUACUGCGUUAAGUGCUCUAUAAUCGGUGCAAAAACGCCAUGUGCCAUCUUUCUUUUUGACUAACAAAACAGGUGAUGAAAAAGGGCUAGUGCUUGAUCUUAUAAAUCCCAAUUUUAACAUGUCUUGAACCUGUUUUUCAAUUUCAGCUUUUUGAAAAUAGGCAUACCUGUAGGGUCUGACAUUGACCGGUUCUGUCCCUUCUUUGACAGUGAUGGUGUGGUCGAUCUCCCGGACCGGUGGCAAUUGAGCUGGAGUUUGAAAAAUAUCUCCAAAUUCCUCCAACAUCUGCUGCAUUUCAGACUCAACUUUGCUAACAGGCAUCUCGACUUCGGUUUGUAGACAGAUAGCAAACAUCGUUUUGCUUUGGCGCAGCUCCUUCGAUAAAUCCUUGAGAGACGCGGGUUGAAUGUGUUGGCUGUCAAUUCCCUGUAAUUUUUGCAUCUGAUUCUUCCACAUAAAUUCCAUGGUCAUUUUCUUCCAAUCACAGGCUACUGUUCCCAAUUGUUCAAGCCACUGCACUCCCAAAACCAAAUCUAACCCACAUAAAGGUAUGGCAUAUAAAGUCAGCAUAAAUGGGAUACCUUGAAGUAGGACGUGUAUGUUUUCAAAUAUGCCUUGACACUUCAAUGGAUUCCCAUUUGCCACCUUUACGUUGAAGGGCUGUGUGGGUAUCACUGGUAGGUGUAGCCAAUUAGCAAUCCGCUCGCUAAUGAAAUUGUGGGUGGAGCCACUAUCAAUGAGGACAGUCAAUUCGUGAUUUCCAAUUCUUGCCAUGAUGCGCAUUGUUUUGGCAGUCGACCAGCCAGUAAGAGCAUGUAGUGAAAUUUGUGGUUCAUCAUCUUCGAAGUCUUCGUCAUCUUGCAGAUGUGUCUUUUCGUCUCCUUCCAGUAGCAACAAACGGGGUCUUUGACACUUAUGGCCAGGAGUGAAUUUUUCGUCACAAUUGAAGCAGAGACCUUGCGAUCGGCGCUUCUGCAUCUCGUCCCACGCCAGGCGUUUCAUGGGCAUAACUGCUGCUGGUGAUUUUGUGGGUGAAAAAGAAGCAAUUGGAUUCUGACUAAUGGAAAAUGGCUUACGUCGUUGGCGAAGUAAUUGCUCAUCUCUCAUUCUGGCAAGGCUAAUUGCCUCUUUCAAGGAUUUGGGUUUAAACAUCCUAAUCCCUUCUGCAAUGUCAGGUUUCAAGCCUCCCAUAAAAGUUCCCACCAAUGCCUUCUGCGUCCAGCCUUGCACACGGUUACCCAGCCUUUCGAAUUCUUUUUGGUACUCCCGUAGUGAGCCCCCUUGUCUCACCCUUGACAGUGCUUCAUCGAAAUCUUCACAUUCUGGUGGUCCAAACCUUGCCCAUAAUUCCUCCUCAAAAAUUGGCCAUGUCAUCUCCUUGUCUUCCUCUUUGUAAGCACGUCGCAGCCACUGCCACCACUGGUUCGCCUCCCCUUGAAGAUGAAAAGAUGCCAAUGACACCUUUUGUGUUUCCACAGUACCUUGGUAUUCGAAGAAUUGAUCAACUCUGUUGAACCAUUCAGUGGGGUCGUUGCCCGAGUAUAUGGGGAACUCAAGCUUCGCCAGUUUUGAAGAGAACAUCUGUCUGUUCCCCUCAGCUCGUUCUGCAAUGUCUUCACGUUGAUAGCGCGGGCGUCCAUUGCGCUCAAUGGAUUGGCUGCUGGAUCCUUCUUUGUUGGACAGUAACGCCUCUGUCAGCUUAUUGAUGUUGACUUCCAUCUGCUGCAUUCUGUCAACAAGAGUAAUUUCCAUUCGGCUCAUUCCAUCUUGCAGACCUCCCAAUCCGAUUUCCAAAUUUUCUAUCCGCUCCUUGUUUGUUGUCAUUGUUAACCUGGCUCUGAUACCAAUUGAUAGGUCCCUGUCACAGCAAGUAAUUAAAGACAAGAAACAAACACAAAUGUAUUCUGCUUUGGGCGAGAAUAAGCCACAAUUGAUAUUAUUGAAUAUUGAAUGAAUGCGUUCUCUGUCUCAUAGCAGAGUUUAAAUACAGGAAUUGAAUAACAACUUUUCUAAAAUACUGGCACGACUACAUAAAAUCAGGAUGACUCCUGCUACAUAGCUGGCAUUUAUUUGCUGAAUAAAACUUGACUCCUUCCUCCCGUGCACUAAGGCACUGCAGUGAGAAGACCCCCUUGACCCGUUCCUCCCUUGACUGGCUCUUCACAACUCAAUAAACCUGCGAUUCUUCUUAGGAAUUCUGCAUGAUCUUCUCGGCUCCAGCUGUUGCUCAUCCCGUUGUUGUAGUUCAUCACUUGACUCCUUCAAUUGCUGCUGCUGCUUAUCAACUGCAUUGGCAUCCAAUAAGUGAGGACAAUCUUGUAUCUUCCAAGUGGCAGUAGAAUUUAAUUAUAACUACCAUUAUUCUUAUCUUUAGUUAGUAAUAUAACUCUAUUUAUUGUUUCUAGUACGUAGGACAUGUUGUAAUGAAAACCUGUUAGUUAUUUGGUGUGAUUCCAAGGAGUGAUUCCUUUGAAUGAUAUCAGGCUCUACUUAUUUUCCUCUAUCAAUACUUUCUUGCUAUCUUUUAUACCAUGUUCAUUAGUUUACAUAAAUUGUUCCCUUAAUAUCCUUUGGUAUUAAUAUUAAUUGAUAUCAGAACAAGUUUUGAAUUUUUGAUCUGCUAUGCCUGGAACCGCAGUGGAAAUUCUUAUAAUCCCACCAAUCAAAGAUUACAAGACCCUAGUCCUUCCCUAACCAAUUUGAACUCCCCGUAGAAAACAUCUCCAAACCGAUUCUGAACCCCCCACAACAAGCAUCUCCACAACCUAUUCCGAACCCCCCACAACAAGCAUCUCUACAACAUGAUUUACUUCCUUGUUAAACCAGUUAGAAGAUGCUCUCAGAAUGGUAAGCUUCGAAGAGCUGCAGGAUGCAAGCGUGUGCUGAAGAAGCAAGAGGACAAUUGCCCACAUAAAUGGCAAAGGGGGUGAUUGUUGGAAUAUUGCCAAUUAUGUGGCUGCCAUUGUCAAAGAAGAUGGCUGCAAUGGUGGGUUGUUGGUGGCAGCCAACAACCAUUGUCUAAUGUCAAAGUUUGGUAAGUUUGGCAGCCACCAUUGUUGACAAAAGAGUUGGAGGAGCUGCCAUGAAUGCCUAUAAAUAGAGGCCUACAUUAGAGAAGCAAAGUGAGAGAAGAAAGGAGAGAAAACGUGAGUGUGAGUUGAGAGAAAGAGAGAGCUGCAAUGGCAGCAGCCUUGCUGCCAUUGCAGCAGCUGCAACAGCUGUGUGUGAGAGCUGGGAGUAGAGUAGAGUGAAUGUAAUCCUCCUCCUCCAUAUAUAUUGUAAUCCUUUCUCUAUAUAUCUCAAUAAUAUAGACUCUCCCGUGGAUGUAGGCGGUUUUGCCGAACCACGUAAAAUAUUGUGCCAGUGUGCUAUCCCUCCUUUGAGCAAUUAUCAGUACACCCCCGGUCGGAAAUCCCCAACACAGAGUUGAUCAAGGAGGAGAUGUGGCUAUAGAUGAAGAAGAAGUAGGAGAACAUUAGCUCAAUUCAGUCUACAGUGACAGGGAGGUCAAAAUUGAAAGAUAUCACUAUUUUCAUUAAUUUUAUUAAAGCUUAUAAUAAAAGGUUGUGUUUUUAAUUGGAUUUAUUUUUAUAUGGCGUGGCUUCUUUUUUUAAAAUGCAAUCUGCUUCCCUUUAUAAUACAGAAAUCCAGUUUUGAGUUUAUGUAACUAUAUUAACAAAACGAUUAAAUGCUUUCGUGUCCGUUUAAUUAUUUAUAUAAAUAAUAAACCCAGUUAAUAUAUUUUGCAAUCAGUUUAUGGUUUAUUUAUCUCAUAGUUGAGUUAGUUAAUGUAUGUUUUUUCAAAUUAGUAGCAAAGGCGUGUGGGCUUGUCUCAGGCUCACAUGCUAGUGCCUGAGUUGUACUGUAAUAGACCCUAUCAUAUUAGGCCACAUAAGCCCGAGUGGUUGGAAUUUUUUUUAUUGGUCAUUUUUUAUUUUUUUAAUAUAAUUUUUUAAUUUUAUAUUUUAUUGUUGAGUUUUUUUAUUAAGUUUUAUUUGUCAAUAUUGAAUUAAUUAUAAAUUAAUUUUUAUAUUUUUUAUUAUAUAUAAACCGAGUAAAGUAUUUGGUGGGUUAGCUAUAAACCUGAACUUUUUAUUUUUUUAUUUUUUGGACUAGUAAAAGACAAAUUAAAAAAACAAAGUAAUCUUAUUUGAUAUGUUGUAAAUUUUUUUUUUAUCUAAUAAUUUAAAUUGAAAUCUCAUUUAAUAAUUUAAAUUAUUAAAUUGAAAUAAAUUUUUAAUACAAUGAUUUAAGAUGUACCAAGAUAUGGUUGUAGUUUUUAUUUUUUUGCCUUUUUCUUUAAAAAUGUUAUCUCCUUGGUAAGGAAUCCUUGGUUCCCAACGGCAACUGUAGCAACGUAAAAACAAAUCUCUAAACUCCACCGAAAGUGGUAGAGCAUUAGAAUUUUUAAAAGACAAAACGGGGCGCGACAUUCAUAAUUUAUAAACAGAUGCGAUAAAAUAAGUCAUACUGCAUGUUUUCAUUUGGCAUUUAAUUCCAUGAACAUGGCUUUUUUAGAUUAAUAUAGUGUUUGGACUAGCUUGUAUAUCUCGAAUAAUCUCAAGAGAUCUUGAAGUUAACAACGUACCAUAUAAGGCUUUAAUAGCAAUGAGAUUUGUAGGAUUCGAACUAGUGAUAUUUAGAAAACAAACUUAGUGACUAACUAGUUGAGCUACACCCCUUAAAAUUCCAUGAACAUGAUCUUACUUUUCGAUCAAAUUAAUGUGACCAUAUUAUACUUGUAAUCAAACCAUUAAUUGACUGUUCUUGACUAGCUAUUGUUUCUCAUUGGCAAGAGUCAUUGCCAAUGAUCAUAACAUGUUAGUGAUCUAUUGCAACUAGUUCUAGUAUCGACAGAGUUGUUAUUUAACCAUUAAAUCAAUUUAUAAAACAUUAUUGACUAGCUAUCUAACACUAACAACUAAUCACAGAUAAUAUUUAUGCAAAACUUGUAGCUUAAUACGAACUCUCAGACAUGUGGGUGGGGCAACUCAAAGUAGGAGAGUGGUAACCUCUGAUACAUAACAGAGAAAAUUAUAGAGUAAAGCAGGACGGAAUUUUCUUAAAUUAACAACAGAAAUCUAGAUACUUCAAUAAAUUAACACACUGACUAAUAAAUCCCCCCCACCAUCAUCCAGUUAUCACAGGUGCAUCUACAAUGAACAGUUCUCGAGAAGAAACUCAAGAAACGCAUAUAAAGCUACAUGAUGACAUAAUAGGAACCUGCAUUGCCUCCAUUCCAUGAUGAAAGUUCAAGAAAUUCUACUUCGAAACUCAAGACAAAGUCUCUCAGACUACAUAUUAGUGGGAUUUCUAUAAACAACUGAUUGUAUUGCAAAGCAACAUUAUGAAAAACUGAAUAUUUCACACAUAGUCUAACAAAAGUAGGUUCCAUUGUCAAUUCCUUAACAUUUUCCGAACAAAUCACAGUUGCUCCUCGUUUGAUACUUUCUUGAAGGUUUCUUUUCUCUUAUUACCAAUUUCUGUGAGUUUGUGAUUUUUUAUCUGUACCGUAUCAUCCGAACAAUUACUAGAACCACACAACUAAUAUGUAAAUUCACAAAUUCCCUACAGUUCAUAUUGCCAACAAACUCCUCUUGCCAUUCCCUAAUUGCAUUGAGCCAGCUAAUCUGGAUGAAAGAAAGGACUUCGACCUUGAAAUUAGCAUCAUAGUCAUGGAACCUUAAAGCAGGCCCAACUUUGUAGCUCAUUACCAGCUACGUAAAAGUUAUCAAUAGCUGUGUGGAUCAUUGAAACUGCCACAAAAGCAACCCAAAUUAGUUAUGAAUUGGAUUCGAUAAAGGAAAGAGGGGAAGAGGGGAGAAGACAGAUGAAGAUCUGCGCAGGGCUACCUGUUUUGAGAAUUAUGGAUUUUUAUCCCUAACUCAAAACGGCACCAAUUAUAAGUUCAAUAAAAAAAAAUAUGUAACAGAACAGAUGGAAAAAACUCGAAACAACUCGGCUAGAAUUUAGGAAAGAAAUUCAGAAUGAGCCAAGAUUUUAAGUGAGAUGAAACUUUGUUCUUUGAAAAAAAUAAUUAAUAUGAGAUAUACUUUUCAUUUUAGUGAACCUUAAAGCAGACCCAACAGUUAAGUAAAAGUUAUCAAUAGCUGUGUAAACCAUUGAAACUGUUACUGUAGGUGCACACUCAAUUACACCAUGGAUUCACAUAGUGCAAUUGUUAAUUUUUUUUUUAAAUUCCAUGUUAUUUUUUUAUUUGAACCUUUUUUUGUCAACAUGUUUCGCAAUUGGCCUUGGUAUUUUGUUUUCAUUUUCUCUAUGUUUCCUUCUUCUGUAGAUAAAAAACAUCAGGUCUUUGGGCUCGUACUUGAUAGUGCAAAAUUAAUGACACAAUAAUCAAAUAACACAAAAAUUUUUAUAAGCGAAAGGAAUUGGAGAUGUAAACCUAAAAUUCGCAAGUUUAUUUUUUCUAAAAUAAUAAUAAUAAUAAUAAUAAUAAUAAAGUCUACAUUCUUAGAAGGUUUACAAACCUUUAAAUGGGUCAAGAACCCUACCCCCAACUAGGAAGCAAAAAUAAAAAUUCAAAAUUACAAAGAAAAGAAGCAUAAAAUCCAAAAUAAACAAGAAAUCUAAAAAUAAUAAGGAAAAUCACAAAAAUUACCAAAACUAGAGGCCUCAAUGAGAUUUUUGAUAUCUAAAGAUCCGACGGUCCGCAUUAAAAUUUGAGCACAAUCUAACAAUUGAAUAAAAAAUUAUGACUCUUUUGAGUUGUUAUUCUGGUUUAGCGUGACCAAACCUUCUCUUGGGCUUAGACCUGUUUCAUUGGUCCAUAAAUACAUUUGCUAAGCUAUCAACAUAAUUUAUCUAGGGAAAAUCUUCAUCUAGUUAUGGCAGAUUCACACCUGACUGCUUAGAAUCACUAAUUAUUAUAGGAUUGACUACAUCAAAAUUGGUCGGUUUUUUUUGUUUUCAAAGAGAUUUAAACUUGAUGCAGAUGAAAGCUAAAAACACAAUAAUCAAAGAACACCAAAAAAUAUAUGAGCGAAAGAGAAUAUAGAUGUGAACUCUCAAAUUCCCAAGUUUAUUUUCUCUAAAAUAAUAAUAAUAAAGUUUGUCUUCUUAAGACGUUUACAAAGCCUUAAAUAUGUUAGGAACCUUACCUUAACUAGGAAACAAAAACAUAAACCCAAAAUUACAAAGGAAAGAAACAUAAAAUCCAAAACAAGUAAGAAAUAAAAAAAUAACAAGGAAAAUCACAAAAACUACCAAAACUAGAGGCCUAAACAAGAUUUUUUAUAUAUAAAGAUUCGAUGGUUCACGUGAAAAUUUGAGCAUGAUCAAAUAAUCAGAUAAAAAAUUAUAACUUUUUGAGCUUUUAUUCUGGUCUGACACGACCAAACUUCUUCUUGCUAAACUUGUUUCAUUGGUCCCUAAAUACAUCUCCAUAACCUUUUUUUUUUGUUUCACUAUAGAUAGAGUUUGACCAUUAUUAUAUAUGGUUUGACUUAGCCGUAUCGGUUUUCAAUUAGAUCAACUUUAUAUAUUAUGGGUUUACAUUUACUAUUUUUUAAAAAGUGCUCACAAGUCCAUUUUUCACACCUCAAACUCGUAACUGCAACGAUUCGUAGGCAACGAAACUAGUUAAAGACUAGAGAGUAAACAUGCUACUAAAGUUUGCAGGUGAGGGUUUAGAUUAGAUUAUUUGUUGUCUUGUUUCAAAUAUUAGAUCAGUCUCAACUCAUUAAAUAAACAAGUGGUGCAUUGAUCCUUGGACUCAAAUCAUAUAUACACGGCGAGCUCAUUUGUGUUUUUAUUAUUUGUCCCUCCCUGUACUUGUAGCAGAAGAGAAGCUGCUCUCAUCUUUGAAGGAAUGCAAACAAUUGUUAAUAUGAAACAUAUUAUGUACAAAUUAUAAUAUUUGUAAGAAGCCGUUUUGCUGCCCACCGGCGGCCAUCUGAUCAGAGAACAGUAUUAUAUUUUUUAAACCCUUCACUCUCAUAAAAACAAUUUAUAUGAUUAUAAAUAGGAAAACAUAAAAAAAAAUAGGAUUACAUAUUUUUAGAGAUUACAUAUUAUUGUUUUAGUUCUUUUUCUUGAUUAGAGAUAAGUUGAAUAAAAGUAGUAAUAAUUUAUUUUUGUGAAAAAAGUUUACUACAACUCCUAAUAAUUAGUUUCAUGUAAAAAAUAAAAAUAAAAAUAGUAACUAAAAUUUAUUUUAGUUAUGUUAAUAAAAUUUUAAAGAUAUUUUAAUUGAAUUAAGUAAUUCAACACAAAAUUUAUGUUCGCAUACAGUUGUUGUAACCCAUUUUUGGGUCCCCACACAAAAUACAAAAAAAAUAUAUCAAAAUAAAAAAAAUAUUAUAGAAAAAUAAUAGCAGUGAAAAGAGGAUGUCGGAGCGCCCAGAAAAUGAUCAAAAAUUGGUUGAGGAGGUUUCAAAAUAUAAGGAUUGAAGUUUGACAGUAUAUCAUUGACUGGGGCUUAAUUGCAUACAUAUUGAAGUCUGGUGGCCAAUUAAGGACUUGAUUUAAGAAAUCCAAAACCAAGGACCAUAGUGAAAAAAGCGCGCAAAUUGAAGGGCUAAUCUGAAAUUGGACCCAUUUUGGCACCAGUUUUUGUUUAAAUGAAAUGGCACGUUUUGAUAAAAAACAACGCCGUUUCAUGCAUUGCACAAAAAAAAGAGAGCAAACGGUGCCGUUUUGAACGGCACCAUAAGCCUUCUUCUUCCCCUGUUGAGAACAGGGGAAGAAAAAGCAUUUUUGAUGUAACUAUAUUAUUUGAUAGUUUCACCCACAUUUAACUAGUGUUUAGCCUAUGUUAUAUAUAUAAAAUGCCUUGAUAUUCUUUGUUUUAUGUUUUGAAGGCACCUUUAGAUGAAAGAUGCAAAAAGGAGUAAAUUGAAGAUAAUUGGCAGAUUUGAUGUUCAGUCGAUGUUUUGUGCAGAGCAUGAGCUCUAAAAGUCAAAACGAAGUGAUUCUAGUGGCAUUAGAAAUCUAACAUCCAUACCUUUCUGUAAAUAUAAGUCAAGAAAAAUAAAAAUACAACGAGCAUGGAAAUCACAUCCUUCAAAGUCAAAACUCGCAUUCUGCCAGUGUUGACCUUUGUCCAUUCAAAAUUCAAUAUCUGGAGCUGUAGAUAUCCAAUUGAUGUAAACUCAAUUGUUUUGGAUUCCUGACUCAAAGGUGUCUAUAAACGCUCCAAAUUUCAGCCACAAAUGAUGUCAUAUGAGGGAGAUAUGAGUUUUCAAAGAUGACAACUGAAUUCUGCCAGCAAACAGGUUUCGUGAAGAAACGAAUCCAAAUUACAUCCCGAAGCAUCAAAACCGACAUCCAAGUUUUAAUUUCAUCAAUUUAGCUCCUCAAGUAAAUCAAUCCAGAAGGUCAAGGAAGGCAGCCACCAACCUCAAGCCACCAACCUCAAACCACCAACCACAAACCAGCUGCCAGCCACUAGCCGCCUUCACACUACCACCAUCUCUUGAUGUUCACACUUGAACUUUGAUUUUUCUUACUUACAAUUUAUGUAUAAAUAGGCAGCUAAGUUUAUGCUAUUGAGUGAGCCAAGAGGGAAGGAAAGAGAGCCAAGAGGGAAGGAAAGAGAGCCAAGAGAGAGGGAGAGGGAGUGCAGUAGAAUAAAGAAAGAGGGGUGGCAGCCAUAAGAGAAGAAACACAAACUCUCCCCUCAACAAAUCAGAAAUCAUGUAUUCUUUUAUCUUUAGGAGUAGUUUUUCAAUAGAUAUGCAAGGCUAAGCUCGUUUUCUUGGUUGCAAGGACGCAAAAACCUUCAGAUUUAAAGAACCGUGAGAUUUAUUCUUCCAUUUAUUUUCAGUUUGUAUUAUGAAUGAGUAUGUUUGUUUUCCUAUGCAUAUUUUCUAUGAUUGUUUAUCUUAAUUGCUAGAGCGGACUCUAAGUUAUUAUUGUGAAUAAUCUAUUGCUAAGUUUGAUAUCAAAACCGGAGUUGUGGUAUAUAAACGUGUGAAGCAAGUAAGCUUGAUAAUUGUAGCGGAACUACAUUAUUAAACUUAGGGAGAACAUUCGAUCAAAGCAACACAAGCUGACAACUUGGUUGUUAAGAUUAAUGAAUUUAUCUAGAUCUUAAGGCUGCCAUUGGAUUAAACCAUUAGUGCGGACACUGUGAUUGUUUGUUGGUUAGGGUUAGUUAUACGGCGGAUCCGUUAAUUAACCAACAUUAAGAAAAGAUAAAAAAUUCAGAAUAUAAACUGAAGUUUCGUUUCAAGGAUCGGUUCUGAUUUCUGUAGGUGGAUGUGUGCUUGCGACCAAGGUUUGUUUUCUUGAUAUAUUUCAGUUUCAAUUGAUUUUGUUUGUUAGUGUAAUUUCUACCAUAGUUUAGAUCAUUGCAAAUCAAACCCCCCCAAUUAUAUAAUGUAUAGCAUAAAAAUCUGAACUAAACCUUCCUCGUGGGAUCGACCCCUUGCUUGCUCUAUACUAUCUUGUGUGUUUUAAGCUAGGGUAAUUAAUUUAUGCGACCGCGACAUCGCAACAAUUUCCCCCCCAUUUUUUUCUCCUCUCUCUCCCAAAACCCAAAAAACCAACGACGACCCGACUUGUCCUUUCACUGACACCACCACGCCCUCAUGCCGAAAGACCCAUACCCUACAGAGGUAGGGGCGGCUGUGCAGUAGCUGCCCCCAUGCCACCAUGCCCUGCACCAUGGCACAGGACAGGGCAUGGUGGCCCUCUCUCCCUCUACCUAUAAAUAUAAAGGGAGUGCGGGAGAGAAGAGGGGGGAAAAAGAUUUUUUGAAAGAGAAAGGGAGGAGAAACCGAGAGAGAGACCGACUGUUUUUUAAGGAGGAAAAGAGAGACCGAAAGAGGGGAAACAACAGUUUUUUUAGAGAGAAAGGAGUGAAGAGAAGCAGACCGAAACACUAGAAAUUAAAGGGGAGAAAAGAAAAAGGAGGGAGACCGAGAGAGAAGACAGAGGAGAGAAAGGGAAGCCAUAAAAGAAGCGGGGAAGAACAGGAAGUGACAGGGGAAGAAAAAAAUACUGGAGAAGAAGAACAACCACAGCUGCCACCGUGCUUCCUCUCCACCGACAUAGCGCACCACCUGACCGUAGCUGACAGCCCCGAAGAGACAGAGGAGAAAAGGAGAAGAUAACGGGAAAAAAAACACAGAGAUGAGGGGGCUGAGAAGAGAAACAGAGGAGAGGAGAGAAGGAAGGAAAACGCCGCCGCUGUCACCGCCGCUUUCCACCACCGCUGACGACCACAACCGUUCUUUCCCGCUCCAGGUAACUUUCUCCCCUUCCCUUGUCGUUUUUAGUUGUUCAUCUUCAUUUUGCAUGCAGACGUGAGCAAUUCACGUUCUGCAGCAAAAUGUAGAUUAAUUAGCUAGUUACUAUGUUAGGCACAGUAACUAGCUAAUUAUAUUUUGCUGGUUACUGUGUGCAGCACAGUAACCAACCCUUUGAUUGCUUAUGGGCUAGAACAUCAGCCCAGCCCACGCGGCUGGGCUGAGUCCAGCCCACAGUAUAUGGGCCGGGUCAGGCCCAGCCCAGGAUGGUUGGGCCAGAUCCGGCCCAAGUUUUUUUUUGGUUAAAAGAAAAUUUCAAAAAUAUUUUUUCAGAAUUUUAUAAUUUCCCCGCAUAUUUUUAUGUCAUUUUGAUUAAAAGCAAUAUUUUUUAUGUUGCUAAAAAUACAAAAUCCGAUAUUAAAAUACCUGGUUUUCGUCAAAACUUUCAAAAUACAAAACAAAAACUUUGUUUUGAAAAAAAGGAAAAUGUUUUUGUGCAUACGGCCAAGUAUCUCAAGGCUAAAAAAUCAUAUGGUGUUUUUCAUACACAAAAAAAAAACAAUGUUUUUGCAUGCAUUUUGGCUUUGAUAACCAGUUUAUUAGAGUCAAGAGAACAUUGGCCAAAAUUUCAAAAACUACAAAUUUUUUUUUUUUUUUGUCUUUUAGUAUCCGGGGUACGAUAUUACAUGUAAUACAUAUUCCAUAUAUUAAAUGUUUUUCCAACGUUAGAACGGUUAGGUUCUACCCCAUUAAAGAUAAGAACCUCCUUAUUGAGUAGGGCUUUUCUUGAGUCUUAGAUAGACAGGACCAAUAAGUAGAAAACACGACCAAACCUUAGAUUUUGAUAAGACAAAUAAAACAAUGCAGCUUACCUUAGGUAUGGCGUAUUUGGGGUGCUAAUACCUUCCCUUUACGCAACCAGUCUCCGUACCUGAUCUCUGAGACCAGUUAGGGUUCCUAGUGAUCAUAAUACUAGGUGGCGACUCCCAUUCUAUUUUUUUCACCGCUAAGAGACAAAGAAUUCCUUGUCUCCCCACAUUUACCAGAUAUAUAUCCAUACAUUGAGGGUGGACGAUCGCCGCGACGCCGCACACGUGCGACAGAAUGGCGACUCCACUGGGGACCUUGUGGACUAAGCAUUGUUUUGUCUGAUUUUUUGUUGGUUUUGUCCCUGUUUUGUUAUUAAGAUGCUUAUUUUAUUUACACGCUUUAAUUUUUGUACAUAUUUGUUCAUACAUUGUAUAGAACUGUUUCACGCAUCAUUCUUUUUAUGUGAGAGUUUAUAUGAGAAAACUUUAAGUUAAGUAGGGGACUAGCAGCUUACCUUAUGACUUUUAGUCAAGGUUUAAGUUUGUGUAAACCCCAACUCUUCGCUGAGUGCUCAGACUGGUAAUGAUUGGUCCAUAUGCCAUCCCAUUACCUACUGAGCCCCCAUAUUGCCUUCACGAGGGCGAUCACUGGGACAACAAGAGACCCUUUUAGAGACAGAAUAGCCAACCUACCCUUGUCAAGCAUAAAAGAAUUAGAACCGGCCUUUAGGGUGUAUGCUCCACUGUACAUGUUUUGCAUAAUACAUUAAACCUAACCAUAAAGCAUAUUGGUUUUCAGGUCUUUUUAACGAUAAGAUGGCCAUCAUUACCAAAGUUACUACUGUGGAAUAUGGGCAAAAUUCUGAAUUGUCACAACUAUCAGAGGGAGACGGCUCUAGAUGUAAUGCAAGGAAGCUUCCAAUAGUCAAAGACCUGAAUUGUAUGGUAAAUGAGAUGAAGAGAAUAUUGGUUCAUAGUCAGAACAUUGAUGAGGCGGCAUUUUCCGUGAAGUAUGGGCGAUUGUUAGAAAUUACGAAGAUAGAAGUAUUGAACCCAGCAAUCAAAGCCUUGAUUAACUUUUGGGAUCCUGAUUAUAGAUGUUUUUCCUUUGGAAAUGUGGAUUUGUGUCCCACUGUAGAGGAGUAUGGAAUGUUGAUGGAGUUUCCCAAGCACCUGCACAAGGUUUAUUUCCCUUUGAGAAGUGACAAAGUAAUUCCCGAAUUGUCAAAAUUGCUGAAAAUUCCAUAUCUGAGCAGAUUUUUAGAGAAGAAUGCCAGCGGUUUAAAGUGGAAAUUCCUGGAGAUUGAACUAGAAAGGAAAAAAUCACAAUAUGGAUCGAUGCUAGAAAGAGACAGGUUAAUCGCUCUGGGGAUAUAUGGUCCUGUAUUAUUUCCAAGCUUAACAGGGGUUAUAAGCCUAGAAGCUGCUGCUGCAUUUGUGGAAUAUGAAAAUACUCAUGUCAACCCUAUAACUGCCAUAUUAGCUGAGACCUUCCUGACCCUCAACCAUUUCAGGAAGACUGGGAAAGGCGCAAUGAGAUGUUGUACUAAGUUAUUAUACAUCUGGAUGGUAAGCCAUAUUGAAACCAAAAAGCCGAUCUUUAAUAAUUUUUGGUGGUUUAACCAAAAACCUUUGAAGUUAGUAGAAGAAGAAGAAUGGGGAAGCUUGGGCGAUCAGGGUUGGAUGAAAAAACUGCAAGAGUUACCAAGUAGCAACUUUAGUUGGAAAGCCCCUUGGGUCAAAUCGGUUGAUAUCCUAGUAAGUUGCGGACAAAAAUGUUGGGUACCUUUAGUUGGGAUCAUAGGUUAUGUCAGCUAUGCUCCGGCCUUGGUGAUAAGACAAUUAGGCGGCAUACAACACAUCCCAAGAACUGUGGGACUCGCUGAAUUUUCCAGGUUUUUCAAGGAUCAAUCCGCGCUAGAAGAUUGGAGCCAUUUGACUUUAAUGUGAAAGGAAUCUGAAAGGUUAAGAGACCCCAGCUCAAGUGAAGGAUAUGAAAAGUGGAGGAAUUUGACCCCGACUGCCGCUCCUAGAAUGCCAUGUUCUGAAGACGGGCCUUCACGAAUUAUAGAAGGGUCAUUCAAAAGAAAAAAGGUCAGUAAUGAGGAGGACCUUAUGGGGCAAUUGGAAAGGCUCCAAAUAGAAUUGGGAAAGAGUAAGGUAGAUAAAACAGCAUUAGAAAUGAUGAUGAUAGAGGGAGACAAAAGCCGAGUAUUUCUAAACGUACAGCUCGAAUCUAGAGAUGUAAAAAUAAUGAUGUUGGAGCUGCAACUGAGCAAAGGAAAAGUUGUAAUGGAAGAGUCCGAGAAAGAGAGGGGAACGCUGAUUUUGGAUUGGAUGCAGAGCAGCUCUGAAUUGGAAGCAUUAAAAGCCAACUUCAAUGACUAUCAGAUGCUGAAUAAAAUCAGGAUAAAUUUUUGCACGUUCAAGCGGAGUUAAUGGACCGAAUCGAGAAGUAUGAUGAGUUAAACAAGAAAUGUGUGAUGGUAAAAAGUCGGCUAGCCGAAUUGCAAGAGUUCGAAAGAAAGGGGAAGGAAGAGGAGGUUGUUAAAGCAGAUUUGGCAACUAAGAAAAAUGAAAUUAGGAUGCUGAAAGCGAAACUUGAUAGAGAGCGGGAAAAGGUAAGACAGUUGACCGAAAAGUUGGAAGCUUCAAAAAAACAUAAAGAACAGAUCGACACCAACAACAAUACCUUGAAUCAGAACAACAUGUUGCUUAUGGAGAAGAUGGCCAAAGUAGAUGAGCAAAUGGAUGAAGCUGCCAUUCAUGCACGGAUUAUUAGAACCAAUGCCCGAAGGGUGGGGAGGGACAUCUUUUGUUAUCGACAAAGCUUGGCUGAGACUGAUGCCUUCUUAGAAAAGAUUGAGAAUUGAGGCCUUGCUUUCCUACCAGUGGCUAGAAAUAUGGAUGAAGAGGAAGAUUGAUGUAUUUUUUUUCUUUUUUUGUAUCCUCUUUUCUUUUUGUAUCCUCUUUUCAAGAGAUGUAUUAGCCAAUAUUAUUAAUGAAAAGGGGCCUUGACCCAUCUUUUGUGAAAUAUCUCUUAUAGAGUAAGGUUAAGUCUACCAAAGCAACAACUUGAGCAAAACUACCCCUGAUAAGGAACGUGACAAAGGAGUCCAUACCCAUUACGCAAGCGAAAUGUUGGCCAUCGAUCGUUUUUGAAAAACAAGCUCACAUUACAUAUGCAUCAUGCAUUGUUCAUUAUCAUACAUUCAUUUACAUUUUUCCAUCCGCUCCAGAUCGUGAAACAUAGGUCCCCCACCCAAGGUCCACCACACUAGGCUAAGAUCAAGAAUGGAGAACGAAGAGAGGGCCAUUCUAGAAUCCCGCUACCAAAGUGAAUUGGAAUCCGUGAGAAAUGAAGUUUCCCGGAUGACCAAUCUGCUUGAGCAACUUCUAAGAGCCAAGAAUGGGGAGGGAACGUCUACCCAACCACCCAUAGGAGCACCACCAACUCAUGUCCCUGGGGUAUCUCAGAACUUGAGGGCAGAUUCAGUAACGGAACAACACUUUACACUAGCCAUUCCCAUCCAGCCCACUCAAUCUCACAUCACUGUAGAUUUAACAGCGAAUGGGCCUUCCGAUAAUAGGUCCACUGGUUUUAUGAACGACGACAAGAUAUCCGCUUUGGAAGAAAGGUUAAGAGCAGUUGAGGGAAAUGAUUGGUUUGACCCCAUGCGAGCUUCUGAAGUAUGCUUGGUACCAAACAUCAUGGUACCAAAAGAUUUUAGGAUACCAGAGUUUAUAAAGUACACUGGGUUGGAAUGCCCACACACUCACCUUCAAGAGACUUGUCGACUUUGGUUUUUGUAUUUUUUUUACAACAUGCAAGAAAAUUUACAAGCAUUUAUAUAUAAAAAAAUAUCAAAAAUACCAGUUGAAACCCAAAAAAUUACCUGAGUGUCACUGUAUAGGUAAAAUACUGAAAUACCCUGGAAGUUCUCCAAAAAUUACGAAAAUGCCACUGGCGGCGCGUGUGGCACACGCGCGGCUACUGUUGGCUGCGGCGAAAUUUUCUGGCGAGAUUUCUGGCCAACAAAUGGUUGAUUCUGGCAGAUCUGAGGGCGAGGAUUCUGAUGGUGGUGGUUGUGAAGGUCUUUGAUGGCUGAUGAGUGAGAAUCGACGACUUGAAGCUUCUGUGGCAGCCGACGAUCGCGACCCUUUUCCGACCAAAUGGGGCGGAGACAACGCUGAAAUCGGCCAGGGUUUUGCUUUAUAUGAGGAUAGAGACCUUUCUGUGGUGGUUUGGAAGCUUGAUAUGGCCGGAGAUGGGAGAUCGGAAGAGAGAGAGGGAGUUGCCGGCGAGAGGAGAGAGAGAGUCCGAGAUUACGCUACGGUGUGAACGCGUGUAUGGUAAACAGGUACCUCUGAACACUGUGCGCCGUUGGAUCUCGGAUGAAACGAUCGGAUGGCUGUGAUUGGCCUGAUCUGCAGGUUGAUCGGACGGUCCGGAUGAACAGAGGUAGGAUCUGGUGUGGCGCGGUGUACCGAGAGAUUGGUACACCGGGUGACGUGGCGAAACUGGAUCUAAGCUUAGAUUAUUUCAAGGGCUGAGAUGUGUCUGGGUUUUAAUCUAGUGUGGUAAGCCCUAUUGUAUCCUAUUAAAUCAACGGUUCAGAUCUAAACACUAUUAGAUCUAACGGUUAGGAUAUAUUUGGUAUUUUUCAUAUUGUAUUUUUAAAAAAUCAAUAUCCACUCUCAUGAAGAAAUAGUGAAAAACUUAAAUAGUAACCUUGAUAUUCGUUUCUUUUCUUUCUUUUUCUUACCUCUCCCCCUUUGUUCGUUUUUCUCACCGGCUAUUUAUAGCCAAUCAACAGGGGACAUCAAAAUCUCAACAUUAUCUACUUGCAAGAAAAAAAUCGUCGAUACAACUGCCCCGCCUGCUGUGACAAAAAAAGUUUGCAUUAUUGAUUUUUUUAUUUUGUUUUAUUAUAUAUAAUAAUAAAUAUUUAUAUGGAUAAAACUAAAACUCAAAUUAGUAUUAGAAAAGCCCGUUUCAACCGCUAAAAAUCAAUUUUAAUGACCGAAAAUAAUAGUUUUGACCCAAAAUAACCUGAAACUCAUUUUUUACCCCGAUCGACAUGGUUGGACCCGUAUGGACUCGGUGGACUCGGUUUUGACCGAAUAUGACGGUUUUGACCCAAAACGGCCCGACACUUAUUUUUUACCCUGGUCGACAUGGUUUGACCCGUAUUGACUCGGUGGACUCGGUUUUGACCCGAAACGGCCUGAAACUCAUUUUUUACCCUGGUCGACAUGGUUUGACCCGUAUUGACUCGGUGGACUCGGUUUUGACCGAAAAUGACGAUUUUGACCCAAAACGGCCUGAAACUCAUUUUUUACCCUGGUCGACAUGGUUUGACCUAUAUUGACUCGAUGGACUCGGUUUUGAUCGAAAGAUGCGGUUGACUCGAGAAAAAUAUAUUUUUAAAUUUUCCUUUUUCUUAAUUGUUUUGGAUUUUUAUAAAUAAUAAUAGAAAUAAAAUAACAUUCAAGAAAAUCUUGGUGAAUCCAAAAUUGGGUUACAACAGUUGCACCCUCUUUACAAUGCUUACGGUGCAAAGGCAUUGGAAAAUUCAUUUUCUUUUGACUUUGCAUAGUAAGUUUUGUAAAGAAAAACGAUGGAAGUGUUGAAAAAUGCACAGAUUUUUCGGUUGGUCUAAUUGUUAUGGGCGACCUGCCCAAGUGAAAAACAUGAAAGUGUUUUCAAUAUUGGUUUUGUGAAAUACAUGAAAGUGAUUUCAGCAAUGGUUUUGUGAAAUACAUGAAAGUGAUUUCAACAAUGGUCCUAUUUUCCAGAUGACCACCCCGAUGAUAAAAUGCGAGGAAACUCGCAAGUGGUUUAAUUGUUCCAGGCGACCUGCCCGAUGAUAAAAUGCGAAGAAACUCGCAAGUGGUCUAAUUGUUCUAGGCGACCUGCCCAAUAGUGAAAUGCGAGGAAACUCGUAAGUGGUCUAAUUGUUCCAGGCGACCUGCCCGAUGAUAAAAUGCGAGGAAACUCGCAAGUGGUCUAAUUGUUCCAGGCGACCUGCCCGAUGAUAAAAAAUGCGAGGAAACUCGCAAGUGGUCUAAUUGUUCCAGGCGACCUACCCGACAAUGAAAAUGCGAGGAAACUCGUAAGUAGUCUAAUUGUUCCAGGCGACCUGCCCGAUGAUAAAAAAAUGCGAGGAAACUUGCAAGUGGUCUAAUUGUUCCAAUCUAAUUGUUCCAGGCGACCUGCCCGAUGAUAAAAAAUGCGAGGAAACUCGCAAGUGGUCUAAUUGUUCCAAGCGACCUGCCCGAUGAUAAAAUGCGAAGAAACUCGCAAGUGGUCUAAUUGUUCCAGGCGACCUGCCCGACAAUGAAAAUGCGAGGAAACUCGCAAGUGGUCUAAUUGUUCCAGGCGACCUGCCCGAUAGUGAAAUACUUGAAAGUGAUUUCAAUAUAUUUUUGUGAAAUACAUGAAUGUGAUUUCAGCAAUGGUUUUACGAACCGACCCUUCUGUGAAAUACAUGAAAGUGAUUUCAACAUUUUUGUUUUGUGUGAAAUUCAUGAAAGUAAUUUCAACAUUGGUCCUAUUUUCCACGUGACCACCCCGAUGAUAAAAUGCGAGGAAACUCGCAAGUGGUCUAAUUGUUCCAGGCGACCUGCCCGAUAAUGAAAAUACGAGGAAACUCGCAAGUGGUUAAUUGUUCCAGGCGACCUGCCCGAUGAUAAAAUGCGAGGAAACUUGUAAGUGGUCUAAUAGUUCCAGGCGACCUGCUCGAUGAUGAAAAUGUGACGAAACUCGCAAGUGGUCUAAUAGUUCCAGGCGACCUGCCCGAUGAUAAAAUGCGAGGAAACUCGCAAGUGGUCUAAUUGUUCAAGGUGACCUGCCCGAUAGUAAAAUGCGAGGAAACUCGCAAGUGGUCUAAUUGUUCUAGGCGACCUGCCCGAUGAUAAAAUGCGAGGAAACUCGCAAGUGGUCUAAUUGUUCCAGGCGACCUGCCCAAUAGUGAAAUACUUGAAAGUGAUUUCAAUAUAGUCUUGUGAAACACAUGAAUGUGAUUUCAGCAGUGAGCUUUAGGGUUGAUUGAAAACUUCUAAAGGAAGUCAUACCUGUAUGGUUGAGAUCUGAUUUGUAAAUCGAUCUCCGAGAUGAUGAAAUCUUCUCAAGAAAGUCUUAUGUCUACGGUCGAGAUCUGAUCUUCUGUACAUCGAUCCCAAAAGAUGAUGAAAGCUUCUCAAGGAAGUCCUGUAUGUACGGUUGGGAUUUGAUUUGUAAAUGGAUCCCAAAGAUGAGGAAGGCUUCUCAAGGAAGUCCUGUAUGUACGGUUGGGAUUUGAUUUGUGGAUCCUAAAAAUGAGGAAAGCUUCUCAAGGAAGUCAUGUAUGUAUGGUUGGGAUUCGAUUUGUGGAUCCCAAAAAUGAGGAAAACUUCUCAAGGAAGUCUCGAUUUCAAAGAUGAUGAAAGCUUCUUAAGAAAGUCUUAUAUGUACGGCUGAAAUCUGAUUUGUAAAUCGAUCUCAAAGAUGAUGAAAGCUUCUCAAGAAAGUCUUAUAUGUACGGCUGAGAUUUGAGCUGCCGUUCAAAACGAUGGUAGGAGUAAAUUCCUUAUAAAUCACACAGUAUUUGGCAAAAGACAUCAUCAACUUCUUGCAUUUUCAAUACUCUCAAAGUUCUUAACUUUUGAAGCUUUAACCAUGUCUUCUUCUUCUUCCAAUGCUAACCCAAACCCUGUUCCUGCAGUAGAGCCUGCAGUUUGGCGUACUACCUUUGAAGUGAAUGGUCGUCCAGUUACAAUAGAGGAUACUGUAAUGGACAAUGAAGAUAUUGCUGUAGCCGUGGCUAGAGAUAUGAUCCUUCCUCGUGAUGAAAUAAUGCUGGCAGCCAGGACCGAUAUUGAAGUAGUGAAUCAGUCACUUGCUCUCAGUAUCAGAGCUACUUCGUCUUUGGUGAACGUUGCAGAGCGUCUUCAUGCUAGAAGACUUGAGUUGAAUACUCAGGUUCUUGAUCUCCAUCAUCAGAUUGAGAAUUUAAGGAAUAGACUCCGUGAUGAGAGACGUCACAGAAACAACUUGGAGAGGAGAAACCAAGAGCUAAAUACACGUGUUGACUUUUGGAGGGAUUAUGUUAACACACGACACCUCGAGUUCGAGGAAGAGAUGGAGCGCAUGCAUAAGCAAUUUGAGGAAUUCCGAGGCAUGAUUAACCAUCAAGAUGAAAAUAUCCCUGAUCGUCCUCGCACUGUUUAACAUUUGUACUUGUAAACCCCUUUUUCCAUGAAUAAAAAUCCAUAUUUCUUGUCUUCAUUUAUGAAUUUUGCUUUUGUGGAAUUGCCAUCUUUGAUGUGAUUUAAAAGAACUUCAAUUCAUGUGAGUCUCGUUGGAUCCCAGUGGGGAUAUUGUUUCAUAAAAUAUCUGCAAAACAAUUAUGCAAUGCAUGUGAAGUUAGAUGAUAUGCAAUGCAUCUUACCUGUUUUUGAAACAUAGGUCCCCCCUUUUUGAUGCUUCAUCGUCAUAGGGUGGCUUUGUUUGCAUUCCAAAACCUUCUUUGUUUUUCGAUGCAUUGGCUCAUUCAUGUGCUAGCCAUCCGCUCAGUUGUAAAUGCAGUGCCCAUCUUGGGUUGUCCGUGAUGAUUACUGCUCUCGCUGUUUAUCAAGCUUGACAAUGCCCCCAAGUGUAGUGUUGCUUGAUUUAUCAUUAAGAAGCUUAACAAAUCGUUCAUCUCCUGGAUUCUUUCAAGAAUUGUUCUCUGAUUGAUUGUGUGCAUCGUGCCAACACCUAUCAAGAUUGUCAAUCAGUUAUGAACUCACCUCCAGUUGAAACAUACCCUUCAAGGAUAUGCGGUCAUCCACUUUCAUGGAACUGUCAUGUCAUUCAGACCUGCAUUUCAUACUUUGCAGUACAAAGCUCAUCGUUGUAUGCUCAGCUUCUUUCUCAAUAGGUUCUUCUCAACUCAUUUAACCAGAUUGUGAAAAGAAGUGUCUCAGCCUCUUCAAUGAUGUUGCUUUUAUCACCCAUACUCAUGUGGUGCAAUGCGCAUUUGAGCUUCCAAUCAGAUGGCCCCACGGUCAGUCUAGGUGGGUGCGGUGUAUCCUUCCAACAUUCAUUCAAAAGCAAUCAUGUGAUAACAUCUUUCGAUAGUCAUAGCCAUAUUGGAGACGAUAAACCAAGAUGAAGAUAUGAAGAUGUCCUUCAGGUACAUCUUUGCUCUCAAUUGUUGUCGAGGUUUACUGGAUCAUAAACUGUUCUUGAACAUCAUUGCCCUUAAUUGAUAUGAAUGUGCUCAUUCACUGAUUAUCUUUCUUUGAACCAUAUUAUCCUCAGUUCAUUGAUUCAUCAUUUGAUCAUCUCUACCCCCCAGCUGAUUUAAAAACUGUUUGUUUUCCUUCUCAGAGGUCCAUUGUAUUGCCCCCAGAAGUGUCGAGAAGAAUUGAUGUCAUUUCUGUCAGGAAUUUGCAAACUCCGUCGAUGUUCUUAUUUGAAAAUCUUUCUUAUUUUGGAAUCAAAUCUCACAUUUCAAAGAUCAUGUCAAGCAAAUCUGAUUGUUGAAAUGAAAUCAGAGAGAUGUCAAUUUUGAAAGUAUUUUUGGAAAUCAAGCUUUGUUGGUCAAAGAUCCAACACACGCUAUUCAAUAUAGUCCUUUGAUUGUCUUGUAUUUUGAGAGAAAAGAAAUUGACUCGUUGUAAGAUUAAAAUGGCUUUUUUCAUGGUUUUUUGUAUCGAUUUUAAACUCUAAUUUUGGGUAUAUCUUUUGAUUAUCUGUGAUGAGGUGACCUUUUAUGAAUUUCAAGAAAAAUAAGGUACCCGAGGCAAAACUUGAGGCUUAAUCAAGAAAGAUGGUUUCUUUUUCUUAGCACCAAUUUUAUCAGCAUGCAUAAUAAUCAGUAGCUUGAUUCAUGAAGUCACGACCUGUAUGAAACAACUCUUCAAGUUUUGAGAUCGCCAUUUAUCGGUUCAGAUUGCUUACUUGAUUAAAAAGGACUUUCUAAAGCAUGUAAUGUAGGCUAUGGUUCCUGGCUAUGAAAGAAAGGAAUUUCACAAGCUCAAAAGGUGUUUGAGGGUUUCAUGAACCUAGGAUCACCAUCAAUUACUCAUCAAUCUCUUUUCCUCACGUUGUCUUUGUAGAGACGGUGACAUAUAACCUUGUUAAUCUCUAAGAUUAAAAUUCGUUUAACAUAGGUCAUAACGCAAAUCCAACUUUUCUUUAAUGAAUAGCCAAUCUAAACUUUUGAAGAUCAUAGAGGCUUUACCAUAGACACACCAAAAGACAUAACACUUGAUUUUUCGUGUUAACUUUUGGUAUUUGUUGUGUCUUUAUCAAUCUUUGGCUUUCUUCUUUUAGCCCUUUCUCAAUCAUUGGACUUUUGUUCUAAGCCUUCCCUUUGUCCAUCGACUCUAACAUUGUCUUCGUCUUUUCUAGGAAAAGACUCUCAUUGCCCCUAGUGUGGGGUGUGAUCCUAGUCAAGGUUUUUUAUGAAAGAAAUAUUCUAUCAGCUCAAAAUGGGACUGCAAGGGAUAUAUAUUUCAAGAAUUGUGAAAGGAUGAAACAAAAAUGGCCUUUUCUCAUCUCAAGUAAGGUCGGUUAGAACCGAUAAAUUUUGACCUCAUCCAAUAUAAUGAUUUAGACUUGUAAGAAUCAUAAUUCACGAGUCCAUAACUACUGAAUCCACUACGUUUCAUUAUGCAUACUGCUAAAACUUAGCUAUAUAGUAUGUGGUUCAAUUUCAUGUGUGAGUUCAAAAGUUUCUUGGUCACCUCAUGUCAUUUCAACAAGCUUCGAGUCAUUCAAGCAAAAUAAUUUUAAUCUUCAAGAUUGACUAAUCUUAAACGCAUGUUGGAGCUUGAUCAAAAUAUUUUGUCAAAAUAACCUUUGAAAGAAACAUCUCAUGCUUUCAGAACAACAAAGGGACAAAGAAAAGACAUGUUUUGUUAAAAGAUGAGAUAUGAUCCCAAAAUAAAAUGCAGAAUGACAAAACUCAUAACAAAAAGGAUCGACAGUUUAACACUCUUCUUGGAUCAGCUUUUCUGGUGAUAUCUGUGUUUUGUCAAGCAUUUCAAUCACUUGUCAUUAUGGGGAUGUUGUAGUGACAAUAUGGCCGAUGAUGUCAUUUUCACAAACUCAACUCGAUUCUUGAAAUUCUUGCAACUUUCAAAUGAAUGGCACAAAAUCCCCCAAUGAUAUUCAAAUCUCUUUUCUGGAUUAUACCACCUAGAAAAUGAUGGUUGUAUGGGAUUUGGCGGAGUCAUGGCAAUAAAUCCGGAGUCUAAUAGAUGCUGGUAGACAAACUCGAGUGGUCGAGGUAUGUCAAUCUUGGCAAAAAUAUUUGAGCAGUUGAUACAUAAUUAAAGCUUCCCAUCGUUAGAGUCAUCCUUUGAUUCAUCUCUCAUUAUUGUUCUACAAUCCUUGGCAGAAACUUCAAUAUUUCCCCUCUUCGUAGCUUGUUCAAUUCUUUCGAAAAUCCUCACAACAUCAAUAUCAAUCUUUCCAAUGUUGUUAUGGUUAUUUGUGGAUUGGUAUAAACUUUCCAAUAGCCAGGUAAUCUUGGUAGCGCACAGAAACAUUCAGCACCACCAUUGCCAACGUGUGGAAUCAUGCGUUGUCUCAACUGGAAGAGAAAAUGAUGAAUCUGAAAAUGAUGAAUCUGAAACCCUUUUGUCUCCUCUUCAAUUCCUCACUGGCAGUGCAGCAAACAAACACCUAUAGUGGGAAUUCUGCUUUGUUAAAGUUGCAAUGUUUGCUCUUUUUUUUCUCAGAGCAGCAUCCGAUACUGCAAUGUCUGCUUUGUUAAAGUUGAGAACAAGGGUUGUCAUUAGUUGAUGACUGAAGGCAUUGUUGUCAUUGUUCAUGACUAAAAAGGAGAGGUACAACUUCAAUGGAACGUGGACAAGUAGUGUUCUCAGCAAGAGCCUGUACAGACGUUCCCUUUCCACUUUUGAAGCUCAACAUUUAUUCAAACAGAUUUAUGAGUCGAGCCACUUCACCUUUACUGCUCUCAACUUCCUUUUGAUAAUAAACCUAUGUCUAACCCCUGUCUUUAUUUUCCAUCUUCAUCAGUCCAGUAGACCUCAGGUGGGGGAACUUAUGUUUCAACCGUGUGCAAGCUUGAUAAAUGAAUGAAAUGCGCAAAUGGAUGCAAAAUGCCAUAUGGACUAUGCAUGCUUGUUAUUUGUUUCAAGUUUUCCUUUAGCUUAUGACGAGGAAUAGACCAGAUCAGAUUCUCUUAAGAAAGUUCUCAAUGAGGACUCCAAACCUACAGGAACUUGAACCGAUUUAGGGGAGAAAUUUGAUUUUUAUUGGAUAUUCUUCAGUUGUUUUUCCCUCUACUCUCUUAGCAGAAGUAACCCUACCGGGAUGUUUCCAUGCCUUUUUCACUAACUCUAAUAAUUUCUUCGAGGUCUUGAAAUCUUCAUAAAAUGUUGGCAGUUUGGUAGUCAUUGGAAUAAACUGCUCAUGUAAGAUCCCACAUCGAAAGCGAGCGUCCAACGCCAAGGCCUUAUAAAUGCAUGUUCAUCUUAACUAGUAAGACGCGUUUAAAACCCUGAGGGGGACCUGGGUGGAAGCCCUGGAAAUGGGUAGACCGGGGGGCCUAGAAGGGACAGUAUCUGACAGGGUGAGUGUGCUGCUCUACUCUGAAAGACGCGUUUUGAGGCCAUGCGUGGCUGCCAAGAACAAACCCGUCAGGAGACUUGGGUGGAAGCCCUGGACAUGGGUGAACUAGGAGGCCCAAAGCGGACAAUAUUUUGCUAGUGAGGUAGGAUGUUACAGCUCAAAUCCAAAUUGUUGUAAAAUCAUGUUAGGACAAUAACUAAUACAGCAGCAGGCUCCUAUCACAACGGGACCCAUGGAUACUCACCAUAAUAUGCCAGAUAAGAUUUGAAGUAAGAGUAUCGACUCCUCCAAUGAAAUUGAGAUUUACUUAGAUUUAGAAACAUUGAUUCCCAUGUGGUUCUUGCUACUUCAUGCAAGUGUUUUUCAGCAAAAUUCUCCAGCUUAGAAUAAAGAUGCCAUGGGGUACCAACCAAACCUGAAAUCUUCCCCUCGAUCAUAUGACUCACAGUCCAGACAAACAAUAACUGCAAGCAACAUCUUAAACGACCCCUUCCAGCUUUUCUACAAUAAUUCAAGGAUGAGAAAGUUUCUGCCAAUAUUGCUGUAGCCGGGUUAAUUUUAAGGGUCACCACAUUUUUAAAUACAUUGACAGCCUCAAAAUCGAUCAUUCCCUCUGUAGAUGGGAAAAGAACCAAACCAUAUAUGCCUAAGGCCAAAAUUCUCAAUCGAAUUUCAUUGCUUUUAUCGUGUAAUCUCCUCUUGAAUAUGGCUUCUAGUUCAUUCCAAAACCAACCUUGGCUAUUUCCUCGUUUAGUUGCAUGAGAUUUUGCUAGUUGACAUUCUAUCUGGGUAAUCCAAGCAAAGUUAGAAAGUGCAUGCUCUAUAGGUGUGUAAAAGUAUACCUUUUCUGACUUGGGACAAUUUAGCAGGGAUUCAUACUCCUCAAUAGUAGGAGUCAUAUCCACAGUAUCAAAAGUGAAGCACCGAUAUUCUGGAUCCCAAAACCCUAUCAUGGCCUUAAAACAAGCAUGUUGGACCCUAAUUUUCAGUAAAUGUGAUAGAUCCCCAUAUUGUUUCUGAAAAGUGAUUUGAUCAUGAGAGGAUAACCUUUCCCAACAGUCUAGCAGCUGUCUUGUACCAAGUGGUCUGUCAUCUAAUUUAACAUGCUCUGGCAACUGAGACUCAAAUUCUGAUGGCAAACAAUCCCCUUCAUCAUGUUGGCUCAAUUCUGAUCUGGUAAAAAAUUCCUCAAUAGUAAUGGGUUUUUCCAUCUCACACUUCUUGUAAGGAUCGGUGGAGAUUUAAUGAGCACAUGAAAUGUAUAUGAACAUGUAUGUUCAUGCAUUGACAUUUGUUCGUGUCCUAAUGGGUAUAUCUUACUUGAUAGGAUCUAGCUCAUAAGGUUUGGUUCAGUUUAAUCUAUCCUUAAAGAUAUUUUUUGGUUCUUAGAUUGCCCGAAUUACCCAUGGAGUAAUCGGCCUCUUAACCUUAUACAACAUGAGUAUGGGAAACAAUUUCCACAAUACCCGUUGCAUAGGGUGAGUUACAAUCCAAGCGAAAGUCCAAAUGAGCAUCAGUGGACAUAAGUCACACUUGCCACCUGAAUCUCUCUUUUCUAAUCUUAAACAGGACGAGCUCGGGUCCAGAGCUUUUAUGGGUUCACCGUGAAGUGUGUGAAUACACAAAUAAAUAACAUGCAUGUAUGUGGCAAUAUGGAAAAUUGAAAAGAAUCACAGUAGAUAUUGCAUAAAAUAAAUAAUGCAAAUAAGAUAAAUGCCUAAAAAUAAAUAGCGAUAAGAAAGAACAAAUGAAAAGCAAAUACAAGCAGUUGGCUCAACCCUAAGUCCCCAGUGGAGUCGCCAUUCUGUCGAUACACGACGUCGGGCGACUGCUUCCGCUUUUUUUGUUUAUUUAACAAAAAGGGUUUUUUUUUAAUUGGGGGAAACAAAGAUUUUAUUGGAGUCGCCAUCUAGUAAUUUGAGGGAACUAGAAAUCCCAAAUUAGACACUGGUCCCAGAGAUUCAGGUACGGGGUUAGUUAUGAUUAAGGGAAGGUAGACACCACCCUUAAAACAUCCUUUCAAAGAAAGGUUACCCUUACUUGUGUGUUUUUUGUUUGAUUCAAAUGCGAUUAUAUUUUGGGCUUAUUUGUAAUUAUUUUAAAUGAUUAAUGUCGGUCCCUAAAAAUAGGAGACACGUUAAAAAUGACAUCAGUCCCUAAAAUUUAGGAGACUCGUCUAGAAUAUUAACGUUUAUUCCUAAAAAGGAGAGUUACGUCUGGGUUACCAAAAGAAAUAAUGGAUAUAAUCCAUUAUAUUUUGGGUUUAUUGGUAACUUGUUUUUUUUUAAAAUGGUUAACGUCGGUCCCUAAAAAUAGGAGACGCGUUAAAAAUGACAUCAGUCCCUAAAAAUUAGGAGACUUGUCUAAAAUAUGACGUUUUAACCCUAAAAAGGUGAGAUACGUCUGGGUUACCAAAAAAAAAAUAAUGGACAUAAUCCAUAUUUGGUAUUUGCAUUUUUGACAUCGGUCCUUUUUUUUAAAAAAAAAAGAGAAGUGUUGACUUUGGUUUUUGUAUUUUUUUUACAACAUGCAAGAAAAUUUACAAGCAUUUAUAUAUAAAAAAAUAUCAAAAAUACUAGUUGAAACCCAAAAAAUUACCUGAGUGUCACUGUAUAGGUAAAAUACUGAAAUACCCUCGAAGUUCUCCGAAAAUUACGAAAAUGCCACUGGCUAGAUUUCUGGCCAACAAAUGGUUGAUUCUGGCAGAUCUGAGGGCGAGGAUUCUGACGGUGGUGGUUGUGACGGUCUUUGAUGGCUGAUGAGUGAGAAUCGACGACUUGAAGCUUCGGUGUGAACGCGUGUAUGGUAAACCGGUACCUCUGAACACUGUGCGCCGUUGGAUCUCGGAUGAAAUGAUUGGAUGGCUGUGAUUGGCCCGAUCUGCAGGUUGAUCGGACGGUCCGGAUGAACAGAGGUGGGAUCUGGUGUGGAGCGGUGUACCGUGAGAUUGGUACACCGGGUGACGUGGCGAAACUGGAUCUAAGCUUAGAUUAUUUCAAGGGCUGAGAUGCGUCUGGGUUUUAAUCUAGUGUGGUAAGCCCUAUUGUAUCCUAUUAAAUCAACGGUUCAGAUCUAAACACUAUUAGAUCUAACGGUUAUGAUAUAUUUGGUAUUUUUCAUAUUGUAUUUUUAAAAAAUCAAUAUCCACUCUCAUGAAGAAAUAGUGAAAAACUUAAAUAGUAACCUUGAUAUUCGUUUCUUUUCUUUCUUUUUCUUACCUCUCCCCCUUUGUUCGUUUUUCUCACCGGCUAUUUAUAGCCAAUCAACAGGGGACAUCAAAAUCUCAACAUUAUCUACUUGCAAGAAAAAAAUCGUCGAUACAACUGCCCCACCUGCUGUGACAAAAAAAGUUUGCAUUAUUGAUUUUUUUAUUUUGUUUUAUUAUAUAUAAUAAUAAAUAUUUAUAUGGAUAAAACUAAAACUCAAAUUAGUAUUAGAAAAGCCCGUUUCAACCGCUAAAAAUCAAUUUUAAUGACCGAAAAUAAUAGUUUUGAUCCAAAAUAACCUGAAACUCAUUUUUUACCUCGGUCGACAUGGUUGGACCCGUAUGGACUCGGUGGACUCGGUUUUGACUGAAUAUGACGGUUUUGACCCAAAACGGCCCGACACUUAUUUUUUACCCUGGUCGACAUGGUUUGACCCGUAUUGACUCGGUGGACUCGGUUUUGACCGAAAAUGACGGUUUUGACCCGAAACGGCCUGAAACUCAUUUUUUACCCUGGUCGACAUGGUUUGACCCGUAUUGACUCGGUGGACUCGGUUUUGACCGAAAAUGACGGUUUUGACCCGAAACGGCCUGAAACUCAUUUUUUACCCUGGUCGACAUGGUUUGACCCAUAUUGACUCGGUGGACUCGGUUUUGAUCGAAAGAUGCGGUUGACUCGAGAAAAAUAUAUUUUUGAAUUUUCCUUUUUCUUAAUUUUUUUGGAUUUUUAUAAAUAAUAAUAGAAAUAAAAUAACAUUCAAGAAAAUCUUGGUGAAUCCAAAAUUGGGUUACAACAAUGUCAAUGGAAAAGAGAAGCCAAGAGUUAGUAAGGGCUUAUGCGCAAAGAUGGAGGGAUGAGGCAACACAUGUGCAACCCCCUUUGAUAGAGACGGAGAUGGUGACUUUGUUCCAAACUGAGAUCAGUGGGUUAACUCGGAGUGGCCGGUGCUUCACGCCCGAGGAGUUGAAGAAAGCAAAAGGCAAAGAAGUGGUAGAUCUUGACAAAGCACUAGAAGUUAAUAAGCCAAUAACUGAAGAGGAGUCAAAUGAAUUUUUAAAGUUGAUAAAGCAUAGCGAAUAUUGCAUAGUAGAUCUACUAAAAAAGACUCCAGCAAGGAUUUCCCUUAUGUCCUUGAUACUAAGCUCUAAGCCGCAUCGAAAUGCUUUGCAAAAGGUAUUGAAUGAGGCGUAUGUGCCCCAAGACAUUGAACAGAAAACCAUGGAGCAUCUGGUGGGGAGAAUCCAUGCAACUAAUUACCUGUACUUCACAGCUGAUGAGCUUGAUGCUGAAGGUAUCGGACAUAACAAGCCCUUAUACAUUACUGUUAGGUGCAAGGAUUGCCUCAUAGGAAAGUGCUCGUCGAUAAUGGCUCAGCUCUUAACGUGUUGCCAAAGCACAUGCUGAAGAAAUGCCAAUUGAUGAUUCUCAUAUGAAGUCGAGUACUGUGAUGGCCAGAGCAUAUGAUGGCUCACUUGGGCCAAUAAUUGGGACUGUAGAAGUGGAGCUAUAUGUGGGGCCACAAAUGUUCUUGGUGACCUUUCAAAUUAUGGACAUCCACCCUUCCUAUAGUAUGUUGUUAGGAAGACCUUGGAUUCAUGUGGCUGGGGCGGUAACUUCAUCAUUACACCAAUGCUUGAAGUAUAUCAUGAAUGGGAUGUUGGUAACUGUCAAAGCUGAGGAGACAAUAUCCAUGAUGAAGAAUGUGGCCAUACCUUUCAUUGAGGCAGAGGAUCGCAAGGAUAACAAUAUCCACUCUUUUGAGAUUGUGAACACUGACUUGGUACCUAAGAACACAGUACUAAGAAGGCCAAGGAUCUCAGAAGCAGCAAGGAUGGCAGCUCAAUGCUUCUUGGAACGCGGGAUCCCAUUUCAAUAUAACCCUAUCACUAGGGUACCAGAAAGGGUUAAUCCGAUAAAGAUGAAAGGUGUUGAUCAAAGAUUUGGGCUGGGGUAUAAACCUAAAAAAGUGGAUCAUCGGUGGGCUGCUGGUCGAAGAAGGGAAAGAAGAAUGGCUAGGAUUGAAGGAAGAGAGCUUGAAGAAGAAAAGCUGGAAAUCCCUCCCCUUAGAGUGUCGUUCCCAAAAGCUGCAUAUGUAAUGCAACCCGAUGAAGGAGCAGAAAGCCUUGGUCAAGAACUGUCAAAUAUGAGCAUAAACACCUUGGAGGAGAAUAAGGUGGAAGGAGGUGGCAUGAAGACGGUAGCGGGAAAGAAAGAUGAAGCACUACCACAACUAACUAUCCACACUUUGGAAGAAGUCUCUGCUAAGACCUUUGUACGAAAGCUGGCUGAAGGUGAGAAGUUUCAAAACUAGGUGACUCAAUAAGCCCUAGUAGUAUUUAAAAUGUAAACCAACUUUGUUUGCCUUAACAUGCUUUUGUCAUUGCUUUUGUUUGCUUUAUUUUCCCUGGUUGACAAUCGAGGCUCAUGAUGUCAAUCAGAUUUUGUCGUUGUCAUUGAGCCCACCUUUGUUUUAAAUAAUGAGAUCAUGCGUUUUCCAAAUUUAUCUCUUUAUUCAUGCAUUUACACCAAACACUUUCCGCUUUCAGGAACUCUGAAAGUGGAUCUUCCACAACAUCAUAUACACUUAGCAUCAAGAAUGAAUGGCCAAACUUUAACGAACAUGUGAUCACUAUGGAAGAAGAAGAAUGGGAUGAAAGCAAUAUUAGGGAAUUUACAAAGUUAGUAGAGCAACAUGAACAAACCUGGGAACCAACUACAUAAGAACUAGAAACCGUAAACGUGGGUAGCGAUCAGAUUAAAAAAGAGUUAAAAAUAGGGACCUUAAUCACUCCUAAGGAAAGAGUAGAGGUAAUUGCCCUACUACGAGAAUACGCAGAUGUUUUUGCUUGGUCUUACGAGGAUAUGCCUGGUUUGGAUAGAAAUAUUGUCGUACAUAAGAUACUGCAGGAGGAAGGUUGUAAACUAGUCAAACAGAAGUUGAGGAGAGCCCACCCGGAUAUUUGGAUCAAAGUUAAGGCAGAACUCGAAAAAUAGUGGAAUGCAGGCUUUCUAGAAGUAGUUAAAUAUCCACAAUGGGUAUCCAACAUUGUUGUCGUACCAAAGAAAGAAGGAAAGAUUAGAGUUUGUGUGGACUUCCAAAAUUUGAACAAAGCUAGCCCCAAGGAUGAUUUUCCUCUGCCACAUAUAGAUGUUUUGGUCGACAAUGCUGCACGUAGUUCCACAUAUUCCUUUAUGGAUGGUUUCUCGGGAUACAACCAGAUAAAGAUGGCUUUAGAAGAUAAGGCGAAAAUAACUUUUGUUACACCAUGGGGAACCUAUUGUUACAAGGUUAUGCCAUUUGGUCUGAAGAAUGCAGGAGCCACCUAUCAGAGGGCCAUGGUGACUCUUUUCCAUGAUAUGAUGCACAAGGAAAUUGAGGUGUAUGUAGAUGAUAUGAUUGCCAAGUCCAAGAAGGGAGAAGAUUAUGUAAAGGUUCUGAGGAAGUUAUUUGAGCGUUUGAGGAAGUAUGAACUAAAGCUCAACCCGGCAAAAUGUUCGUUUGGAGUUAAGUCUGGAAAGUUGCUAGGAUUUGUGGUAAGUGACAAAGGUAUAGAGGUGGAUCCUGAUAAAGUGAAGGCCAUCCAAUCCAUGCCAUCCCCAAAGACAGAGAAGGAGGUGAGGGGAUUCUUGGGAAGAUUAAACUAUAUUGCCAGACUUAUAGCUCAACUAACCACAACAUGUGAACCUGUCUUCCGGCUACUGAGGAAAAAGAAUCCUGGGAUUUGGAAUGAGGAGUGUGAGGAAGCAUUCAAUAAAAUCAAGCAAUACUUACAAAGUCCGCCUUUGCUUGUUCCUCCUAUAUCAGGAAGGCCUUUAAUAUUGUAUUUGACAAUAACUGAAACAGCUAUGGGAUGUGUAUUGGGUCAGCAUGAUGAAACCGGAAGGAAAGAAAGGGCUAUUUAUUACCUGAGUAAGAAGUUCACCGAAUGUGAGUCUAGAUACACGGUGAUAUAAAAACUCUGUUGUGCAUUGGUAUGGGCGACAAAAAGAUUACGACAUUACAUGUUGUAUCACACCACUUUGUUGAUUUCAAAAGUGGAUCCACUAAGGUACAUCUGUGACAAGCCCUAUCUCUCAAGCCGAAUUGCAAGGUGGCAGGUUUUGUUGUCAGAAUAUAACAUAGUAUAUAUGACAAGGAAAGCCGUGAAGGGGAGCGCGAUUGUCGACCACCUGGCUGAUAAUGCUGUUGAAGAUUAUGAGCCAUUGGAUUUUGACUUCCCUGAUGAAAAUGUAUUAUCAAUAGUGGGAGAAGAAGAGAAGAAAGAUUGGUGGACCAUGUUUUUUGAUGGGGCAGUGAAUGUUUAUGGUAAUGGGGUCGGCGCGGUGAUAAUCUCUCCUGACCAGAAGCAGUAUCCGGUUUCAGUUAAAUUGUAUUUUGAAUGCACCAAUAAUACAGCUGAAUAUGAGGCUUAUAUCCUGGGUUUAGAAGUUGUGUUAGAGCUGAAGAUCAGAAAGAUAGAUGUAUAUGGUGACUCAAUGUUGAUUAUCUGUCAAGUGAAAGGAGAAUGGCAAACCAAGGAAGAAAAGUUGAGGCCAUACCAGGAAUAUUUAUCAGCACUGUCAGAAGAAUUCGAAGAGAUAAGAUUCACCCAUCUAGGAAGAGAAGGGAACCAUUUUGCGGAUGCUUUGGCCACGUUGGCUGCUAUGGCUACGAUUGAUCUCGGGCAUAAGGUACAUCCUGUACACAUAAACAUCAGAAAUAACCCAGCUUACUGUUGCUCGAUUGAAGGAGAGGUAGAUGGAAAGCCUUGGUAUACGAUAUCAAGAAUUUUGUGCAAAAUCAGGAAUAUCCAGUGGGAGCUUCGAAGAUGGAUAAGAAAACCCUAAGAAGGUUGGCCAUGGAUUUCUACCUCGACGGAGAGAUUCUGUACAAAAGAUCAUUUGACAGAACCUUGCUAAGGUGUUUGAAUGAGACAGAUGCUAAAAAUGCUUUACGGGAGGUACAUGAAGGGGUUUGCUCAACUCAUGCUAACGGGCAUAUGGUAGCAAGGAAAAUACAAAGGGCUGGUUAUUUCUGGAUGACACUAGAGAAAGACUACAUCGACUAUGUCAGGAAAUGUCACAAAUGUCAAGUGCAUAGUGAUAAGGUCAAUGCGCCUCCGACUCCUCUGAUUAAUCUAGCAUCUCCCUGGCCAUUUGCAAUGUGGGGGAUUGAUGUGAUUGGACCUGUUAACCCAAAAGCUAGCAAUGGGCAUAGAUUCAUACUCGUAGCUAUUGACUAAUUCAUGAAAUGGGUAGAAGUUAGUUCAUACGCCCAUGUAACACAGAAAGUGGUGAAAAGGUUUAUAGAAAAAGACUUGAUUUGUCGUUAUGGUCCACCAGAAAAGAUAGUGACCGAUAAUGCACAGAAUUUCAACGGCAAAAUGAUCAUGGAGCUCUGUACCAAAUGGAAAAUCAAGCAUUCAAAUUCCUCACCAUACAGGCCCAAGAUGAAUGGUGCCGUAGAAGCAGCCAACAAAAACAUCAAGAAAAUUAUCCAGAAAAUGGUAGUCACUUACAAGGAUUGGCAUGAGAUGUUGCUGUUCGCUCUCCACGUAUAUCGCACUGCAGUAAGGACCUCAACAGGAACUACUCCAUAUGCUCUGGUAUAUGGAAUGGAGGCGGUGAUGCCUUUGGUAGUAGAAAUCCCUUCGUUGAGGGUGUUGAUGGAUUUAGAAUUAGAAGAGACUGAAUGGGCCAAAGUAAGAUAUGAACAGUUAAACCUGAUCAGUGAAAAGAGGUUGGCUGCAAUCUGUCAUCAUCAACUCUACUAGAAAAGGAUGGCCAAGACAUAUGACAAGAAGGUUAGACCUCGCAUGUUCCAAGAAGGAGAUCUAGUGCUGAAGAAACUAUUGUCUUUACCAGGAGAAGAUCAAAGCAAAUGGGCCCCAAAUUAUGAAGGUCCUUAUGUAGUGAAGAAGGCUUUCUCAGGAGGAGCUCUGAAGUUGUCUAGAAUGGAUGGAGAAGAUCUAGCUAGACCUGUGAAUUCUGACUCUGUAAAGAGAUAUUACGUCUAAUGUGUUCAGUUUUCUCCCAAAAUGAAUAAAGUGAAGUUUGGCUAUGAUUUCUUUGUGUAAAGAACCCUUUUUUUUCAUUUGCAUUGAUCUCACAACACUUAAUUUGUUUAUUUUCAAAAAAAAUCUUGGAAAGAUUUGGCUUUGUGCAUGAUUAUAAGGAAUGUAUCAUAAAAUGCUCAAAGAUGAAGUUUAAGCAUUUCCCGUUAAGAGGUGACCAAACCAAACAAACCCAACGCUGAGAUAAAACCUUGCCCCUAAUAGCAUUUUGAAUUGUAUGGAUAAAUGGUUAGGUAAUCAUCAUUGUAAUCACUCGGAUGUUUUUCUUUCGAGAUAAGAACAAGGUUUAUCAAUCCUAACAAUGUGCGUCUUGAAAUGAGGAAAGGCCAUCUUUGUCAUCCCUUCACUUUCUAAAGAUUUCAUCCUUUGUAGUCCCCAUUUGAGCCGGAUUGAGUUUAUUCUUUAUGAAAACCUGACUAAGACCACACCCCGCACUGGGGGCAAUGAGAAAUCUUUUGUUAGGAAAGAUAAAGAUAAUUGUAGAAAAAAAGGGUAAAGAAUGGAAGCCUAACAUUUAAGAAGAGAAUAAGAAGAAAAGGGAGAAGGAAUUUGAGCAAAUUACAAAAAAAAAAAAAGAAGAAGAAGAAGAAGAAGAAGACUUGGAUCUUUGAAAGUCCGAACCCAAAACUUGGGGGCAUAAAAAAAAAAGAAGGGGGGAAAAGGAAUAAAGAAAGAAGAUGAUGGUUUGAUAAUGCUUUAAGACUGAGAUGAGGAUCCUUAAGCAAGCUUCUCCAAAUGCAACCUAUGAGACAAUUUCACAAAAAACAAAAGAUAGAAGAAGAGUGGUCUUAAGUCUUUAAACCCUCAAACACUAUUGAGCCUUAAAGCAUCCUUUUCUUUCAUAGCCCGUAGAUGUAACCUACAUUACAAGCCUUUAAAAGUCCUUUCUGAUCAAGCGCACAUAACUUGGGUUAAUAAACGAUGGUCUUAUAACUCAUAGGACUUAACAAAUGAGAGAUAAUCCGCUUUUGUCCAUGCAAGAAAAAGGCUAAUAUGAGACAUUUCCCUUUUUCUACACAGCCUUUUCAAAUAAUUACUUAAAACCUGUUGAAAAGAUUAAACAGAAGAGCCUUUGAAAAGAAAAAAAAAACCUAAAGACAAACCGCAAACCGAUAAAACCCUCAUUGGGAAUCGCUUAAAAGAGUUUUCAAUAUGUAUGUUGAAAGUUUCAGUUGUCAUGAACAAAUUCAAGUCUUUUAAAGAUUCUUUUUGAGGAAGGAAUUUUUUGUGCUGGAACGAAAACCAAAAAACCCUUAAUUUGAGAAAGACAAAUUAAAGCAUUGACAAGAGCAUGAUAAAAAGCAAUGGCAAAUCAUGCAUUUUUGGAAAAGGUUCACCUAACGGAAAAGGUCAGGGAUUUCUUCCCUAAAAAGUGAUGGGUAGAAGAAACAUCAUAGGAAAUGGAUCCAGCAUGCCAUUUCGAGCACGUGAACAAGAUCGUAUUAAGAGAGAGUUUCAGAAAAUUGAAGGAAGCGAUGGGACCUAUGUUUCCAAACCAGGUAAGGAUGCAUACAUAAGCAUUGCAUCAAACAUUUUUGUUGAUUUGUUACAGGAAAAAUCCUCAAUAUAGUCCGGCAAGAUUAGAGACAAAGAAAGAAUCUUUGAGUUGAUGAACAACGAAGAAUCAUGCUUUGGACCCUGGAACGGGAGAAAGAUGAGAUAAACCCUAACAUUAGGGAAAUCUCAAAGAAAUAAGAGUCUUCAAUUCAAACCCUAUCAUCUUGAAGAAGAAACAUUUUUUGGUUAAAGAGGAUUGCCAAAAGGGAUCUCAGUUUAACCACCACAUGAAGAUUUUAGCUUUGGUUGAAGGGAGUCGCCAGAUGGGAUUCCAGGUUGACCGAGCUACACACAGGCUUUGGUUCUGGUUAAAGGGGAUCGGCGAAAGGGAUCUUAGUUUACCCUAACCACACAGAGACUUUGGUUCUGGUUAAAGGGGAUCGACGAAAGGAUCUCAGUUUAGCCUAACUGCACAGGAGUUUUGGUUCUGGUUAGAGGGGAUUGGCGAAAGGAAUCUCAGUCUAUCCUAACCAUACAGGUUUUUUGGUUAUGGUUAAAGGGGAUCGGCGAAGGGAUCUCAGUUUAGCCUAACCACACAAAGACUUUGGUUCUGGUUAAAGGGGAUCGGCGAAGGGAUCUCAGUUUAGCCUAACUGCAAAGGAUUUUGGUUUUGGUUAGAGGGGAUUAGCGAAAGGAAUCUCAGUCUAUCCUAACCACAUAGGAGUUUUGGUUCUGGUUAGAGGGGAUUGGCGAAAGGAAUCUCAGUCUAUCCUAACCACACAUGUUUUUUGGUUCUGGUUAAAGGGGAUCAGCGAAGGAUCUCAGUUUAGCCUAACCACACACAGAUUUUGGUUCUGGUUAGAGGGAAUUGGCAAAAGGAAUCUCAGUCUAUCCUAACUACAUAGGAGUUUCGGUUCUGGUUAGAGGGGAUUGGCGAAAGGAAUCUCAGUCUAUCCUAACCGCACACAGGAGUUUUGGUUCUGGUUAGAGGGGAUUGGCGAAAGGAAUCUCAGUCUAUCCUAACCACACAAUUUUUUAGUUCUGGUUAAAGGGGAUCGGCGAAGGGAUCUCAGUUUACCCUAAAUACAAAGGAUUUUGGUUCUGGUUAAAGGGGAUCGACGAAGGGAUCUCAGUUUAUGUUAACCACACACAGAUUUUGGUUCUGGUUAGAGGGGAUUAGCGAAAGGAAUCUCAGUCUAUCCUAACCACACAUGAGUUUUGGUUCUGGUUAGAGGGGAUUGGCGAAAGGAAUCUCAGUCUAUCCUAACCACACAGGAGUUUCGGUUCUGGUUAGAGGGGAUUGGCAAAAGGAAUCUCAGUCUAUCCUAACUGCACACAAGAGUUUUGGUUCUGGUUAGAGGGGAUUGGCGAAAGGAAUCUCAGUCUAUCCUAACCACACACACGAGUUUUGGUUCUAGUUACAGGGUAUUGGCGAAAGGAAUCUCAGUUUAGCCCAACCACACAACAGGACUUGGGGUCCGGUUGAAGUUUUAGGUCAACCAAAUUUUGGGAAGACCAGUUUCGGAAGACCAAUUUUGUUUAUCUUUACAACACUUACUACGCAAAAUCUUUGCUCCGUAAGCAUUGUAAAGAGGGGGCAUCUGUUGUAACCCAUUUUUGGGUCCCCGCACAAAAUACAAAAAAAAUUAUAUCAAAAUAAACAAAAUAUUAUAGAAAAAUAAUAGUAGUGAAAAGAGGAUGUCGGAGCGCCCAGAAAAUGGUCAAAAAUUGGUUGAGGAGGUUUAAAAAUACAAGGAUUGAAGUUUGACAGUAUAUCAUUGACUGGGGCUUAAUUGCAUACAUAUUAAAGUCUGGUGGGCAAUUAGGGACUUGAUUGAAGAAAUCCAAAACCAAGGACCAUAGUGAAAAAAGCGCGCAAAUUGAAGGGCUAAUCUGAAAUUGGACCCAUUUUGGCGCCAAUUUUCGUUUAAAUGAAACGGCGCGUUUUGAUAAAAAACGAUGUUCGUUUCAUGUAUUUCACGAAGAAAAAGAGCAAACGGUGCCGUUUUGAACGGCACCAUAAGCCUUCUUCUUCCCUUAUUGAGAAUAGGGGAAGAAGAAGCAUUUUCCCCCCAUUUUUUUCUCCUCUCUCUCUCUCCCAAAACCCAAAUAACCAACGACGACCCAACUUGUCCCUUCACUGACACCACCACGCCCUCAUGCCGAAAGACCCAUACCCUAUAGAGGUAGGGGCGGCUGUGCAGUAGCCGCCCCCAUGCCACCAUGCCCUGCACCAUGGCACAGGACAGGGCAUGGUGGCCCUCUCUCCCUCUGCCUAUAAAUACAGAGGGAGUGCGGGAGAGAAGAGGGGGGAAAAAAGAUUUUUUGAAAGAGAAAGGGAGGAGAAACCGAGAGAGAGACCGACUGUUUUUUAAGGAGGAAAAGAGAGACGGAAAAAGGGGAAACAACAUUUUUUUUAUUGCUUAUGGGCUGGAACAUCAGCCCAGCCCACGCGGCUGAGCUGAGUCCAGCCCACAGUAUAUGGGCCAGGUCAGGCCCAACCUAGGAUGGGUGGGCCAGAUCCGGCCCAAGUUUUUUUUGGUUAAAAGAAAAUUUCAAAAAAUAUUUUUUAGGAAUUUUAUAAUUUCCCCGCAUAUUUUUCUGUCAUUUUGAUUAAAAGCAAUAUUUUUUAUGUUGCUAAAAAUACAAAAUCCGAUAUUAAAAUACCUGGUUUUCGUCAAAACUUCCAAAAUACAAAAAAAAAACUUGUUUGUUUUGAAAAAAAGAAAAAUGUUUUUGUGCAUACGGCCAAGUAUCUCAAAGCUAAAAAAUCAUAUGGUGUUUUUAUACAUAAAAAAAAAAAACAAUGUUUUUGCAUGCAUUUUGGCUUUAAUAACCAGUUUAUUAGAGUCAAGAGAACAUUGGCCAAAAUUUCAAAAACUACAAAAAUUUUAUUUUGUUUGUCUUUUAAUAUCCGUGGUACGAUAUUACAUGUAAUACAUAUUCCGGAUAUUAAAUGUUUUUCCAACGUUAGAACGGUUAGGUUCUACCCCAUUAAAGAUAAUAACCUCCUUAUUGAGGAGGACUUUUCUUGAGUCUUAGAUAGACAGGACCAACAAGUAGAAAACACAACCAAACCUUAGAUUUUGAUCAGACAAAUAAAACAAUGCAGCUUACCUUAGGUAGGGCGUAUUUGGGGUGCUAAUACCUUCCCUUUACGUAACCAGUCUCCGUACCUGAUCUCUGAGACCAGUUAGGGUUCCUAGUGAUCAUAAUACUAGGUGGCAACUCCCAUUCUAUAUUUUUCACCGCUAAGAGACAAAGAAUUCCUUGUCUCCCCACAUUUACCAGAUAUAUAUCCAUACAUUGAGGGUGGACGAUCGCCGCGACGCCGCACGUGCGACAACAGUUAUAUAUUAAUUCUAAUAAAAAAUAUAUAUGGUUUCUAUGUUUAAAUUUUGGUAUUAAUAACGCAUACAACAAUGAGGCAGUUAAGUUUCUUUGAUAAAAUAAAAUCAUUUAAAAAAUAAAAAUAAGCUAGUAUGUUUGUUACAUAACUAAAAAAAAAAUUGAUUUUUUUUAAAUUAAUUUUUAAAAUCAUUUUAAUAGACUGAUAUUAAAAAUAAAUUUUAAAAAAUAAAAAAUAUAUUAUUUUGAUAUAUUUUUAAGAAAAAAACAUUAUGAAAAGAAAUUGUUAAUAUUGUUAAAAAUAUAUUAAUAUUUUAAGGAAAAAAUAAAAGAAUUUUUUUUUUUCAAAUUAAUUUUUUUCUUUUUUGUAUAUUUUUGUGGUUACCAUAUCAGACAAAGUAGAGGUUGAUUUCAACAUGCUUCCUGCAAGCAUGAUAAACCAAAUUCAUUAUGAGAUAUAUAGCCUCAAGAUUAUCACAUCAUAAAGAAGAGUAGAGGUUCAAAUCCCUAAAUCUAUAAAUAAAUAAAAAAUGAACUAAGCAAUUUUAUCUCGAAACAACAAUGACACUAACUUAAUGCUCAGCCUUGGUACAAAUUAUGUCAGCACUUCCAUGCCUUGUGAUCUUGACAAAAAUAUUUUUGGUCCUUUUAGUUUAGAAAUGAAACUUUUCAGUACAAAACUUUAUUUUACCUAUAUAUAUAGUUCUUGAGUUUGAGAAAAAAAAGAAAGAUUUGUUGAAAAACUACAAAGGAGAGAUAAAAUUAGUCUAUUUAGAUUUGGAUUGAUUUUCUAAUUUUAAAUCAAUUAAAUGUUUAUUUAAAAUCAUGAAUGGAUUUAUUGAAGUCACUUCUUACAUAUAGCACAAUAUUUAUGAAGAUGACACGAGUUAAAAUAAUUGUUUAAACACACACUAUAUAUUGUAAUGUUGUCUGCAUAUAACUGUCAUGUAAGGGCUUCCAAUUCGCCUCUCCGUAUUACAGCACUUUACAAAUUAUUAGAUCAUUUGAUACUACACACAACAUUUGAUAUUUUUAACCAUUCACAUACAUGAAAUAAAACCCAUGGAAACAUGACACAAACGUCGACUGCAACUGCAACAUUAUACUAAUGAGUGUAUUUUCUAAAGUCGAAAGAGUGCUACCCAAUCUAGGUUCAAGUGGGAUGAUGAAUUGAAGAGCAGUUGUUAUUUGACACUGCAAUUAGAUGUCUCAUAUUUGAUUUAUGGAGCUAUGAUAAGGGAAUCGUGCUUGUAUAUUUACAUAGUAACAAGCAUUAUUAAAGAUGGUACACUAGUAAGUUUCCAAAUGCUAUCAGCAAAUAUUAUAACCUCUUAAUUUAUACAAGGAUUGAGCUAAAUUGCUUUAUCAAAUAUUUUAUGUUUUUUUUUUUUUGAAAUAUUGUUAUAGACAUAGAAUCAACAAGUUUAUGUGACAUUCUAUAUUGAUUUUGUUAUAUUUUAAUCACUAAAAGUAUGGGUUUCAGAAAAAUAAAAACCAAACAAAAAAAUUGAAAAAAUUAAAAAUUUUCAAACCAACCCAAUCCAACAAAUUUGAUCAUUUUUCGUCUGGUUUAGUUCGGAUAUUUUUUAGUUGAAACAAUUACUAACCAUUUUCAAAAGAUAAAUAUUGACAAGCCUUUCACCAAAACCAUGUUCAUUUAUGCUGAAUCAGGCCAAAUCAGGUUCAGGUUGCUAACUCAAACUAACGCAAUCCAAAAUUAAAUGCAUAUAGACUCUGGGUUGGUUUAGUUUAUUGAUUAUUAGAAAUGUCAAACUGAAACCGAACCGAAAUAAAUGAAUAUUUCUAACUGAGACGCCCUAAAAUACUGAAAAAAAUGGUUGGUUUUGUUUAGUUUGGUUUGGUUAUAGCAGAUACCCUGACAAUUUACUUUUUCACUCGACCUCAAACAAUAAGCACUAUUAUUAUGUCUUUAAUUGAAUUACUAUAAAGUAUAAAAAUAUAUGUGGAUAAUUGAAAAUUUGCUUAGAGUUGCUAAUAAUUCACAACUGCAACAACCAUCACGACCAGGUAAUGCUUGGGAAUGGGAUCAUGUAAUUGUGGAGAUUUGUCUAGAUUUUCUAGAUAAUAAUUUCAACCACCCUCUCCUUUCCUCAACCACUAUCACUCACCUUUCAACCACCAUCAACUACCCUCUCCUUUUGUCAACCAUCAACACUUCUCAACCAAGCUGCCAAGGCUCUCAUUCCUUCUAUAAAUGAAGACAAAGAGAGAGCAAGAUAAAGUGUAGUGCAGAGACAGUGCAAGUGAGUGCAGAGGAGAGGAAGUGUGGAGAGUGCAAGUGCAACUUUGAGAGUUGUGAGCAGAUUUGAGAGAAACACCAAGUGUAAGAGUGAAACACUGGGAUUUUGGGAUUGUACUAGGGUUGAGUUGAGUGUUUGUAUCAUUCCUCUAAUAAUAUAUGAUUGUGCAUCAAAAGUAUCAUUAAGUCUCCUAUUUUACAUAUAUAUUUAUUAUUUUUAUUUGGGUUUUUUAUAAUAAUUGAUGUGCUUUUUAGUAAUGAAGUUUUUUUUAAUGUUUCGAUAGGAUUUUGGAGCUUAAAUGAAUUAUUUCAGAAAAUUCAACGUCGGAAUUCGGAACAAAGAAUCGAAGAGAAAUUUAGUUGAAGAUUGAAGCAAGUCUUGGUUCAAAUAAGUGCUCCAAAUUUUCCCCAAAAAUCAAUUCUAUUCCAAUUCUAGAAAAGAAUAUCAUAUGAUCUAUUUCAAGCCCAAACAUGCCUUAUGUUGUGUGCAAACUUCAACCAUCAAACACUCAAGGUUUCAAUGUCAAUCUUAGCCCAAAUAAUAGGUACAUUUCUAUCCUUAUUUGAUGCUUAAAUCAGCCCCAAAUCAGCCUCCAAAUCAGCCGAAGCACAAUCCAUGAUCUUACAUGCCCACACAACAAAUAACAUUUGAUUUAUUUUGGGUAAUUCAUUGAUCCAAGAGGGAAAGAACAUGGAUGGAAAGCUGGAGGGGACAUUGUGACAUUAUUUUGGGUCAAAAGAAGAAAGAGACAGCUCAUAAAGGAGGAAGAAAAACGUGCACCAAAGUGUUCUCCAAGCUGGCCUGGUUUGAUUUUCCAGAACACCUUUCGGUGUUUCGCCCAUAACUUUUGACUCAGAUGUCCAAAUGAGCUGUUCUUUAAUGAUGUGAAAAUAUAACAGAAUGGCCUAUAAAUAUGUCUCCAAUAGCCAUUUCCAGGGGAGGCUUCAAAAAGGGUCUAAUUUCUGUCCAAAGUUAGAGUCAAAUUUGUGUCCGAAUUUUUACUGAAAUUGUGUUGUGUGCUUCUUUAUAGAUUUUGGUUCUUUAGCUUGUAAAAAUCAUUAUUUCAGUUUGAUUCAAGUUAUUUCAUGUUUAUUAAAGUGUUAUUAUAUAUAAUCAUGGUUCGCUAAUCUCUUUCUUGGAUCCAAAUCAAGGAUGAUGGUGGUUGAGGUGAGUUUUUUAAGAUAUGAAUGAAUCUUAAUGUCUAUCUUUUCAUUUUCUUUAUAAAUGUUUUAUUAUUGCAAAGAAAUUUUAGAAAUCAUUUAGGUAAUGUUAUAAUCUUGAAUUUUUAUGCACAAACCUUAGUUUUGGUAUAGAGAUUGCUUGAUUCAAUGUCUUACUUAAUAUGAAAAUACUUGUUCAUUCUUAAGCAAUAAUCAAUCUUCAUCUUUUUAAACUUCAUUGUAAUAUCUUCUGAUCUAAUAUCACCAUCGUUGAUAUUAGGUUGAGUUAUCUUAUAUAUGUUUGAAGGAAUCACCAAUACAUCACCAUUAAAAUUGAUUUGGACCAAGACUUACUUUUUCUUGUCAUUUAAAAUCUAUUUACACUUUUUCAUCUUUGAAAACAAAUUCAUCAAUCAUUUUCAACCAAGUUAUUGUUAAUUUAAUUUCUCUUGAGUUUUUUUGUUACCUAGCUUAAUUUCCAGAUCUAGCUCUCUGUGGAUAUGACCUCAAUCUUACUGAGUUAAUUGCUACAUCGCACACUCGUGCACUUGCGAGUUAAAACAAGCCGAACAUAAAAAGCGGUCAAGCAAUUUUUGGCGCCGUUGCCGGGGAGCUAGCAAGCAAAGGUAACAAAUUUAUAUUUGAUUAUUGAAAAAUAAAAAAAAAUACAUAUAAAUAAUAAAUCAAAUGGCUGGUUUUACCGCCUAAAAAAAAAUUGACCUCAACUUUUCGGAUAUUGGACUGUGGACUAAACUAUUAAUUAUUGGAUUUUGGUUGGUUCAACCAUUUUUCUUUUAUUUUCUAUUCUAAUUAGUUUCUAAUAUUUAUUGUUUAUAUUAUAAGGCUGGUUUUACCGCCUCUUGUUUAUUUUAUUUUAUUUUGUUGUUAUUAUUUUUCUUAUAUUUAUUGUCUGAAGUGCUUAGCCGGUAUUACCGCCUCUUGUUCAUUUUAUUUUAUUUUGUUGUUUUGUUGUGAUUAUUUUUCUUAUAUUUAUUGUUUGAAGUACUUGGCCGGUAUUACCGCCUUUUUAUUCAUGCUUGUUAUAAUUAUCUUUUAAUUUUUAUUGUUGUUAUUAUUGCUUAUUAGUUGGAGUGUGAAUUUCUUAAUUUGUUAAAUUUUUAUUUUUGUGCUAUUACUUUAUCUUUUACAUUUCAUUUACUUUUAUUUGCAAUCUUCUUUUUCUUUUUCUUUUUUUUUUCCUUUCCUUUUGUAUUCAUAUAAUUGUUAUAUUAUUAGCUUUUUUUAUCAUGGCUAAUGUUGAAGAUGUAGAGGGUGAAGGGAGUGUUCAAGGUAAUGGACCUCCACAAUUCAAUGAUCAACCUAAUUUUCGAGUACACCUUCGUGUAUUAUCUUUCCUCUUAACCAACAAGCUUUCAAUUUGAAACCGGGCAUGAUUCAACUUCUUCCCACAUUUCACGGUAUGGAUUCUGAAAAUCCAUACAUACAUAUUGUCAUAACCCAAUUUUUGACCAUUUUAUUUUAAUUAUUAUUAUUAUUUUAUUUACUGAAAAGGAUAAAAAAAUAUGAUGAUGAUGAUAAAAAAAAAAUAAUGAUAAAAAAACAAGUAAAAUGAGAUAAAUGAAGAAUGAAUUAAAAUUUGGGUUAAGGGCAACAUGAUUAGAAGUUUUAGGGUUUAAUUAAACUUUGAAAUUAAUCUAAUUAAGCUUGGAAUUAAUUUAAUUAAUCUGAUUAAGGGUUUAAUUGGAGAAUUGAUAAGUUUUGAGACUUAAUUGAGCUUGGAAUUAAUUUAAUUAAUCCAAUCAAGGGUUUAAUUGGAGAAUUGAUAAAUUUUUAGACUUAAUUAAGCUUGAAAUUAAUUUAAUUCAUCCAAUCAAGGGUUUAAUUGGAGAAUUGAUAAGUUUUGAGACUUAAUUAAGCUUGGAAUUAAUUUAAUUAAUCCAAUCAGGGGUUUAAUUGGAGAAUUGAUAAGUUUUAGACUUAAUUGGACUUUGGAUUUAAUUAAAUUAAUGAAAUCAGGGACUUAAUUGAAAAAAUAGCAAAGUUUGGGGUUAAUUAGGGAUACGAUUGCAGCAGAUUAAAGUCCAAGGACUAACUUGUAAAAGGCACCGAAAUGCAGGGGCAAUUACAGUUUAAACCAGGGGCUUAAUUAUAAAAUUCGGCGUCGUUUGAAAGAGCACUAUUCAUCUUCUUCACCCGAAAACAAGAAGAAAACGCAUGCCUUUAUUGCAUUAAAAUCCAUGCAAAACGCAUGCCUUUAUUGCAUUAAAAUCCAUGCAACCGCAUGGCAUUCUCUGGUUAUAAAAACCAGAGAAGGAGAACCGGCAAAGAAAAAAAGGAUGGCAUAACCGAAAAGCCACUAGAGAAACACAGAACCGGGGAAAGAAUAGAAAAAAAAACUUUCGUUCCUCUGUUUCUUCUCAAAGAAACAGAGGAGGCCACGAGCAGCGGAGGAAGAAAGCAACUAGCCCACCAGUCCUCCAUCACGUCUCCGUUUCCCUGCUUACACAGAGGAAGUAACACCGGGAACACAACAAGACGCAAGAACAGAAACUGUACAGAGGGGAGCAAGUUUUCUGCCCCUGUUUCUUCUCUAAGAAACAAAGGCGUUCGUGCCUCACGAUCGUGAGGCACGAACGCGUGAAGAAAGGCCAUUCUCUGGCUUUAUAAGCAAGAGAAGGCCGCAGAGAAGGAAGAAAAACUGAGGAGAAACAUGAAAAAGAGAGGACAGAACCGGUGGACGAGAAGAACAAACACAGACGGCCGCGGACGAGCGGGGAAGACGACUAGCAGGGGAACAAACCGAAACAAAAAAGAAGAAGACGACAGAACAAGGAAAGCUAAAACAGAGGAGUAGACAGAAAGCAGUAACAGAGAGGAGUAACGCUGGUCAGUUGUCAUCCCCGUCUUCCAGUGCAGCAACAGGUAAGUUGCGUUGCCCCUCCCUGCAUUUUAAUUGCAUGUUGCUGUAACAGGCGUGCGUGAGCGGUUCACGCACGCCUGCGGGUAAAAAAAUAGAAAAAUGGCCAGCCGGGUCAAGCCUUUGACCCGGCUAGGCCUGCUGAGUCCAGCCCAGCCCAUGUGGGCUGAGCUGGGCCCAGCCCAAAAAAAUAAAAAAAUAAAAAAAACAGAAAAGUAAAAAAGGGUAGAAAAAAUAAAAAAAAUGUGUAUGCAUGAAUAAAAAUAAUGUAAAUUUACUGGUUUAUUCACUGACGCCAGAGUCAGGAAUAAAAAUACUGGUUUAAAUUUAUAUUAUUUUUAUUCGGUGUAUUUUAUUUUAUUUAGCUAGAAAAAUAAAAAAUAUGUGCAUGCAUAAAAAAUCAAUUUUUUUUAAUUUAUUCACUGGCGCUAGAGUAGGGAAUAAAAAAUAUUGAUCUAAUUUUUCGUAGCUACGAAUUUUUACCAACGCCAGAGUUGGAAUUAUUCGAGCUCGAAUAUUCACUGGCGCCAGAGUCAGGAAUAUUAUAAACAAAUCAUUAUAGCAUAAGCGAAUAAAUGUUUAGCAAUUGAAGACAAAACCAACAAUGCAGUUUGCCUUAGGCAGAACGUUUAAGGGGUGAUAAUAUCUUCCCUUUUACGUAACCAAUCCCGAGCCAUAGAAUCUCUGUUGACCAGUUAGGGUUUCUAGUGACCAUAAUACUAGGUGGCGACUCCUUAAACAAGAUCUUUUCCCCUAAAAGAACAAGAUGCCAGAUAUCUGUUCUUUUUCCAUAAAUCUAGAAUUAUUUUGUGGGCCGCUGCGAUGUCGGGUGCGACACAUAUUAAGGACUUUGAAGAGGUAUGUAAUACUUUUAUUGAUAGAACAUGCACCGAGGAAACCAUUCGGCUUAAAUUGUUCCCAUUCUCUCUAAAGGAUAAAGCCAAGCUUUGGCUAAACUCCUUGCGUCCUAGGUCUAUAGGUACAUGGAGAGAAAUGCAAGCUGAAUUUUUGAAAAAAUACUUCCCCACUCAUAGGACGACAACCUUACAACAUCAAAUGAUGAAUUUUUCUUGUAGUCCAAAUGAGUCAUUUCACCAAGCUUGGGAAAGGUUCAAAGACUUGUUAAAUGCAUACCCCCACCAUGGUUUUGAGAUGUGGAGGUUAGUGAGUUUCUUCUACGACUCUCUUACCGCAGAUUUUAAAAAGCUAGUGUCAACCAUGUGUAAUGGUGAGUUUUAUGACAAAGAACCAAGUGAAGCCUUUAAUUUCUUUGAUCAAUUGGCUGAAAACACAAAGCAAUGGGAGACUUCUCUCCUACUUCAUGUUGAGUCUAGAAACACCAUUUCUCAUUCAAGUGGGAAGUUCCAAUUGAAAGAGAUUGAUGACCUCAAUGCUAGAUUAGCCUCAUUGGCUAGGAAAGUAGAGUCUCUUGAGAUUAAAAAAGUGCAUGUCAUGAGUGAACAACAAGAGGAAAGUUGUGUUGUUUGUGAGAGCAAAGGGCAUAGGACAACUGAGUGUCCUACCAUUCCAGCCUUCAAGGAAGUGCUAUAUAGCCAAACUUCUGAUUCAAGUAAUGUUAGAAAGCCAUUUUCAAACCAAGUAGGCAAUCCCUACUCUGAGACCUAUAAUCCUGGAUGGAGGAACCAUCCAAAUUUUGGAUGGAGAAAUGAGGGCCCUUCAGUACCUCAAACAUUUCAACCUCCACCCCAACCAUUUCAUGCUACCACACAUAACACGUACCAAUCACCUCAUAAGAGAUCCCUAGAGGAUACUCCAACAAUUCAUGCAAACGCAAGGAGGAAUCAAUAACCAAGCUUACAAAUUUCAAGACCAGACUAAUAGGACCUUAGAUGACAUUCAAAGUCAACUAACCAAGUUGACUCAAUCAUUAAGCAUUCAAGAGAAGGGAAAGAUCCCAGCUCAACCAAUGUCAAAUCCUAGAGGUUAGGUACACAUGAGUGAAUCCUCAUUUAGUGAACCUUCAAACCAUGAACAAGUCCAAGCCAUCACUACCCUUAGAAGUGGAAAGAUUAUUGACAAAGCUAUAGGUUUUGGGAUUCCUAGAGGUAUUGUGGAGGAGAAAUCUAGGGAAAGUGAAGAGGGAAUCAAAACACAAGUGACAAAUGAGAGCUUGAGUGACAAAGAAGGUGAGAUAAAUGAGAAAGAAAUGAGUGAGAAAGGAGAUGAUUCAAGAAAAAUUGGAGUCAAAGUGAGUGAUUUAGAAUUUGUUCCUAGAGCACCAUUUCCACAAAGGUUAGGGAAGCCUAAACAUGAUCUUAUGAACUCGGAAAUCUAUGAAUUGUUCAAACAAGUGAAAGUCAACAUUCCACUCAUUGAUGCAAUUAAACAAGUCCCCUCUUAUGCAAAGUUCUUCAAGGACUUAUGCACAGUCAAAAGGAGAUUGAAUGUGAAAGAAAGAGCCUUUCUAACUGAACAUGCUAGUGCCAUCAUCCAGUUUAAGACUCCUCCCAAAUACAAAGAUCCUGGUUGUCCUACUAUUUCAUGCAUUAUUGGAAGUCAUAAAAUAGACCAAGCUUUGUUGGAUUUAGGAGCAAGUGUGAAUUUGAUACCCUACACUGUUUACGAACAGUUAGGUUUAGGAGAAAUCAAGCCUACUCAAAUCACCCUUCAAUUAGUUGAUAGGUCAAUCAAGAUUCCCAGGGGUAUUGUUGAGGAUGUGUUGGUCCAAGUAGACAAAUUCUACUUUCCUGUUGAUUUUGUAGUGUUAGACACCGCACCUAUUCAAGGUUCUAAUGCUCCCAUCCCAGUCAUCUUAGGUAGACCUUUCCUAGCUACAUCCAAUGCUUUAAUUAACUGUAGGAAUGGGGUGAUGAAAUUGUCUUUUGGGAACAUGACUGUGGAGAUGAACAUAUUCAAUGUCUCGAAACAAAUUGGUGAACAUGAGGACAUUAGAGAGGUAGAUUUGAUCCAAACAGUUUGUCAAGAACACUUUGAGAGAGAGUGGUUCAAAGAUCCAUUGGAGAGAACUUUAAUUCAUGAUGAAAGAUUUUGUUCUUUGGAAUGUGUUGAUGAGGAAGUAAGAGAACUCAAGACUUAUCUAGAUCCAAUGCCUAUUAUGUCAAUAGGUCAAUGGACCCCAUCGUUUGAGCCUUCGAUUUCACCCCAAAUGAAAGUUGAGGCAUCUCUUGUCCAACCUUAUAAACUAGAAAGGAAGCCUUUACCGAGUGAUCUUAAGUAUGCAUUUCUAGGGGAAGAUGAAUCAUAUCCUAUUGUGAUUUCAUCAAAACUUAGCAUAGAGCAGGAACAAGAACUUUUGAGAGUGGUGAGAAAACACAAAAAAAGCAAUUGGGUGGACUAUUACUGACUUGAAAGGAAUUAGCCCUCUUUUAUGUACACAUAGAAUCUAUCUUGAAGAAGAGGCUAAAUCUGUGAGGCAAAUGCAAAGACGACUGAACCCAAACAUGAAGGAAGUAGUAAGAGGUGAAGUGCUUAAGCUACUUGAUGCAGGUAUCAUUUACCCCUUGCAAACUCAAAAUGGGUUAGUCCAACCCAAGUUGUCCCUAAAAAAUCUGGAGUCACGGUAGUGAAGAAUGAAAAUAAUGAGCUAGUACCAACUAGAAUCCAAACUGGAUGGCGUCUGUGCAUUGAUUAUCUUAAGUUGAACAUGGUGACCAGGAAGGACCAUUUUCCGCUUCCAUUUUUAGACCAAGUGCUUGAAAGAGUAGCCGGAAGAGCUUUCUAUUGUUUUCUUGAUGGAUACUCAGGUUACAACCAAAUUGAGAUUUCUUUAGAAGACCAAGAAAAAAUCACUUUCACUUGUCCUUUUGGUACCUAUGCUUAUAGAAGAAUGCCUUUUGGCUUGUGUAAUGCACCAACCACUUUUCAAAGGUGUAUGAUGAGUAUCUUUAGUGACAUGGUGGAAAUUUUUUUUGGAAGUUUUCAUGGAUGAUUUUUCAGUUUAUGGGGAUUCUUAUGAGUUGUGUCUAAUGCAUUUAGAAAAAGUUCUUGAAAGAUGUGAAGAGAGCAAUCUUGUACUUAAUUGGGAGAAGUGUCAUUUUAUGGUGACACAUGGCAUUGUCUUAGGUCACAUUGUCUCUUCAAAAGGGAUAGAGGUAGAUAAGUCAAAAGUUGAAGUCAUUCAAAAAUUACCUAGCCCUAGGACUGUGAAAGAUGUGAGAUCGUUUUUAGGACACGCUGGUUUUUACCGAAGAUUCAUUCAUUCUUUUAGUACCAUUCCCAAACCAUUGUGUAACUUGUUGUCACAAGAUGUUCAAUUUGAUUGGACAUCAAAAUGUCAAGAAGCUUUUGAAAAGCUUAAAGGGUUGUUGACCACUACACCAAUCAUGCAAGCUCCUGAUUGGUCUUUACCAUUUGAACUGAUGUGUGAUGCUAGUGAUUUUGCAGUAGGGGCUGUUUUAGGGCAAAGAAAAGAUAAGAAGCCUCAUGUCAUUUAUUAUGCUAGCAAGACUUUGAAUGAUGCUCAAUUGAAUUACACUACAACUGAAAAAGAACUCUUAGACAAGUUUAGGUCUUAUUUGGUUGGAUCUCUUGUUAUUGUUUUCACUGAUCAUGCAGCAUUGAAAUACUUGCUCACAAAACAAGAUGCCAAGCCAUGUUUGAUUCGAUGGAUCCUUAUAUUCCAAGAGUUUAACCUUGAAAUUCGAGAUAAAAAAGGAGUAGAGAAUGUAGUGGCUGAUCAUUUGUCCCGUCUUUCAAGCUAUGAGACCAUAAUUGAUGAAUCUCCAAUAAAUGAAUUCUUUGCUGAUGAAAAUUUAUUUUGUGCAGGUAUUGUUUCCUACAUUGGCUCUCCAUGGUAUGCUGACAUAGCAAAUUACCUAGCCACAAGUCAGAUUCCUUCUCAUUGGUUUAAACUUGACAAACAAAAAUUCUUGCGCAACGUGCGUACCUUUUUUUGGGAUGACCCCUACCUAUUUAAAUACUGCCCUGACCAAAUUGUUAGGCGGUGCAUCCCUGAUCAUGAAAUUCCAAGUGUCAUUAAUUUUUAUCAUGCAUUAGCCUGUGGUGGGCAUUUCUCUUCCAAGAAAACCACUGCCAAGAUCUUGCAGUGUGGUUUUUAUUGGCCCACCAUGUUCAAAGAUGUCCAUGCCUUCUGUGUUGCAUGUGACCGAUGCCAACGACUAGGUAACCUCACUAGGCGUAACAUGAUGCCCCUAAACCCCAUUCUUGUUUUGGAAAUAUUUGAUUGUUGGGGGAUUGAUUUCAUGGGACCUUUCCCAAGUUCAUUUGGUAACCAAUUCAUCCUUGUAGCUGUUGAUUAUGUGUCUAAAUGGGUGGAGGCCAUUGCAUCUCGAACCAAUGACCAUCGAGUUGUGGUCAAAUUCUUGGAAGAAAAUAUUUUCUCUCGUUUUGGCAUGCCCCGGGCUAUGAUUAAUGAUGGGGGAAAACAUUUUUGUAACAAGCCCAUUGGGAUUUUGAUGAGAAAAUAUGGUGUAAUUCACAAGGUCAAUACCCCCUAUCAUCCACAGACUAGUGGCCAAGCUGAGUUGACAAAUUGGGAGAUCAAGAACAUUUUAGAGAAAACAGUCAAUCCAAACCGUAAAGAUUGGUCCCUACGACUAGUUGAUGCUUUGUGGGCAUAUCGCACUGCUUACAAGACCUCUUUAGGAAUGUCUCCUUAUAGGCUAGUUUAUGGAAAGCCUUGUCAUCUCCCUGUUGAGAUUGAGCACCGUGCAUAUUGGGCCAUCCGGCAAUUCAAUGACAAUGAAAACGAGGUUGGAAAAAAUAGAAAGCUUCAAUUGGAUGAAUUAGAUGAGCUGAUAAAUGAUGCAUUUGAAAAUGCAAAAAUUUCAAAACAUAAGAUGAAAACCUUGCAUGAUAAACAUAUUCUUAGAAAAUCCUUUCAUCUUGGUCAAAAGGUUCUCUUGUAUAAUUCACGAUUACAUCUCUUUCCUGGGAAGUUGAGGACAAAAUGGAUUGGUCCAUUUGUGAUUAAAUCCAUCUCUGAGCAUGGUGCAUUUGAGGUAGAAAAUCCUAAGAAUGGAAAUGUUUUCAAAGUAAAUGGUCAUCGAUUGAAACCUUAUCUUGAAAAUUUUGUGGCUGAAGUUGAGACAUUGGAUCUUGAAGAUCCAAUACCAUUGUAGUAUCAGAAGUAAUGAGCUUUUUAUUUUUAUUUUUAUUUUUUUAUUCAUUUUUAUUUUUCUGUUUUUCAUUUUUUUUCUUUCUUCCAUCGCUUAUAUUUUCUUGUUCAUGCAUUAGGGACAAUGCAUUAUUUUAAGUUGGGGGGUGUGAGGUUCUUUAUUUUUCAAAAAAAAAAUCAAUGUUUUCUUUUAGUUGUGAUAUGCAGGUAAAAAAAAUCAAGCAAGAAGUCAGCUCAUGUCCAAUUCAAUCAGACAUUCAUCCUUGAAAACAAAAGGGGAGUAAUAGUUUUCUAAUCUUUAUACUUUUCUUCUCUUUUUUUUUUACAUUGAGGAUAAUGUAAAACUUAAUUUUAGAUAUUUGAUUAUGUUGAAUGCUUGAGAUGACCAUGCAUGUUAAAAAAAAAAACUUGCAUUCGUAUAUGAAUGAGACUUGUUUAGGAUCAACAUUACAUUUUUGGAUUCAUUAUUGUGUUGAACAUUGCAUGCUUUAAUUUGGGAUAGAUAAUAUCUUAUAAAGCAAGAUAUAGCAUACUUUUUUUUAAGAUUAUUGAAGUACAUCUUUCCUUGUAAAAGUUGUGUGAGUUGUGUGAUUAUGCAUGAAAGAUGAGUGUGAUGCUUUACUUGUGAUCAUCCCUUUUGAUCUAGUCCUAAACAAGGUUUAAGUAAAUAGAGUAAUCAUUAUUACACAAAUGUGUACAAAGUUCUAUCUACUCCAAUGUUUUGAGUUGCUCAGUAACUAGGGGUAUUCAUCAUAAAUGUUUAUCUUUACGUCAAACGGCAGCUUGAAAUAUGAGUAUGCAAAGCACUUUAAGUUUGUGACUUUGUGAGUAACCGGGUGCAUUCAUCACAAAUGUUUGUAUUCGCGUCAAAAGGGAAGUGACCACUUAAAGAAAAAAAAUAAAUAAUAUCUUCAAAAAAAAAGAGAAAAAAAAGAAAAGAAAAAAAAUAUAUAUAUAUAUAUAUAUAUAUAUAUAUAUAUAUAUAUAGAUAUUUCUCUAGUUUGCUACCUUGUUUGUAGUAGUGAGAAGGGAAGAUUACAAGUUGAGUUUUCGCGUGAAUCAAUUAUGUUGGUUGCAUGAUAAAUACAAUUCUAGAAAAGAAUAUCAUAUGAUCUAUUUCCAGCCCAAACAUGCCUUAUGUUGUGUGCAAACUUCAACCAUCAAACACUCAAGGUUUCAAUGUCAAUCUUAGCCCAAAUAAUAGGUACAUUUGUAUCCUUAUUUGAUGCUUAAAUUCAGCCCCAAAUCAGCCUCCAAAUCAGCCCAAGCACAAUCCAUGAUCUUACAUGCUCACACAACAAAUAACAUUUGAUUUAUUUUGGGUAAUUCAUUGAUCCAAGAGGGCAAGCACAUGGAUGGAAAGCUGGAGGGGACAUUGUGACAUUAUUUUGGGUCAAAAGAAGAAAGAGACAGCUCAUAAAAGAGGAAGAAAAACGUGCACCAAAGUGUUCUCCAAGCUGGCCUGGUUUGAUUUUCCAGAACACCUUUCGGUGUUUCGCCCAUAACUUUUGACUCAGAUGUCCAAAUGAGAUGUUCUUUAAUGAUGUGGAAAUCAAACAGAAUGGCCUAUAAAUAUGUCUCUAAUAGCUAUCUCCAGGGGAGGCUUCAAAAAAGGGUCGAAUUGCUGUCCAAAGUUAGAGUCAAAUUUGUGUCCGAUUUUUUACUGAAAUUGUGUUGUGUUCUUCUUUAUAGAUUUUGGUUCUUUAGCUUGUAAAAAUCAUUAUUUCAGUUUGAUUCAAGUUAUUUCAUGUUUAUUAAAGUGUUAUUAUAUAUAAUCAUGGUUCGCUAAUCUCCUUCUUGGAUCCAAAUCAAGGAUGAUGGUGGUUGAGGUGAGUUUUUUAAGAUAUGAAUGAAUCUUAAUGUCUAUCUUUUCAUUUUCUUUAUAAAUGUUUUAUUAUUGCAAAGAAAUUUUAGAAAUCAUUUAGGUAAUGUUAUAAUCUUGAAUUUUUAUGCACAAACCUUAGUUUUGGUAUAGAGAUUGCUUGAUUCAAUGUCUUACUUAAUAUGAAAAUACUUGUUCAUUCUUAAGCAAUAAUCAAUCUUCAUCUUUUUAAACUUCAUUGUAAUAUCUUCUGAUCUAAUAUCACUAUCGUUGAUAUUAGGUUGAGUUAUCUUAUAUAUGUUGAAGGAAUCACCAAUACAUCACCAUUAAAAUUAAUUUGGACCAAGACUUACUUUUUCUUGUCAUUUAAAAUCUAUUUACAGUUUUUCAUCUUUGAAAACAAAUCCAUCAAUCAUUUUCAACCAAGUUAUUGUUAAUUUAAUUUCUCUUGAGUUUUUUUGUUACCUAGCUUAAUUUUCAAAUCUAGCUCUCUGUGGAUAUUACCUCGAUCUUACUGAGUUAAUUGCUACAUCGCACACUCGUGCACUUGCGAGUUAAAACAAGUCGAACAUAAAAAGCGGUCAAGCAAUAUACAAUCUGCUGCCUCCGUGGACGUACCCGGUUUUGGGGAACCACGUAAAUCUGCUUGUGUUGUGUUUUAUUUGUGUUUGCUUUCGGUCCAGUAUGCACAACAAAUUGGUAUCAGAGCAUUAGGGAAGCUUAAACACAGAAAAACACAUUUUUCAGCUCUCUGUUCAAAGUUGCAGAAUUUUCAAAUUUCUCAGAUCUUGAUUUUGAUCAGCUGCGGAGAUUCCUCUCGUUGAUACAAGUCCGGAGAUAUAAAGAUCAUCGAAAUCGGAGUUGAAACGAGCCCUGUAGAGCUCGUCGAAGUUUCGCCUGAAAUCUGCUGGAAAAACCAAACAGUGCCGGAAUUCUCGCCUUAGAAGACAGCCACGUCAUCCGACACGUAAGCGAUGAGUCAUCAUCCACAUCAUCAACAGGGGUCCACAUCGCCCUGUCAUCAGCCACAUCAUCUAACAGUGACAGAAUAUUCUCUUGACAUAGUAAGAAUAUUCCGUUAACAGUAAGAGAAUAUUCCCGUGACAAAAUAUUCUUUAUCAGAGACAGAAUAUUCCUUUCCUAAGUCAACUCGGUCAGAUUGGUUUUUUGGCCAACUCAGUGAUUUUUUAGCCUGUUUUUGGCCGAGUCAAGCUGGUUCCUAGCAUUUUCAACCAUUCCGGACGCGACCGUGGUGUCCGUUUUGUGAAACAGUACACAUCGAAGUUACUAUUUUGGCUCUUUUGAGCAUAAAAGUGCAUGUUUUAACAAUUUCAGGAGUCCAUUUGUAAUCCAAAGACGUUCUAAUGGCUGAUAUUCCAGAAGAAAAAUCAGCGGGGAAUGCUAGUAUACCUCCAUAAUACAUCCCGGUAUCAAGUACCAAAUUUGAGGUGGAGAAGUUUGAUGGGAAAGGUAAUUUUGGCAUGUGGAAAUGUGAAGUCAUGGAUAUGCUUGUCCAAAUGAAUUUGGAUUUCACUCUAGAAGAUAAACCGGAGGAUUUGGAUGAUAAAAGCUGGGAAAGGAUAAAUCGGUUGGCUUGUAGUUCCAUCCGACUUUGUCUUGUAAAGGAUCAGAAGUAUGCCUUUCCAGAACAAAACUCUGCAAAGGAAUUAUGGCAAGCACUGGAGGACAAGUUUAUGAAUAAGAGUAUAGAGAAUCGUCUCUACAUGAAGAAAAGGAUCUUCCGUUUUCAGCACAAGAAAGGUACUUCCAUGAAUGAGCAUCUGAAUGAUUUCAAUAAAAUGAUAGCUGAUUUGAAGAAUUUAGAUGUGGAAAUUGAUGAUGAAGAUAAAGCUCUGUUGUUAUUGAAUUCACUGCCUGACACAUAUGAACAUCUCGUCACCACUUUACUGNNNNNNNNNNNNNNNNNNNNNNNNNNNNNNNNNNNNNNNNNNNNNNNNNNNNNNNNNNNNNNNNNNNNNNNNNNNNNNNNNNNNNNNNNNNNNNNNNNNNAGAUUGUUCACAAGGAGUCAACGUCAGAAGCAUUGACAGUUAGAGGCAGAACAAACCCCAGAAGAUUUCGAGGACGAGGGAGAUCUCGCUCAAAAUCCAGAGGAGAAUCAUCAAACAGACGAUAUCUUGCAAAAGAUUAGUGUGCCUUUUGUCACAAAAAGGGCACUGGAAGAAAGAUUGUCCAAUCAAGGGCAGUAAGGAAAAAGAUGAACCAACUGUGAACGUUGCACGAGAUGAGGAUGAACAAGACUCUGCAUUCAUGGUCUCAUCACCAGAAAACCAUUCUGGUGAAUGGAUUCUUGAUUCUGCAUGUUCCUAUCACAUAUGCCCUAACAAGCACUUAAACUUGUCCUCCUCGUGCAUACAUACUUGUGCCUAUUUUUAGAGAAUGGGGUGUGAUCAGUCACGGUUCCUGUUAUUACUUCAGUUUCAGAACUUUUUUUUUCCUUCUCGUGCAUACAUACUUGUGCCUAUUUUUAGAGAAUGAUGGGUCAAGCCUGUUCAGGCCUCAAGUUUAAAUUGGUGUGUCCAAUCUUGUUUAUUUGAGAUGAACUGUUUCAAGCUUCUUGUGAAUUCUGGAAUAGACGGUUAUGCUUUGGUUUUAUUAAUCGUGAUGUUUGUGUUUAAUCAUGUUGUUCGUGUUUUGACAAAAUAUAAAAAAUGUUUUCUUGUGUGUUGCAUAUGUUUAAUACCCUAAUAUGUUUUUAAUGUUUUAUUUAUAUAAAAAAACAAAUAUUUGAAGUUUCAAAAAUAUGUUUUCGCAUGGAUUUCUUAAACACAACACAAAAAUUAUUUUCUUGCAUCUUGGAUUUUACAACAUGUUUGUAAAUUCCAAAGGGUGUUGGCCAAUAUUCCAAAAAUAUAAAAAUCUUAUUUUUGGGAAUUCGUUUUUAUUCACUAUUAAUAUUUGGAUAAAGAAAUCCCAAAAAGGAUAAAUAUCCAAAAUAUUAUUAUGAAUAAUUUGUUAUUCAUUAGUAAUGUUUGGAUAAAGAAAUUCCAAAGGGGUUAAUAUCCAAAAUAUUAUUAUGAAUAAUUUAUUAUUAUUCACCAUAAAUGUUUGGAUAAAGAAACCCCAAAAAGGGGUUAAUAAUCAAAAUAUUAUUGGGAAUAAUUCAUCAUUGUUCACUGAAUAUUUAGAUAAAGAAACCCCAAGUAGUAAAUAUCAAAAAUAUUUUUUUCUAGGAAUAACAAGUCAUUAUCCCUCAAUAAUAUAAGGGCAAAUAAACCUAUAAAAGGUAAAUGUCCAAAAUAUUUUUAAUAGGAAUACAACUUGUUUAGUUUUAACAUAAGGGCAGAUUUAUGCCUGAAAUUUUAUUUAGAACCAUUUAAUCGCACCUCUGAUUAGUACUUAAAAGUGCAUUUUUAUCAAGGUUUUAUAUCAUCAUUUUGCACUUGAAGUAUCAAUAACUCCUUAACUAAAGCAUGUUUUAUAAUAACAUAUCUAAUUAUAUAAGACACCUUUAAUUUAUGGUAAAUGUUCAUCUUAAAUGCAGGCCUAUCACAUAAAUGAAAGAAUUGAUUGAUGAGUUGAAAUACUGAAAUUGAAAGGACAAAGAGAUGGCCAAACUUAGAAAAGAGAUGCUAGUGCAGUCCAAACUGGAACACUGUUCGAUAAUUGGGUCAUAUCUGGAGCUGUAGAUCUUGUAUUUAGGUCCAUUUUAUAUGGAUGGAAAGAUAAGACAUAGGCCUAUAACUUUCAUGUGGAGCCCAAGAUUUAACAAGGCCGUUUUCAAGUCCAAAUUGUAGCAACAAAAAAGAAGUCUGAAUCUGUUCUACAGCCCAGACACUGUUCAGUGUUCAGCCCAUAUCUCAAGUUCUAGAAGUCCAAAUGAUCUCAAAUGUUUACCCUGGAAAGAUGAGACAAUUUCCUAGAACUUUCAUGAUUUAAGUUUGUUCAAAUUAUGACGUCAUAAAUGACGUUUUUGGCAGACAAGAAGAUAAGAAUUGUCACCAAGUCAAGAUGUGGCCACCCACUCAUCAAUUAGUCAGCAAAUCAAUAGUUCUGAAUUUUGGCCUAUAAAAUGAGGCAUUUGCCAUGUAUUUAGGCAUCUUGGUUUUCAGAUCAAGAUCAUGCUCUUGCUCUCUCUUUAUAUUUUGUAAUGCUUAAGUUUUGCUUAUAUUAAUCUCUUGCUUAUGCUUUUCAUUUCCUUUCCUUGUUUAUUUAUGUUUCUCUCUUUCAUUAUGUUUAACUAAGUUAAUUAUGUCAAGGUGAAAAGGGUACACUAAUGGUGUAAGAAUAAGUAUAAUAUAAACUUAACAUGGACCUUAAUGUUGGAUACUAACAUGCUUUAUAUUUGUUAUCUUGUUCACUUUUAACACUUUGCUUGUUAAAUGGUUAAUCUAGAUUUAUGUUGUAUAACACUUGGUACAACAAAUACUUGGCACUUUCAUAGCCCAUACUGUAUGGUAUAACCGACACCUGAGCUAUGAAAGGAACUUGAUUUGUUGUUAACAUAAGUUAUAAUAAUGAAUGCCUGAAAACAUUUACAAGUAUUAGCAUUAUUCGAAUAAGAUAACUAAUGUAAUCAUUUUAACAAUUUAUAAUCCGAUUGGAACCUCCUUUGUGUGUGGUUUCCAGUUGAGUAGAGUUUAUACUAUACUUGUUUGAAAUACCAUUAGUGGAUCCUCUAACCUUGACAUUUGUUGUUAUCAUUGUUUAAUCCUUACGUUAAUCUUCCAUCUCAAAAGUUCUCAUCAAUUUCUUCCUCUUCUUCUUCACUAUUAUUAUUAUCACUGUUAUUAUUAUUGUUGUUGUUGUUGUUGUUGUUGUUGUUGUUGUUGUUACUUUUGUUUUAUUGUUAUCUAUAAUUUAUACAAUUAACCUCCUUGUGGUUCGACCCCGGUCUUGCCGGGUUAUUUAUUACUUCGACACUUCUGCACUUGGGAGAAGACAUCAAUCUUUUGGUCGUGUCAAGUUUUUGGCGCCGUUCCCGAGGAGGUAAAUUCUUGUACAAAUUAUAGUAUUUAUUUUAUUUUACUUUUUUACUUUUCUUGUAUUUAACUUUGUUUCUUUGGUGUUGUUUCUUUUUCUUUUGUUUUCUUCUUCCUUUUAUUCUCUUUUUACACGUGCAUGAGAGUGUGGUCACGUACAUUAAGUGGUAGACUUUGUAGGGUAUCCUCAUCAUUUUCAGAAAAUAUGGCUGAAGAAGAUAACCAAUCGCUUCAUAAUGAGAAUAAUGAGAAUAUUCGGGUUAGAACUCUUAGAGACCACAUGAAUCCCACAAGAACAAGUGCACCCUCAUGCAUAGUUUUUCCUCCUGAUGCAUCUCAUUUUAAUUUUAAGACAGACAUUAUUCAACUUUUACCAUCUUUUCAUGGCUUAGAUUUAGAAAAUCCAUACUUGCAUUUAAGGGAAUUUGAGGAGGUUUGCAACACGUAUAAUGACUCAAAUUGUAGCAUGAACACCAUUAGAUUGAAGCUUUUUCCUUUUUCAUUAAAAGAUAAAGCUAAAACAUGGCUACAAAAUUUGAGACCUGGAUCCAUUCGUGCUUGGGAUGAAAUGCAACAACAAUUUUUUAAGAAGUUUUUUCCAUCCCACAGAACAAACUCUUUCAAAAGACAAAUCAUUACUUUCUCUCAAAAACCAAGAGAAACAUUUUACCAAUGUUGGGAUAGGUAUCGAGAAUUGCUUAAUACUUGCCCCCAUCACGGUUUUGAAACAUGGAGAUUAGUUUCACAUUUUUAUGAAGGGUUAACUCCUAGAGAUAGGCAAAUGGUUGAAUUGAUGUGCAAUGGAACUUUUGAGGAUAAAGACCCUAAUGAAGCAAUGGAGUACUUAGAUUUGCUAGCUGAAAAUGCACAAAAUUGGGACACCACAGGUACUUAUGAGGCACCAAGUAAAACCCAACCUCAUACAUCUAGUGGGGGUAUGUACAACCUUAGGGAAGAUCAUGACCUCCAAGCCAAGUUUGCAUCUUUAGCUAAAAAAGUCGAAGCGCUAGAAUUGAAAAAGAGUGGUCAAUUAAAAUCUGUUCAAGACAUUGCAUGUCAAAUCUGUGAAACCAACGAACAUUCAACCAAUGACUGUCCAACCUUGCCUUCUUUUAAAGAAUGUCUCCAUGAACAAGCCCAUGCAUUAAACAGUUUUCAACGGCCCAACCAUAACCCAUAUUCGCAAACAUAUAACCCUGGUUGGAGAAAUCAUCCAAAUUUCAGUUGGAAGAGUGAGAACAAUAAUGCUCAAACUUCACAGCCACCGUUUCAAGCACAUCAUAAUUUCCAAAAUUCUCAUAGAUAUGCACCUCCUUAUGCUCCACCUCCUAGAAGAAAUCUUGAGGAAACAUUGCAUGCAUUUAUGGAAAAGCAAGAGGCAAUUAACACUCAACUUGCUCAAAGCAUGACAGAUUUUAAAGAUACUCUGGCAAAAUUGACAUCUGCUCUCAGUUUCCAAGAGAAAGGUAAGUUUCCAUCUCAACCACAACAAAAUCCAAAGGGGCAAUACAAUGUGAAUGCAAGUAGUUCGGGAAGCCAACACAUGGAUCACGUAAAAUCAGUCAUCACUCUUCGCAGUGGUAAGGUUAUUAAAAAACCCAUUCUUGAACCUUGUGAGAAUGAUGAUGAGUCAAUCUCUCUGAGGGUAAGGAAGGGGUUGAAUCUGAUCAUUGCAAAGAAAAGACUGAUUCUCCGCCAGCACUUCCAUUUCCUCAUGCCAUGACGAAACAAAGGAAAGUCAAUCACAACUCUGAAAUUUUUGAAACCUUCAAACAGGUAAGGAUCAAUAUACCUUUGCUGGAUGCUAUUAAACAGGUUCCUUCUUAUGCUAAAUUUUUGAAAGAUCUGUGCACUGUGAAGAGAAAACUGAAUGUGAAAAAGAAAGCCUUUUUAGCCGAACAAGUAAGUGCCAUUCUUCAGAACAAUAAUGCAUUGAAAUAUAAAGACCCUGGUUGUCCUACAAUUUCAUGCUUUAUUGGAGAACAUAAAAUUGAAAGAGCUUUACUUGAUCUUGGAGCUAGUGUGAAUUUACUUCCAUAUUCAGUUUUUCAAAGUCUCAAUCUAGGUGAGUUAAACCAACUUCUAUAACUCUUUUACUUGCCGAUAGAUCUGUAAAAGUGCCUAGAGGAAUAGUUGAAGAUGUGUUAGUACAAGUUGAUAAAUUCAUUUAUCCUGUGGAUUUUAUUGUCUUGGACACACAACCUAUUGAAGCAUGUAAUUCAUUUCCUGUUAUUUUAGGGCGUCCAUUUCUUGCAACUUCUAAUGCAUUGAUUAAUUGUAGGAAUGGACUGAUGAAGCUAUCAUUUGGGAACAUGACAUUAGAGAUGAAUAUUUUCAACAUUUGCAAGCAACCUCGAGAUGAUAAUGAUUUACAAGAAGUAGAUUUUAUUGAAGAAUUGGUUUAUGAUCAAUUUGAAUCUACUUUGAGUAAUACUGAGUUUGAUGAAUUUGAAGAUUUGCAAAUGACUUAUUCUCAGGAAGAAAUCACGGAUGAAAAAGGCAUUGAAAAUGUUGAUGCGAAUCUUUUGUCAAGAGUGACAACAGAUUCGAUAUCUGACAUCACACCAACCGAUGAUUACUUUCCUGACAAAUCCUUACUUUCUCUUAGUUCAAUGCCUUGGUUUCCUAAAAAUAUCAAUUUCCUUGCCUCAGGAGAUUUGCCAACUCAUUGGAGUACCGAAGACAAAGGUAAGUUUUUGAACGAAGUGAAGAAAUUUUAUUGGGAUGACCCUAACUUAUUCAAACAUUGUCCUGAUCAAAUAUUUCAAAUAUGCAUUGCGGACAAUGAGGUAAGUAGUGUCAUUAAAUUUUGUCAUUUUGAAGCAUGUGGGAGUCAUUUCUCGUCAAAAAAGGCCAUUGCAAAAAUCUUUCAAACUGGAUUUUAUUGGCCCACCAUGUUCAAGGACACACAUGCAUUCUGCAAAACUUGUGAAAAUUGUCAAAAAGUUGAUACUGGUCAAAAAGUUUUGCUUUAUAAUUCUCAACUCCAUUUAUUUCCUGGAAAGUUAAGAUCAAGAUGGAGCGGUCCAUUUAUUGAGAAACAUGUGUAUCCUUAUGGGGUCUGUGAUAUCGCGAAUCCAAAAAAUAGCAAUGUUUUCAAGGUAAAUGGACAUCGUUUGAAAGUCUACUUUGAUAAUUUUUCAGUUGAAAAUGACUCUAUUGAAUUGAGUGAUCCUGUAUAUAAAGAUUGAUUCGUUUUAUCACAUUGUUUUGUGUUUCAUUUUGCUAGUUUCUCUCACCCCGGUCAAAAGGCGGAUAACGGUACUCCGUGACUUAAGUCGGUUCUUUCAGUUUCUCAUAAUAACUGAUAUUUGUAUAUAUUUGUGCAAUUCUUUGCUCUUUCUCCAUUCUUUGACUCUGUUCUCCAAUUCUCAUUUGAAAAUGGACACCACUCUUGAAAAAUUGAAAAAGUAUUUUCCCGCUCUGCCUCAGAAUGCGAUUACAAAAAUUUACCGUGCUAGGUGUGCAAGAUUGAAGUUGUUGAUGAAUCAUGGAAUUCCUGAAGAUAUUCGCUGGCUGAUUGAAGCAAAGGUCCGAUUAUUAGGUGAGUCCUCCAAUUCUUUCAUUUCACACAUGCCUGGAACAGGUAAAAGCACUUUUGCAAAGAAACGUCGUGCAAAACGACUGAAAGUCUGUCACAAAUGUGCCAGAUGGACUUGCAAUGCAACAUGUCGUUCUUUAGGAAUGGUAUCUAUAAACCGUGAAGAUAAAAUACAAUUCAUUAAGGAUGGCCUGAGUAAGGGGUCUUUAGAUAAUCUUUUGUUGACCCUUGAGACGCAUCCUAGUGGAGAUGUGCAUCGUGCAAUUCAUGAUUUAUAGCCCCAUUUUCAUAAAGAACAUGAUAGACUCAGUCUUGGGAAUCUGACUAAAAAAGACCUUGUUUGCCACUUUUUAAGAAAACUGGAUGGGAAGCCUCUCCCCGACCCAUAGAGGGCGUUUAAGCCGUUCUUGGACAUAAAACCAAGGGAAGAUGUGAGCCACAAUCACAACUACCUGUACAUACACAUUCUUUUUCAAAAUAAAUAAAUAAAAUAUAAAGAGAGAGCAAGAGCAUGAUCUUGAUCUGAAAACCAAGAUGCCUAAAUACAUGGCAAAUGCCUCCUUUUAUAGGCCAAAAUUCGGAACUAUUGAUUUGCGGACUAAUUGAUGAGUGGGUGGCCACAUCUUGACUUGGUGACAAUUCUUAUCUUCUAGUCUGCCAAAAACGUCAUUGAUGACGUCAUAAUUUGAACAAACUUAAAUCAUGAAAGUUCUAGGAAAUUGUCUCAUCUUUCCAGGGUAAACAUUUGAGAUCAUUUGGACUUCUAGAACUUGAGAUAUGGGCUGAACACUGAACAGUGUCUGGGCUGCAGGACAGAUUCGGACUUCUUCUUUGUUGCUACAAUUUGGACUUGAAAACGGCCUUUUUAAAUCUUGGGCUCCACAUGAAAGUUGUAGACCUAUGUCUUAUCUUUCCAUCCAUAUAAAAUGGACCUAAAUACAAGAUCUACAGCUCCAGAUAUGACCCAAUUACCGAACAGUGUUCCAGUUUGGACUGCACCAGCAUCUCUUUUCUAAGUUUGGCCAUCUCUUUGUCCUUUCAAUUUCAGUAUUUCAACUCAUCAAUCAAUUCUUUCAUUUAUGUGAUAGGCCUGCAUUUAAGAUGAACAUUUACCAUAAAUUAAAGGUAUCUUAUAUAAUUAGAUAUGUUAUUAUAAAACAUGCUUUAGUUAAGGAGUUAUUGAUACUUCAAGUGCAAAAUGAUGAUAUAAAACCUUGAUAAAAAUGCACUUUUAAGUACUAAUCAACCUCCUUGGAAGAAGCCUCAAUUAUAAUUAGGGACAUUUCAAAUUUUGAUUCCACAAUUUAUGACCCAUGGAAAAUAUUAAUUGCUAAGGCAAAAAUGGGCUUUUAAAGUACCUUGAAUUUCCUUAGAUUUUGAACUUAGUUUUUUUUCUCUUCCUUGCGAUUUAUGAGUUGCGAACACUUGAAAUAUUAAGGGGAAAAUGAGCUCUUAAGCACAUCGAAUCUCCUUAGAUUUCUAUAUUAGCUGUCUCUAAAUUCAUAAAUUCUGAAUUUAUUUCAAAUCAAACAUAGACUUCGAGAGAUCUACCUCUUUGGCACUCUACAAACAUAUCUAAAGGUAUGAUCCGUAUUGGCCAAGGGUUCUUUCCCUUCGACUUUGAACCCAAGUUCGUCGUCAAAACAGACUUAUCCUAGGAAACUGAUGGGAUUAGAGAACAUCAACACCAUAGCAAUUAUAGGGCAAACCAAACACCAAGCAGCUUAUCUUAGGUAGGGCGUACUAGGGGUGCUAAAACUUUUCCUUUACGCAACCAGUCUCUUGCCUUAGAAUCUUUGAAAGACCAGUUAGGUUUCCUAGUGACCAUAAUACUAGGUGACGACUCCCUUUUUUUACAAAACAAAGACCCCAACAUUAAUCCCUGCUAUCAGGAAGGGUCGCCUCAACAUCGAGCUCUCUUGAGGGUACGACAAUAAUAAUCAUAAUGUUGAUUCUUUUAUCUCCUACUUAAUGCAAGUGUCCAUCGUGUGCUGAAAUUGAUUGUUUACCAUAACAUUUCUUUUAAAGGUAGAGAUUUCUUGGUUGACAAUGGAAAAAAGUAAUCGCAUGGUUAUUUUCCAUAACAUUCCUUUGAGUAAAUAUUCUCUAUUGGAGGUCAAUUUCAUCGAAGCAAUUACCUCAAUGAACACGUCCUAAUUACCAACCUCUAAGUAGUCAUCUCCCUUAUCCUAACUUUUUAUUUCCUUAUAAAAUCUCACGGUUUUUCAUCAUUUUCAGAGGAAAAGUUGACCUUGCAAAUGGUGCUCUAAGGAACCAAGUCAUCCUAGAACUAAUCAUCCACCUAAUCUCGUCAACUCCUUGUUGCACAAACAGCCUGUCUCACUUAAAGGGGAUUUUAAUGAUGAACAAACACAAAUUCCUUGUUGCUCAAAUACAUAUGCUCAUUUAAACACAGGAUGCUUGACCUCAUUAAAGACAAACUGACGACAUCCGUCCGUAACAUAAAUUAUCUUCCUUGCCCCAAAGUCAGCACAGAAAAACCUUGUUCACUAUAAAGGUUCUGAAUGUUUUUCCUAAAUUUCAUGAUAUGGCAUUCAGCAUUCUUAAGCAAACUACAACUGCAGAAGGCUUGUACAUGUAGGGGAGACGUAGGAAGAACUGCAAAAGUUGUCGCAUCUAUUGUUAUGCUGUUCAGAGUUUCUAUCUCAUCAUCCAAUCUGCCUAAAAUAUAAAAGAUCAUGUGCAUGAAUUUGAUCUCAAAGGGGUACCACCUCAUAUGCGUACAGGACAUACAUGACCAGUGAUGGUUGUUCUAUCCACAAAAUUAGCUAACAUACGACUAUUUUAUUCAACUACCAUUUCAGGAUAUGAGUUCUCCUAGCCACACUCAAAAGCCCUAGCCGCUAUAUGAACAAAGCACCUAAAAAAUUAAUCACCUGCCUAAUCUAAUUCACCCACACACACACACACACCCACCUGAUCAUAGACAGGAAACGAGUUAUUUGAAUGCAUAGACAGGAAAUUCAGGUAAACACGCGCGCGCGCACACACACACCUGAUCAUAAAUUUCCUAAAGAAAUUCUGAAUUGUAACAUUGGUAAACAAAGUGUGACAAUAUCAUCACAUUAAAAAUGCAUUUCACUCAAAACAAAUACUAGCUCAAGAAAAAAAAAUGCAAGAAGCCAAGAGAGAAUAAAUUAAGCAGUCCAUAAACAAGAGACAGAGAGGCAUUGUUCCAAUGAGAAAAGUAAUUAAAACCCAACAACUAAAGAAAGAAUCAAACCAGUGAGUAACUAAUCCUUUUAAAGCAUUCCAAGAAUGGCAACCAAAUGUAACAUAAUCAACCUGCAAAAACAAACACAAAAAGAAUUAGAAGAAGAAACCCCAGACCUCCACCACCAAAUCCACCUCCACCAAAUCCACCUCCACCACCAAGCCCGCCACCUCAUUCAUCCUCAAAAGAACCCUUUCUAGAACCGGAUUCUGUAACGCAUUGUCUUCAUUCUGACAGGAGGGGAUAUCAGUCACAAUUUGGAAAUCUAAUAGUUUGAAGGUUUCUGAAAACCGUCCUCAGACCUGUCAGCGUCGCUGGCCAAUUUCUCAUUCUUCCACCGUUGGAUUAACACGAAUUUUGGGUAAGUUGUGUGUCACUAUAGUUCCCACAUCCUGACCAGAGCGAUCGUUCAUAUUUGAAUCCACUAGAUAAAUCUUACCGUUUGAAGAUUUCUGGGCAAAUCACUCUCGGAACAGUCAGAAUCGCCGGCUUAUUUCUUCUUUUUCUACCGUUGGAUCCAUCUGAAUUUUGGAUAUGUGAUGCGUAUGGUCGUAUUACACAUUCGGAACGGUGGAGAUGACAUGAAUCGUUUCCAGAAAAGAGUUAUGCACGCUCAACAGUGGUCCAUCAAUCUCAGGUCAGUUUUGGUCUAACUCCGAUCUAGGGAGAUCCAACCGUUAACUGGAGCUGAUAUUUGGAUAUGUUCUGCAUAAGAUGUGUUUUUACCUUGUCACCGUUGCGAUUUGUUAUUUGUUGAAUUGUUGGUGAGUAAUUGUUGUUUGAAGCUCUGCACAGAAUCUAUCAUGGCUUCCAAUCCGAAACUUCAAACCCUCAAAGCUAACACCACCCACUCAAUCACUAAACAACCCACAAACCAUCACCAAAACAUCCAAAAUACAGCCUCCUCAACGUAGGUUAGGUUUCUAAAAUCCCACGAAUCAACAAACAAUCAAAAAUCCCUUUCCAAUAGUCACCUCCGCCUUGACUCAAGACAACAACCACCCCCUAAACACAUUCACAAUAUUCCUAGCCCAAAAACCCAGAAUAACCAUUCCUUUAACAUUUCAGUGCCACAAAUUUACUUUGAAGGUUUCCCAAUAUGGGCUGAUUACCAUCGCAUAAAGGCUUCUUUUAACAAGUUUGGCUAUGUACUCAAACUUUAUGUAUCCAGGCGUGUCAACAAAUCAGGGAGUCUUUUUGGUUUUGUAACAAUAGCAUCAAAAUUUUCUGAUAAAGUUUUGCUAGAGAGUGUGAAUGAUAUUUGGUUUGAAUAUCACAGACUAAAGGCCAAUUUCACUAGACACUAUAAAAAGAUUCCAAGAGAGAACAAAGCUCCUGACAGAUCAAAACCCAAAACAACUUUAAGAGUGCCUAUUAGUGAAAGAGAUGACAGAAGUUACAAAGAGGUACUCAGUGAAGGAAAAGUGGAACAAAUACUUCUGCCUGUGGCUUCUGGACCAAAGGAUUACUUUGAAAAACUCUUCAUUGAUAUUGAAGAAGAGGAUUAUGCUUGGCUAAAGAGAUGUCUUCUGGGAAAAAUAAAAAAAGGAUCCAAUUACUCUUCUAUACGUUUUGGACUGAUCCAACAUGAUAUAGAUUUUGUUGGACUGCGCUUUCUUGGGGCAUCUCAGGUCCUUGUGAUUUUUUAUAAUAGAGACAUAUUAAUGGAAUCAUGGAGGAAGAAUAAUAAAUGUUGGGAUGUAUUUUUUGAGGAAGUUCGCCCCUGGGUUGAGACUGACACAACUUUGAAUCGGAUGGCCUGGAUAACAAUAACAAAUCUACCCAUUAUAGGGUGGAAUUGCAGAUGCCUCACAAAGAUUUUAGAAAGAUCUGGUCAGAUGAUAGGUUAUGAUAAAACUACUCUCAAGCUUUUUGAACUAUCACAGUUACGGAUCCUCAUUGGUACACAACUGGAUAAGGUGAAUAAGGUGAUUGUUUUGCAACUCAAUAAUCAAACAUAUCAGGUUAAGAUAGAGGAGAUGGACCAGUUACAUUACCCAAUUGCUGGCUCUAUUUCAUACACCAUGGAUGACUUUCUGACAUCCCUAGAGCAAGGGGAUGAUGAUGAUGAGGAAGACUCGGUUGAUGUGGGUGAUGGCGUAGACACAGAUGAGGACAGAGCAGGUGUGGCUCCAUCAGUCACCAGGACUCUUGGGGGCGGCACCAACGGGUGGGAAAAUUCAGAUCUGGCACAGGAUGGAGACAUGCUAUCAACUUCUGACGAUAGCUCUCUUAUCAUAUUUAAUGCUCUUCAUCUGGAUGUGGUGCAAGAUCAACAUGCUGCCUCAUCUUUAGAGAGAUUUCCAGAAAUUAUGGCAUACAAUCUUUCUUUUUCUGACAGCAGCUAUAUAAAAGCAGCCCCAUUCCCAAUGCUCUUACCCUAUAUACGGGACAUGGCACUCCUAUUUUGAGAGAAGAUGCUAGAAACCCUGCAGCUGCCUUGGACCUUGACUCCCUUGUAUUGGCCCAGAUUGAAAGCCCAGUUUAUGGCAGUGGAUCUCAAAGCCCAUCUGACGUUCUCUCUAUUUCAUUUGGAUCAAACAAUGAUUUAGCCCUUCAAUCAACAUACAAUCAUCAAGCCAUAGUAAUUCUGGAACCGCAACACAUGAAUCACCCAGUUAUUUUACACUCUAAUGCAAACACAAAAGAGAGUGCAAUUGCCCUAUCUGCAAAAACAAGAAGGAAGUUGCGACGUACAAAGAUGAUUACAGCUGAUGGAAGUUUGAAUGAAACAGUUAAUAUGAGUGAGAUGGAUACUAAGGACUCAACAAUACAGAGGUGUAACAGGAGGAACUUGCUAGCUCAUGACGAAAACAAUAAGCCUUCUGAGGGUGAUGAGGUUUGUUUAAUGCUGGAAAUAGGAGAGGUUUUGCAGAUUGAAAAACCUCACAAUUUAGAUGACUUCACAUCCUAUAUAAAUCAGCAAAGGCGUAAAGAGAAGGCUGAUUGGGAAGCAUCCCAGUGAGUAGAUGUUCCUCUUUGUUCUGUAAGGAUUUUAAAUCUCUUUUCUUAUGCAGAUUCUUUCAUGGAAUUCUUGUGGUUUGGGGUUAGCUAGAAAGAAGAGGACAGUUUCAAAGUUAAUCAGGGAUUUUGAUAUAGAGGUUUGUUUUUUGUUUGAAACUAAGUUACAAAGUUACUCAGACAAAUUGGUUUUUCAAUUAUGGAGCGUCAGUAAUGUUUCUUGGUUUGGUAAUGAGGCUGAAGGUACUAAAGGGGGCAUUCUGGCUAUGUGGGAUAACUCUAAGUUUGCGGUAUCAUCAGUGGAGUAUGGUCAUGGUUGGAUCGGGUUAUUUGGGCAGAAUGUCUUGACAGGCUUCUCAAGGGCGGUGGUAGGUGUUUAUGCCCUUUGCAAUCAAGCUGACAGACUUCUUCUUUGGAAGGACCUUCGUAUUCUGAAGGCUGCUUUUGAGUGUCCUUGGUUUUUAGCAGGUGACUUCAAUGAAACUAUGUUGCGAAGUGACAGAAGCAGUGGCUUCAUUAACAAGGUGGGUUCAACGGCUUUUAGACUUUUUAUUGAUGAUUGCAACCUAAUCGAGUACAACAUGUCAGAGGGUCUGUACACCUGGUUUCGUGGGGGGUCCAUGAGUAAACUAGACCGUAUUUUUUCUAGUCCUUGUUGUCAUUUGCAAUUCCCCCUUUUGUCUCUUCGACGGCUUCCAAGAGGGUUCUCUGAUCAUUGCCCUUUAAUCCUAGGGGUUUCACCUGCAGAAAAAGGUUGGAUUCCUUUCAAAUUCAUGGAUUGUUGGCUCCAUCAUCCAAAUUUUAAAGAUAUCGUAAAGGGUAUAUGGGAUGAAGCUUGCAAUGAAUUUUCAGGUCAGUUCAAGCUCAUUAAGAAGCUCAGCUUUAUGGCAACUUGGCUCAGACAGUGGAAUAGGGUUGGUUUUGGGCAUCAGGAGACUGCUUUGUCAUUGAUCCAAAGCAAUAUUUCAGCUAUAGAAAAGAAAUCAGAGUAUGGGCAAUUAUCUACUGCAUAGCAGAACUCGCUUGAUUCAUUGAUUAAGAAGUAGUGGCAAUGUAACUUGCAUAUAGAAAGCAUGUGGCGUCAAAAGUCUCGCCAAAUUUGGUGUCGCCUGGGCGAUCGCAACACGCGUUUCUUCCAUCUAGUUGCUAACUUCAGGAGGGCUAAAAACCAUCUCCUGAAAGUGGUUCAUAAUGGUUCUGUUGUUGAAGGUUUACCGGUCAUAAAAGAUGCGGCAGUUAACUUCUUCUCCAACUUAUUCAGAAGUUUUGAUAGAUUCCGAAUUGGUUUAGGGCCUGUUGGUUUUAAAACACUAUCGGCUUCUUCUUCAGCUAGCUUGGAGCGAGAUAUCACUUUGGAAGAAUUAAAGCAGAGUGUUUGGGAUUUUGAUGGGAGCAAGAGUCCGGGUCCAGAUGGUUUCAAUUUCAAAUUCUACAGGCUUGCUUGGAAUUUCAUUGCAGAUGAUUUGUUAGACCUGGCCAAGAAUUUCUUCAAAACAGGUAGGCUUCCAAAAGGAGUCAAUCAUGCUUAUGUUCAUCUAAUUCCGAAGAUAGCUUCCCCAAUUGGCUUCAAAGAUUUCAGGCCUCUUAGUUUGAUUCAUGGCAUUUACAAGAUAAUGGCUAAGGUUCUUUCUAGCCGUCUGAAAGCGGUUAUGCAUGACCUUAUCAGUGAGAAUCAAACAGCUUUCUUGGCAGGGAGGCAAAUAAUUGAUGGGUUUGUGGUUGCCAAUGAAGCAGUUCAUUCCUUGAAAAGACACAGAGUGUCGAGCCUUAUCUUUAAGGUGGAUUUUCACAAGGCUUUCGAUAGUGUGCAGUGGGAUUAUUUAGAGCAGGUUAUGAGGCAUAUGGGUUUUGGUGAAAAAUGGAUUAAUUGGAUCAACACUUGCAUCUCCACUGCAAAAUUAUCAGUGCUGAUUAAUGGAUCUCCUUCUAAGGAAUUCUUGAUGGGUCGUGGGAUUCGCCAAGGUGACCCCCUUUCUCCAUUCCUUUUUCUAAUAGCAGCAGAGGGAUUAUCUGUUUUGUUUCAAAGAGCAGCUUCAAAUGAUCUUUUCAAAGGUAUCCCUUUUGGAGACAGCUUUUGCCUUAGUCACCUACAAUAUGCAGACGACACUUUGAUCUUCAUGCCUGCUAAUCUUCAUAUGGUCAAAACGGUUAAAAGGAUCCUGUUAUGGUUCGCUAUUUGUUCAGGUUUGCACAUUAACUUCCAUAAAAGCUCUUUAAUUGGCAUAAAUGUUGGGGAAGAUACUUGUGCUAGUAUGACAUAUUCAGUCUUUUGCAGAUUUGAUUCCUUGCCUUGCUCUUAUCUAGGCAUGCCUUUAGGAUCCAAUCCUAAAAGAUUGUCUACAUGGAAGCCUAUUAUUGAGAAUUUCAGACGGAAGUUGAGCAUGUGGAGAGGUCGUAUGCUUAGUAUGGCAGGACGUAUUUGCCUAAUCAAAAGUGUCUUGAGUUCAUUGCCAGUAUAUUAUAUGUCUUCUUUUCUUAUGCCGAAAGGUGUCUGUAAUAUACUACCAUCUAUUCAACGAAGAUUCUUGGGUCUGAGUGGCGAAGCAAAAGAAAAUCUGCAAGGUACAAUGGCGUAUUGUUGUGAAAGCUAGAAAAGAAGGAGGCCUCGGGUUGGGUUCUUUAAUGUCAAAAAAUAUAUCCAUGCUUUUCAAAUGGAUAUGGAGGCUAAACUUACCAGACCAUGCCUUAUGGAAACAGGUAACAACCCAUUUUUACUCCCCAACUUUCGAGAAUGGAAUCCCAAAAUUGCAUGGUCAUAUUUCCCCAUUUUGGAAAGACAUUUUGUCAAUCUUGGAUCCAAACAGUGUCAUCGGCUUAGUAUUGCGUGAAAACAUUAAAUUCAAGAUUGGAGAUGGAUCCUCCAUCCUUUUCUGGUCUGACGUGUGGAUAGGAUCAAAUGCUUUACGUUGCAUUUUCCCUAAGCUUUACCAAAUUUCUACUUUUCGGAAUGGUUUGGUUAAUGAGAUGGGUCAAUGGGUGAAUGAUCAAUGGCGAUGGAAUUUGGUUUGGCGUAGGAAGCUCUUAUCUUAUAAAGAGCAACAAUAUCAUCAUUUGCUCUCAAUGCUGGAGCCAACGAUAAUUCGGCAAGGAAAAGAUGACAAACUUAUAUGGCCAUGCAAUUCUGAUGGAAGCUUCUCAGUUAAAUCGUGUUGCACCCUGAUUGACAAUACCUCCUCUGCGACUGAUAGAGUCUUUGAAGCCAAUGUUUGGAUUAAAGGGGCCCCUCUGAAAGUUCAGGUGUUUCUCUGGUUGGCAGUACAAGACAAAGUUAGUACAAGAGCUUUUCUCCAUCAACGGACUAUUUUGUCUGCCACACAAGCUUCAUGUGUCUUUUGCAGCUCAAAUUUGGAAACCUCAGAGCAUCUUUUUAUACAUUGUAACUUUUCUAUGAGUGUUUGGAUGAAAGUUUUGGAUUGGUGGGGUAUCCAAUGUUGUUUACCGAGAACACUUGACUUGCUGCUUCUGCAGUGGCCCGAAAUGGUACAAGGCAAAUUCCAAAGAUCAGCUUGGAGAUUAAUUUCAAGUAGUACUAUUUGGGGUAUAUGGUUACUGAGGAACAAAAUUGUUUUUGAGGAGGGAACUAUAAACUUGUUUGAUUGUUUCUCCACCAUCCUUCAUCGGGUUGCUAUUUGGUUGCAUACUCAUGAUUCAAACUUCAAUUAUACAGGCAAUGACCUCUUAAGAUCUUCUGAUGGCAUCAAAUUAUGGUGUAAUAAGAAAUCUUAGGUAGUCUUCUUGUUGUUUGCUGUAGUAGAUCAGUUUUUUUCUUUUUUCUUUUUUUCUUUUUUAUAUCCCUUGUAUUUCUCUUUGGCUAUUCGCUUUAUGGCCUUCUCAAUAUACUCUCGAUGAUUAUAAAAAAAAAGAAGAAGAAACCCCAUUAGUUAAUAAGUUAAAACAGCAGCAGCAGCAAAAAGACUCAAAUUUUAGUUAUUUGGACUUGAGAAAAAGCAUUGAACCCUCUGUGAAAAUGCCAUGAAAGGGGUGCUUAGAAACCUGGAAAAUAAAAACUUUUAAAAGGGUGUUUUUACAAAGCAAGAAAGAAGCUUGGAAGCAAGGAAGCAAGCCAGCCUACCCUCACGAACUCUGUUUGUUAAUUGUUUUUUCUCCUUUAAAGUGAAAACAAAAAAAUAAAAAACAAAAACAAAGAGCACCCAGAAAAUCUAGUCAGAAAUAUUUUAUGUUGCUGUCUUGGAGAGACGCAUUAUAUUACAUAACAAAAUGAUAAAUUCAUUCAUUACAAAAAGAUACCCAACAAAAUAUAAGAAAACUAAUCUACUGUUCAACCCGAUAGGGGGAUGUACCUGAAAAUUGAUUUAAUACAAUAAUUCAAUUAGACAGAUGAAAAAAAGAUAUCCAUAAAAUUCUUUCUACUUUCUUUCUUUCUUCCUUUUUUUUUUUUUUGAAAAUUUAGUCAAAAGAUCAUUAAAUUAACUUGCUCAUCUAGUAUUGUAUAUAUAUAUCAAUUAAAUUUCAGAAUAAUCUAUGAGUUUGUUUUCUUUUUCUUUUUUCUUUUUUAAUAUCAACCAAAAAUAUAAUUAUUUCUAUCGCUCAAUUAACCCGGCAUUACUUUCACUAAUAGAUGAUUAAUUUUCCACCAGUCCAUUCAACAAACACUAUUGUCAUCAAUUCAAAAAUUAGUUUAAUGUUUCAUCCAUUCAUCAGGUAAAAAUCUCAUUAACCAGGGAAAUUAAUUCUUCAUCUUGCCCAUUUGUCAAGGCACUAAUUCCAUUAAAUCAGGAAUUAGUUCAAUGAUUUACCUAUUCACCAGGUUACUAAUCCCAUUAACCAGAGACUUAAUUCCUCAUCAUGCCUAUUCACCAGGACAUUAAUCCCAUUAAUUCAGGAAUUAGUUCAACGAUUUGCCCAUUCACCAGGGCAUCAUAAUUUCUUAUCACGCCCAUUCACCAGGGCAUUAAUUUCUUAUCACGCCCAUUCACUAGGGCAUUAAUCCCAUUAGUUCAAGAAUUAAUUCAUCACAUCGCAUAUCUUAUUUUCUAAAGUAAACAAUAUAAUAAUUUCAUAUUUAUCAACCACAAUUAAUCAAAUAAAAAUACAUAUUGACCAAUAAUAAAUUCGAGUACCGUGUAAUUACCUGAUGACUAAGCUCGAGUUGAAAUUUCCUGCUGUGGUGUCGGCCUGGCAGCCUCUCUUGAAUUGAAAAGUAUAUCACAUCAUUAUUCUACUUUCCAUAUUGAAACACUCAAUAAAUAAAAUCAUUCCAAUUAUCCUUUUAUUUGCCAAAAUAAAAUCAUUUCGUAAGUUUCCUUCCCUAUCUUUCAAUUUCCACAUUGUAACACAAUUCAUUUUAUCAUUCAAAUCAAUAUAUAUANNNNNNNNNNNNNNNNNNNNNNNNNNNNNNNNNNNNNNNNNNNNNNNNNNNNNNNNNNNNNNNNNNNNNNNNNNNNNNNNNNNNNNNNNNNNNNNNNNNNCUUUAAAUUCAUUUAUUUAAUUUUUACCAUAAUUUAAAUCAAAGAAAAACAUAAAACAAUUUCAUGAUCUAUUCACUCUUUAACAUUAAUAUCAUGCUCUUUCUUACACAAUCUCAUCAUCUUAUCAAAACUCUUAAAUUUUUAUUUUUCUUAUUAUUAUUUUUCCAAAAAUCCCUUCUUCAAGAACACCUAAAAUUUUGCUUUAAUUACCAUAAUUUCUUACUUUUUCUACUCAUUUCAAUAAUCUUAACACAAUUUCACAAUCAAUUGUAAUUUUCUCUAAAAUUUAUCAUGAACCCUAAUUCCUCAUUUCACAAAGUUCAAUCAAUUUAAAGCAUAAAUUCUUCAAGAAUCUUAUUUAAAAGUUUGAGUACAUCUUACCAAGCAAUAACCAAAGUUUUAACACUUUUAAAUUGAGAAAUUUUCCUUGCUUGAAUUUGUUUUUUCUCUCCUGGCCGAUUGCUUCCUUCUCUUUGAAAAAACAAGUUUGUUUUUUUUUUUUUUUUGUUUACUUAUAGCACACACUCACUUGCACUCAUAUAUAUAUAUAUAUAUAUAUAUAUAUAUAUAUAUAUAUAUAUUAACUCUCUUUUUUAAAUACCUUCCACGUCCCUCAAUUUGUUUCUUCCCCAUACACACAUAUAAUUACUUAACUUUUUAAAAAUACCUUCUAUAUUCCUCAAUAGUAAAUUUUAUGAUUUUUGGGUAAAAUUUCAUGAAUCCUAACACCUGUUUAUACCAAAUUUUAUCCAGAUUAUUUCAAAUUUCACUCAGUUACUCGUUAGUACUUUCAGUUUCAUGAAAUUCAUUUCCAUCAAAAUUUUAUUCACAUUUUCAUGUUUAUUUAUUUAUAUUUAUUUUUUAUAUAUAUUUUAACACCCGAACAAAACAUUUCAAUUCAGAUUCUCGAAUAUAUCAUCAUUCUUAUAAUUUAAUUUAUCACUUUCCCUCAUUUUUCGUAAUCUUGACUUUUAUUAAUAUUAAUAAUAUUACCCGGGGUUUUACAGUCUCAGUUGACACUGAUUUUCGCCAUAAAAAAUGGUCGAUUUUUGUUUUAAUGAGUUUCAUUUGAUGAAGAGAGUUCCAUUGAAAUGUUUUUUGCUCUUGAAAUUGCCAAAACAUUUAUAGUUUUUGGGCUGUUUUAUUGGUUUAUUACAUCAUAAAAACGAUUUUUAGGUGUUUUGGUGUGAACUUUGUUUAAAUUUGCAUUUUUUGGUCAAAAACCACCAUGCUUAAUUUUCUAGUCACCUCUCCAAUGGCCAAGAACUGAAAAGUCUCGGUAGGUGACAUGUCGCUUUUCUUUAUUUUUUUUUCAAAAACAUUUGGAGGAUUUUCAAAUAAAAAAGGCCCAUACGUACCAACCCUUUUUAAAAUGGGCUUGAUGUGUAGGCCCGACUUACUAGGCCCAAAAGCACUUGAUCUAUUUCUAUUUUUUUUUCUAAUUUUGUUUUCUUAAUUGAUAUUUUUUAUGUAUUUUUAAUGAAUUUUUGAAUUUAUAUUUAAAUUAAUACUUUUCUCUCUAAAUAUUUAGAUUGUUUAUUUAGUUUUUUCUAAAUAAUGGAUAUCUUUUACUUAUCUUUUAUGUAUUUAAUAUCUAGAAAAAAUUAUUUCAAUUCAUCUAUAUGUUUUUUUAUAUAUUUUAUAUAAAUAAACUUUAUUUUCAUGACGUGUUUAUAAAAAUAAGAAUUAUUUGUUCUUGGUAAGAAAAAGUGACCUUUAAGAUAAAAAAGAAGAAGAAGGAGAAAAGUGUGCAUGAAGAUGAAAGUUAAGGUUAAGUAUCAUAUUUAUGUAUCUUUUACUUUUAUGAAAAUGAUUAUCAUUUUAUUUUAUAAUUUGAUUGGCAUUAACAACUCUUUAUUAGUUUAUUAGUUCAUAUUUUUGUAAGAUUGUUUUUUACAUUUCUUAAUUAAGAGAAUCAUAAUACAAUGAAAUGCACUUGAAACAAUGUCCCAUUUUUCUACUACAUUAAAAAUUAACUUAAGAUCCUAUAUGUGGCACGAUGCGUUAACAACUAUUUUUUAUAUUUAUGAACACUUAUGGUCCUUACUUUAUUUUUAUUAUAUGUAAAUAUCAACUUUUUUAUUUACAAUUAUAAUUUUCUCUUGAUUUUUAAAAAUACGUUAACAACAUUUAUAUAUAUUUUUUUUUGCGUUCAAAAAAUUAUCUAACUCGUAGCAAAGUGAAUUAAAUAAAUGCAUCAACACUUUUUUUUUUGUAUUUAUGAUUAGGAUUUGUUUUUGUUAAAAAUGCAAUUGAAAAGCAUACAAAUUUAUUUUUUGCUAAAAACAAUUUUGUGAUCCAUACCGAAGUGCGAGUUAAAUAACUACGUAUAUGGCUAUAGUAAGUCUUUUAGUAUAUGUGGAUGUAGGAAGCAAUGCGUUAUAUUAUUAGUUAGAUAUAACUUACCUAUUCAUUAUUAAAAAAAACAUAAAAUAAAUAAAUAUAUUAAUAGAAACCUAAAAGAGGUCGGCUGAAAUAUAAUAUUUUUGUCCUUUUUUUUAUUUUGUUUCACAUUUCUCAAUUAAGAGAAUCAUGAUACAAUAAAAUGCAUUUGAAACACCAUCCUAUUUUUCUAUUAAAUUAAAAAUUAACUUCCUGAUGCAACCAUAUUAUUCGAUAGUUUCACCCACAUUUAACUAGUGUUUUGCCUAUGUUUUAUAUAUAAAAUGCCUUGAUAUUCUUUGUUUUAUGUUUUGAAGGCACUUUUGGAUGAAAGAUGCAAAAAGGAGUAAAUUGGAGAUAAUUGGCAGAUUUGACCUUCAGUCGAUGUUUUGUGCAGAGCGUGAGCUCUAGAGGUUGAAAUGAAGUGAUUCCAGUGGCAUUAAAAAGCUAACAUCCAUACCUUUCUGGAAAUCUAAGGCAAGAAAAUAAAAUAAGGAAGAGCAUGGAAAUCACAGCCUUCAAAGUCAAAACAGAUUUGCUUUCUUUUUCCCUUAUCUUUUAUUUUUCGCAUUUUACUUUAUUUUUGUCAUUCUUCAAUAUUCCUUUUCUUUUAUUUCAACAUUGAGGACAAUGUUGUGUUUUAAGUGUGGGGGUAUUGGGAGAAUGUUGGUUUUCUAAUUUUGGUUUUCUUUGUUAUUUUUCAAAAUAAAAAAAAAUUAUGUUUGAUCUUUUGAACUCCCAUUGGUUUUUGAGAAUAUGAGUAUUAUGUAUGAGAAUUAGUUGAGAUAGAUGAAGAUAUAAAUAAAAUGAAUGAGUGUGCAUGCAAGUUUUAAGGUUUAAUUGGUUUAGGGAUUGACUUUGAGAAUCUGUCAUGUUGACUUUAUAGUGUUAUACCAAUGCAAGCUUUUGAGCCUUCAACAUUAUAUUCUUUUAUUGUGCCUUCUUUCAAUGAUAUGUAUCUUUAGAACUUGUUUCAUAUCUUGUUGAGAUUACAUUCAUAUUACAUAUAUACAUGAAGAUAAUAAAGGCAUUAGGAAUUUUAACCACUUGAGCCAAAAAGCCAACCUAAAGCAUAUUAUCCUUAGUGAGCCCCUUUUGAGCUUGUUUAUCUUUUCUUUGCUUUAUCCAUGUAUAAGCCUUAACUUUUUAUAUGUUUUCCUUUUCCCCUGGCCAAGGAUUAGUAGAGCAUAUACUUAUGAUAUCUCAUGGAAUUAUGGUUGGAAAUUAUGCGAAAAGAAAGAAGAAGUGAUGCUUGAUGAAAAGAUGGGCAAAGUUGCCGAAGGUCAAAAAAAAAAAAGGAAAAAAAAAGAAAAAAAAGAAAAGAAAAAGAAAAAGAAAAAAGUGUUCCUUUAUGUUCUUAAUAUUUUAUAUUGAAAAAGCUUGAAAUCAAAAGAAGUUAAGCAUUGGUGAUUAAAGAUGGAAAAUUUAUGUGCUUUGAUGGAAUAUCUUGUUUGAAAUAUCAUUUUUCAGAAUGCUCUACUUUCUUUGGUUUGAACCUUUUGUUUUACUCUCUUUUACCUCACCUUAACCUUAGCCCCAUUACAACCAGAAAAUAAGACCUUUUGAUUCAUGCAUUGUUUGUAAUAUGUUAUUAAUGGGGAUGAGAUUGAAGAGCAAGCUUAUGGUAGAACAUAUUCAUUGAUUGAAUUUGAGAGAUUUAAACACAUAAGCCCUAAACACGUGAGUGUUGGAGUAUAUAUCAAUGAGAGGACCUAUCACUUUGGCAUGGCAUAGAUUUCAUUUAAAUCUCGACGAUUAAUUGACUUUUGAAGUUUGCAUGUAAAUAAAUUCAUGAAAAUUUAUACUCUUUAUCCUUCUUAAUUGUGUUCUUGUUUAUAAUGCAUAUAUUCUUGGAUAUUGAUGGGAGAUUAGAAGAUUAGUCAUAGUGAUUUCAUUUAAUUUAACUUCAAUUUGAUUUUACCUAUCCUUUCUCGAGGACGAGCAAGAGCUAAGUGUGGGGGUAUUUGAUGCAACCAUAUUAUUCUAUAGUUUCACCCACAUUUAACUAGUGUUUUGCCUAUGUUUUAUAUAUAAAAUGCCUUGAUAUUCUUUGUUUUAUGUUUUGAAGGCACUUUUGGAUGAAAGAUGCAAAAAGGAGUAAAUUGGAGAUAAUUGGCAGAUUUGACCUUCAGUCGAUGUUUUGUGCAGAGCGUGAGCUCUAGAGGUUGAAAUGAAGUGAUUCCAGUGGCAUUAAAAAGCUAACAUCCAUACCUUUCUGGACAUCUAAGGCAAGAAAAUAAAAUAAGGAAGAGCAUGGAAAUCGCAGCCUUCAAAGUCAAAUCUCGCAAUCUGCCAGUGUUGACCUUCGGCCAUUCCGACUUGAAUAUCUGGAGCUACAGAAGUCCAAUUGAUGCAAACUCAAUUGUUUUGGAUUCAUGUCUCAAAGGUCUAUAAACGCUCCACAUUUCAGCCCAAACCGAUUUCAUAUGAGGGAGAUAUGAUUUUUCAAAGAUGACAACUGAAUUCUGCCAGCAAACAGGUUUCGUGAAGAAACGAGUCCAAAUUACGUUCCGAAGCAUCUAAACCGAUAUCCAAGUUUGUAUUUCAGCAAUUUAGCUCCUCUAAGUCAAAGCUUGAAGAUUUCAUGCAAGGCUAUUUCUCCUUUUUUAGGAAAAUAGUUAUUGAAGUACUUAAAUGUAAACAGUCUACUUAAUGGAGGACUAUUUUGUAAAAUAGAGACCUAGGGUUUCCUAGGAUAUAAAAAGAAUGAGAGAAGAGAAGGGGGGAGGCAGCCAAGAAGAGAAAAACGCCCCCUUCCUCUAAGAAACCCUAAAUUAUGCAUUCUUCCUUCUUUUUGAUUAGUUGUUCAACAAACAUGCAAGGCUAAACACUUUUUCUUGGUUGCAAGAACACGGAAACCUUCGGAUUUCAAGAACUGUGAGAUUUAUUUUACCUUUUCUUUUCAGUUUAUAUGAUGAAUAUGUUUGUUCUCCUAUGCUUAUUUUUCCUAUGAUUGUUUAUUUUAAUUGCUAGAGCGGACUCUAAGUUAUUAUUGUAGACAAUCUAUUGUUAAUUUUGAUAUCAAAACCGGAGUUGUGGUAUAUGAACUUGUGAAGCAACUGAGUUUAAUAAUUGUGGCGGAUCUACGUUAUUAAUCUUAGGGAGAACAUUCAAUCAAAUCAAACAUAGACUGCGGACAGUUAUGUUUUCUUGAUUAAUCAACUUAUCUAGUUCUUAAGGCUGCCAUUGAAUUAAAUUACUAGUGCGGACACUGUGGUUGUUUGAUGGUUAGGGCUAGUUAUACGGCGGAUCCGUUAACUAACCAAUGUUAAGAAGAGAUAAAUAUUCAGAAUAUAAAUUGAUGUUUCGUUUCCAUGAUCAGUUCUGAUUUUUGUAGGUGGAUGUGUGCUUCUGACCAAGGUUUGUUCUCUUGAUAAUUUUCUGAUUUUAUUAAAUUUAGUUUGAUAGUUUUCUGUUUUCUUUUGCUUUAGCCUAGAUAAUGUCCAAACCCCCCCAAAUUGCAUAUCAUCUAGCAUAAAAAUCUGACUUGAAUCUUCCUCGUGGGAUCGACCCCUUGCUUGCUCUAUACUAUCUUGUGUGUUGUGUUUGAAGCUAGGGUAAUUAAUUUGUGCGACCGCGACAUCGCAACACUUCCUACAUGGGGUGCGUUGCGUUAACAAUUGUUUUUGUAUUUAUUAACAUAUAUGAUCCUCAAUUGAUUUUAUUAUAUGUAAACAUCAACUUUUUUUAUUCACAAUUAUAUUUUUUUCUCUCGAUAUCUAAAAAUACAUCAACAACACAUAUACAUCCAUUCUUUUGUGUUGGAAAAUAUUAUCUGACCCAUAGCGAAGCGAGUUAAAUAAACACGUCAAUACCUUUUUUUUGUAUUUAUUAUUAGGGUUUUUUUUUGUUAAAAAUACAUUUGAAAAGCAUUCAUAUUUAUUUAUUUUGCUAAAAAACAUUUCUGAUCUAUAGUAAAGUGCGAGUCAAAUAACUACUAAUAUGGCUAUAGUGAGUGUUUUUUUAGUAUAUGUGGAUGUAGGUAGCAAUGUGUUAUAUUAUUAGUUAGAUAUAACUUACCUAUUCAUUAUAAAAAUAAAUAAAUAAAUAUGCUGAAACAAUAUAGUCCCCGAGAGGAAAUAUUGUGAAUUCACACAAUGUUUACUUUCUCUUUUUUUGUCCUUUUUUUAUUUAGUGAUCUUUGAUGAUGAAUUGAUUAAGAUUUGAGAUGGGUACUGUAUUUUUAUUUACCUUUUUUAUAGUUAUCUUGCUCUCAAUAAAACAUCUUGAUAUUAGAACAAUGCUCAAUUUCACAAAAAAAAAAUUAAUGUUUGUAAGAAAUUGAAAAUGAAAAGAUCAAAAUUGAAACAAAUAAAAAACUAUUUAAAAAAAAAAUGGUGUCAACUUUGCCUUUUGUUUUUUGCUUUUGAUCAUCUACUUUUUUUAUAAAAAAAAAAUUAAUAUUUCAAUGCUGUGUUAAUUGGAAUUUGAAGUUGGUAAUUUGAUAUAAGUUGGUAAUUUUAUAUGAGCAUCUAGAACUAAAUAAAAAGCCGCACCAUUGGUUUGGUGCUCGACUUUACAAAAAAAAAAUCGAUUAUAUUGUUUGAGAAAAAAUAAAAAAUAAAAAAUAAAAAUUAAAACAUGAAAAAAAAAAUAAGGGGCCUUAAAAAAACAAAUUGUGUCAACGCCUCCAUGCCUUGUAAUUUUAAUAAAUCUUCUUUUUGGUAAUGAAACUUUUUGAUACAAAACUUUAUUUUACUUGUAUUUUAAUUCUUGAGGUUGAGAAAGAAAAAAGAAAUUCAUCAAAAAAUUAGAAAGAAAAGAGAAAAUUAGCGAAAGCCAGCAAGGUAUCUGCUCGAAAAAACCAUUCAACAUAAGAUUGCUCUGCUAGGAAAACAUGAUAUCAGUAUCAAACUUUUGAACAAAGAGUUCAGCAUCAAGUCUCAGUCAUCUUGAGAUUUGAAUUGCUCAUACAACAACAUUUUUAAUAAUGCAUUAGAAACAGAACAUCAAACAAAGAGUUCAGCAUCAAGGAGAACGCAUGAAAGUCCACACAUUAAACCAAAAGAAACACAAAUGGCCAAGCAAACAUACGCCCUUACUUCUGGAGGCUUGUACGAUAAUGGGCAAGCAUCAUUGUUUUUUUUACUAUUAACCAUCACCAUCACCAUCACCAUCUUCUUCUUCUUAUACUUCUUUCCACCCUUUAUUUCUGGUCCACUCUCUAUUAAUGCUUGAAUCUUCAGCUACUUCAGAUACCUGUAAACCAAUCCAAGCAUGGCAUGCUCAUUUAACUUGUAAAUCUUAUUAUUGAGAGAAACAAGAAACAAACACACUAAAAGAGAGGCAAGAAAUAAAGUUAAAUCAUCAGCAGCACCUCUGAGCGAGCACUCAUUGAACCAUCUGGUGUAGUAGCAAAUUUUGUGGUCAGCUUUGGACAUUGAUGGACCUUCAACUUCUCCAAACGAGGGAAUAAGAAAUAAUCACACCAUCCGAAACUAAAACAGACAAUACUUGAUAAUUGUUGUAGCGACAACUCCUUUAGAUUAGGAAGCACUAUCUCCUUCUCAACGUUGAUAGGUGAAGCUUGAUCAUCCUGCCCAGGAGACUCUGGAAUUAUUUCCCUUUUACCAUCCUCUUCUCUGAUUAUAUGCUUCAAUUGACCGCAUUUACUU
rnacentral:lncRNA from 1 species